AUAUUUUGGUUACAUCUUUGCUUGAUCUGUUAUAUUUCAUGUGGCUGUUGACUAGCUGCCCCGCUGCAAUGGCAGACAUCAGAGACAACUCUCCAGCUAAAACAGAUCCAGCAACAAUGGCGGCCAAAAGUCUUGAGUUUGAUCCCGGUGACUCCUUGCUCGCACCCUUCACACCAAGUAAAUUCAAGCAAGCAGACUGGGAUGCAAGUUGAGUCCCACCCCCAACAGUACCCACCUGAGAGGAAAAUUGAAGAAUCAUAUAAACCUUAGCUAUUAACUAAAUUGGAAAAUUGACCAAAUAUAGUAGGGUAAUGUUUAAGAAAGGAUUGGAUCGGAUGCCAAAUCACCUCAAUGGAAGGCAUGGUCACCGAGACGUGAAGGUCCCUCCCAUCAUUCACGGCUUCCAUCAUGGUUAUGCAAUGGGAACUCUCAAUAUUUUGUGCUGGAUCUUGACCGGUGGCUAUAAAGACUGCAGAGACAAUGUUGCUAGCAUGGGCAUUGAAUCCACCAAGAGCACCAGCAAUAGCGGAACCAGUAAGGUUUUUGAGCAUGUUAAGCUCCACCAGGGCAGACACGCUGGUCUUCAAUACCUUCUUCACCACUUCUGCUGUAAUAAUUGCUUCACAAACAACUGAUUUCCCACGUCCCUCGAUCCAAUUUACUGCAGCUGGCUUCUUGUCCGAACAAUAAUUUCCUAAAGGAUCAAUCAAAUCAGAACACAACCAUCACAUUUUCGUGUUAAUAUUCCCAUUAAAACAAUUUCCCCAUGCCGUCGUGAUUAUAGACAUCGAAUCAAAUAACCAAACAAUGAGAUCAAUAUAAAAGAUCAAGUCAGAACAUAACCAUCACACUUUCGGUCUAAUAUUCCCAUUUAAACAAUUUCAGCAUGCCCUGAUUAUAGACAUCGAAUUAAAUAACUACACAAUGAGAUCAAUAUAGUGAAAGACUGAGAUUACCAAACCGGAACUGACACGAUGAAAGAAAUAAAUACAAGUACACGUAGAAAACAAGAAAUCCACCAAAUGAAAAAUGUAAGUAAAUUGGGGAUUAAUACGAGAGUUUGACACAGUUCCAAUUGUUGCAUCAUGCUAAUUAUUCAUACCUCAUAAUUAAGUAACAAAUGAAUAAAAUAUGACUACUAAAUACGCAUCAACCCUUUUGCAAAGAGCAUAUAUACAAUAAACAAAUAAAUCUCCGAUUAAAAUCCAACAUGACAAUACCACACAAAAUACAGUGACAUCGUUAUAGGACACUAGUCUCCAGCUCAAAUUGACAGCACCUAAAACAAUAUAUAUAUAUAUAUAUAUAUAUAUAUAUAUGAAUGUAUAAGCUAAGACGUCAAAGGUAGUACGGAAAGAAAUAAGAUAAUGAAAUUGGACCAACUUCAUGAUGAAAGAAAAGAAACCAGUACGGAAAAGAAAGAACAAAAAGAGACGAUGUGUGAUACUAUAUAAAGGAACGGCAUUGGUGACAUCAUUCGAUUUAACAAAAGAAAGAUCAAGGAAAUAUUGUCCAUCAAAAUGGGAAAGGUACAGAAAUUACCAGAAAUGCCAAUGACAUCCAUGUCAGGGAAAUCAUUCUGAAGAAAAUCAAGAACGUUUUGCACCCCUUUGGAAACCAUGUUCAUCCCCAUGGCAUCACCCGUGCUACAAGUGAAUCUCAAAUAAGCGUUCUUCCCAGCCAUAGCACACUGAAUACCUUGCAGCCUGGCAAAUCUACUCGACCUGAAAUCAUUAAACCAAACACCAAAACUCAGCACAAAUAAAUAAAUUUCCUACACUCAAAUAAACGACAUCUCCAGUCAUAUAUACUCCAAAUUUCCUCCACUCAUCCACUCCCCAAUUAACAGAAAAAAAUCAAAGUUUUAAAGGAAAACCACACCUUUAAUUCUCGCAUAACAUUUAAAAAAAAAUCAACAUAAAUAUCAAUCCAUAAACUACAGAAAAUUCACUUAGUAUACAGGAAAUGAUUGUAAAUCUCAGUAUAAAUUUUCUUAUUCAACACAAGCACUAUUUAAAAUGACUUCUAAACUCAAAAUUAAUUUUGGACUCAAUAAAUUCUUUACCAACCAACCAUAUUAAUAUUCAUUUAAAAUCAGUUAAUUGGAUAUCGACAUUUCAACACACUUUUCGAUGAUCCGAUGUGAAUCCAAACAUGCAGUUAACGUGGACACCAACUACUAAAUGAUAAAUUCUCAGAUCAUGAUCACGAAUCCAAACUCACUCUAGAGUGUACCAAAACAAACCUGUUGAAAACAAGGGAAAGGGUAUCAAAAUUGAGAGGAUCCUCCAAGAAGAACUUCAACUGUGCAGCCCUCUUGGCAGUGGAGAACCUAACAACCGGUGCCCUUGACAUGCAAUCCCUCAAAACAACACUGCUGGCCCCACCAGAAGCAUAUAUGGCUUUACACCCUCGAUUGGUGCUAGCAACAAGGCACCCCUCGGUGGUGGCCAUCGGCACCGUGUACUCGAACCCGUCCAGCAGCAAAGGCCCCGCCACCCCCACCGGAAUCUGCACGUACCCCACCGGCAUUUCACAGCACUGCCCCAAAAUCGAGUCGUAAUCGAACCCUUCCAGCGGCAGCCCCUCCAGCGACCGCCCCGUCAGCCUCUGCAGAGCCGCCCGCCGAAUCGCCGCCGCACGGCGGCAGUCGCCGAGGCGAGACUCGAGCGCGUAGGACGGCGUGACGCCGUCCACGACGGAGCAGACAAUAUCCUCAUCAUCUUCGGAGAUCAUCGAGCAAUCCGCAGGGGGCAAUUUGGUAAUUGAUGGAGAGGGCGAGGGCGUCGGCGAGGGUUCCGAAACCGCUUCGUCGACGUCCCACGCAUCCUGCGAGGCGCGUGUGAUGAAGGACUGGACGAAGUCGAUGCCGAAGAAGCCGAGGAGGUAGAUGAAGGAGGCAAUGAGGGAGAAAAUCGCAGCAAUCUCGGAGAGCGUGACCACGUGGAGAGGUGUGUGGCUGCGGAUCUUGUCGCGCCACCGGUGCAGGAGAAAGUACGCGACGGAGAAGAAGAGAGUGAAGAAGAUCGCGUUCGUGAGGUACAGUGGCAGAGGGAGCGCAUCGGAGGCCUUAGGAGAGGACGCUGAUGGCGUGGAAGUGGAAUCCCUCUUGCCGCGGUUGGGGUGGUGGAUAGCUCCGUCGUGUGCGGUGGGCGGCGCGCGGUGGCGGAGGUCCAUUGCGCGUGCGAAAGGGUUGCGGGAGAGCAACGGAGGAAAAAACGGCGAAUAAAUGAAUGAAUGAAUGGUUAUGCCAUGUGAUAUGUUCUGUGUGACAGCGAAGAACGGUGAGUGCGAUACGGUGCGACCGGACCCAACAGCGUCGGCAUUUGUUAUUGUUUUGUUUUUAUUAGCACUUUUCUUCCAACUUUUCCACUUUCCUCAACCAUCACAACACAUACAACUGUAAUUAUAAAACUUUUCCAAAAAAAAACAUUUUACUUUAUUUUUUAAAAAUACCAGCCGUCUGAUACCCUAAAACAACGCGUUAAUCAUACUAAUUAAAUAAUCAAGCUACCUUUUUAAUUCAAAAUUAUAUUAAUGCAUUUUCUUAUACUUUUAAUCUGAUGGGUCCAUUAAAAAUAAAUUACCAGUUGCCAGAUCAUUUGAUUUAUUCAAUUUAACUAUUACACGAAAAUGAAGAUUCAAUAUCGUUUUACGUCACUGUUUUGGUCAAGGUAAAGAGUUCUCGAUUAUUACGAUGAGCAUUUAAGUAUAAAAUAAUAUUAACAAUAAAUUUUAAUGAGUUAAUUAUGAUAUACAUGUUUUUAUAUAAUUAUAGUAGAUGUGACUAUUCGGACAUAAUGAAAUGAAAUUGAAAUUUUUUAUUUAUUUUCUUACAAUUCAUUGUUGUAAUUUAAAAAUAUGAUGGAAGUAGAAGAGAGUGGAACAUUGGGGAAACUGGUUUUUUUGGGUUUUGGGGAAUGAAAUAAAGAAAACCAAUGAAUGAAUGACAACAAUUGGAGUGUGUGAUUGAUUACCUACACAAAGAUUUUCAUCCAAAAAAGGAAAUAAUAAUGAUGAUAUUCAACUGCUCCAGAUUCUGCAACGUUUACAACUAAAUAUUGUGGACUUCUGUUUUAUACUUAGUUACUCUUUAAUUUCCAUUAUUAUUACAAUAAAAUAAAUUCUUCUGUUCUAUGCAGGAAUUUGAGAAAUAAUUAAAAUAGAUAUUUAAAUACGAAGUCUUGUAAAUUUAUAACUUUUAUUAUCCCUUUCUAAAUUUAAAAUUGAUUUCGAAAAAUAAUUUUUAUGAGUCUGUUUUUAUAAGUAUACCAGACUUAAAGAUAAACUAUGGAUAUAUAUAUAUAUAUAUAUAUUUAUAUAUUCAAUUUAAAUUUUCUUUACGUCUCUUUAUAUUUGUGGGACAAUUUUUCUUACCUUUUUCUUUAAAAAAUCACCAUUUAGAAAGUAAAAAAUAUUUAAGUCAUCUUGUUUGGUCAAUUUUUUUAUUUGAGAAAUUUUUUUUUUUUCACAAAUCUUAAUUUUUUUUCUAUUUAGCAUGCGUUUAGUUGCAUAUAUGAUCUAAUGUGAAAAGAUAAAAAUUUAUUACUUUAGGUUUGUAAAAAUAUUUAUAGUUGUUAUAUAUAAUUUUUGUGAGUAAAGGUAUAUUUCACUUUUUAACCUUUCAAGAGUAAAAUACUUCUAAAAUAAGUAAGGGAGUUUAAUUUGAAGUAUCUUGUUGAAUGUAUUGAACUUUAGGAAGAAUUGAACCUAUGAUAAAAAAAUGUGCGAGGACAUAAUUAUAUUAAUGUUUGAUUUUAGAUUAAAUUGUUUGAGUUGGUUGAAUAUUUAGUAAUUUAUUUAUAUGUUUGAAAUGAAAUUGUAAUUUAGUAUUUGACAUUUGUUAUUUAACUUAUUCAAUUAUUUUAAUUAAUUGGAUUAAAAUGGUUUUAUUAUGAGUUAAAUUUGUAAUGAAAAUUUGUUGUUUUGAAAAUAGUUAGUUUGGUUGAAUAGUGGAUAAUUUUUUAAUUUUUGUCUUUAAUAUAUCUAACUCAAGUGGUUGCUUAUGUAAGACUCGAACAAGCAUUUUAUGUUGGUGCAGAGGUUUAUCACUCAAACAAUUAAUUGGUGUCACUUUUAUGGAGUCCUCGUUGAGGGACAGAGAAAUCUUAACAAUUCUCUCAUAAUUCAAUUACUCAAGCGAUAAAUUAAGUGUUUGAAUGAUAGAGAGUUAAUGUUGAUUAUAUCUUCUAGACAAACAUUAUUGUGUAACGCCAAACACUUAUUUAGUCUCACAAUGUUAAAUGUAUAUUUUAACAUAUUUGAUAAUAAUUUAUUUACUACUAGACUUAUAUAAACAUAUAGAUAAAUAUAUAUAUAUAUAUAUUAUAGUUAUAUAUUAAUUCAAUUUUAUGUGGUGCAAUGUGUUGUGUUUUAUUUAAUUAUGACCAAUGGAAUGAUUAUUACUUAACUGGUAAUGGACAUAUAUGUGAUAUAUGGUGUGUAUUGAGCAAGCAAACCAUUAAAUAAAAGAAAUAAUUAGAUUUUGCUAGCUUCCAAGUCACAUAGAUGAUUAUAUAUUAAGGGUGAGAAGUAAAUGGAAGUUUUUACAUUGUUACUUAUUAUGAUAAAUUCGAAAAGUUAACCCAUUUAUUGUUAAAUAUUAUAUGUGGGUGAAUUUUUGUUUUAAGUUGUGUGUUAGUCUCCCAAUGAAAGUCUAUAAUAUGUUUUGUCUCGAAGUUGUUGAGUCACGAGUAUAGUUAUAAUUUAUUAAAUUAUUGAGGUUUUAAGUGAAACUAGUUGUGAUUGUUUAUGUGAUGAGAUGAGUAUGAAAAGUCAUACAUUAUAAAAUAUAUAUGAUUAUUUGUUACUUAAUUAAAUUACAUCACUUAACCCUUCAAAUCAAAUUCCAAAACGUAAGCGUUUCGCUAGUUUGUUCUCCCUAAGCAAUCUCUUUUUUAUAGACUAACCCCUCCCACUCCCACUGGCGCACUUUUAUUUGGUACAUUUUUUUCUCUUUCAAUUUUUUAUUCAAUGAACAAAAUCCUUUUAUUCUUUUUUCUUUGUUGUUUUCUUUAAUAAUUUUGUUAUAAGUUUGAUUAAAUUGUUCUUUUCGUGUAUUUUAUGGUGUUAUUUGUGUCGGCACAAUAAUAACAAUAUUGUCAUCAUACAGUGCCAAAGACAUGCAUAAAUGAAUAAAAAAGAAAAGUAAAAUCAGACAUUGCAUUUCCAUAUUCUACUUUAUAAUUGAAAAGCAACACUUAUUGGUUGGUUUCGUGGUUCUGGAAGGAAAGUAUGAAUUCUCAUAUCUUGAAUUUUGAAUAUAAAAAUAGAAAACGAAAAAGGUGUUUGAUGGGAUAAAAGUGAAGAUGAACGGAAGAAAAAGAUGCAAUUGUGCAAUGCUCCUCGACAAGUCUCACUUUGCAAUGUUUAGUUUUAAUUUAUUUUUUUUAAAUAGUUUAAAAAUAGUGUUAUAGCUCCUGUCGUUCUUUUGAGGGUUAUCUCCCCUUUAUAUAUAGGUAUAGACUAGCCGAAACACAUGUAUCUGCAUUUUUUAUCUGUAUCAUUUAUAUACAUAGUGUUAAUAUGAUACAUAUAACCUAAUUGCUUCACAAUCUUAGAAUGGGAAAAUAACAUGGUCUUUUAAAUGAGAAUUUGAAAAUCACAAAAUAAUUGAUUUGUAUCUGCAUUCUUUUAUUUGUAUCAUUUAAAUGCAUAGUGUUAAUAUGAUGCAUAUAAACCUAAUUGUUUAACAAUCUUAGAAUGAGAAAAUAGUCAUUGUCUGAUUGCAAAUGACAAAAACAAAUAGGCCAUAAGAUGACAAAACAAAGUCCCAAGAAUUUUUUCAAUUCAGCGUGGCCAACCUUGGCUAAUUCUAUAUUUUAAGUUAUCAAAAUUAUAUACAGUUACAUGGAGACAGAACAAAUACUUCAUAAAUCUAAAUUAUGAAAUAAUGUUUGAGGGUCAUAUAGCAAAGCAGAGGCUUUUAAAAAAUUAUUAAUUCAAGAGCAAGAGUCUUGUGACAGUGCCCAAAUAGGAAGGGAGAGAGAACCAAAAAUAAAUUCCAAAAGUAGAUGAAAUCACCGAAAGUAGAUCGCACUAUAUUGACUUUAACCUUAGUCAAUGAAACCUCUUUCCUCUUCAUGGCUAGCAACCCUUUUGUUGGGCACAUCUAUCAUGUCCUCUCUGUCACACAACAACUUUGUCAUUUUUUAGGCUGGUGACAGCGGCGCGUCGCUAAAGCAUUUUUGCAACCUUCGGACAUGAUGGUUACGUGAAUGCAGUGACGCUUUCUAUAGACAGGUCGAUUAUCACGAGUGGCAACACAUAUGAGGUGGUGAAACUGUGAGACAUGGAAGGAAUAGUUAAUCUUCAUCAUGACUUGAGUUUUGUCCCUCUCCAAGUAUUGGUUUGCGUUUGAAAGAAAACAUUCCUACUAAGAGAAAGAAGGAUGUCUCUCUUUCUUUGGUCUUCUUUUUAUUCGUCAAAAACAAUUUCUCCCAAAAACGUUAAAAUGAGAAGUUAAAGAGAAUAUAUGGAAGUUAAUGAAGGCAAAGAGAAAUAAUGAAUCUUCAAAAAUUAAAAUUCAAAACUAUUCUUUCAAUUAAAAACCACCCUUCCUGUAUACUAAAUAUUUUUUAAAAAAAUAAAAAAUGAUAAAAUAUCCAUAAUACUAAAAUAAAACUAAAUAUUAAUAUAAAGAUAAGUAUAAAUUAGUAAAAAAGCGUUGAUAAUUCAUUAAUAUCACAAAAUCUUAAAAAAGAAAAAUACCUAACACUUCGGAGGUCUAAAUCACAAAAAAAUGUUAAAUAUAUUCUCGUAAAAAAUAAUUUUUAUUGUAUUGUGUAAUUUAAAAAAAAAUAUUAGAAAAAAAAAACGUCGUUAAAUUCUGUAGAAUAUUUAAUUAGGACUCAGUCUAAGACCGUAUAUUUGAUUAGAAUUGAUCUAAUGAUAGUUUUUAUAUCCUAGAGAUGACUAAAAUCUUACAUUAAUUUUAAUUAAACACAACUUUUAACCAGAUAAAAUUCUAGAUAAAAAUCCUCUGCCUUAUUGAUUACGUUUGUGUCGUGAUAUUACGACACUAGAAUGAGAAAAAAAUAUAUUAAAAAGUUAAAGAUUAAAAAGAUAAACUUGUUAAUGAUAUAUUUCUUGCAAAUAAAGAAAUAAAACGAAGUUCUUAAAGUAAAUAUCCAAAAACUCAUGAUUUGAAUUAGGGGUGGACAAAAAAUCUAUUUUGAAAAAACUGUUAUAUUUUUGCACUUUUGCACUGAUCUAAUCUAUUUAAAUUUGAUUUUUAUUUUGAUUCAUAUUUUAUUAUUUUUCCAGAUCAAAUUUUCAUUUUACUUAAUUAGAUUUUAAAAAAUUCUCUACUCCCUCAAUCCCGUGAAUCACUUUUACAAUGAUGCAUUAUCUAUCGACGCUAUAUUUGCAUUCAUUGUUCUAUUAAGUUUAUCUCAUGGACCUAUUCAAUGCACUACAAUGAGUCGCUGUUUAUUAUAUUUCUUUAAUAUUUAUAUAAUAUUAAAUUUCCUUUACAUAUUAUUAUAUUAAAAUUAUGUUAAUUGUGUUAGAAAAUGUGGAUUUAAAUUUAAAAUAUAUUUUUAUAAAAAUAUGGAUUUAGAUUAGAUUUAAAUUUAUAAAAAUUCAAAUUAGUUUUGUAAAAAUAUGAAUUUGGAUUUAAAUCCAAUCCAAAUAUUUGGAUUUGAAUUUAUAGAAAUUCAAAUUAUUUUUAUAAAAACAUAGAUUUAAAUUUAAAACUUGAUCCAAAUAUUUAGAUUUCUCAAUGCAAUACCACCUUAAUUUGCAUGACUCGCAUGGAAAUCAGCCAAAUUUUCGGCCUCUCUAAACUCAUGAUAGAUUGUAUCAGAUUCAGACAACUUUUACAUAUUAAAAUGUUAGAUCACACUAAUGAUUUUAGAUAAUUAAUAAGGAAAACUUAUAUUUAUUACUUAUUUAUAUUUUUUAUGCAUAAACACAAGAAGAAUUGGAGGGUUAAAAUUAACUUUUUGUUGUGAGACUAAUUCUCAAUUCAAUGUUUAUACUUAAUCUCUGUAUCUUUCUUUCAGAAAAUGUAUGAUGUGAGAAUGAAUUAUGCUUGUAUCUCAAUUCACAUAUUUAUUGAACUUUAACUUGAGUUCUUACUGUGCUUCAAUGAUCAUAAAAAACUCUUCAACCAGAAUCCUUGAAUACAAAGCAUGGUGGUUAUACUGAAACUUGGUGGUAAGAUAUUAAUUAUUGUAAAUAUAAAUGAAUGGAGGGUUGUGGCUUAGGGUAAAAAAAAUACCUAACAUAAUCUAUAAAUUUGAGCUUUGUGAUAACUUAUAAGCUUUAUUGUGUAAAAUAGUAAAUUUGAAGAUACUAAGCCACACAGAACUAUGCCUCUGAUGAACUCUGACUUGUAUCCUGUAAAAGCCGUACACACACGCAACAUAUUGUCAAAACAAAAUUAAAUAAAAGAUUAAUAACACUUUUUAAUGAAGAGCUGAAUGAAGAAAAAUAAAUGCACAUAGAAAAGCACAGAAUGUUCCUCACCAUUAUUUCUAGUUCCUAUUAAAAUGACAUGUGUUACAUUAAAUGCCUUAAAAACUAAUGAGGACUUUUUACUAAAAUAAUAUAAUUUUACCUAGAUAAAAAGGUUAAAAAUUAAUGAAAUAAAUAAGUCGUUCUCAAAGUUGAAAUUAUUUUAUCGUGAAAAGGUUGUUUCAAGUUGAAACGGUAAAAAAGUUGAUUCAAGUUAAACGAGUUUACUGUGAAAAAAUUGUGUUAAGUGUAAAUAAUUUUACCGUGAUAAAGUUGUGUCAUGUUAAAAUAAUUUUAUCCUAAAAAAGUCAUAUCAACUUGAAAUGAGUUUAUUGUGAGAAAGUUGCAUCAAGUUAAAAUGAGUUUAUUAUUAGAAAUUCGUGUCAAGUUGAAACGGGUUUAUCGUGUAAAAGUUGUGUCAAGUUGAAACGAUUUUAAUGUGUAAAAAUUAUAUCAAGUUGAAAUGAGUUUAAUAUGUAAAAGUCGUUCAAGAUAAUCCAAAUUCAAUAUAUUUGAAGAGAAGUCGUAAAAUGUAAUUAUAUUUUAAUUACAUUAGUGUUACACGACUUAGUUGAUAUCUAAUUACAUUAAAUCAAAGUCAUGUUAAGGUACACAACUUACUCCAAUAAAAAUUUUAUAUUUUUUACUUGUUUUCAUAAUUAAUCUAUAAAAUUAUCCUAAUUUAAUUAAAAAAAUGCUAAUUAACAUGAAAACCUAGAAAUCAAUCUCUAAUUCAAUUGAGAUCACACUAAAUGAGUCGAGUUCAAUAGUUUUUCAUACAAAUAAAUUAUUGAGGAAAACAUGAAGAAAUAAAAUUGUUUUAAGUACCAAUCAAACACAAAAGUGAGUUGUGAAUGACUUGGAUGAUGAAGUGAGUUUUUUAAACCAUAGAUGGGGUGUGAUUGGGUCAUACACAAAGAUCAAGGCUUCAAUUAGUCAAAUCUUAAGGAAAAAUGAAAACCAUAAUUCUCUUAUUCCAAUUCCAUCACCUGAUCAAUUUUCCACUAUUUUAUACACUUUCAUCUUCUCUACAUGAAUCUAAUUUCCAAAUCACAUGAUUCCUUAAAGCAUGACCCAAAUAGAAACAACAAUAUUAAAGAACAAACAAUCAUAAAAAAGAUGAUUCUACACUCUACACUACACAAUAAAGUCACACAAAACAAACACAGAAUAAUGCAGACUCCAAAUUUACAUAUAUAACAAGUUUUGACCAAUUCAGCUGCUACACUUACAACAAAAGGAACAAAACUGAGAACAAAUCAGAGUACUCACGGUUUCUUGUUUCUGAGAUUGUACAUUCUUGCUCUUUCUCUCUUUCGUGUGCAUUUUAGAACUUUUACCACCAUUCUUCUUUUUUGGAAAUAUCACGUGAAGCGAUGCAUUCAAAUCUAACAGAAUCUUUCCACAUAAAGUGCAGACACUGAAAACAAAAUCAUUGAAAUUUGAAGAUCACAGGAUCAGAUUCAACCAAUGGACAAUGAAUCCACAUUAUUAUUUUUCCCAUAUUGUGUUCACAACCUUUUUGGAUUCAAUUUUUCACAUUUGUAACCCUAAAAAUAGAUUAAGAAAAGAAGAAGAAAAGAUGAUAUAAGUGAAUGACCUGCAAGAAUCGACCGAAAUGUCACCAUAGAUAGCUUCCAAUCUGGUGGGGCAAACCCUGCAACAAUGACUGCACCACUCCAUGCAUGCCAACAUUUGUGUUCAGUUUCAAAGUGGCUUAAAUAACCUAAUUACAAUCUCAUAAAUCUCAUUAAAUACCUUUGACUAAGCGUGUAUAUACCACCAUAAUAUAAAAGAUAUAUGAUGAUUUUUUUUUAAAAAUGUUAUUUUAAGAUUUUAAUUCAAUAUUUACUUAGUGAUAUUUUUUUAUCUAUAGAAAUUAAAUAUAUGAUAUUUAGUAUCUUAUUUUAUCUCCUUAAUAUAUAGAAAAUAAAGAAAACAAAAGAAAAACAUUUUUAGUGUAAUUUUGUUUUUGAAAUAGAAAGAUGUAUAAAUAAGACGUAAACAACCAUAAAAUAGAAAAUGCUAGGCUCUUAAUUCUAAUAUUCUAAAAUUAUUUGGUAUCCCACCUGCUUCAUUCAUCAUAAAUCCCAAUUAUUUCGGCAUGAAUCUAUACAUAAAUAAUUUAAAAAUCAAUUAAAUGGAUGAGAAGAUAUAUUUACAUUUUUUUAUAACAACAUAAUAAAAUCAUUAAAUAAAAUAAAAACUAGUUUUAGAGAUAAAAGAAAUUAGUUAUUAUAUUAAAUCAAUUAAAUGUUAUUUAUAAAACUAUAAACAAAUAAUUUUAAAUUAAAAGAAGGAAAAGAUAUGUUUAUAUUUUGUAAACAAAAGAAAAUCAUUAAAUAAAAUAAAAACUAAUUAUAUUAAAUAAAUUAAAUAUUAUUUUAAAGAAAACAAAUUUUUAGUGUAAUUUUGUUUUUGAAAUAUUUAGUCAUAUUUUUUUAUCUAUAGAAAUUAAAUAUAUGAAUCGUAUCUUAUUUUAUCUCCUUAAUAUAUGUAUAGAAAAUAAAGAAAACAAAUUUUUAGUGUAAUUUUGUUUUUGAAACAGAAAGGUGUUAUAAAUAAGACGUAAACAAUUUUAAAAUAGAAAAUGUUAGGCUCAUUAUCUAUAAAGUUCGAACACUCCUUUUAAAUGUAUCAGACACCGACACUCGUAAGACACCUGUAGGACACGUAUCCGUGAAGUGUCUAAUUCAAAAAGUAUUUGUUAGAUUUCUGACAAUUAUAGUACAGUUAUAACACAAUUUUAAAAAGUAAAAAUACAUUAAUUUUCUAAAAAUUCAAACUUUAUUGUAUAAAUUGUUAUUAUAUUAUAAAAAUAAGAAACAAAUCUUGGUGAACCAAUCAUGCAAAACAUCUUUCUGCUUCAAAAAAUAAUUUGUAACAUACUUGUGUACAUAAAUAUUUAUUGUCAAUUUAUAUAAUUUAUAAUUAUAUAAUAUAUAGAUCUGUCUCAUUGUCUUACAUUUUAUGUAUCUCCAUAUUUGGGUCGUGUUGUAGAUAUAUAAAUUGCUCAUAAUUCUAAUAUUCUAAAAUUACUUGGUAUCCCACCUGCUUCAUUCAUCAUAAAUCCCAAUUAUUUCGGCAUGAAUCUAUCCUAUUUUUGUAACAACAUAAUAAAAUCAUUAAAUAAAAUAAAAAUUAAUUUUAAAGAUAAAAAUAAUUAGUUAUUAUAUUCAAUAAAUUAAAUCUUAUUUAUAAAACUAUAAAUAAAUAAUUUAAAAAUUAAUUAAAAAAAGGAAAAGAUAUGCUUAUAUUUUAUUACAACAUUUACUAUAUUAAAUAAAUUAAGUAUUAUUUUAAAGACUAAAAAAUCAUUAAUAUUUAAAUAAAUUUUAUUAUUCAUAAAUUUUAUAAAUUAAUUUUUAAAUUGAUAUAUAUUUAACUACUAGCUGUUAAUUAUAUUAAUAAUAUUAACAAUAAAAUAAAUAAAAAGUAGUUUAUAAUUUUUAUUAAUAAUAAAAAUUACUUUAAAUAUUAUUUUAAUUUCUAAAAUAAUAUAUAAUUUAAUUAAUAUAUUAUUUUUUAUCUUUAAAAUUGAUUUUUAUUUANNNNNNNNNNNNNNNNNNNNNNNNNNNNNNNNNNNNNNNNNNNNNNNNNNNNNNNNNNNNNNNNNNNNNNNNNNNNNNNNNNNNNNNNNNNNNNNNNNNNUAUCAUAUUCUUCCCACUGCCAUUUAUAGCUGAAAUUUGUAAAUUCUUGCAGUUUGUGAAGCCACAUUUUCUGAACUCGUAAUUGAUUAAAUUACCUAUAGUGAAAACAUAUAAUCCAUUGUAUUGUAACAAAAUAUACGUAUAAUGAUUAUGUUAUACAUAAACAUGUAAUUGAUUAUGUUAUAAUAUAAUUAAUUAUUUAAUAUAAUAUAAUUGUUCUUACAACAGAGACCAAAAGCACUGAAACCAGGUUGACAAGAUGACCUCUUAUACAAAUCUUCCGGUCUAGGGUUGGACACUCGGUUUUCUCUUGGGCUGGACUCUCGGUUUCUCCUUGGGCUGGACUCUCGGUUUCUCCUCUCGACUGGUGUUCUCGGCUUCUCCUCUCGAUUGGUGUUCUCGGCUUCUCCUCACAACAGGUGUUCUCAGCUUCUCCUCACAGCAGGUGUUCUCAGCUUCUCCUCACAGAUGGGGGGGUACCUGCAAGUCGCUCCGAUGCCAAAGUCAAAAAUAGUUCAAUGUUCAUCAGAUAAAAUCACUCUUACCUUUUUCUUACUCUGAACUCCUAUUUAUAGGGUUUCUUUAAUGGGCUUUCCCCCUUACUUUUGGGCUUUCUUUCUACACCUUUUUAUUAUUUACACACCCCUUAUGCUAGUUUUUAUCUUAAUUGGGCUUUAUUUUUAUAAUAAUAUUUGUAUUUUGUUUUAUUCUUUUAUGUAUAUUUUUCGCUUUCGGUCUAAACCUCUCGGUUUUAGCCUAACACCUCUUGGUUGUUCAAUAUGUAGUUCUCGGCCUGAACCUCUCGAUUUUAGCCUACCAGUACACUGGCCCCCGAGACAGAAAUAUUUUAAGUUUAAACAAAAGUAUUUUGUCUUAAUAUAAUAUAAUCAUUUUGACAUUUGAUUUGAUUUGAUAUUAAAUGCAUUGGUUUUCGUGCUUUAUUUUGCUGAGUUUAAAUGAUUUGACGUGAACUUGCUGUUUUAGCCGUUAGAUUAUAUAUUUUUGAACUGUUUCAUAUUGUUGUAACGUUUCGAAUUCUAGGGUUUAUUUUUGGGUUAUAAAUAGGUUCUUCAUUCAAACCUUUAUGAAUGUGUGUUUUGUUGCUAUUGAAAAAGGGAGCUCAUUUUCAAUCUUCAAUCGGUUCUUGCAAAGGUAAUAUGUCUUUUUCGGGUUUUUCUGCUUCUGAUGAUUUUUUGAGCGCGGGUGAUGAAUCAACUGGGUGAGUGGUUCGAGAAGAAGAUCAUCCAGAUUCGAAGUCUUCAUCUACUACUCCUUCUUGUAUGAACGAUUCAAAUGGAGCUCCGACUAUUAAUGCUCCUCAAGAAUUCGGAAUUGUAUUGCCCCGGAAAAAUCUUCGUGCAGGUUAUCAAUGGGUUAAUCCUAAAGUCCGAGAGUUUUUUUCGAAGUAUCGUUCUGCUAUCGAACUUUGUAGUUUUCUUUCCCAUUCUCAAAUUUAUUAUUCUGACAUUGAAAAUGAUAUUAUUUCUUUUCGGCGUGUUGGGGAUGUUGAUAAUGUUUGCCAUGGUCGAGAGGGUGAUAGCUACGAAUUUUUUUAUUUUUAUGCUUGCUUUUUUAGAGAUCUUCAUAUUCGAUUGCCUUUGAACAACUUUCAAAUAGGCGUUCUUAAUUUCCUUAAUGUUGCUCCUACUCAGCUUCAUCCCAAUGGUUGGGCUGCAAUGCAAACUUUUAGUAUUUUGUGUAAAUUAUUAUCGCUUUCCCCCAGUCCUGCUUCUUUCUUGUACUAUUAUAGCUCUCGACCUAGGAAACGGCUAGAGUGGUUAUCCCUUAUCAGCAAAUCCAAUGUUUGUUUCCUUAAACCUUUUACGUCAUCAAUAUAAGGAUUUUAAGGGAGGUUUUUUCAAAAUUCUAAUAGAACCAGUAGGAAGAGAGUAUUUUUUUGAUGGAGAUUCUCCAAAGUUUCCUCUGUAUUGGACGAGGGAUCCCGUGAAGUUUAACUCAAUAUCGUUUCACUCAAUGGGUGCGGCUGAUCGCCAUGUUAUUGAAGUUUUUAGUCACCUCUCGUACCAGGUUCCCACUCGCGCCUUGCUACAAUUGUACACUUCAUCAAGUCCUCGAGAAGAUCUUAUUGGUACGUGGUUGUUCCACAUUUUCCUGCUUUAUAGGAUGAGUUUUUUAACUUUGCUAAGUUUUUUAUGGAUUUUCAGCUCUGAUGGCAAGCACGAAUCCGAAAGCUCGAUCUUAUUUUUCAAAACUGCUGAACAAGGUAGGUGAUGUAACUCCGCGACGUGAGAAUGUAGUGAAUCCUGUGGUGGAAGUAGAAGUCGUGGAACCGGUUGCACAUGUUGAAGUGGUUGAAGCUGCACGUAAUGUUGAUGUUGCCGGUCCCUCGAAGAAGUCAAAGAAACGAGACAAAAAUAGCAAGAGAUCACAUUCGUCGUCUUGGCGUCAUCGCCAUGUUGAAAAUGUUUCAUCUGAACCUCUUUCUGAAACAAUUUUUAGUGCUUCAACAAAAUAUGCGAAGUUUGUUCAAACUUCUUUUAAUGAACCAUCUUACAACAUGUUAAAAAAUAUGGAUGCUGCUUCAUUGGCGGAUUCUAUUAUCGAAUUGUCAAGUAGAGGUCUGUUGAUUGGAAAGAUGAUGAAAGAGAAAAAUGGAAAUUGUGUGUCUUUAUCUGAGUUUGAAAAAUUGAAGACUGAUCUUGCUGAGUAUAAGAAAAAAAUGAGCUCUUUAUCUUGACAAUUAGAAGAGAUGAAGAAACAGAAAAAUGAAGAAGAAGCUGUAAAGGAAGGCCUUGGAAAAGAAAUUGCUGAAUUGAAGAGUGAAAACUUAAGAUUUGGUAAAGAGAAUGCUCAACUGCUUAAAGAAAAUCAACUUUUGAGCGAAAAGGUAUCGGCAUUAUCCUCUGCAAACGAAGCUGACAAGAACACUAUCAAACUUAUGGAUGAAGAGAUAAAUCAGUUGAAGACUAAUGUUUUUGAAGCCGAAAGCUAUAUCUUUGAACAGCACAACCUUGGUUUUGAGAAGGCUCUUCAACAAGCAAAAUAUUUUUAUAAGAUUCCUAUUGAUGAAGGCAACUUUGAUGUUAAGAAGGAUUUUUAUAAGGGUGAAUUAGUUCCUGUUAAUGAGAUUCCGGACAAUGAUGUUGAAGAUAUUAAUAUCGAGAAUUAGGUGGGCACAAGUUUACUUUGCCGAAAGUGAAAUUGUUUUGGUAUGCUGAUCCGUGUAUGGGUAUUUUGGGAAUGUUGAUCCAUGUAUGGAUAUUUUUGGAAUGUUUUAAUGUAAUCUCUUUUUUGGAACCUAAAUACGUAUAAAGUUUAUUGGUUUCUUUUUAACAGUUAUCUUAUGCUAUGUGUUGGAUACUUUUAUUUUUAUUUCGCCGACUGUUAUUUAAUGUGGUUGUGACCUCUCAGUUGUAUGAUUAAGUGUCGUGAUAGACCUUUCGGUUUUUACCACUAGAUGCUUAAUUUUUUGGUCUGUUAAUUGAAAAUGUUUGAAAUGUUUUAAGUGCUUUAACUUAUACUUCUUAACUUUAGUAUUUUUAAUAUGAUUACGUUUCGGUUUAAGCACUGAGUAUCUUUCGGUAUUUACGACAUUAAGGCACAAGUACCUUUCGGUUUUGUAUGUAAAAGUAUUCCAAAAUAGUGGAUUCUGCGCGAAUUUUGUAACUAUUAAAAGGGAACUUUUAGAAGACGUGAGAAAGCGUUUUUGAUCGAACGUAUAAGAUAAAGUUCAUGUAAAGUAUUAUAAUGGUGGAUGAAAUUUAGACAACCUUAUGCAAUUAAUCUCACAUUUUUAGGUUUUUUAUGCGGUGUAUCAUGCCGUGAAGUAUGACGUAGUAUGCUUUAUUUAAUGUGGUAAUUAUUCGCUAUUUGUGUUUUCGGCAUAGAGUGAGAUUUUUUCGGGUGGGUUUUCACUUAGAGUGAAAUCAUCCAAGGCCGAAAGUUUUGUAAAUAUGUGCUCUUUUGGGUGGGUUUUCACUUAGAGUGAAAUCAUCCAAGACCGAAAAUUUUGUAAAUAUGUGCCUUUUCGGGUGAGUUUUCACUUAGAGUGAAAUCAUCCAAGACCGAAAGUUUUGUAAAUAUGUGCCUUUUCGGUGGGUUUUCACUUAGAGUGAAAUCAUCCAAGACCGAAAGUUUUGUAAAUAUGUGCUCUUUCGGGUGGGUUUUCACUUAGAGUGAAAUCAUCCAAGGCCGAUAAGAUCAUAAGGAAAUACUCUUUCGGGAGGGAUUUCACUUAAAGUGAAAGCAUCCAAGACCGAAAGUAUCAUAGGAAAAUACUUCUUCGGGAGGGAUUUUACUUAAAGUGAGAGCAUUCAAAACCGAAUAAGAAUGCUUAUGCGUUGUGGAAUUUUAGAACGAGUAAGAAUUAAAGCUGACAAGAUGAGUUUUGUUACUUGGUAAUGCUUCUUGAUUAGAUGAUAAGUAUGUACACAAAAGUCUUCCGUUUACAUCUAUUUUAACUAAAAUAGAAUUUUAAAUGACUCGCAUUUCAUGUUCUUGGUAUUACUUUCUCUUACAGAGUUUCUACUCUAUAUGCUCCAUUUUGUAAAUUUUCCAGUACCCUGAAAGGACCUUCCCAAUUGGAUGCUAACUUUCCAUGUCGUGGAUCUUUUCGAGCAUCAGUUCGCAUUCUCCAGACCAAAUCCCCUUCCUUAAAAUCUCUUAAUUUUACUUUUGCAUUAAACCUCUUCAUUGCUCUUCUCUUUACUGCUGCUUCCUUUAUUUUUGCUCGUUCUCUGAGUUCUUCAAUAAGAUCAAGGUCAGUCCUUAAGCAUUCGUUGUUGGUAUUCCAAUCUUCCAUUUGUCUUCGUAAUGUUGGUUCAAUAACUUCCACUAGUAACAUUGCAUCUGUUCCAUACGAUAGGUUGAAUGGUGUUUCUCCAGUUGACGUUUGAGGUGUACACCUAUAUGCCCAUAAUAUCUCUGGCAACUUCUCUGCCCAUAAACCUUUAGCGCUUCCUAACCUCUUCUUUAACUGUCCGAGAAUAACUUUGUUUGCAGCUUCAGCUUGUCCAUUUGUUUCCCCCUUACUUUUGGGCUUUCUUUCUACACCUUUUUAUUAUUUACACACCCCUCAUGCUAGUUUUUAUCUUAAUUGGGCUUUAUUUUUAUAAUAAUAUUUGUAUUUUGUUUUAUUCUUUUAUGUAUAUCUUUUCCGCUUUCGGUCUAAACCUCUCUCGGUUUUAGCCUAACACCUCUUGGUUGUUCAAUAUGUAGUUCUCGGCCUGAAUCUCUCAGUUUUAGCCUACCAGUACAAUAAUAAAUAAUAUUAAAAAUAAAUUAAUAUGAUCAUAAAUAAUAAUACUGAUAAUAGUGAUAAUAAAUAUUAAAAUAAAAAUAAUAACAUAAAUAAUUUUAUAUAAUAAUAAAUAAUAAUAAAAUAAAUAUUUUUGUUAUUAAUCACAAUAAUAAAAGAAUAAUAAUAUUAAUAGAAUAAUAAAUAAAAAUAUUUAAAAAUAGUAAUAACAAUAAAAAUAAAAUUUUAAAGUAAUAAUAAUAUACUAAUAAAAAAAUUAAAAUAUAAAAUAAGAGUAAUAACAUUAUUUUACAAAAUUUUUAAUUUAAAAAAUAAUUUUAAACUAUUACAUUAAUCAAAUUACUUAUAACAUUUUUUCACGUUCUUUCUCAUUUUUUUUUUCUUUUUACUUCUUCAAAUUUACUCUUUCAUCCAAACACAAAACUCUGGAAAGUCACACAUUUGCUUACUGAUCCUCACCAAGACUAACUUCACUUUUUUUCUUAUAUCAAGUAGCAAAGCAAUUUAAUUAUAAGUAUUUUUUAAAUCAUUUUUAGACCCAAUUAUUAUUAAUUUUACCCUGAAAUGAAAGCGAUAAAUUUACAUAAUAAUUUAUAUCUACUGUGUUUUUUUUUCUUCAUACUUUGAUGUGUUUUAUACAUGCAUAUACAAAAAAAAUAUUCAUUUAAAAACUUUGUUAGAAAUAUUCAGGUUAUAGUUUAUAUCAUAAUUCUUUAAAGAAAUUUUAUUCUAACAAAUAUCUUAAAUGAAAAUAUAAUUGCCACCGUUAUACAUAACACUUUUUUAUGAAUUAAAUAACAUAGUAAUGAACUAAAUUUACUUAAUUUUAAAAUACUAAAAAAAUAAAAUGUAUAAUUAAAUUUGUAUAAAAGCAAAAUUAUAUACUUAGGAAAGUAAAAUGAAUCAUAUAAAUUGUCAGCCUUUGAAAAAUGCAACGCAUCCACAUGGGUGCUUCUUCUAUAUUUCUGAAGCCAUUCGUAAUAAAGAAAAGUAGUAAUUAAUUAAUUGCUCACCAAGGAGAAUACUUUUCUCUUCAAAGCUUUAAGGAAUGUUUUGAGUUUUGAAGUAAAAAUUUUGAUUGAAUUUUCUAAUUUGCAAUUUUUUUCCCAAUAAUUAAAUAAAGGAUAUUCUGAAUUUAUUAAUACUUCUAUAUAUGUAAACAUUUUCCAUUUCCAGUUCUAGUAAUUUUGUCAGCUUAAACUGUCACUUUUUGACAUUAUAUAAUAUUGUAGUUUUGAGAUAAUGCAUUUGUUAAUAUACACAGAUGUUUUAAUUGAUACAUUCCUUUAACAAAUUUACAUUUUUUUUUCUAACAUAAUAAAGUACUGUCUCUAAUUCUAAUCUGAAUCAAAAUAAUGUGAAACCAGAUAUUUAAUUUUCAGAAGACUAAAGAACACAGAACUAUGAUUCUUCAACAAUUAUCAGAAACUCGAGUAGUGUCAGAGAAUCCUUAGACAUAUCCUGCAAUAAGGGUAUAUGAAUGCAUUCACAUAACAUUGUGAAUUGAGACAUAAACAAAGAUGAAGGGUAUUGGAUUCUCUUAUUUCAAUUUCCACGUUGAAUUUUCCAUUUAUGAACCGAUCAUAUUCUGGGCAAAAGUAGUUUAAAGUGUGAACAAGGAAAGUUUAUUUGCAGUACCUUAUUUACAUUCUUUAUUCACAAUUUGUACACUUUUCUUUCUCCUUUUCCUUAUUCUUCCAGAAAUUCUGUUUAUCUCCAUAUUUAGAGAUAUGACCUGAAAUGGGGUAAUGGAGUCUAACAAAAUCUUCCCACACAUGGUGCAAGAGCUGCAAAUUGGACAUUACAUAAUAUAUUUUUGUCAAAAACUUCGAGAAGAAAGAGAAUAUAAGCAAUAGUAAGUAAUAGUGCACCUGCAAUAUUUGGCAGCAAAGUCAUUCAUUAUGCUUUCUACACUGGUUUGACAAAACCUGCAACAGUGAUCGCACCACUCCAUAACAGCUUUUGCAAUCAAUUCCAAAGGGUUUACAUAUGCACUCUUCUUUCUUGGGAACCAAGUAUUGAACUUUGACCAGGCAUCAACAUCUUAAUACACGCGUUAUAUGCAUAAAAUACUGACAAUAACAAGUUUCUCAUGGGCUAUAUAGAUAUUUUGAAAUUUAGCUAAAAUUUUAAAAUAAGAAGAUAUCCUCUUUGUUAAAAUCAUGUACUUUAACAAGAAAGAGAGUAUAGUAGACAUGUUAUUCAAUAAGAAUUUUAUUUUACUGGACACAAAUAAUUAACAUUUUAAACAUAGAAUUUCAUAUUUUUAAGAUAUAUAAAAUAUAUUAAAUUUGAAUCAGUAUCAAUUUAUAACUUUUAAAAUGUUUUAUUUUAAUAAGUAAAUUAUAUUUAUUUAAUUUUUAUUUUUAAUUAGAUAUAAUAUUUUAAUUAUGACAAAAUAUGAAAAUUAUUUAAAUAUGAAAUAAUUACUAAUAAUUAAAAAGUAUUAAUAUUGAUAAUAUUCUUUAAACUUUAAUUAAGCUUGUUUGAUUUUUUAACUAAAAAUUGUUAAUUUUUUUAAAUAUUUUUGACAACUUUUUCUUUCAUGAUGAAAUUAUUUUCACUUAAUAUUGAUUACUUAUUUAAUUUUUUAAAUAGUGUUUUAAAUUUUUUACUUUUAGAUGAAAUUUAAAAUUAUUAAAUUUUAGACAAUCCAAUUUUGUUUUUUUAAUUUUUACAUAAACAUCAUAAUUUAUUAUAAAUUUUUAAUUUUUUUAUAAAGGUAAAUUUCAUUAUUAAAAUUCUUUAUGCCAUCACACUAUAAAAAGACUUAAAAUGAAAACAAAAAGUAUGACAACAAAUUACAUGAAACAAUGGAAAAAACAAAUUACAAAAUGAAUAUAAAAUAAUUUUGCAGUCAUUCAAUCACAAACUGCUGUAAUAAGUUCAUAAAACUGAUUAUAAGAUUUAAUAACCUGCAUUUAUAAAACAUUUCCUUGAAGAUAAAUGUUUGACUUCUUCACAUUUAAAUUUAUUAAAACUUACCCAAGGAGAAAUAGAAGAAUAUCUGUGCACAUUUCGUGGAAGAUAAAUAUUCACUUUCAUUAAAGGACUAUCGAAAAAGUCGAAAAAGUCGAAAAAUUCAGUUUCUGAUUGCUCUUUUCUUCCUUUUGGGAUUGGACCAGAUUUUGCAAAUGAAACAUGCAGUCUAAACUAUAUAUAUAUAUGGCACCAACUCGUGAAACCAAAUCAUAUUGUCAGAGUGUGUCGAACAAUGUUUUUGAAAGGACCACAGGGUGUACAUAGUCUAGUGCCAAGUACUGCUACGUUACACGCACUCAACUCCAUGACAAAAUGGUAAGAAAAACGAAGCCUCGUACAACAAUAAUGUCAAAACUGUUAACUGCAAGGACAUUGGAUUCAGAAGAUCUGGACUGAAUUCACAUCACACGGUCAUGUUCCAUCUCCAAAAUGAAGAUUAUGCUAAAGACCUUUGCUUCUUGGAUUUCUUUCCUGAUGUUUGUUCUGAUGAUCCCAUAAUAUAAGACUCCGCAUUUAUAUUUUCUUCAGAUUUACGCUUUCCAAACUUCUCUGUUUUUUUCUGCAGACGUGCCAUUUUUAAUACAAGUGAGAUGAGAUUUAUUUAAACAGAAAAUACCGGUGUGGCAACAAAAGCUUACAAUUUUAACCAGUAAAAAAAAACAUAACAAAAUUCUGGGAGAAACUUGUUACCUUUAAGGACAUUGUAAUGUCAGUUACUUUAUUGUUAGCAUCCUCCGAUUUAUCCACCGGGUUUACAGGCUCCUAAAGAAAGCAAAUAAAAGUUUAACAGAACACCAUGAAGAAGACUAUAAAGUAAAACAAUUUAACAAAAAAUAGUGCAUGUUUGGUUCGCAGUUCGAAUGCACCCAAAUAUUCAUUUGCACUAUCGCGUAGUAACAACAUUUAUGAAUAGGAAAAAGGAUUGAAGGGAGAUGUAACCCCAAACACAAUAAAUAGUGGUGAAUAGAAGAAAAAAUUGCAAAUGAAAUGUUAGUAUAAACCUUGGGUGGGAUAAAGGCCUCGUCUCGUUUCCUUUUGUUUUCAGCAGUUUUUUCAGCCUGUUUCUCCUGCUUCUCUUGCCAUAUCUUCGCCGAUUUUCUUUUGUUAUUUAAAAAGUAUUCUCCAGUUUCUAGUUGUAUAUCAAUCUGAAAUGUCACAUAAAUUACGACAGACGACUUAGAAUUUAUUACGUAAAUUAACAAACAAAAUAUCAGAAGAAUAUAGUGUCAAAAACUUGGAUAUAUACAGAUAAAACUAAAAAAGAAAAAAAAUCAUAUAAGCAUGCCAAAAAAAAGAGUAAUUGUGGAAUUGAUGCUGCUAUCUUAUUUAAAGGUCAAGAAAAGUUCAAUAUAUUCACAAAUCCUAGAUAGUGCACACUUAAGUAAACGGUGAGCAUAUAUCAAUUCCUGAAUAUAAUGCUCGAUAUUGAAUAUUAAUCAUAUUUCAUAAUCACUAUAUGUUUGUUGCCAUUAUUGAAACAACUACAGAGAAAAUAUUAGGUUCUCAGCUUUAACAAAUCAUCGGCAAUUAGGAGAAAAUGGAUUAAGCACCAAUCACAACAGAGCAAGAAAAUGAAGGUAUCAGUAGGGUCCUACUAAGGUAAUUGAGUUUUUGAGCACCAUUAAAUGCAAUUCUUCUUUGAGAACCAUUAGGCAAAUUUAAACAAAAUGGAAUUUAUUUAAGCAUUCAUUUUCCAGUCAAUUCUUUAUUUUGUUGUUGGGUACAUGAAUAGAAGAGACUCUGUACAUAAGUGGAAGAAAUCCAACCAGAUAAUAAAUAUUAGAAGUUGUCUCACCUUGCUGGGCUGUUGUGGUGGAGGGAAUGGAGUGUAUGGUUUCUUCUGUUUAGAGUUAACCUUCUUUUGUUUAACAUUUUUCCUAAAUAAAGAUAUGAAGAGUCAGUGAAACUGAGACCAAGAGUGAGAACUUUGUACAUACAAAUUAUUGAAUAAAAGGCAUACUUCUUGAAUUUUGGAAGGAACCUAUCCCAGUUCUCCUGGGCAAGGGACGGAUCCUUUUCAAGUUCUUUCUUCAUCAUAAGAACCUGACCAAGUGAAAAAAGAGAAUUGAGAUUUUUUUACACCGAAAAUCUGUACCAAAAAAAUCAGCUUGAUGAAAUACAAAUCAUUUAACCUUAAUGUUGUAUACAGGAUGCAUUUUAUUCAGCAUGCAUUCUUCAACGAUCCUUCUGACUUGUUUUAAACCUUUAAAUGAACCCAUAGCAGAAACUGUGUUUCCCUGCAGAAUUGCAUGAGAAAUAGAAAGAAAUCAGCUCUUUCUAGACUACACUCAUAUUAUAGUGCAUGUAAAUGUACAGUCUUCACAUUCAAAACAACGAAGCAAAAGUCAAAAUUACCUGGACGAGAAUGUAGCAGCCAGUGAGUAUUUCAAGAGCCUGCACACCAGUAUUACAGUUGUAGAAAAGUGAGUUACAAAGUUGAAGCCAUCUAUUGAUAGUAGUAUGCAGAACCAUAAAACCGAAGCUAGAAAGUAAUAACAAAGGGGUCAUCCCCAUGCUGAAAAAAAAAUCAAAUCUUAGCAGAAAACAUACCUUCAGGGUGGAAGAAUUGGGACCCAGAAGAUGUUGUCUCCUUUUUACAAAUCGCUCCUGCAGUCAGAAAAAGUGAACUUCCUAGUAUCACACAAAUUUCCUCAAAAUGUUUCAUGACAAACUACAAAAGAUUACAUUAAAGAAUACAAAAUUCAAAAAAAGCGGUUGAGACGGGGGCUUUCACGGCCAGAUGGUUUCAAUGUUUCCGCGAUGUUAAUAAGGAAUUUCUCCUAAAAGUUCUUAGUUUUAUUUCAAUAUAAAGCAUUAAGUGUGCGUUCAAAUCAAUUUUUUUACAGCUUUCGGAGAGAACUGGUGUAUAAGAAUGAUAGGUAUAUCAUCAACACGAAUGAUUAUUGCUCCAAAAGUUGGGUUACUAAAGCAUACAUUUCCAACCGUCACACAUAACAUCACAACAUCAUCGCAUCACAGCAAAUGACCUCUGUCUGUUCCUUCCCAAUCCAAAAGAACUAACCAACACUCAGCCCAAACACAGGACUCGCAGAGGCACUGGUAAUGAAUAUUCAACGAUAAAACAAUAAACAAACGUUCACAAAAUCAUCAGAAAAUACCUUAUUGCGAACCAAGCCACUGAUUUUAAUGAUAUCACAUUGUACUUCAUCGUCAAGUAUUUUUAUCGCCUGGGAACAACGGAAACGACAUUAACAUAACUGAAAUUUGAAAGAAAGAGAGAGAAACAAGAGAAAGGCACACAUAUAAAUAAAUACCUGAGUUGGAGUAACACUUCUUGCGAGAAGCUUGAUGAGAUCCCUGGCUUUGAUGAUAAUAUAGGGGUCUCGGGUCUUUCUGGUGGUUGAAACCGUCAUGGAGCCCUCGACCUGCAACAAUUGAAGGUACAAUUAGGGUUUGAGAAUGAAAGAAAAGGACGGUGGAAGGGGAGUGAGGAAGGGAAGUGCGUACGAGGUUGAGUUCGCAAGCGAUGCCGUAUUGUUUGAGAGCGGAUUUGACAGUAGGCCAUAUUUCUUGGAGAUGCUUUUCGAGGUACUGAGGGAAGAGGGUGGAGAAGGAACUGACUUCGAGCAUGCCACCUUCGUUCCAUGAAGGGUCGAACUUCUCGACCUUCCAGUGGUCGAUGUUAGGGUCAUCGUCCCAUGGCUUCGGUUUAUCGUGCUUCCCCUUUCUCUUCUCCUUCUUCUGCAAUUCUUCCUGCUCCACGCCAUUCUCAUCCUCUUCAAGGUUUUUCAUCGCUGCUACCUCUCCGGUUAUCCCUCUGCAGUUGCUUCCGUUAGGUUUUCGAGUUUGUGUGCGAUGCUGUCUUGUUUCCACCAAAAUGUUCAAGUGCCUUUGGGCCUCCUAUUUUAAGCCCAUUUUAAUGUAACAAAAUAGGCAGUUUCUUCCUGCACCCCUACAUUUUUCUUCCCGCACUCCCACAAUUUUGUAAAUCUUGAAACUGACAUUCACCUUUUAUUUGAAAUCGAGAUUUUUGGAGUGUGUUACAGAUUCAUCAAUCCGGAAGUGAGUUAUGUUGUUUUCUGUAUGAGGAGGUGUUCUGGAAAUAAAGUUUGCAUAAAUUGUUGAUUUCCAGAUUGCUAAAUCUGGAAACCUAAUUUCUAUUAUGGAUUGGUGGAUGCGGAAUGAUUUUUUUCAAUUAUGGAUUUCUGAAUUCGAAAUGCAUAUUUUGAAUUAUGGAUUGACGAAUCUGAAAUAGUUUUUUCAAUUAUGGAUGUUUUGCAUUUUUUUAUUUUGGAUUAACACUAUCAUAAUCCAUAAUGCAAAAAAAAAAAUAUAUAUAUAUAUAUAUACAAUUUUAUAUAGGGACAAUUUUGUCUUUUCAUAACCUUAUGAAGAAACUGCGUAACAAAAAUAAGUAUAUGAUUUUAUAAGUUAAAAAGUGUGUUUUACAUUAUACAAUUUAAAAAUUUGUUACAUUGAUUAUAUGGAAAAAAUAUGUAACUACUGAACCAAAAUAAUUUAGUUUUUUUUAUAUUGAUAAUAAGAUGAUAUUUAGAAUGUAUUUUGUAUGGUACUAAAGGCACAAAUCUUAUAUAAUACUUCUAAUUUAUAUGAUCUUCAAACAAAUAUCUAAUAAAAAUUUAUUAGCAUCCUUCUAAACAUGUAUUUUUUUCUUUUCUUAUUCUUUAUUGAUUCUCAUAUAAUUUUCAAUCAGAUUCCUCAUAACCAUAGUGAAUCUAUAACGCAUUAUUGAAAUUUGAUUAUGUAUGUGUUGUGGUUAUAAAAAAUAUUUUAAAACCUAGCUAGUCAUAAAACAUCACAUAUAAAAACUAAAAAAAUAAUAUUUUCUUAAUUAAACAAUUAUGUAUAGUAAUAAUUAAUAAAUUGAUUUAAAAAAUAAUCAGCAAGUAUAAUAGCAGAAAACUAUUAGUUGGACGAAGAAAAAUGUUUGGAAUGGAAAAGACUCCAUAAAAAAUCAAUUAAAAAAAUAAACUAUUGAAAUCUGAUAACUCUUUUAUAUAUUUUUUUAAAUCUCAAUAUCUCUACAAAAAAUUAUUUACUUAAAAAAUUCUCAAUUAACUAUAAGAAUUUUGUAAAUGAUUAAAAUUUUGAUCGAAUCUCAGUACAAUGUAUAUUUUUUAUUUAAAUUAACUACUUUCACGUCUCAAAUUAAGAUAAUUUUAUUAUUGUAAUUUUUUUAAUCAAAAGACAAAUACUAAAAUGCAUAGUACAGUCAGAAAAUCGAAAGCUAACAUUACAACUUUGCAUCUUUUGUUUGAAAAUAACAAUUUGUAUGCAAAAUUGUUUUGUGGACAAAAGUAUGUUAAAUGUUGAAGAUUGACUAGAGAUUACUGUUUGUUAUACACACAACAAAAUAUUAUGUGUCCACACAUUUAAGGUUAAGCCCACACUAUUCAAAUUUCAUUGUCCCCGGUCUCAAUACUAAGUCCUCACUUUAUUUCUAAUUUUAUUGCCCCCUAUCCGAAGUUAAGUCCACGCUUUAUUUCUAAUUUCAUUGUCCCUCUCUCCAAGACUAAGCCCCACUUGAGUGAAUAAAUAAUAUAAAUUAUAAUUUUGUGUGGGCAACUUGUAGGUUAGACAGACGCAAAAUACACCUAUUGUGACGUUUAUGUGAUCGUCUAGCCAAUGGUAAUUGUGUCCCACACACCCGCCAACUUUUUUGCACCGAAGAUAUUAGCUUCCAAAGUUCGGUAAGCGCAAAGCUCACGCUAAUUACAUCUUUGCGUCCGUUAUUUAUAACUAGUGUCCGCUUUUGACCCAUUCUAAUAAUCAUAUUUUUUGUUGUGUCCUUACAUUAACAUAUUUUAUUUGGGUUAUUUUGUCAUUUUGUAAUUACUAAAACCGUUGACAGAACACUUUUUGAAUUUUGAAAUAUGAAAAUUUAUUUUUUUUCUCUUUCCUUCGUAUUACACUACUCCCUUUUAACUCCUUAUUUUAAGUCACUAACGUACAACCUUAUUAGAAGAAACAAAAAUUAUAUUCGGAGAGUAUAAGAAGAAGGUGAAAAGAGAGAAGUUAUCUUUUUUACAUUCAUUCUUUUUCUUAGUAUGGUAAUAUAUAAGCCAUUAUCUUUGUUGAUCUAAGUUUAGGCAUCAUUGAGAGUAUUUUAACUUCAUGUAAUGUGAUAUGACAUAAAUCAUCAACUCUUACUUUUUCUUUUUUUUAUGUCUUUUCAAAUUGUUUUUUAUUUAAUAUUUCUAUAAUAUGAAAAUGUGUAUAUUUAAUAGUUAUAUAAUAACCGAAACUGUUACCAUAUUUUAAUUUUUUUUAAACAAACAUAACUUUUUAAUUACACAACCGAUUUUGUUUCGGUCACUAAACAACAACUUUGUAGAUAGAGCCACCAAAUCAAUUUCAGUGACUAAUUUUUAUAUGUAUUAUUUAAUAGCUAUUUAAAAUGGUAUUUUGACUUGUUUAUACAAACAAAAUCAAACCUACUUAUAAAUACUCAAAAUUCAAUCAAGCAAAAUAUGAAUGAACUUCAAUGCAUAGUUUAAGAAGAAGUUGUACACAAAUUAAAAGUAAACCAUAUUACACAAUGAAAAUUACAAGUUAAAAGAUUAGCUCAUCUUAUUUAUGCAUGUGUUCACUUUUCUCUUUAUGACUUUUAAUCAAUAGCUCAACAAGGUGCAUAAUUAAUCUAUAAGUGAUUGCAAGAACACAUCAAUCUUAUGCUUUGGAUUUGAAGUUGUGAAUAGAUUAUUUAAAUAUUGUUUUAAUUUGUUUAGAACAAAGAGUCUGAGGAUAAAUACUUUGAUUGUAAAGAAUAAUGUCUAACCGAUAAAGUAACUAAAAGAACAAAAUUCAUAUUUUCGAAGUUAGUAAGAUAUAACAAAUGUAGGGAUAUCGUGAGCGGAAGCGUAACCAAAGAUUAUGAGAAAUUAAAGUAACAAGGAAGUGAAAAAUUUUAGGUGGAAAACCCCUUUAAAUAGAGGUAAAAAUCACCGGCGAGAGAGUCAAAACUUCCACUAUUAUGGUACUGGGAGUACAAUGAAUUCCUCUCAGGCUAAUAGAUAAAUAGCCCCAGAACAAAUUCUCUCUAUAUGGGUUAAACACUUACACACCCAAUAAUAGAAAUAGAGAGUAUAUGAAAAGAGAGAGGAAGCAAGUGUGUUGCUGUUUGUUGUGUGUUACAUUGCUUGAAGGAAGCCACUAUAUACAGUGGUUAUAGGAGACAACAAUAAUAAAAUCAAUUAAUGGUAAGUAACUUCCCUUUGAUGACAAUUAAUUGUAGUAAGAAACCUCCAUUUGAUUACAAUUAAUUGUGGCAAAUAACCUCCCAAUUAUGUCAAGAAAACAGAAAUGUGAGUCAUAACCCACAAUAAAUAUGAAGGAAAAUAAAAUUUUGGUAGUCAUAAUCUUUCAUUUGAAAGUAUCAUUGGGAAAGAAUAGCAACAGCUAUAAGGGUGAAGAUUCCACAGUCAAAUAGUGACUAUUUUUUUUAGUUAAAGAAAUAUAACUUAUGUGUGUACUCAAUUUUAAUAAAAUAUGUUACAUGUUAUUUUAUGUUUCUAAAUAAAUGUCAUUUAAUUUAUGUUACAUCUUUAACUCAGUUAUUUACUGUGAAUAGAAAUGUAUAUAUUUAUGUUCACAAAUGGUGACACAUUGCAUCAAUCCCUCUACUUUAUUUUCAUUUUAUAUAAGAUUAAGUGUGUUUUAACUAUUGAUGACAUACACGGAGAUUUUGUUCUUAUGAAUGGUUUUACAGUAAAAAAAAUGGUAACAAAAUAGUAUAAUUAAUUAGUGACUCUCUUUUCACCAAUCAAACUAUAAUAUUAUACAUGACCUUUCUAAAAAGUUGUAUAAAGUUGUAACACUAUAAGAAAAAAUUAAGAUGUUCAAAAAGGAAAGGAAAGAAAAAUAAAACACAUGUAUAGGUCACUAGAUAUUAUUUUUAUUUUCUUAUUACAGUUUUAGAAAAAAAAAACUAAAGAAGAGGAGAGAGAUAUUAAAUAGAAUACACUCUAGGUAAUAUUAUAUAUAUUUUAGUAUAUAUUCACUUUCUAAAUUGUUUUAAUUAUUUAAAUUUAUAUAUAAUAAUAUAUUUAUUUUAAUUCUUUUUUUUCAUUAAUAUGAUUGAAGAGAAUUUCGCAUAAUCUUAUAUAAUCUUAUAGUUGUUGUAUUUAUGAGAUUCUUAUAAUUUAUUCAUUCUUUUAUUAUAAAUUAUAUAUUAUUAAUAUUUCAUAAAUAUAUUACAUUAAUUUAGUUUGUUAAAACUCAGGAAAGUAAGGAAAGUAGGGAUGAUGUAUCCUAUAAGAAUUAAAAACUCUUUCAAAUAUAAAUUAUAUUUUCUACUUAAUUAAUAUAAAUUCAAUAUAUUUCAUUUUUUUAUGACAUGGCGCACAAUGACAUUGAUUUACAUAUGUGGAUUGAACAAAAUUUUAGGAUUUGUAUUAAACAAAAUUGGAGAAAGAGGAUUAAGGAAGAGGAAGGCGGGGACAGAGGUAAAGAAGGAAGAGAGAUUAGGGUUUGAUAUUGGAGAAAGAAAAUUAAGGGAGGCGGCGAUACCCGUUCACCUUUCACACUCCACGAUGAGAGCAAAAGAUGGGCGAUUUUAUUAUAAACUAUAUCCUAUUAAUGAUUCAUAAAUACAUUACAUUAUUUUUUUUAUGUAGUUUUGGGCGAUUUUAUUAUAAAUUAUAUACUAUUAAUGAUUCAUAAAUACAUUACAUUCUAUUUUUUAUGUAGUUUUUUAAAACUCAAGAAAUUAUGAUGAUGUGUCCUAUACAAAAUUACAAACGUUCCUUGAAAGGUAAAAUAUGUUUUCUACUUAAGUAAUAUAAUUUUACUCAAUUAUUGUUAUAAUUUAAUAAAUUAUUUAUUAACAAAAAUAUUACUUUUUUGGCGAAAAAUUUAAAGACAUUUUGAAUACAAAUAUUUAUUUUGUCUUCCACCUAAACAAGAAUUUAACUGGUCUUAGUCUUUGCAUGCACUUAAUAAAUAACAACAAUUAUGAGAGCAUUUAAUUAGUCAUAUUCAUGUUGUGUAUUAUGCGGAAAAUAUCUAUGACAAAUCAGCUAAAUCAGCUCAAUACUGAUUAACUGAAAAAUGAUACAUAUAUUCUUUAGAUAUACCAAUAUACCUCCCUAUAAUAGGUAUCAUGGAUCAUGCUAUAAAUCAGUUAGUAACUAAUAUUUGAUUGAAUCGGCCCAUCACAACAAUGGUCCAUGAUUAAAACAUUAUAAAUAAACCCUUUACACAAGUGUAAUGUAUGCUUUUAUCAGAUUUAUAAUCUACACUCUUUACACAUAAUACUUACUUUAAGGUCGGAGUACUUUUUUCAGAUCCAUCUCGACCGAGUACAAGGAGGAGACUUGAAGGAAGAAGCAAGGAAGCUACUGACACAUCAACAAUUGCACAAACAAUAUCAGGUACUAUCUAGACCCCUCUUUGUCCAUACAUAUACAAAUACAAAAUCUCGACAUUGUAAAGUAGUGUUCUCUUUGUCCAUACAUGUACAAAUACAAAAUCUCGACAUUGUAAAGUAGUAUUUUCUUCUUUAAAACAUACAUAUAUAAAAAUAUAUGUUAUAAUUUAAAAUAAUAUUUGUAAAAUUGUCAUAUAUAUUUGUUAUGUUUGGAUUAAUAUAAAGUUUUACAAUAAAUAUAAAAUUUAUGAUAAUAUUUAAUAAUAUUUAAAAAAUACAGAUACAUAUAAAUUUAUAAUCAAUUAAAAUAUUAUAGUAUAAAUUUAUAAUAAUAUAUUUAAAAAAUAGAGAUAUACAUAAUUCUAUAAUGAAUUAAAAUAUUAUACUAUAAAUUUAUAAUAAUAUUUAAAAAAUUAAAUACACUUAAAUCCUUUCUGUCUUAAAAAAUAGUUUAAAAAAACUAAUUUAUUUAAUGUUUGUUUAGUUUUGCAGGCUCAUACGGUGAAAGCAAGGUGAUAGAUAUAAACAUUCCUCAAAGAAGAACUGAACUGAGGCAGGAAGAACGAUGAUAUUCUCCCUCGAAACCCUCACCGGGGAUGUUGAUAAAAUAUAAUUGCUUAUAUUUUUUUUUUGGCCCAGUUUGGGUUUUUCUUGUUUGGGCUGUCCAACACGGUUUGUUUUUCCUUUUUAUACCCCCUUUGUAACAUACUUCAUGUGAAUAAUAAUAAUACAUUUUUCUUCUUCUCUUUCCUUUCACGCUUCUUUUCUGUUAUUCUCUUCUCUCACCGCUAUUGGGUUUUUUUUUUUUUUUUCUGGUUCCUCUGUUCUCCCUUUUCAAUCAAGGGUUGCAUAUUCUUUUUCAUCUCUUUUCUCACUUCCGCAGGAUCGACGCCUACCCUGUUAUGGGAUCAGAGCUCUUCCUUUGAAUGCCUUCCUUUUUUUCUUCAUCUUUAUACCUAUUUUCUAUACUUACAUUCCUUUCUUGUUCUUUCUUUCAGCAAUAUGGGGGAGGAACGUUAAGCAAAAUCGGCUACGAUGGAACCAUAUGUAAACAACUACCUUUAUCUUCAUCCUGGUGAAAAUCCCGCGGCUUCACUGGUUUCACUAGUUCUUGACGCGAUGAAUUACCAUUCUUGGAGUAGGUAUAUCAUAACAGCGCUAAGUGCGAAGAAUAAAGUCGAAUUUGUCUUGGGCACCCAUCCCUGCCCAACAACGAGCGAUCCCAACUAUUCAGUGCGGGUCAGAUGCAACAAUAUGGUAUUGUUCUGGUUAGUGCAUUCGAUAUCCCUUCCAAUUAGACAAAGUGUAAUUUGGAUGGAUAUUGUUGUAGAUGUGUGGAAUGAUUUGAAAAACAAGAUAUUCCCAAGGUGAUCUCUCUAGGAUUUUCGAUUUGCAAUUAGAGGCAUCUUCUUUAAGUCAUAAUGAUUUGUCAGUGACUGACUAUUUUACGAAACUCAGAAUUAUUUGGGAUGAGCUUGAUAAUUUUCGACCUAACUUUAUCUGUUUUUGUCAACAUAAGCCCUUUUGCUCUGUAGCCUCUGUUAUUAGUCAAAGAAAAUGCGAGGAUCAAGCCAUGCAGUUUCUUCGAGGGCUUAAUGAUUAAUUCAACAACAUUCGGUCCACGUGCUCCUCAUGGAACCGAUUCCACCUAUUUCAAAAAUUUUCUCUCUUGUGGCACAGCAAGAACGUCAAUGGGCAAGUAAUUUUUUGCUUACAAAUAUUAAUCAUACUAGUGUGAAUCGUAAUUCUGUUGUUAAAUUUUCUUUCUAUGGAAGAUUGGGUCAUGCUGAGAAUGUCUGUUAUAGAAAAAUGGGUUUUCCAAAUCAAGAAAAUAAGAAUUUCAGAUUCAACAUCAAUAGGAAAAUUUGUACUCAUUGUGGUAGGAAUGGCCACAUCAUAGAUACAUGUUACAGGAAACAUGACUUUCCUCCCGGUUAUAAUCCUCCAAAUAGUAGGACUGCUCCUUUGCUUAAUGUUGUUUUAACUGAUGAUAUUCCCUUUAAGAAUUGUCUACAAGAAUAGGAUUAUGGAGACAUGCGUUCUGCCUUCACAACUCAGCAAUAUCAAGUCCUAUCUGCCUUGAUCAAGCAGAAUGCAGCAAACAAUAUUGCGACUCAUCCACCUGUGCAAGUAAAUCAAGUGGGCUCCCUUACUGUUGAUACCAAUCACAAGGAUUCUACAACUGGUAAUGUUACUAUUUCAAAUCUUUAUACUAGUAUUAAAGACUAUUGGAUCUUAGAUUCAGGAGCAACUGAUCAUGUUUGCACCUGUUUGUAUGAUUUAACAUCUUAUAAAAGUAUCAAACAUGUUCUUAUCAGUUUGCCAAAUAGACAUCGUUUCUAUACUAGUUGUUCUGGAACUGUGACUUUCAGUAAUAAGUUUUACCUAAAUAAUGUUUUAUAUGUGUCUGAAUUCACUUUUAAUUUGAUUUCCGCUUCCAAACUUGCUUCUAAUUUGAACUAUCACUUGAUUUUCUCAUCCAAGGAUUGCGUGAUACAGGACAAUGUAACGAAAGAGAAGAUUGGUACAGUUGAAGCCAAAGAUGGCUUGUAUAUUUUUCAUGCUUCUGUUUUUCAAAGACAUACCACAAACAAAUUUGUUUCUUCUUUUCAUUCUAUUUUGAAAGAUACUAAUGUGUGGCACAAUAGACUGGGACAUCUUUCUGAUGAACGAUUGCAUGUUUUGAGAUCUCGAUACUCUUUUAUUUCUGCCCAUAAACCAUAUCUGUGUCAUACUUGCCAUAGAGUAAAGCAAAUAAAACUUUCGUUUUCUUUAAGUGAUUCCAUUACUUCUAAAUUUUUUGAGAUUUUACAUAUGGAUAUAUGUGGUCCUUGCUCUGUUAUUUUUAUGCAUGGUUUUCAGUAUUUUUUAACCAUUGUAGAUGAUUUUUCUCGCUAUACUUGGGUGAUUCCUAUACGCAUAAAAUCUGAAGUCAUAAAUCACAUAACUAAUUUUUUUUAUCUUAUGUUGAAAACCACUGUCAAAAUUAUACGUUCUGAUAAUGGGGCUGAAUUUGCUAUGACAAAUUUGUUUUCUUCAAAAGGCAUUAUUCACCAAAAAAACUUGUAUAGAAACACCCGAACAAAAUGGUAUUGUAGAACGCAAACACCAGCAUAUUCUUAAUGUAACGCGUGCUUUGCUUUUUCAAGCUAAUUUACUUUCUAUUUUUUGGCAUUUCGCUGUUUUACAUGAUGUUCUUCUCAUCUAUUGUAUUCCUACUCCUUUGCUGCAGAACAUGACCCCUUAUGAAAAAUUAAAUGGUACUUUGUAUGAUAUCUCAUCUUUACGUAUUUUUGGUUAUCUUUGCUACUCUAGCACUGUUACUUCUCACAGAAAGAAACUAGAUGAUAGGGUUGUAUCUAGUAUUUUUCUUGGCUUUCAACCACACACUAAAGGUUAUCUUUUUCUUAAUCUUCAAAAUCAUAAAAUUAAGAUCUCCAGACAUACUGUUUUCUAUGAACAUCACUUUCCUUAUAAAAUGAAAGGUGAUGAUAAUGAGGGUCCCAACAAUUUAUCUUUGCCUGUUCCUCAAUCUUAUGUUUCCACCUAUGAUUUUUUCUGUGACAAUAACAACACUGCCACUAAGACCAUGAUUCCCACUGAAACUGCGGGACAUAACUCGCCACAGAGGUCCACUCGGGUUAGGAGAACUCCUACCUACCUUACAGAUUUUCAUACUGACAUGCCAUAUGCAUAUACUGUAAGUUCUAAAUACCCUGUUAAUAAUUUUGUGUCCUAUCAUGCUCUAUCUUCUAAUUUUCAACAUACUAUUGCUUCUUUUUCUUCUUCAACUGAACCCCAAAAUUAUGAGGAUGCUUCCAAACAUGACUGUUGGAAAGAAGCAGUGGCAAAAGAACUUACUGCUCUCUCUGCAAACAACACUUGGACACUGAUACCCCUUCCCUUGGGAAAGAAAGCCAUUGGUUGUCGCUGGGUGUACAAGGUAAAGCAUAGAUCAGACGGUACAAUCGAACACUACAAGGCACGUCUCGUUGCAAAAGGAUAUGCGCAACUUGAAGGGCUAGACUUUCUCGAUACUUUUGCUCCAGUUGUAAAGCUGAGCACCUUACGCUUGCUUCUCGCCCUUGCUACAUCACACAAAUGGUUUCUCAAACAACUGGAUGUUAACAACGCCUUUCUACAUGGAGACCUUCUUGAAGAAGUGUACAUGAAGCCACCUCCUGGAAUUGAUGUCCCUAAUCCACACAUUGUUUGCAAACUGCAACGUUCGCUCUAUGCCCUACGCUAAGCAAGUCGGCAAUGAUAUGCCAAACUAUCUCAAUUCUUACUUACUAAUGGUUAUGUUUUGUCUGCUGCUGAUCAUUCGUUAUUUAUAAAAACGCAAAACACUCACAUAACUGCUCUUCUUGUGUAUGUUGACGACAUCGUCCUUACUGGAAAUAAUUAUGAGGAAAUUACUCACAUCACUGUUGCAUCAACAUUUCAAAAUAAAAAAUCUGGGUGACCUAACUUUCUUUCUAGGACUUGAAGUAGCCCGCAGCAGUACUGGUAUUCACCUUUCACAACGGAAGUAUACCAUGGACCUCCUACAUGAGACAGGGAUGCUUGACUGUGCACCUGUCCCAACAUCCAUGGUUCAUUCUUCGCAACUUUCAAGUACUCAAGGUGAUCUCCUAGCUACUGCAGAAUCCUCUUCAUACCGACGCCUAAUAGGAAGACUCAUCUACUUGACCAACACCAUACUGGACAUUGCCUUUAGCGUGAACAAACUGAGUCAAUUUGUUUUAGCACCUACAACAAUUCACCGUCAAGCCGCUUUUCGCAUUCUUUGAUAUCUCAAGAAUGCACCUGGUCAUGGUCUAUUUCUGCCAGCAGCAAGCACUUUUCAACUCAAAGCAUAUAGUGACUCAGAUUGGGCCACUUGCCCCGAGACAAGAAAAUCUGUAACCGGCUUCUCUAUUUUUCUUGGUGAAUCACUCAUUUCCUGGAAAUCCAAGAAGCAACAAACGAUCUCUAGAAGCUCUUCAGAAGCUGAAUAUAGAGCGUUAACUGCAACCACCUGUGAGAUCCGAUAGUUAACCUACUUAUUACAAGACCUCCAUAUUCAUUUCACCCAACCUACCAUCCUUUAUUUUGACAACCAGUCUACAAUACAUAUUGCAUCCAAUCAGGUUUUUCACGAACGAACCAAACAUAUAGAGAUCGACUGCCACCUUGUUCGGGACAAACUCAAUUAUGGACUCAUCAAAAUACUCCCCAUCUCUUCCUCAAUGCAAAUUGUCGACAUCCUCACAAAGCCUCUCCCUCCAUCUACCUUCAAUGUUCUUCAAUCCAGGCUGGGAAUGAAGAACCUGUACUUCCAGCUUUAGGGGGGGGGGGUGAUAAAAUAUAAUUGCUUGUAUUUUUUCUUUUUGGCCCAGUUUGGGUUUUUCCUGUUUGAGCUGUCCAACACGGUUUGUUUUUCCUUUUUAUACCCCCUUUGUAACAUACUUCAUGUGAAUAAUAAAAAUACCUUUUUCUUCUUCUCUUUCCUUUCACGCUUCUUUUCUGUUAUUCUUUUCUCUCAUCGCUAUUGGGGUUUUUCUUUUCUAGUUCCUUUGUUCUCCAUUUUCAAUCAAGGGUUGCAUAUUCUUUUUCAUCUCUUUUCUCACUUCCGCAGGAUCGGCGCCUACCCUGUUAGAUGCCCCCUCGACCCCGCCGUUGAAAAGCAUCCGACUUUGGGUUUUGCGGAGGUAGAAACCGUUGAAAUGAUUGAUGGAUACGAUGAGGCGGUGGUGGUGAGUACCAAUUCAGAACCUUUCUUUGUGAGAAGGCUUCUAAAAGAAGCCCUUGGAAACGACAUUAAUGAUUUGAAGUUGUUAGUGUUCACGGUCCAUCGAGUGGUUCUUGAAUAUGGGUUUGUUAGAAUCGACAAGGAUUCGAGUACGACGAUUAGCUGUUUUCACUCUCUUGAUGAUUCUCCUUCUCCGUUUUCUUCAAUGACAUCGUUGAGGUAUACCCUGCCUCAGAUUUUGGUUGAUGGUGGUUCUCAUAGUGUGAAUUUGAAGUUUCAGACACUGGGACAUUUUGUGAAUGUCUGUGGGGGUUGUCCAAUGAUUCUAGUUCGAGGUUGCACUAUGUUUGUUGGAAUAAAAUUAAAUAUAUUAUAUAAGAAAAUUGUAUGUAAGAAGAUGGUAAAAAGAAAGAAGAAGUUUUUAUUUGCUUAUGUGUAUAUUUGCAUCACUUUAUGUAUAUAGGAAAUAUAUACUAGUGUAGGGAGACUUUCUCUUAAUAUGUUAGGCCAUUGAAGUUGAUGGUGGCAAACGGUGAAUCUAAAGGCAGUGAUGGGAAAGAAGUUUUUUACAUGUUGAAGAUGGUGAAAGAUAGGGUUGCAUUGCCACUGUUGAUUGAUGUUUGUGAAAAGGGUGGAUUGGAUCUUCCACCUUGUUUCGUGAAGUUACCGAUGGAGCUUAAGGGCUUGAUCUUGGAGUGUGUUCCUGGUGUUGAUUUGGGCAAAGUAGCUUGCACAUGUUCAGAGUUGCGAUUCAUGUGCAGUAAGAAUGAGUUGUGGAAGAAGUUUUUGGAGGAGUUUCGAGAAGAGAGUAGAGAGUUUGAUUUCAAGAAAUUGUUUGUUCUGUUAUGGAGAUAUAAAUAUUACCCUGUUCCAUUCCCCUUUCUUAUUUGUAACAUGUCUACCUUAAUUUUUUUUUCUAUUUUAUUUUUAUAACAAUAUUUGAUUUUAUUUAUUAUUAUGAGCAUUUUGUCAUUUUAUAUUUUUCAAUUUAUGUACUGUACGAUAUGAAUGUUCAUGUGUACCCUUUUUUAUGAUAUGCAGUUUCUGUUUAAUUUUAUUCAUCAUAUUUCUUAAUUAGAUUAUGCAAAUUUGAUAUUUAAUGUCAAUUUUGUGACAUAUUUUGCACUACAUUUCAUAGCUUUUUUCUUUCUCAUUGUUUUUCUACAAGUUGGAUGAUUUUCAGAUUGAUAAUGCUUUUGUCGCAUGUUUUCUUCCGCAUUGUAUUUAACAGGGAUGUUAAUGCUGUCAGAUUCAAACACAAAGUAUUGUACAUAGAGAAAUAAAAAAAAAAAACAAACUUUUGACGCGUGUCACUGCCACAAUUUUUGAAAAUUUUACACGUGACACUAUUUGGCACUUCCUGAGAGUUUAUCGAAACAAAACGGGCCCAAAUUCUUUAGCUGACCCAAAAUCGAAUGAGGAAAAAUUGGAGCAAUUAGGGUCGUUUGUGUUGUUUUGGGUGUGUUUAGGCAAGUGUUUUUCCAUAAUGUGGAGCAGAAGAAUAGCAAAGCUCCAUUUCAGGUAUUCCUUUUUGAAUUUGAAUUGCAAUUUCGGAUGAGUUCUAGUGCCUUCUCAAAUUAUUUAAAAUCUUAAAUAAAUAUAAAUCCUAAAUUAUUUAAUGUCACACUUAAAUAAAAAAAUGUUAAUAAAAAAUUCCUAAAUUAUUUAAAAUUCUAAACAAAUACAAAUUCUAAAUUAUUAAAUGUAGUACUUAAAUAAAAUUUUGCAAUAAAUAAAAUAUUUAAAUUAUUUAAAAUUAUAAAUAAAUACACAUCCUAAAUUAUUGAAUGUCAUAUUUAAAUAAAAAUUUACAAUAAAUAAAAUUCCUAAAUUAUUUAAAAUUAUAAAUAAAUACAAAUCCUAAAUUGAAUGUCAUACUUAAAUAAAAAUUUACAAUAAAUAAAAUUCCUAAAUUAUUCAAAAUUAUAUUUUUAUACGAAAUAGUGUAAGAAAACGCGUCAAAUAAAUCAACAAAAUUUAGAAUGGAAUAGAAAAAUUUAUGUAUGUUAAAUGACUUCAAAGGAGGCGAUAAGAUAGUUUUUGAAGCAAGGGUUAACAUACCAAACAAUGUUUUUACAUAAUUAUUUAUUGUUACUUAUUUUUCUCAAAAUUUAUGUUAGUUUGUUGAUACUUCGAACAAUUUAUUUAUGGUAUAAUUACCUUAUCCGUCCCUACUUUCUGGGACAAUAGUCAAUUUAGUAUAGUGGUUUUUAAAGGAAUUAAUUUCGUCCCCAUGUUUAUUUAAAUGUAUGCAAAAUGGUUCUUUUUGUUAAGUCGCAACAAACGGCGUUAAUUGUUGCUUGUGUGGUAGAGAGAAGUGUGAUUGGAUUUAGUGUGAGGUGUGAGAUUUAUUUUUCUCAAACUUGAUGUCAGUUUAUUGAUACUUGAAAAAAAUUAUUUAUGUGUAUUAUUCAUGUUUAUGCAUUUUUAUAUUAAUUUUAGUGUGUUUAGUUUUUUAUUUAUUCAGAUAUGCUGAUGUUUAUUUCUUAUAUUAAAAUUAUUUAAAAUUUUAAAGAAAUACAAAUCUUAAAUUAUUAAAUAUCGUACUUAAAUAAAAAUUUGCAAUAAAUAAAAGACCUAAAUUAUUUAAAAUUUUAAAUAAAUACAAAUCCUAAAUUAUUGAAUGUCAUACUUAAAUAAAAAUUUACAAUAAAUAAAAUUCCUAAAUUAUUUAAAAUUAAAAAUAAAUACAAAUCCUAAAUUAUUGAAUUUCAUAUUUAAAUAAAAAAAUAGAAUAAAUAAAUUUCUAAGUUAUUCAGAAUUUAAAUUAAUACAAAUUCUAAAUUAUUUAAUGUCGUACUUAAAUAAAAUAUCCAAAAUAAAUAAAUUUGUUAAAUUAUUUAAAAUAUGAAUAAAUAAUAUUUCUAAAUUAUUAAUGUCCUACUUAAAUGAAAAUUUGAAAUACAUAAAAUUUCUAAAAUAUCAAAAAUCUUAAAUAAACACAAAUCCUAACUUAUUUUAUCUCAUACAUAAAUAAAAUGUCAAAUUUUUAAAAAUUGUAAAUAAAUACAAAUUCAGAAAUUAUUUUAUUUUGUACUUAAAUAAAAAUUUAAAAUUUAUAUCUACAGUUGUCUAUCUAUAUUUAUACUUAAUACAUUUUAAGGGAAUCUAUAUCUAUAUAUAUACACUUAAUUUAUCUAUAUCUAUCUAUAUUUAUACUUAAUAUAUAUAUAUAUAUAUAUAUAUAUAUAUAUUUCAAGGGAAUACAAACAUAAACUUUUGACAAAUUGGAGUAAUUAGGAUUUCGUUUGUUUGUUUUGGGUGUGACUGGGCAAGUGUUUUUCCAUAACGUGGAGCAGAAGAAUUGCAGAGCUCCAUUUCAGGUAAUUUUUUUGAAUUUGAAUAGUGAUUUCGGAUGAGUUCUAGCGCCUUUUUUUGUGUUUUAGGUGUGCUUGCCCAAGUGCUUUUCAAGUCGUGCAGAAGAAUCCUAAACCCUAAAUCAUUUAAGGUAAUACUUUUUGAAUUUGAAUUGCGAUUUCACAGAGAAUCUCAUUAUUGUUUUCCAUCGAAUUUCUGUAUUGUCUGAUAUGAAUGUUCAUGUGCGUCUUUUUUUAAUGAUAUGCAUCUGCUGUUUAAUUUUGUUCAUCAUAUUUCUUAACUAGAUUAUGCAAAUUUGAUAUUUAAUGUCGAUUUUGUGACAUGUAUUCUACACUACAUUUCAUAGCUUUUUUCUUCCUCAUUCUUUUUCUGCAAGUUGGAUGAUUUUCAGAUUGAUAAUGCUUGAGAGGUCAACCAAGCUUUUUCAAACUCUUUUAAAAAACCACUAAGUGUAAAAUAAGUUGUUUUUUUCACUUCUUUAGAAAACACUCUUUUUUCAAAAUAACUUCAUUCAAAUAACUUUGGAUCAUAACUAAGAGUGGAUUUACAAAUUCAAACUAGCCAGAACCCACACAUAAGCAACAACAAAAUCUUCAAGCAUUCCAUACAAAUUUGGAGACAUCAAAGCCAAUUUUCAACAAUAUUCUCAUUCUCUUCUAAAUUUUAUUUCUUAUUCUCACUUCUCUUCCUAAAUCUUUUAUUACAAACAAGUUCUUCAUUCUAAAUUUUGUGGUUGUGGGUUGGAUCAUGGAAUUGAUGAUGGUUUUUUGGUUUAGCAGAAGGGCAAAUGACUCUAUGUUCCCUAUAUAUUUAAAUUGCACCCCAUAAAUUUAAAUUACACCCAUAUAAAUUAAAAUUCUAAUUUUACCAAAAUGUAUAAUUCAUAUAUUAUGUAUGGUGAACUAAUUUUGAUAAAUUAUCAUACAAUGUAUAUUAAUCACAUUACACUAUCAAUAUACUACCUAUAUAACAAAUUACAAUUGAAUAUUUUUCAAUCAAGUCACAGAAUCCUCAAUCAUAUAGUAAUUUGUCACACAAUGUCUUAUUUGUCACGCUUAAUGUCUUCUAAAAGAAUUGCAUAAAGCAUCUCUAACCAAACCAACAUCAAUUUUUUUGUUAAAAUGAUUAUUGGAAAAACUUAUAAAUUUUAUUUAUUUUAAUUUUUUAUUUAAGUAGGAAAUAAAAUAAUAAGAUUAUAUAUUCAUUUAGGAUUUUGAAAAAUUAUAAAUUUUAUUUAUUUGAGAUUUUUAUUUAAGUAUCACCUAAAAUAAUUUAGGAUUUUGAAUAAUUUAAAUUUUUUAUUAAAAUAUUUAUUUAAGUAAAAAAUUAAAUAAUUUAGAUUUGCAUUUAUUGAAUAUUUUAAAUAAUUUAAGAAUUUCAUUUAUUUUAUAUUUUUAUUUAUGUAUGAUAAUAAAUAAUUUAGAAUUUUUAUUUAUUUAAGAUUUUGAAUAAUUUAAUAAUUUAAUUUAUUUCAUAUUUUUAUUUAAGUAGAACAUUAAAUCAUUUAAUUUUUGUAUUUAUUUAAGACUUUAAAAAUUUUAGAAAUAUUAUUUAUUUUAUAUUAUUAUUUAAGUAGAGAAUAAAAUAAUUUAGGAGGUGUCUUUAUUUAGGAUUUUAAAAUUUUUAAAAAUUAAUUAAUUAAUAUUUUUAUUUAAGAAUGACGUUAAAUAGUUUAGGAUAUGUGUAUUUAAAAAAUUUAAUAAUUGAUCCAAAAGAGUGAUUUUGGGUCCUUCAUUGGGGUUAUGGAUGAGAAAUUUUGUUUUGGAAGAAUUUCAUUUGAAUAAAAAAAAUGUUUACAAUAUGUGUUCCUGCUAGGGAGAUGAGAUUUAGAGAACGGUUGAAGUCUUCUUCUCCUUCCUUCGGACGGUCAAGUUGCUGGGUAGUGAUCCGGGAUUCUUCUCGUCCUUUCGCUUCCUUCGGCGCUCGGCGCUCGGCACUCGAUCUCGGGUGAACACCAGAUGGUGGGGGUACCUGCGAAGGCACUCCGACGCUCAAGUCAGUAAAACGGGUGAUGGUGCUAUGGUAGGUGAACAGUAAUAAAUGACGUACCUUACUCCUUGGAAUGCGUGCUAUUUAUAUUAUUCUAAUGGGCCUACCUUGUUGGACCCGUUUAUCGAGGUGGAUACUGCUUAGGGUUGUAUUACCUAAUUCUUAAUGAUGGAUUAACUUCACUGACCUUGGUUUGAGCGUUGAUGGUAAUCAGGGUGGGCCGUCGGCCAAGUUCCACUGGUAUGAGCCGGCAGUCGGCCAGAUUUCUCCGAUCUCGGUCGUCUUGGCCAGAUCUUCUUAGGUCUCGGCCAAGUGGGUCGUCGGCCUCGUCCUUCGGCCAAGUCUCUAAAGUCUCGGCCGACUUUCCUUUGGUCUCGGUCAGGUUGACCAGGUCUCGGGCAGCCAGGUGGGCCUCGGGCAGGGAGACCAGGGGUGGGCCUUGCCCAUACCGGUACACUUGCCCCCCAGGCUCGAGGGCAGGUGUGUUAGAUGUGCCCGAUGAGUUUUCAAUGAUGGUGUUGGUCGGUCUCCCUUGGUCGUGCGGUUGUUUCGUUUUUCGAGGUAUGACGUGACUAGGUGGCGUGACAUGACCUCAGGCGGCGUGAGGUGAUGUGCAUUGAUGAGGGGUUUUUUUGGGCGGAAAAGCUCGUGGACCGUUAUAUUUAAGAGAUCUAACGGUUGAGAUUGGUCCGUCGUUUCGAAUUCUGAGGCCCAUGGGCCCUAUAAAUAGGGGUCCUCUACAAUGUCGAACCCUUGUGCUUUCUUUGUUUGAGUGAACUGAUAGCCGAGUGAUCUCUCGCCCUUUGCUCCGAUAGCCGAGUGACCUCUCGCCCAAACUCCUUUCUUUUCCAAAAAGGUUAGUUAUGUCGAGCCCAUCUCGACCUACGUCUUCUUCGUCCGGUCGAACCUCUUCUCUUCUCGCUCGCCCUCUGUGCCUUGUCGGUCGUCCGAUUUCCCCUGUCGGGCAAUCCUCUUCCUCUUCUUCUCUUUCUUCUCUUUCCUCUUCUUUUGUCGUGCCGGAGGCUGAUCGGGGCCUACGCUAAAUCUGGGCGUUGGGCGGUGUCCGGGGUAUGGGUUUUCACUUUGUAUUUUGUCGGUCGGUUUUGUUUCGUUUCUAACUUGGCUUUUUGUUUAUUUGCAGAAAUCAUGGUGCAAGAUCGACCAACUGGUGUGAGAGCCCUCGACGAGCACCAGCUGCGGGCGGCCGAGCGAAAGGGUCGCCGGAGUAUCGAGGUGAUGCCCACCCAGAAGGGGUCGUCAUCUCAACCUGAGAAGGCUCCGACCGGUCCUUCCCAGAAGUCCAAGAAGCGCUCACGGGAGAGCGGAAAUAUUGCAACUACCAUGUGCUCCCCUGGGUCUAUGCCGACGCCCCCUCCUCCCCGAGAGGUGGUCGUGGCGGGUAGUUCUUCUCCUAGGCGUGCGGAGGGCGUGUCUGGGUCUGUCGAGGCCGGGGGUAGGCCAUCGGCCCUCGAUCUCUUGAGGGGUGGCUUACAAUUCACGCGAAGGGUUCGCGUAGCAAUCCCCGAGGAGACUCGGGAGUCAAUCCGGACGGUCUCCCCCACGGAUUUAUUAAGGAGCGUCCUGGAGCUCCUAUGCCGCUCGGUCGUUCUCUUCGAGCAGGGCAUGCAUGGUCGGGACCGCCGUGCUGAGGAGGUGUUCUUACUGGAGCAUCAGUUGACCGAGGCCUCCGACAACCUGAAACAGUCGUUGGCUACAAAGAAUGAGCUUUCGGCCAAGAUUGCUCGGGAGGGGCAAAAACUUGAUGACUUUUUACGGCAAGUGCACCACGUUUGUCAGAAGUAAUAAUUGUCCCUAAGGACGGAUAUCGAUCCCACAAGGAACAGUAAAUUAUCAAGUACAAUAUUCACUAAAUAUAACAACAUAACAAUAAAAAGAGUUUAGAAGUAAUUGUGUUGGCACUGAUCAAUAAGAAAACAAACAAAGAAUUAGUUGCUUCAAUUGGAAAAAUAGGGAUUAGGUUUCAUCUCUCUCACUCUCAUGUAUUUUGAUUAGCAUGUCAAUAUUAAGUUCUUUAAUUGAAAUUGAUGCCCGUAUAAAAAUCAUUUAUAUCGAUUCCUCGCAUAUAAAAUCCUUAAGAAUGUUUCCUAACUAUCGAUCCCUCGCAUAAUUAUAAUAACAACUUAGAACGAAGCUCAGACGUUAAUAACAAUUAACAUUUCAAGUCUAUCCCUAGCACUCAAAUAUGCUAAGUAUUGUUGUUUAGGUCCAAACCCUAAAAAUACCUCCGGUCAGAUUUAAGAUUCUCAAUUUGUCACGAAAACUUAAAAGUAAAACAACAAUACCAAUAAUCAAUCAAGAACUGAAUAUUAAUAUAUAAGAUAUCACCACAAUACAUAAGAGUUUGAGCAGAUUACUCCCAAUCCCAAAGGGUAGAAUUAGCCACGCAUACUUCUAGCACCUUCUAUUCUCUCAAUUGGGUUAUAAUUCACUCUAUGGUGUUUUCCUCCCAAUCUGGCACACUAAGGUUGAGCCUCUAGCCCUCUAUUUAUCCUAGUUUUCUAGGGUUAGGUUGUUUAUUGUGUCGCGCUAAUGGGCUAAAUGAUAAAACAUAAAAAAGGCCCAAUCUUUCUUUGCAUCUUUUUCCAUUUUGGGACCUUCUAUCUUUAUCUUUUUAGCUCAAAUCAUUCAUCUUUAAUCCAAAUCUUCAAUCUUCCUUAUAAAUAUGCAAUUAACACCAAAUUUGGGAAUAAAAUACUCUCAUUCAAAUAAAGAUCAUAAAAAAUGUAAAAAGGUAUAAAUUCAUAAAUUAGGGAUUAUUUUAUAUAUAAAUUAGCAAUAAAUCCUCAUAAGUGCCUAUAUUUUAAUAUGAAAUAUUACUGAAAUUAGACACUUAUCAAGGGGACCGGGAGGGAAAUCACCCAGAGGGAGGCUGUUGAGGCAAAGCGGCUCCUGGAGGUGGAGAAGGUCGAUAGGCUGAGGGGGGCGGCUGAAAAUGCAUAUCUGAAGAAACUGGUCGAGGAAAAGGAUGGAAAACUCUCGUCCUCGGCCAUGGAGCUGGCCGCCCUUCAAGCUGCCAAGGAGGAGGUCGAGGCGGAGCUUGACAAAAAUUAUGAAGACUCGGAGGAGCUCCUCAAGCAAUGCUUCGACCGAGUUGUGCGUCAGGCCCACGUUCAUUAUGGCGGGCCGCUGGCCUUUGAUGACUUUGAUAUAGAUUAUGAGGUUUACCAGGGCCGGUUGGUUCCAAGCGCAGAGGUGGGGGCGUUGGUGGCACAAGAGGCUCAAGUGGCCGAGACCCAAGAGGGGGAGGCCGAGGCUCGAGAGGAGGGGGCUGAGGUCGAGGAGGGAGAGUGCGUAGAGAUACAAGACUAGGUUUUCCCUUGGCCGGGGUGUGGCCUUUUCUUGCUUUUUAAUUUCCUCCGAGGCCGGGGUGUGGUCUCUUUAUUUUGCUUUUUGAUGCAUCGCCCAACUUUUGUUCAAUAUAUCGUCCAAAUUUCAUUUCAAAUUACCUUUGCAUGAAAAUUUACAAGUUAACUAAUCGGUCUUUAAAUGAUUCGGGCGACCGGCCCUACUUAUUGUGAUGUUAGUCGAACAAGUAAAUCAUGGGCGAUCGGCCGCUAGUUGCGAAUGUUAAUUCGAGCAAAUAUGAGUUGGCGUUCGGCCAUUGAUUGUGCCGUUAAUUCGAACAAGUAUAAUUUGGGCGUUCGACCAUAAUUGCGAUUGUUUAAAUCGGGCAAGUAUAAUUUGGGCGUUCGACCAUAAAUUGCGAUUGUUUAAAUUGAGCAAGUGUAAUUUGGGCGUUCGGCCAUAAAUUGCGAUUGUUUUAAUCGAGCAAGUAUAAUUUGGGUGUUCGACAUAAAUUGCGAUUGUUUUGAUCGAGCAAGUUUGGUUGGCGGUUGACCACUGCUUGCGAUGUUAAUCGAGCAAGUUUGGUUGGCGGUCAGCCAAUACUUGCGAUGAUAAUGGAGCAAGUUUGGUUGUCGGUUGGCCAAUACUUGCGAUGUUAAUCGAGCAAGUUUGGUUGACGGUCGACCAAUACUUGCGAUGAUAAUCGAGCAAGUUUGGUUGGCGGUCGGCCAAUACUUGCGAAGUCAAUCGAGCAAGUUUAGUUGGCGGUCGACCAAUACUUGCGAUGUUAAUCGAGCAAGUGUGGUUGGCGGUUGGCUAAUACUUGCGAUGUUAAUCGAACAAGUGUGGUUGACGGUCGACCAAUACUUGCGAUGUUAAUCGAGCAAGUUUGGUUGGCAGUCGGCCAAUACUUGCGAUGUUAAUCGAGCAAGUGUGGUUGGCGGUCGGCCAAUACUUGCGAUGUUAAUCGAACAAGUGUGGUUGACGGUCGGCCAAUACUUGCGAUGUUAAUCGAGCAAGUUUGGUUGGCGGUCGACCAAUACUUACGAUGUUAAUCGAGCAAGUUUGGUUGGUCGGUCUCGGCAGGGUAUGCCGAGCCGAGAAGUUGUAGAAGAAUAGUGCCAACACUUUGACGAGAACGCCUCGUUAAACCCUCCCUGGUUGGGUGAGGAAAGAAUGCGUAAUUUUAUUGACUUUAGCUGUAAUAGAACUUGAGGUGCGUGGCAUUCUACGUCCUCGGUACAAUUUUGCCUGAAAGCCAUUCUAAAUGAUAAGCUCCCCCCGUGCGACUUCUCGGACUCGGAAAGGCCCCUCCCAGUUUGACGUGAACUUCUCUUCAUUCUUUUUCGCAUUGCUGCGCAUUCUCCAGACGAGGUCGCCCUUAUGAAAACUUCUUGGCCGGACCUUUGUGUUGUACCGUCUGGAUGCCCGGACUUUGCAGGCGGCCUCCCGGAUUCGGCUUUUCUCACGAAAUUCACUCACCAGAUCGAGGUUGACCGCUAGGCUUUCCUUGUUUAGGGUGAGAUCGAACAUCUGCUGUCGAAUGGUGGGCUCGACCACUGAUGACAUUUUACGGCAAGUGCACCGCUUUGUCAGAAGUAAUAAUUGUCCAUAAGGACGAAUAUCGAUCCCACAAGGAACAAUGAAUUAUCGAGUACAAUAAUCGUUAAAUAUAAAAAUAGAACAAUUAAAAGAGUUUUGAAUUAAUUGUGUUGGCACUGAUCAAUAAGAAAACAGACAAAGAAUUAGUUGUUUCAAUUGGAAAAAUAAGGAUUAGUUUCAUCUCUCUCACUCUCUCAAGUAUUUUGAUUAGCAUGUCAAUAUUAAGUUCUUUGAUUGAAAUUGAUGCCCGUAUAAAAAUCAUUUAUAUCGAUUCCUCGCAUAUAAAAUCCUUAAGAAUGUCCCCUAACUAUCGAUCCCUCGCAUAAUUAUAAGAACAACUUAGAACGAAGCUCAGACGUUUAAUAACAAUUAACAUUUCAAGUCUAUUCCUAGCACUCAAAUAUGCUAAGUAUUGUUGUUUAGGUCCGAACCCUAAAAAUACCUCCCGGUCAGAUUUAAGAUUCUCAAUUUGUCACGGAAAAUUAAAAGUAAAACAACAAUACCAAUAAUCAAUCAAGACCUGAAUAUUAAUAUAUAAGAUAUCACCUCAAUACAUAAGAGUUUGAGCAGAUUACUCCCAAUCCCAAAGGGUAGAAUUAGCCACGCAUACUUCUAUCACCUUCCAUUCUCCCAAUUGGGUUACAAUUCACUCUAUGGUGUUUUCCUCUCAAUCUGGCACACUAUGGUUGAUCCUCUAGCCCUCUAUUUAUCCUAGUUUUCUAGGGUUAGGUUGUUUAUUGUGUCGCGCUAAUGGGCUAAAUGAUAAAACAUAAAAAAGGCCCAAUCUUUCUUUGCAUCUUUUUCCAUUCUGGGACCUUCUAUCUUUAUCUUUUUAGCUCAAAUCAUUCAUCUUUAAUCCAAAUCUUCAAUCUUCCUUAGAAAUCUGCAAUUAACACUAAAUUUGGGAAUAAAGUACUCUUUUUCAAAUAAAGAUCAUAAAAAAUGUAAAAAGGUAUAAAUUCAUAAAUUAUGGAUUAUUUUAUAUGUAAAUUAGCAAUAAAUCCACAUAAGUGCCUAUAUUUUAAUAUGAAAUAUUACUGAAAUUAGACACUUAUCAGCAACUCAACCGGGAUCAUGGCCUCGGUCCCAUAUGUCAGGCUGUAGGGUGUCUCUUGUGUGGUAGUUUGGGGGUGCACGCCCAAAGUACCUCGAUCAGCUCCUCGGUCCAUCGGCCCUUCGCCUUGCCCAACCGUUUCUUCAGCUCGUUGAGUAUGACCUUGUUGGCGGCCUCGGCCUGCCCAUUGGUUUGCGGGUGUUAUACCGAGGUCGUGAUGGACUUGAUGCCCAGGUCGUCAUAGAAGGACUGUAGGCCUCGGUCAAUGAACUGUCGGCCAUUGUUAGUUAUUAUCGUGUGCGGGACGCCGAAUCGGCAGACAAUGCUCCUCCAUACGAAGUUUUGUACAUUUUUUGCCGAGAUGAAGGCAAGGGGUUCGGCCACGAUCCACUUGGUGAAGUAGUCGACUCCCACUAGGAGGAACUUAGUCUGCCCCUUUCCCGGGGAGAAGGGGUCGAUGAUGUCCAUCCCCCAAAUGGCGAACGAACAUGGGGGAGAUGAUGCUGUGCAGCUCCUCCGGCCUCUCGUGUGGUGGAGAGGACCGAACUCUUGGCACUUGGCACAUUUCUUCACGUAUUUGGCGCAGUCACCCUGUAUGAUCGACCAAUAGUAGCCGACCCUUAGAACCUUGGUGGCCAUCGUCCUUGCUCCGGCGUGAUUUCCGCAGAUCCCUUCAUGGAUCUCGGCCAGAAUGUACUCGACCCGCUUGUUGGUGAUGCAUUUCAGCAGGGGGGUCGAGUAACCUCUCUGGUAGAAAUCCUCGUUGUUCAUGGUGUACCGGGCGCAUUGUUGCUUCAUCGCCUUUUCUUGAUCGGCCUUGCAUGUGCCGUUCGUGAGGUACUGGAUGACAGGUGUCAUCCAGUUCUCGGUCUCGGCCACAGCCUCGACAUCUCCUAUAGUCAGGCAUUCGGCCUCAGCCGUAGUCACACUGGGGUGCCUCAGUCAUAUUUGUAUGACCGACCUCUGGUGGCUCUUCUUCUUGGUGACCGACAGCUUGGACAGGAUGUGUUCCAAGGGGGUUUUGCUGAAGCGGGCGAUGCUGGUUUUGGCCGCAUGGUAGUACCGCUGUAGCAAGAGCUCUUUAACUUUGAACUCCCCAUUGACCUGGCCGACCAUUACCUGGGAGUCUCUUUUGCAUGUGACUUCGCAUGCUCCCAUGUCGUAGGCUAGGUUCAGCCUAGCGAGCAAGGCCUCAUAUUCGGCCUGGUUAUUGGUCGCUCGGAAUCCGAAUUGGAGGGCUUGCUUCAGUAAGAGGUCGCCGGCCCCUCUAGGAUGACUCCCGCUCCACAGGCUAUUUUAUUUGAGGAGCCGUCCACAUAGAGCGUCCACCCGCUGGAGAGGGUGGGUAGUGAUGUCAGCUCGGCCGAGAAGUCGGCCAGACAAUGAGACUUGAUGGCGCCCCUCGAUUCGUAACGUAUGUCAAACUCGGAGAGCUCGACUGACCAUCCUAUCAUCCUCCCUGCAAGGUCCGACUUAGAUAAAAUUUUGAAAAUAGGGUAGUCGAUUCUUACAAUUAUGGAGUGAUUUUGGAAGUAGGGGCGCAUCCGUCUUGCUGUGAGGAUUAGGGCGAGAGCCACCUUCUCUAUCAUCUGGUAUCUGGUCUCGGCCGAGUGGAGGGUUCGGCUGACGAAGUAUAUCGGCCGCUCUUCGUCCUCGGUCUCCUACACCAGGGCAGCGCUGACUGCUUCCUCCAAGACUGCCAGAUACACUAGGAUUGGGUGGUCUGGUCUCGGCUUCUGGAUGACGGUCGGGAAAGUCAGGAAUUCCUUGAAUUUCUUAAAGAUUUCCUCACAUCAGUCGUCCGAGGUGAACUGUUUCCCCUUUCGGAGCAGCUGGACAAUCGGUCUUGUCCUCUCGGCCAGGCGGGGGACGAACCGGGAGAGGGCGGUCAGUCGCCCUAGGAGCUGUUGUACCUUCUUUAUGUUGUUCGGACUUCUCAUGCUGAGUAUGGCUUGACAUUUAUCGGGGUUGGCCUCUAUCCCCCUGUGGGUGAGCAUGAAGCCUAGGAACUUCCCUCCAUCCACCCCGAAGGUACACUUUUCGGGGUUGAGCUUCAUGUUGACUCCUCUAAGGGCCCUGAAGACCUCGUUCAGGUCCUUCAGAUACUGCUCGAACGAGUCGGACUUCAUGACUAUGUCGUCCACAUAGACCUCUACCGCCCGACCUAUUAGACCUUUGAAAACUUUCCAUGAGGCGCUGGUAGGUCGCCCCUGCGUUCUGAGGCCGAACGGCAUGACCUCGUAGUAGUAGUUGGCGUCAGCCGUCAUGAAGGCCGUUUUCUCCUUGUCCCUGGGAUGCAUGCUUAUCUGGUUAUAGCCAGAGUAAGUGUCCAGGAAGCUCAUAAUUUUGUGGCCGGCCACCCCAUCGACCAGUCAGUCAAUGUUUGGGAGAGGGUAGGUGUCCUUCGGACAUGCGCUGUUUAUGUUUCUGCAGUCAACGCACAUCCUCCAGUUACCAUUUGGUUUGGUGACCAUGACGACGUUGGCCAGCCAUGUGGUGUACCAGGCCUCCUUAAUGAACCCGGCCGACAGGAGGUUGCCAGCCUCCUCCUUCGCCGUGAGUCGUUUUUCGUCAAGUCCCUCUUCUUUUGGGAGAUCGGGCGGGCUUCCUUGAAUAUUGACAAUCGAUGGGUGAUGACAUCCCGGCUCACCCUCGGCAUGUCGGCCGACGUCCAUGCGAACAUGUCGACAUUCUUUUUCAGCGCGGCUUGCAUGAUCUCGGCCUCGGCCGUUGCCAAAACUGUUCCUACGGCCGUGCUGUGUUUUUCGUCGAGGAGGGGAACUCUCUUCAGCUCCUCCCUUGCCUCUAGCCUGUCCUUGGUCGCCCAGGGAUCGAGGUCCACCAAGGCCACGGUUGGUUCGAUCUUCCUCGGUCGAUCCUUCCUGGGGGAGUGGUCUUUUUGGGAGGACUUCCUCACCCUGAGGGGAGAGGUGUCGGCCCUUAAAGGCUCCACCCGGAGACUCUCAGCGUAGCACUCUCGUGCCUCUUUCUAGUCUACGUGGACCGUGAGAAUGUCCCCUGUCCUUGAAGGGAACUUCAUUGCGAGGUGGGGGUUGACACUAUGGCCAUCAGCUGGUUGAUGGAUGGUCGACCGAGGAGGAUGUUGUAGGAGGUGUUGGUGUCGAUGACCAGGUAUCGGAUUUUGAUGGUCCUGGUGCUCUUCUCCUCUCCGAAGGUAGUGUGCAACUCGAUGUAACCCUUGGUACCCACCCUCUCGCCCGAGAAUCCUGCCACAUGGUCGUCAUAUGGCAUCAUCUCGGCCUCGGCUAUCCUCAUGGCCUUGAAAGUUUUCCAGUAGAGGAAAUCUACCGAACUUCCUUGGUCCACAAGGGUCUUCCGUAUGGUGAAUCGGUAUAUAUCGACCGAUAUCGGCCACGGAAUCGAAUGAGGGGAGCACACCUCCGAAUGGAAUCGAAGCAGGGAAGCGCACCACAAAAUCCAACCAGGGGAACAAUCCUCGUAUCAGAAACCCUAAAUCAAAAAUUCGAAAUCCCCAAUUUGAAUAACCUAAACCCUAAUUCAGUAUUCACCAAAGUAAUGUAAGCACAAUCCACGUAACUUACACAUGUCUGCCCACAUAAGCACCACUUAACGCCGUUUGGUGAUAUUUAACAGAAAGGACCAUUUUGAAUACAUUUUAAAAAACUUAGGGACCAAAUUGAAUUUUUUAAAAACCACUGUACCAAAUUGACUAUUGACUAUAAAUAUAGGGACGAAAAAGGUAAUUAAACCUAAAAUUUUCUAUAUAACAUCCCAAAACAUUCUUACUAAACAUGAAUUUUCUUAAAUAAAUUAUUAAAUCUAAAUGAUAUAUUAGAAACCAAGUCCGAGAUGAUUUUUAAAAAAAUUAUUAAUUAUUAAAUAUUGAAAAAUCUCUUUUUCAUAACAUACCAAAAUUAUUUAUAAGUAAAAAUAGUAAAGUUUUCUGUAUAAUUUCCCAAUUAAAUAUAAAGUCCCUUGAAUGAAUUAUUUAAUUUAUAUUUUAGAUUCCUAAUUAAAUAUAGAAUAUAUUUAAUAAUUUAUUAAAUAAUAUUUAAUUAAUAAUUUUUGGUCUUUGUAACAAUUACUAUUUUUUGUAAAAAAAAUAAGAAGUAUCUAAUAAAUUUAUUCCUCAAUCAUAUUUGUUCUGUCAGUAAAACUUAAAUAUAGACUUUUAAGAUAUUUAAAUUUGAGCAAAUUUUAUGUUGGUAUAAAAUAUUCAUAAAUCUAAGAUUUUUUUCAUAAGGAUUUUUAUUGAGGUUAUUUAAGUACAUAUUACGUGUAAGACCGACUCAUUAAGUGGUCGCAUAAAUAAAUAGUUUGUUAAGAUUUUUUUAAAUAAUAAUUAAAAAAAUUUCAAUCACAUAUUAAUUAGGAUUGAUCUUUAUUAAUGUAGGAAUUUUUUUUUUCUGAUAUUGAAUAAAAAAAAUUGGCAAAAAAAAAACCCUGUCAUGAACAUUGUAAAAUAGUAUUGAUUCACUUCAACUUAAAUAACUAUAAUUCAAAUCAAAAUUUAAAGGGUUAUAUUUUGGUAAGUCACUUGUAAGAGGAGAUACGAUAAUUAAAUCUAUUUAAUAAGUAAAUUUUAAUAAUAUAGAUAAAACAAUAAAAAUUACUUUAAUUCGAAUAAUAAUAUUAAGAGGCAUAACUAAUAAUAAAUAUAAUGAACCGAAACCAAAAAUAGUCUGAUACGGUGAAGAGUAAGAAACAGACAAAUAUUAUAUUAAAAGAAACCAUUAGAAAAAAAAAUGACAGAUUGAAUAUUCUUAUUUAGGAUUCCAAUAUUUCUAAACCAGAUAAAAUUAAAAAAAAAUCAAUUGACGUUAAUUGGGAAAAAUUUUAUCAAUUGAAAUUUUUUAUGAAAUUUGAUAGGAAAAUAAAAUGAACUAAGAUCAACUAAAAGAAUAAAAUAUUUUUGAAUUAUAAAUAAUUAUUUUAUGUUUAAAUAAUUUCUAUAUUAGUAAUUGAAAUAAUGUAUCUAAAUGAAAAAAAUAAAAUUCAUUAAAUUUAAAUUUUCCUCCUAAACAAAAUAUUUAAAACAGAAAACCAUUUCAAAUAAGAUUAAUUAAAUUGAAUGUAUUUAAAUUUCUUAUGUAAUUUUCUGUAACAAUACAAACACUUCACAAUUUUAAAAUGUGUUAGCUUUACUCAUCUGGUCUUUCGGAGACGAAAUGAAUGAACAAAAGUAUUGCAAAGAUUGCUUUGACUUUUAAACAUGGUACUAAAUACUAAAUUACCAAAAUACUAAAUUAGAUAAACAUAAUUAAUCACUUUAGUUUUAAGUAAUUUCUAAUAUUAUAUUUCUAUUUAAGAUAAUAAACAAUUAGUGUUAAAUAAAUAUUUCAAACACCAAAUGCAGAGUUUAAUUUCGAAAUAUAAUAAUAUAAAUCAUGACUGUUAAGCAGGGAAGGUAAAAAUUAACAACUUAAUUCAAUCACCUACUUUAUUAUAAUUAAAAAUAUUAGGUUAGUCGACACUAAUAAAUUCAUCCCAGUUUAUAUAUUAUUUAAAAUUAUUUAAUUAUUCACAUUUUUUCUCUUUUUUAUUAUUUACUGAAUUUUUUUAAUUAAGGAUUUUUAGUUUAAGAAUAAUAAGUAUUCUGAAUUGAUUUUUUUUAAAUAUAGUAUUUAAUUUAAGUUUUAUAAAUAUGAUUUUUUUUUGUUUUUAAGAAACUUCAAGAAUAAAAAAAACAGAAAAAAAAUUAUAAAAUAAAAUGUAAAAAAUUAUAAAAUACGAGAAAAUGAGAAAGAUUACAUAUACAAAUAUACAAAAUUUAGACCGAGUUGUACAUAAUCGAAAUAAUAUUUUAUUAAUAUUUACGUUUAUUAUUAUAAUAAAAGUAAAUAAUUAAAACAAUAAAUAAAAAAUUGUAAUAAAAAAUAAAUAUAUUUUAAUUUGUACUUAUUUUCUUUUGCUCUCUUAUUUUUCGUAAGAUUAUUCAAACAAAGGCGUGUUGAUAUUUUUUUAAUAUUUUUAAAAAUUUAUUAUAUUUUUUAUAGAUAUUAUAUUAUAAAUUUAUAAUAAUUUUAAUUUUAUUGAAUUUAUUUAUGAAGUAAAUUUACAAUAUAUAUAUUAUAAAAAUGAAAAAACUAUUUUACAUUCUUAUGAUUUUGUAAUAACAAUUUUUUCUUUUAGUGAAAGAUAAAAAAAAAAGUAGUGUCAGUAAAAAGUUAUGGAGUAGGGGAGAAUGAGACUGUGAAUAUCGAUCCUACAAGGAACAAUAAAUUAUCAAGUACAAUAUUCGCUAAAUAUAACAACAUAACAAUAAAAAGAGUUUAGAAGUAAUUGUGUUGGCACUGAUCAAUAAGAAAACAAACAAAGAAUUAGUUAUUGGAGAAAUAGGGAUUAUGUUUCAUCUCUCCCACUCUCAUGUAUUUUGAUUAGCAUGUUAACAUUGAGUUCUUUGAUUGAAAUUGAUGUCCAUAGAAAAUUUAUUUAUAUCGAUCUCUCGCAUAUAAAAUCCUUAAGAAUGUUUCCUAAAUAUCUAUCUCUCGCAUAUUUAUAAAAACAACUUAGAAUCACACUCAAACGUUAAUGACAAUAUUAACAUUUCAAGUCUAUCCCUAGCACUCAAAUAUGCUAAGUAUUGAUGUUUAGGUCCAAACCCUAAAAAUACCUAUCGGUCAGAUUUAAGAUUCUCAAUUUGUAAGUAAAACAACAAUACCAAUAAUCAAAGAACUGAAUAUUAAUAUAUAAGAUAUCACUCAAUACAUAAGAGUUUGAACAUAUUACUCUCAAUCCCAAAGGGUAGAAUUAGCCACGCAUACUUCUAGCACCUUCCAUUCUCCCAAUUGGGUUACAAUUCACUCUAUGGUGUUUUCCUCUCAAUCUGGCACACUAGGGUUGAGCCUCUAGCCCUCUAUUUAUCCUAGUUUUCUAGGGUUAGGUUGCUUUCUGUGUCGCGCUAAUGGGCUAAAUGAUAAAACAUAAAAAAUGCUCAAUCUUUCUUUGCAUCUUUUUCCAUUCUGGGACCUUCCGGCUUUAUCUUUUUAGCUCAAUUUAUUCUCCUUUAUUCCAAAUCUUCAAUCAAUCUUCCCUAGAAAUCUGCAAUUAAUACCAAAUUUGGGAAUAAAAUGCUCUUAUUCAAAUGAAGCUCAUAAAAAUGUAAAAAGGUAUAAAUUCAUAAAUUAGGGAUUAUUUUAUAUGUAAAUUAGCAAUUGAUGACUUUUUACGGCAAGUGCACCGCGUUUGUUAGAAGUAAUAAUUGUUCCUAAGGACGGAUAUCGAUCCCACAAGGAACAGGUGAAUAUAGAAACUUAUCGAUCCCACAAGGACGGAUAUCAAAUUAGAAACUUAUGAUGCUUCCAAAUUCAAAUAUAGAAAAAUAUAGACACAUUCAAUUUUCAGGAUCAAAUCAAAACAAAUAAAUGACAAUUCAUCAAGGAAUAUCUUCUCAUAUGCUCACGGGUAAGUGUUUCUCUCUAUUUUCACUUAAUCAUAACAAAUCACAGUUGCUUUUCAUUUCAUCUUCAAAUCACAAACAUAUUAGAAACAUGAAUCUUGAGGUCUUUUCCAGGGUUGUAAUGAGGCUGGGCUUCCAAAAAAUAUUGGUUUUUCUUAGAUAACAAAAUGCACAUCUUAAAGAAGAAGAACAUACCUACAAUUCAAUUAUAGAGAACAUAUAUGUUAUCUAAUUACCACUUUCUUUCGAUGUCACCUUUUUCCUCAUUUUCUUUCUUUUCAUGAUUUUCAUGAAAAAAAAAAUUCUAUCUUUCUUUUUUUUUUUAUUUCUUUUUCUUCUUUUGUUUUUUUUUUUUCAAUAAUAGGAAAAGAUUCUUCCUAUUUUCAACUUUGUGAACUUUCAAAAUCAGAACCAACCAUUCCCUUUUCUAUAUGUAUUGCAUCUAUGUUCUCCUUCCUUAGACAUGCUAAAGGGUAGAAAAUUAUAUCAAUAAAGGUUAAGGUGCAAUAUUAACAAAAAAUUUCUUGGCCCAAAAGGGAUAUAAAAAAAUGGAAUUCUAAUAUAAAGGUUGGCUUUUUGGCCCUGGCUCCUAAUUAACACAAACACAUGCCUCAAUCAUCUUCAUGCUCUUUUAUGAUGCAACAAAAAUAAAAAUUAAGCAACCACAACUGUCAAUUCAUCAGUAAAACCCUCAAAAUUGUUUAAGGUUCACACACUCACUUGGUUUAAAUGGUCUCAUUCCUUUUUGUCUUGUCAUUAUUUGUCCUAAUCAAUCAUCCUGUUAAAUUUUCAUGUAUCAUAAUUUUAACAACAUUUGAAUAAGGAUUCAAUCUAAUUUUCUUUUCUAACCUGUGUCUAAUUCAUCUCACUAUUUAAUAUUUAAACACAAAUUCUUUUUUCCACAAUUCAAAAUUAAUAUUCUAGUUCUUUUUUAUUUGAAAAAGAAUAAAUAAGCAAAUAAAAACAAACUAAACAAAUAAGCAAAUAAACAGAAAACAAAAUAAAUAAAAUAAGACAAAAUUCAAAUAACUAAAAAGAAAAGAGAAUUAGAAAGAUAAAACCAUAGUUUUGCUCAAUCCUCUCUUCUUAAGAAGUCAUCCAACAUUUUGUUAAAAUCUUUAUCUAUAGUCUUGCUUCAUUUGCUGGAUCUGCCCCCCUGAAUAAUAGAACCUGUCCUCAGGUCAAAAUACAUAACCUGCAAAAUGAUUAGGAGACAUACAAGAUUUUUUUUUUUUUGAAAAAUAAAAUAAACAAAGGUAAGAACAUAAAACUAAAAUGUGGACUGGGUUGCCUCCUAGUAAGCACUUGUUUAACGUCAUAUAGCUUGACGAAAGUUUGUUAUCAAGGAGGAUAUUUAUCUUGUUCCACCCAUGCUUUUGUUAUCACUUUUGUCCGUCUUGAAUAUGGCUCUUCAACUUCAAUUUUUCCGUCCUUCUUCAAUUCCUUGAUGACCCAUAAUUUUCUCGUUUUCUUCCUUCCUCUACCCCUACCUGCGUUGAGCAUGAUAGGUUGUCCUGGACGAUACUCCUCUCCUUCCACUGGCUUUCCUUGAUUGUCUCCUUUUGCCUCUAACUUUUCAUGACGUAUAACUUUCUUCUUUGACUUUGAACUCUUCAUCUUUUCACUAUUUCUUGGAAUUUCCUCUUGUUUCCAAGUCUCAUCUGCAGUACACUUGGUUACAUCAUUAAAAAGAUUAAAUUUUACCUCUUCAUCAUGAUACCUUACAAGAAUUUCUCCCUUGUCAACAUCAACUAUGACUUUAGCAAUUUUCAUUAAAGGUCUGCCGAGAAUCAAAGGGACCUCCUCAUCUUCUUUCAUGUCCAGGAUAACAAAAUCCACUGGAAAUAUGAAUUUGUCUAUUUGCAUAAGGACAUUUUCAACCACACCAUAGGGAUACUUCACUGUUCUGUCAGGCAAUUGUAACUGCAUCUUGGUGGGUUUAACCUCCAAGUUACCUAUCUGUCUUAACAUGGAUAAUGACAUCAAAUUUACACUUGACCCUAAGUCCAAUAAAGCAUUAUACACAAAUAAAUUACCAAUUGACACAGAAAUAGUAAAACUCCCUGGAUCCCUGAAUUUCUUUGGCAAAGUUUUUGAGAAACUGCUCCCUGCUUCCUUCUCUCCAUAUUUAUUUUUAAAACAACAUAUCUUCCUUCUAACUUCAUCAAAAUAUGUCUUUUUCUCUAGCCAUCCUGCAAAAUAAUUUUUUGGAAGCAAAUUGUCAGAAAAUAAUCCUUCCUUUUCUUUUUUUAUGUUCCUGUGGGAUAUUUCUUUUGCGAUUUCUACAAUUUCACAAUUUUCUCCCUCUUCCAUAUUUUUUUCCUUUUCUUUUUCAACCUUCACCAUCUCACCAUUUUCUUCUCUGGUUUUCUCAUCACCCUCAGUAGUGAUGUUAUUGCAAUGCUCCUUGGGGUUGGUGGUAGUGUUAGUUGAGAAUUGGCCAAUUUUCCCUUCUACAGUUUGUGUGAGUUGUGACAUUUGUUUAGCUAGCUGUCCUAUCUGAGUUUCCAUGCUCCUAAUCGAAGCCAUACUAUUUUAAUGUGCACUCACAAUCUUUGACAAAACAUCUUCCACUUUAUUCAUCCUGUCAGGAAUAGAUGGAGAAUUCGAUUGAUGUUGCUGUUGGAAAGGCCCUUGCUUGUUGGAUGAAUUAUAGUCUUGCUUCCAUCCAAAAUUCUGAUUUUGAUUAUUUUUCCAACCUUGAGGAUAAUUGUUGGAAAAACCGCCUUGCCUUCCUUGAUUGCCCAUAUAAUUCACCUCAGCUUCAGAUGCGUUGUUCUGAUAAGAACAGUGACCAUUAGGAUGAUCACCUCCACAAAAAUCACACAUGAGAGGUACAUUCUGACUUUGGAGUGAUUGAACAACAAGCAACUUUUGGGGUAAUUGGGUCAUAUGUGCGGUCAGUUGCUCAAGUUGCUGUGUCAGAAUUUUGUUUUGAGCUAGCAAUGCAUCUGCAGUGUUUAACUCCAAUACUCCUCUUUUUUGAUGAUUUUGUCUAUCAUGUUGAUCUUGAUAGUCAGUUGUGGCCAAAGCUUCUAUAAUCCUCGUUGCUUGAUCUGCAUCAACAGCCAUCAUUGUGCCACCAGCCGCGGCAUCUAGGAGCAUCUUUGUAUUUGAUCUGAGACCAUUAAUAAAUAUGCUCAGUUGAGCAAUAUCUUCAAACCCAUGGUUUGGGCAUUUUCUCAGCAUCCUCUUGAAUCUCUCCCAUGUCUCACAGAAAGACUCCUCUACUCCUUGUCUGAACAUAGAUAUUUCAGACUUAGCAUUGAUGUAACGAGAGAUUGGGAAAAAUCUUUGCAAAAAAUUUUCCUCCACAUCCUUCCAUUUGGUUAAACUCUUAUUAGGAUGAGAUAUAAGCCACUCCUUUGCUUUCCCUGACAAAGAAAAAGGAAAUAAACGCAUGUAUACACUCUCAAGAUCACCUGAUUGGACACCCAUAGUUCCCACCAAUUCAUAAAAAGUAGCCAAGUGUGUAUGAGGAUCCUCAUGAUCCAUCGCCGUGAAUUGAUUGGUACUAAUGAGGGUAAGGAACGCAGACUUCAUCUCCAAGGCCCUGUUAGUUGCAGGCACUGCAAUGCUAGAAAAGUGUCUAGGCCCUUGAUGUAUGGCGUAAUCUCCAAGAGUUCUCCUAGGAGGUGGUGUUUCCUCCCCCGCCAUGUUGUUAUUCUCCUGAAAAAUAUCAAUGGAAAAAGAAGAAGAUGUUGAAGAAUACUCUCUAUUAUCUUCUUGAUUCUCUUUUGUCUUUGAUUUUCGAUUUUUUCUGGCCACCUUCCCAAUUUCUGCUUCAAAUAGCAAGUGGUCUUCCGGAACUUGACCUCUCAAUAUCAUAUAGAAACAACUAAUGCAAGGGUUAGAAGGAAAAAUUCACAAGUAGUAACCGCAAUUUUAUAUUUUAUAUUAUUAUUAUUUUUUAAAUUUUAUUUUUCUUUCGAAAAUUCAAAAAUAAACAAUAAUUUAAAUAGCUAACUAAAAUAAAAUCAAUAAACUACAAAUUAAAACUUAAAGAUAAAAUAAAACAAAAACAAAACACUAAAAUGACACUAAGAAAAUAAAACAAAGAUAUUCAGAAAAAAAAAAAUAUAACAAAAAUAAAAAUAUAUAAAUAAAAUAAAAACUAAAACAGAAUAGAAGAAAACAAUGAAAACGAUAAAUAACUAAAAUCAAGAAAUAAAAACAGAAUAAAAUAAAUACUAAAAAUAAAAACAAAAUAGAAUAAAACAAAUAAAACAAAACGUAAACAACUAACUAACUUAUUUUAAAGAUACUACGUAAACUAACGUAAAAAUAAAAGCUAAAACUAGUAAUAGAUAAAUAAUUAAAACAAAUAAAUAAAAACUACCUAAACCUAAAUAAAACUACGUAACUAAACCUAAAAAAACUAAAAUAAAAUAAAAUCAAAACAAAAAUCAAACUAAAUCUGAAAAUAAAUAGAAAUAACUAAAAUCAAAAUAAGAAUUAAAAUAAUAACAACAAAUCAGCAAACUAAAAUAAAAUCAAAUAAAAUAAAAAAGAAUUUGUAAAAAAAUACAAAAUUAAAACAAAUCAAAACAAUUAAAAUAUUCACAAUAUUUAGAAAAUUAUACUCAACAAAUCAAACCCGUUCCCGGCAACGGCGCCAAAAACUUGAUGACUUUUUACGGCAAGUGCACCGCGUUUGUUAGAAUUAUCAAGUUCAAUAAUCGUUAAAUAUAAAACAAAACAAUUAAAAGUGUAUUGAAAGUGGUUGGGUUGGCGAUGAUCAAUAAGAAAACAGACAAAGAAUUGGUUGCUUCAAGUUGGAAAAAUAGGGAUUAGGUUUCAUCUAUCUCACUCUCAUAUAUUUUUUUGAUUAGCAUGUCAAUAUUAAGUUCUUUGAUUGAAAUUGAUGCCCGUAUAAAAAUUAUUUAUAUCGAUUCCUCGCAUAUAAAAUCUUUAAGAAUGUUCCCUAACUAUCGAUCCCUCGCAUAAUUAUAAGAACAACUUAGAACGAAGCUCAGACGUUAAUAGCAAUUAACAUUUCAAGUCUAUUCCUAGCACUCAAAUAUGCUAAGUAUUGUCGUUUAGGUCCAAACCCUAAAAAUACCUCCCGGUCAGAUUUAAGAUUCUCAAUUUGUCACGGAAAAUUAAAAGUAAAACAACAAUACCAAUAAUCAAUCAAGAACUGAAUAUUAAUAUAUAAGAUAUCACCUCGAUACAUAAGAGUUUGAGCAGAUUACUCCCAAUCCCAAAGNNNNNNNNNNNNNNNNNNNNNNNNNNNNNNNNNNNNNNNNNNNNNNNNNNNNNNNNNNNNNNNNNNNNNNNNNNNNNNNNNNNNNNNNNNNNNNNNNNNNNNNNNNNNNNNNNNNNNNNNNNNNNNNNNNNNNNNNNNNNNNNNNNNNNNNNNNNNNNNNNNNNNNNNNNNNNNNNNNNNNNNNNNNNNNNNNNNNNNNNNNNNNNNNNNNNNNNNNNNNNNNNNNNNNNNNNNNNNNNNNNNNNNNNNNNNNNNNNNNNNNNNNNNNNNNNNNNNNNNNNNNNNNNNNNNNNNNNNNNNNNNNNNNNNNNNNNNNNNNNNNNNNNNNNNNNNNNNNNNNNNNNNNNNNNNNNNNNNNNNNNNNNNNNNNNNNNNNNNNNNNNNNNNNNNNNNNNNNNNNNNNNNNNNNNNNNNNNNNNNNNNNNNNNNNNNNNNNNNNNNNNNNNNNNNNNNNNNNNNNNNNNNNNNNNNNNNNNNNNNNNNNNNNNNNNNNNNNNNNNNNNNNNNNNNNNNNNNNNNNNNNNNNNNNNNNNNNNNNNNNNNNNNNNNNNNNNNNNNNNNNNNNNNNNNNNNNNNNNNNNNNNNNNNNNNNNNNNNNNNNNNNNNNNNNNNNNNNNNNNNNNNNNNNNNNNNNNNNNNNNNNNNNNNNNNNNNNNNNNNNNUGCCUAUAUUUUAAUAUGAAAUAUUACUGAAAUUAGGCACUUAUCACUCUCCCCAACUUAGAAUCUUGCUUGUCCUCAAGCAAAGUAAAUGAAUAUAUUUGAACUUAAAUAUCAAACCGCUUAAUUCACUAAACAACAGAUCAAAUUAAAAACUUAUAAUGCUUCCAAAUUCAAAUAUAGAAAAAUAUAGACACAAUCAACUUCAAGGAUUAAAUCAAAACAAACAAAUGACCAUUCAUCAAGGAAUAUAUUCUCAUAUGCCUCACAGGUAAGUGUUUCUCUCUAUUUUCACUAAAUCAUAGCAAAUCACGGUUGUUUUUCAUUACAUCUUCAAAUCACAAACAUAUUAGAAACAUGAAUCUUGAGGUCUUUUANNNNNNNNNNNNNNNNNNNNNNNNNNNNNNNNNNNNNNNNNNNNNNNNNNNNNNNNNNNNNNNNNNNNNNNNNNNNNNNNNNNNNNNNNNNNNNNNNNNNNNNNNNNNNNNNNNNNNNNNNNNNNNNNNNNNNNNNNNNNNNNNNNNNNNNNNNNNNNNNNNNNNNNNNNNNNNNNNNNNNNNNNNNNNNNNNNNNNNNNNNNNNNNNNNNNNNNNNNNNNNNNNNNNNNNNNNNNNNNNNNNNNNNNNNNNNNNNNNNNNNNNNNNNNNNNNNNNNNNNNNNNNNNNNNNNNNNNNNNNNNNNNNNNNNNNNNNNNNNNNNNNNNNNNNNNNNNNNNNNNNNNNNNNNNNNNNNNNNNNNNNNNNNNNNNNNNNNNNNNNNNNNNNNNNNNNNNNNNNNNNNNNNNNNNNNNNNNNNNNNNNNNNNNNNNNNNNNNNNNNNNNNNNNNNNNNNNNNNNNNNNNNNNNNNNNNNNNNNNNNNNNNNNNNNNNNNNNNNNNNNNNNNNNNNNNNNNNNNNNNNNNNNNNNNNNNNNNNNNNNNNNNNNNNNNNNNNNNNNNNNNNNNNNNNNNNNNNNNNNNNNNNNNNNNNNNNNNNNNNNNNNNNNNNNNNNNNNNNNNNNNNNNNNNNNNNNNNNNNNNNNNNNNNNNNNNNNNNNNNNNNNNNNNNNNNNNNNNNNNNNNNNNNNNNNNNNNNNNNNNNNNNNNNNNNNNNNNNNNNNNNNNNNNNNNNNNNNNNNNNNNNNNNNNNNNNNNNNNNNNNNNNNNNNNNNNNNNNNNNNNNNNNNNNNNNNNNNNNNNUUUUUUUUUGGAAAAAUAAAUUAACCAAAGGUUACACCUAAAACUAAAAUGUGGAUUGGGUUCCCUCCCAGUAAGCGCUCGUUUAACGUCAUCUAGCUUGACGCCUGUUUAUGAUCCAUCCUUUUGUACACAUUCUUCCCCUGCAUUAAAAUUUUAAAACCAUUAAAAAAGAUUUAAAGUUACCUCCUCAUCUUGAGUUCUAACUUGAAGUUCUCUUUUGUUGACAUCAACUAUGAUUCUAGCAGUCUCCAUAAAGGGUCUUCCAAGUAUCAAGGGAACCUCCUCAUCUUCUUUCAUGUCCAUCACAACAAAAUCCACAGGGAAUGUGAAUUUAUCCACCUUAACGAGAACAUCUUCAACCACACCAUACACACCAUAUGGAUACUUGGUUACUUGAUCAGCUAACUUUAAAGUCAUCUUGGUGGGUUUAAUCUCCAAAUCACCUAUUUUCUUCAGCAUUGCCAAAGGAAUUAUAUUUAUGCUUGCUCCCAAAUCCAAUAAAGCAUUGACUAUUAAUAAAGCACCUAUAGACACGGGAAGGUUAAAACUCCCUGGGUCCUUGAAUUUUUUAGGCAAGCCUUUUUGAAUAAUGACAUUGAAUCUAUCCUCCAACUCUAUAUUUCUUUCUUCAAUAUAGCUCCUAUUCUUUCGAAAUCUUUCAAAUGUUGAAUCUUGCUUCAAAUUUCCUGCAAAAUAAUUUUUAGGGAGCAAUUUAUCAAAGAAUUUUCUUUCCUUCUCUUUUUUUGAAGGUGAAUGAGGAUAUGAUAAAUCUUUUUCAAUAACUCCUCACUUCUUAUUUUCACUUUUCUUCUUUAUUUUUUCCUCCUCACUUCUCUCUUUCUCAUCUCUCUUCCCCUUUGUCUCAUCUUUUUCUUCUUUUUCAGCCACUACAUUAUCGCAAUGCUCUUUUGAAUUGGUUUGGCUAUUGACUGAAAACUGGCCAUUUUGUUCCUCUGCAAUUUGUGCAGAUCACCAGGACAGUUGUCCCAUCUGGAUCUCUAUACUCCUAAUCAUGGCCAUGUUAUUGUCCUGCGCUCUCACAAUAUUGUCCUGCGCGCUCACAAUCUUUGUCAGGGCGUCUUCAACUUUACUCAUUCUUUCAAGCAUGGAUGGAUCAUUAGCUUCAGGUGAAUUGUUCUGAUAAAAACAGUGACCAUUAGGAUGAACACCUCCACAAAAAUCACACCUGAUGACUUUGAGAUGAAUGAACAACAUAUAAUUGUUGGGGCAAUUUAGCCAUUUGUGUAGUUAGUUGCUCAAUCUGUUGUGUCAGAAUCUUAUUUUUAGCCAAGAGUGCAUCUUCUAACAACCCUUUAUUAUGAAGAUCUUGUCCAUCAUGUUGGGUUUUAUAAUCAGUUGAUGUCAAUGCAUCAAUAAUUAUUGUCACUUGUUCUACAUCAAGGGCCAUCAUUGUGCCACCAACUGCAGCAUCUAGGAGCAUCUUUAUGUCAGAUCUGAGACCAUUCAGGAAUAUGCUCAGUUGAGCAAUAUCUUCAAACCCAUGAUUUGGGCAUUUUCUAAGCAUCAUUUUAAAUCUUUCCCAUGUCUCACAGAAUGAUUCAUCUGCUCCUUGUCUGAACACAAAAAUUUUAGACUUUGCUUUGAUGUAGCGAAAGAUUGUAAAAAAUCUUUGCAGAAAUUUUUCCUCUACAUCCUUCCAGCUAGUGAGACUCUGAUUUGGAAGUGAUCUGAGCCAAUCUUUAGCAUUUUCUGCCAAUGAAAAAGGAAACAAGCACAUAUAAACAAUUUCAAUAUCACCGGAUUGAAAACCCAUUGUUCCCACCAAUUCAUAAAAUGUGUCUAAAUGUGAAUAUGGAUCCGCAUGUUCCAUUGCUGUGAAUUGAUGGGUAUUGAUGAGAGUGAGAAAAUUGGGAUUUGUUUGGUGCAUCUUCUUGCAUGUUGCUUUCUUCCUAAAACAUAUUAGUGGAGAAAAAAAAACGAGUAUUUUUUUUCUUUAAAAAGAAUAAAAUAAAAUAAAUUCAAACAAUCAAAUAAAACUAAUCCUAAAAAACCUAAAAUAAAAUAUAAUAAAACAAAACAAAAUCAAAAUCAAAAUCAAAUAAAAAUAAAAAUAAACUAAAAUAAAAUAAAAAACGUAAAGAAAAGAAAAGAAAAGAAAAUAAAAACAACAACUUUUUUUUUAAACAGCAAAUCUAUAAUAAACUCAAAUCAAAUCUAAUUUGUAAUAAAUAAAAUAAACAAAAUCAAAACAAUUAAAAUAUUUAGGAAAUUAUACUCACCAACUCAACUCCGUUCCCCGGCAACGGCGUCAAAAACUUUAUGACUUUUUACGGCAAGUGCACCGCGUUUGUCAGAAGUAAUAAUUGUCCCUAAGGACGGAUAUCGAUCCCACAAGGAACAGUAAAUUAUCAAGUACAAUAUUCACUAAAUAUAACAACAUAACAAUAAAAAGAGUUUAGAAUUAAUGGUGUUGGCACUGAUCAAUAAGAAAACAAACAAAGAAUUAGUUGCUUCAAUUGGAAAAAUAGGGAUUAGGUUUCAUCUCUCCCACUCUCAUGUAUUUUGAUUAGCAUGUUAAUAUUGAGUUCUUUGAUUGAAAUUGAUGCCCGUAGAAAAUUCAUUUAUAUCGGUCUCUCGCAUAUAAAAUCCUUAAGAAUGUUUCCUAAAUAUCGAUCUCUCGCAUAUUUAUAAAAAACAACUUAGAAUCACACUCAAACGUUAAUGGAAAUUAACAUUUCAAGUCUAUCCCUAGCACUCAAAUAUGCUAAGUAUUGAUGUUUAGGUCCAAACCCUAAAAAUACCUCUCAGUCAGAUUUAAGAUUAUCAAUUUUUCACGGAAAGUUAAAAGUAAAACAACAAUACCAAUAAUCAAUCAAGAACUGAAUAUUAAUAUAUAAGAUAUCACCUCAAUACAUAAGAGUUUGAGCAGAUUACUCUCAAUCCCAAAGGGUAGAAUUAGCCACGCAUACUUCUAGCACAUUCCAUUCUCCCAAUUGGGUUACAAUUCACUCUAUGGUGUUUUCCUCUCAAUCUGGCACACUAGGGUUGAGCCUCUAGCCCUCUAUUUAUCCUAGUUUUCUAGGGUUAGGUUGCUUUCUGUGUCGCGCUAAUGGGCUAAAUGAUAAAACAUAAAAAAUGCUCAAUCUUUCUUUGCAUCUUUUUCCAUUCUGGGACCUUCCGGCUUUAUCUUUUUAGCUCAAUUUAUUCUCCUUUAUUCCAAAUCUUCAAUCAAUCUUCCCUAGAAAUCUGCAAUUAACACCAAAUUUGGGAAUAAAAUGCUCUUAUUCAAAUGAAGCUCAUAAAAAUGUAAAAAGGUAUAAAUUCAUAAAUUAGGGAUUAUUUUAUAUGUAAAUUAGAAAUAAAUCCUCAUAAGGGCCUAUAUUUUAAUAUGAAAUAUUACUGAAAUUACUCUUUCGAUCCAAAUCAAAUAUAUAUCGGCUUGAUCUAAAUCCAAAUCUCGAGACCCAUAACGUUCCAUGGGCAAAUUUCCCAAAAGGACUCAUAGUUACUUCCUAGCACAAUAUCUGAAAAUUAAUCAAGAUAUUUGGGAUUCUCAUUAAAAAUUUGCAUAUUUACCACCACAAAAUAAUCUUAUUUUGCACAAAUAUAUCCUAUCAAUCAAAUUUAUUAUCACACAAUUUAUAUGAUUCCUUGAUAUUUGAUUUUAUGACACGAUAUUAUGAUUUUAUAACAUGAUACUAUGAUUUCGUUACAUAAUACUCGAAUUUUGUUAUAUGAUACUAUCGUUAAAUCUAAUUAUGCCUCAUGAAGGCCAUUGAAAACAAAUAUCAAUUGUCCAGGCCCAUGAAGACCUAUAAAAUAGAUCUACUUUUCCGAUCAACUUAGAUCUACUUUUCUGAUCAAUAGCUCUCCAAUAAACUCAAUUUUUUUUUUUACCAACUCGGAUUCAUGUUUAUUUCUCUAAAUUAAGGUAUUCAUUUAAAAUUUAUCUUCUUCGUUAUGAUUUAUACACUAGACGAAUAUGGCAUGCAACUUAAUUCUAUUUCCUUGGCUACUAAAAACGAUAGGAUGAUUACUCUACUUCCCUUUAAUUAUUCAAAAAAAGUUAAAUCAAUUCUUAACUGUUCCAAAAAAACACAAAUAUGAUCGAUAGUCGAUAUGAGGUUGGCAAUUCAUAUGCCCAAGAAAAAAAGAAAAAAAAAUCGAACAAGGCGCAAGAAAAUAUCCUAAGCAAAGUACUUUACUAAUAAAGGUUCAAAUCAAGAGAGAAAUGGCUUUAUAGGUCCUUCAAUAUCUUUCCAUACCAUCACAUUGCAAGGAUUCACCUCAGAGAGAUCAAUGGUGGGAUGGAGGAUAGCAGCUUGCACAAGCACAACCUCAAAACCCACACCAUAUAAAUUGGCUAUGUCAUUUUUCAAACCUUCAACGAUCUUGUUCCAAUCAGUUUCUUUCUGAGUUAACUUUUCCUUCCCAAGACGAACCUCUUUGUCUCUAGACUUUAGGUCUAGUUGGUGAAUUUGACAGAAGAGGUCGGUCUUCUCCUGAGCCCACUGGCUCGACUCGGAACCAAGUCGAUCUGCCUCCACGACUUCAGCCUGAAUCGCUCCAUUUCUCUUUGGAGGUUGGAUAUUUGCUCGACAUUUUUGUUUUAUUCUUGGCUUUAAGGUUAACCAAACUCAUCAAGGUAGUAACUCUACCUACAUGUAUUUACAAAUUUAACUUCAGUAUUAUAUUGCUCAAUGCGUUCACGGAUAAUUUUACUAAUUUCAUCUGCACGAAUGGUUACCAUGAAAAUAUCUUAAGUUUAUUUUGGGUAAGAAAAAAAAAAUUAUGCAUAUACUCUAUUUUAUAAUAGAAAGACUGAUAAGUUAUUUUUUUUUAUUUCAUCGUCCCAAACAUGCCAAUAUUAGCAUUAACAGUACGUAAAUGUAACUCAUUGUUCAAGAAACUAUUUAGAGUUCUUAGAGCUCCCUAUAACGCUUGUUGUAAAACUCGCUAUCAGACUUGAUUAAUCACUCUUUGUUGUUCAAAAUCAAUGGCUUUGUUUUUUAAAUUUCUAUUUGUUUCAAAGUCGUAGUCCUACAAGUGAGAAACGUCUCCCUCCAAGAAGUUGUGGGAUUUAUUGUGGUUAGGCACGUCAUAUGAAGAAUCCUAAAAGCUCGCCUUCGCUCCCGAGCUAGACCCAAGAUUCCAAUUCUUUAUUACUAUUUCCACCUCAACACCUAUCCGAGUUAGAAUGGGCGAAGGGAGUGGGGUUUUCAGUCCUCCUCUUCUUGUGCAAAUUUUAGACAGUUUGUUCAUCCUUGCGGAAUGAACACGAACACAACUUGAGCCAACAUCCCUGAUGACCAGAGAUGGUUUUGGAGUUUGGAUCUCUUUAAGGCGACAAGCCAACUCCGCUUUCGACAAAGAAUUCAUCAGGUUCUUGCAAAAGUAAAGGUAUUCACUUAGAAGGAGAAAAGACAAACACAAGACAACACACUAUGCAAAAAACCACUCGAAAAAGGCUACACCAAUGUGUGCCUUUAAAUCCAUAGCUCGAAUCUCGCACUUCAUAAUGGUAUAAGUGUCCAAUACUACAUCAUUUUUUUCCAAACACUCACAAAUUCCUCUGCCUCAGGGGUCUAAAUCCUCCAUUUGGUGACCGAAUUGAAGACAAGGGUUGGAGUCCAAUACAAAGGAAACUCUUCCAACAUACUAAGGUCCUUAACCAAAGGACGGACCUUAAUGAAAUGACCCUUAAAUCUUUUAUACAAUGAUUGGAAAAAACACAACAAACCCGUACCAUUAACAUUGCUAAGGGAGGCCCAUAACUGUCUAGACGAGCUCUUAAACUCAAAAAAGUAGAAAAAUAUGUUGGUAGAGGGAACCACACCAAAAUGUGCACAGAGGAUGCUAAACGCACGUAUAGAGGCCCAACUGUUCGGAUGAAACUGGGUCGAAGAUACAUUCAACUCAGUAAGAAUCUGUUUUUCAAACAAACCAAGAGGCAAACACAAACCUAGUAUAAUAAAUACGGUAUCAUACAUAUAGAAAAAGAGACUAAGGUUAGUAGUCUGAUCCCUACAAAUGGGCUCAUUUGCCUCACAAAUCUAAACUCUCACUAAAUGUUCAUCAGUUUUGCUAAGUGCAUACAAUUCGCACAGAUCUAUAAGUUUCUUUAAAGAAGUGAAUACUGAGGUUUCCCUCAACAGUUCUCUCAUAACUCAAAGGUAUGAGGCAGCAUAAUCCAUAUAAUGACAAUCAAACAAGAAACCAAAGCAAGCAAAAAACCGAAAAAGAAAACCUCAGACUUCAACAACCAUUAAGCUACUCGACAUCUACUACUCUAUUAUCACUUUAAAGGAAUCCCCUUUAGAGUAAGGAAAGUUGGGGACAUACCUGUUCAAGAGUCGACAAAGAAAAAGGAAAACCAAAGAAAAACCAUGUAGCAUGGGGAAGGUACUGAGUGUUGUGAAUUCUGAAAAAAAGGAAAUGGAAGGAAGUAACGUUCGAAAAAGAGGGAGACGUUUCAAAAAAGGGAAAAGUACCACGAAUCACAUGAUGACCGACACGUGUACCAGGGCAUUUAAUAACCAUAAGACCCAUGUCCACUCAUUGGCUUCUUAGGAAAAUGUGUGUAAGUCUUUUUAGAGACGCUUUAGAUAAGCUUCUUUGUCUCGCCUGCUCGUAAGGGUGGGCAAAAAAUCCAAAUUGUCAAAUCCAAUUUAUAACUAUCCAAAUCCAUAUUAUUUUUAAUCCAUUUAAAUGGAUUUAUCUAAAUUCCAAAUCCUUUAAUUGGAUAUGGAUUAGAUAUAAACUGGAUACAUUUUUGGAUUAUCCAAAUUGAAUUUUGACUUAGCCUAGGCCCAGGUUGAGUAGAGUCAAUCUGGGCCCAUAUUGAGCUAAGUCGGCCCACCCAUGUCGAGUUGAGUUGGCCUAGGCCCAAGUCAGUUCGGGCAUAAUGUCAAAGUCAAGUCAAGUCAAUUCGGACCCAAGCCGAGCUAAGUGGGCCAGAGCCCAAGUCGAGUCGGUACCCAAACAAGGUCGAGUCGACACCGGACCCAAGUGGAGGCAAGUCGACCCGGGCCCAUUUCGAGCCACAUAAGAUGCAUCCCAUUUAUAAAAUUCUAAUUGGGGAGAUGUUUGUUGUUUAUGCUUUUGUAUUGAACCUUGUCCUUCCCAUGAUAUUGCUAGUUCAUGGAGUAUUUUUACCAUGUCAUCAAAAUUUGUAGCUUCAAUCUCAUCUCCAAGCAUGAGGGUGGGGGUGAAUGGGUGUCACCCUUGUUUGCUUCUAUGAGAGGAGGGAGGUUGAGAGUGAGAGUUAAUGAAAAGUUGAGGGUAUUUAGGAUCCUCUCAUAAUGGAAGAGAAAUGAAAGUGAAUGAGAUGAAAAGACCACGGUGCCCUUCAUACAAUAAUAUUAAUAAUUGAAAUUAUUAUUAAUAAUAAUUAUAUAUAUAUAUAUAUAAUAUAAUUUAAAGAAUCAUAAAUAAUAUUAAAAUUAUCUAAAUAAAUUAACUUAAGUAAAAAAAUUAAUUUAAAUUAAUAAAAUGAAAAAUAAUAAAAUUAUACUUACAUUUAAAAUUAUAUUUAAUUAUUUAUUUGAAUUUUAUAUUUUUUCUUUUACCUCUGAUGAAUUUUUUGACGAUGGUGCAAUACUGUGUCCUACUACAAAAUGUGUGGACCAAGUGAAUGAGUUCAUCUUAUCUUAAUCCCUGAAUAAGAAGUUAGUUAUUUAAGUUCAGACACCCCUUGCCAAUUUGAUGAACAAGAAAAUGCUCAAGGUGAGUGGUUUACAACAAAUUUUUUGUAUGAUAUCAAAUGCUCGGGAAUUCCUAAUCUUUGUGUUAAAUUAAAAGUUGGAGUUCCAAUAAUGCUUCUAAGGAAUAUUGAUCAAGCCAAUGGACUUUACAGUGGAACAAGAUUACAAGUAAUUUACUUGGGGAAGAAUGUUAUUGGUGCCAAAACUAUUACUGUACAAAAUAUUGGUGAUAAAAUAUUUAUUUCUAGAAUGAACUUGACUCCUUCUGAAUAAAGUCUGCCUUUUAAGUUUUAGAGAAGACAUUUCCUAAUAUCUUUGUGCUUUGUUAUGAUAAUAAAUAAAGGCCAAGGUCAAACACUUAAUAAAGUUGGUCUAUAUCUACCACGUCUAGUGUUUACACAUGGACAACUAUAUGUUGUUGUUUCCAGAUUGAAAUCCAAGAAAGGGUUGAAAAUAUUGAUUUUAGAUGAUAAUAGAAAUACCAAUAAUUCAACUACUAAUGUGGUUUACAAAGAAAUAUUUGAAAAUGCUUGAGACAUAUCGUUACAGCCAUAAUAUCUGGUAUGGAAAUUCUUUAAUCUAAAAUUAUUCUUAUUUCUCAUAUCUUUGUUCUAAUAUAUGAAGAUGAAUUUAACAAUUUAUAUACGUUGUUUUUUUGUAAUAAUAGAUUUCUUCAUGUCUAAUAGUAAAUCUUUCAACGGGACUAUAAUGGAUAACCAAGAAAUGUAUAAAUUUAUAACUUUUUAAUAAUUUUAAUUGUCUAUAAUUUUAAUUGUCUAUAAUUUUAGUUUGGUAAAUUUAUUUCUUCUAAAUGGUUUUAUUACAGGAAUUUCAUUGUACUUAGUAACACAAAAGUGCAUAUUCACUACAAAAAAUAAUGAAGUUAUUAUACUUUACACAAGUUUCUUUUUUUUAAUAAAAGCUUUUAUGUUAGACAUCACUAUGCAACUUGACAUCUCAGCUAGGCCGACACAUCAAGUAAGAACAAUCAUUUGUCAUCACAUGGCAAAAGUAUUAUUGAAAGAAGAACAAAUAAAGAAAAUACAAAAAUACAGGAUCUCCAAUGAACCCCCCAGUCUUAAACUCAUCCAUGCCAGGUACAAAACAUAUCGCCCAUACAUACAUAUAUACAUGCACAUUCACACAUUCAUCACCUACAUGAUAGUGUUGCUUUGUUUUUGUUGUUGUUUGGAUUUGUAGAUUGCAUGCCCAAGCUUUAACUCUGGUCGUGUUGUCUGGUGUCGUGACUUAUAGAUACUACGAGAUUCGUGCAUGCGGCCCAAAACUACAGAUCCACGUUCCUUCUCCCACUAUGGCCCGACUAGUUGAAUGGGAGCUUCUAACUCCUUUUUGAGCUUCCCCGUUCGGCACCUUCAAAUUUUUAAAACAAUUGUUGAUUUUGUUCUUUCAGCAAAGCUAUCUCUUCUUCAUGUUUUCGUCGUUCCUCCUCGUGUCGACGCUGCUCUUCUUCAUUGUGUAACCGGUCUGCCAUUGUUUUUGUUUUUUUCGUAGCUCUUCCAUUUGUGCUUGCAGGGUUUGAAGCAUAGCCGUUUGUUCUUCUGUCAUACGAUCGUUGUUGAUGUGCCUUGAUGAAACCAUUGUUGUGGAACUACGCCUCUAUUCGGACCCUACGGUGCUGAUUAUUGUACUUGUAUGAGCUAAGGGGCCAAAUAGUACCUACCACGGGUUGUACAAUUGUUGAUGUCUAGUAUCCUUUGAGUUCCUUUCAAGCUUCUUUCUUAGCUCGGGUGACUCGAACGGGCGAGGGAACCUGCAAUGUCACUCCGACAGUGUAUUUUUAGUGUGAUAUGAAAAAACAUGCAUUCUUUCUACCUCGAAAACCAUAUUUAUAUUACCUCGUUUAUGGGCUUUUGUUCUCAUGGGCUAGGUUUUGGUUGUAUAACUGACAUAUCAUUAAUUCUUAAAUACGCGGGCCUGUAUUUUUCAGUUAUUUGUUAUCUCAAAGAUAUUUCCCAUGUUUUUCAAAACAUGAAUUGACUCAUUCCAAUAGUAUCUUGGCAUUUACUAAUAGGCAAUUGCUUCCUGCACCAUAUCACUGCACCCGAUUCUAGCGGAAAAGACGAAACUAUCCUUAAAAAAAAUUUCCGAAAUAUGUGUUCUGGAUUUUUUUUUCCGGAACGAAAUUUUAUAUUACGGAUUUUUUUAUCCGGAAUGAGUUUCUCAUUUUUGUUUCCGGAUUUUUAUUUCCGAAACACAAUAAUCUCUUUUCCGGAUUUUUUUUUCCAUAAUGUAUUAUUUAUCAAUUCUGGAUUUUUUUGUCCGGAAUAGAAUUUUAAAUUUUGUUUCCGGAUUUUUAUUUCCAAAACUCAAUAACCACUUCCGGAUAUAUUUUUCCGGAAUAUAUUAUUUUUAAUUCCAGAUUUUUAUUUUCAGAAUAAAGGGUAUUUUUGGAAUUUUUAAAAUUGUGUUGGGUGCAGGUUAAAAUGUGUUGGAUGUGUUGGAUGCAGGAAGCAUUUGCCUUACUAAUACCAGUUUGACUCGUGCAUCCGAUAGGGGAGGUCGAGCCCAACUCGUCCAGUAUUGUUCGGUACCAUAUUUAUGAAAAAUAUUGAGAAACCUAUUUACAACAAGGUCUCUUAAUUAAUUGGAUGAAAAAUUAUUUUUAAUCUACACGUAGGAUGCACUCUAUGAUUUACCAUGCUUAUGUCCCAUAAAAUAUUUCUCUAAUUGUUUUUAAUUACAAAUUCUUUUAAAUGUGUUAGCUGUAUCAUUGUACAGUAUCAUUUUAUUAACAUAUUUCUGUUUUGUGUAAAUCAAGAUAUUAAAUAUUAAAAAUGGUAGAUAAAUAUAUGAUUACCAUAUAUUUUAAAUCUUUAAUAUAAUAAAAACAUUUUAAAAAAAUAUUUUUUAUGUUUAAGAAUGACAUAGACAAAAAAUUUCAAAAUAAUUUUUCUGCAGAUAUUUACGACAGCAUGCAAUUUAUGUUUAAGUAUAUCAAACAUUACCUGACAACAGGGAUAGAGUUUACAAGUAAACAAUUUAUUCAUUGAACAAGAUAAUUUGGUGAAAGUCUGUGUAAGAGAAAAUACAACUCUGUUGCAACUUUCGCUUAAGCUAAAAUGAACUAGCCUGAGCUAGAAACUCUGUUGCUAUCUGUCAAAUUCUAGCCUGAGCUAAAAUGAGUUAGUCUGAGCUAGAAAACUCUAUUGCUCUCUGCUAAACUUUAGCCUGAGCUAAACAAAUUUGUUGCUCUCUGCCAAACUUUAGCUUGAGCUAAAAUGAGCUAGCUUGAGCUAAACAAAUUUGUUGCUCUCGGCCAAAUUUUAGCCUGAGCUAAAAAGGUCUAGCUUGAGCUAAACAAAUAUAUUGCUCUCUGCCAAACUUUAGCCUGAGCUAAAAAGAUCUAGCCUAGCUAGUGAGAUUUUUCUAAAAAAAAAAAAAAACUGCAGCAUUUUGAAAUCACAUUUGAAAACCCUGCAUCCUAACUCAUUUCAUUCAAGCAUUCCCAGUUUAAAAAAAUUUCAUCCCAAAAGCUUUCAUACUCAUUCAAACAUUUCAUCUACAUUUCCAUUAUCACGAUAAGUAGUGCUUUUAUGUAUAAAUCUAUCAUCUCCAUAGCCAUCAUUGUUGCCAUUUCCAUUCAACCAAGUUCAGUCAUGCGUGUUUCUACUUCCAUUUCACAGUUUCUUUUUAAGUUGAAAGAUUCAAUCUUUGUGAAAUUUCAAUGUCUUGAUGUUGAAUAGGAUUGUGGAAUAGGAUAAUCAAAGUUAAGCACUGUCUUCCAUGGAUUAAAUACCAAAAAUUACUCAUUCAAUGCCAUUCUAUAUCAUGCAUACCAAGUGUUUGUUAAAAUGCCAAUAAAAAAAACACUUUGGUUUGAGAAAUGCUUGUUCUUACAUGUGCAGAAAAAUGAGUCACACCAAAUCCACAACUGGUAUUAAAUAAUUCGUCGUUGACACCCACUGAAUUUCAUGAUUAUCUAUCUUGGCCUGGGACAGACACAAAUUUUCAUGGGAGGCAAGAACCUUUGGAGUUGGAACUAGAGUUGAAGAUACACCAGAAAUGGCAGCUGGACCAACUGGAGCAGCAACAGCAGCAGAUGAUGAACAUUCAAAUCAAUUCCAGAAUGAUUAUUGUGGCACAAAGCGGAACAAAAUUACAAGAGGAGAUUGAUACUUCUCAUGCACAAUGAACCGAAAACUGGUUUUAUCUUUUUUGUUUAACUUUAAUUUCAGUAUUAAUUUAGUUUAAGUAGUUUAGUUAGUAAGUUGACUGUAGCAGUUUAGUUUAAUAUUUCUUACCUUAACUUUUGUUGAUGGCAAGCUUAAGUUAGUAGAAUGGUUGAUAUUUGCAUAUUUUGUUAAGUGAAAUCUUGUAUAUAGAUAGAUGAUGGUAUAAAUUUUUGGAAAAAGAAAUCAAACCAUAGCUCUAAAUUAGAACAACCAAAUGGAUUGAUCAGGAACUUAAUUUGAAAAAGAAUUUGUGGCUGGAACCAUCACUCAAAUUGAGAAAGGAUAGUAAUGUGUAAAAGUUGGAACAAGGUAAAUAGUUGAAAGCAAUGUCUGAGAACAAAUGAGGAAUUGAAAUUAGCCAACCAAGUGAGAGUGUGAAACCUUUAAACAGUUUGAGAGACUUUCACUAGUGAAGAGUUAAUUGAGGUUGCCUAAUUUUCUAGUCAAUUUGCAUCACAAAAUCAAAUAUGGAAAUGAUUGAGGCAUGUUUAAUAGAAUUGGAGGUGAGAAAACUCAGAGCCAAACAACUAACCUUUGCAAUAUAUGAUGAAAUGUGCAGAAAAAUAACCCUUUUUGAGCCAAAUUUGUUUUAUUGCACCCUAACUUCUAAUAUACAUAUAUUGUCCUACCUUGUGGUAUGCUAACAAAAGGAGAGCAUAGGUGCAAUUCAAAUUUCUAUAAUUAAAAGAGUUGGGUUUGGUGUGGCUGCUGGGAUUUUGAGAAUGAAAAAAGAAAAAAGAAAAAAAAGGGAAUGACAAAAUUAUCCAAAUUCUCAUUCUCUUUUCUAAAAAAAAAAAGAAAAAAAAAGAAAAGCAAUGGGGAUUACAAGAAUAUAAAAAGAAGCAAUGUGAAUGAAUCUUAUGGAAGUGACAAUGGAUAACACAAUUAGAAAUUGAAUUGCAAAUAUGCUAAUCUUUUGUUAAGUGUGCAUUUUGUUAUCCUGGAAAAACCAAAUUUUCUUUGUAACCCAACCUCAUUCCAACCUGAAAAAGACCUCAAGAUCUAUGUUUGUGAAAGUGUUUGUAAUCAACUGGAAAUGAAGGGCAACCUUAAAUUAACUUGGAAUUCAGUGAAAAAAAGAGGCAAAACACUCACCAGUGAGGAAUGAAGAGAGAAAUUCCUUAGUUUGAUUCUCAGUGAAAAGUAACAAUUGUUUACCUUGGAAAUUUAAUACAUUCUUAUCCUGUCUUGGAUUGAAUUGAUAGGAAACACCAUAAUUUUUUUUGUUGAAUUAUCUUGUGCUCUUUCCAUGAAGUUGUUCUGAUAUUAAACUAUAGAUUUGAUUUCUAAAGAUUUAGGAGAAGAAUGAACUCAUAUUUUUUGGGAUUCAAUUACUUUGCUUGAGGACAAGCAAGAUUCUAGGUUGGGGGGAAUUUGAUAAGUGCUAAUGUGUAGUUUUUAUGAUUGAGAAAAUUGAACACUUAAGAAGCAGAAGAGGCACAUACACUAUUACAACCAGCAUGGGAAGAUUAGAUGUUGAGAUAAACUACCCAUAUUUUAUGGUGGAAAGACAUCCCAAACCUGUGGGUGAAGUGUGGAAAGUGGAGAUAAAUAUGAAGCAUUGAAAGAAUUAUUCAAGCUGGCAUUGACCGAAAGAAAGUAAAAACUUAAUUGGAUCACAAGAAGAUUUAGCUCAAGCUAGAGUAUUUAGCUUAAGCUAAAACUGUCCAGAGUUGAUUAAAGGUGCAAUACUAAUCUAGCCCAGGCUAGAAUUGCUAGCUCAAGCUAAAACUGUCUAGAGUUGAUUAAAGGUGCAAUCCUGAUCUAGCUCGGGCUAGAAUCGCUAGCUCAAGCUAAAAAUGCACCGAAAGAUCUAGCUUAAGCUAAAUUGGCUAGCUUGAGCUAAAGUUGAUUAUAUAAAUUUUGAAACACAACUCAAAAGGAAGCGGUGGAGAAAGAUUGAAUUUUUAUAGAGAGAUUAGUGAGAGAAGAAGGAAAAACCUUUGUUCUUAGGAGAAGAACUUGCUCAGAUCAGCCCUUCUUAUGCAAUCCAGAUCAAGAAUGAAGAUUGGAGGAGUUGUCAUGAGUGGCUAANNNNNNNNNNNNNNNNNNNNNNNNNNNNNNNNNNNNNNNNNNNNNNNNNNNNNNNNNNNNNNNNNNNNNNNNNNNNNNNNNNNNNNNNNNNNNNNNNNNNGUUAUUGUUGUAGUAUAUAUAUAUAUAUAUAUAUAUAUAUAUAUAUAUAAUAUUCUCUUUUCUACUUGUUCUUGGUAUUUUCAUUUUAUGCUUAUUGCUUGAUUUUGUCUGAUCAAUAGAUUCUUGAUUUUGAUCCUUAAAUUUAACUGGAAAGUACCUUUAAGGAUCUGAAAUAGACGAAAAUACUUGAUAACUUGUAAUGCUAGGAAUAUAUUCCAGGUUAUUAAUUGCAUCAUAAUUCUGUUCAUAAAGCUGGAUGAUUUGUUAGAUAUCUGAGGAAUCAGUAUUUGAGAAAUUAUCUUAUGAAUUUCAUUUGUGAGGAAUCAAGGUGAAUGACUUUAAAUUAAGCAUUAAGAAUAAGUAGUUUUGAGUAUUAUAUAUUGUAUUAUUCAAAAUACAGAUGAUUGAGAUCAACACAAAUCAAUCACAAGUAUCUUUCUCUAUAUUUGAUAAGUUGGUUUUGUUAUGUCUUGAAUCAAACCCUAACUCUCCGAGUUAUUUGUGAAAUCUUUAAUUUGGUUAUGAACAAAGUCUCAAAAUUAUUUUCUAUACUUAAUGAGUUUUAUAACAGAACAAUUUUAAUUAGAAUUGUUUCCUGUGGGUUUGACAUUCGUACUUUAAAGAGUAUAUUACAAUUGAUUCGGUACAUUUGCCGAAAAAUAUCAACAAUGCGUCCAGUAUCGUUUGGUACCAUAUUAUGAUAAAUAUUGAGAAACCUAUUUCCAACAAGGUCUCUUAAUUAAUUGGAUGAAAAAUUAUUUUUAAUCUACACGUAGGAUGCACUGAUUUACCAUGCUUAUCUCCCAUAAAAUAUUUCUGUAAUUGUUUUUAAUUACAAAUUCUUUUAAAUGUGUUAGCUGUUAUACAGUAUCAUUUUAUUAACAUAUUUCUGUUUUGUGUAAAUCAAGAUAUUAAAUAUUAAAAAUGGUAGAUAAAUAUAUGAUUACCAUAUAUUUUAAAUCUUUAAUAUAAUAAAAACAUUUUAAAAAAAUAUUUUUUAUGUUUAAGAAUGACAUAGACAAAAAAUUUCAAAAUAAUUUUUCUGCAGAUAUUUACGACAGCAUGCAAUUUAUGUUUAAGUAUAUCAAACGCAAUUUAUGUUUAAGUAUAUCAAACACUACCUGAAAACAGGGAUAGAGUUUACAAGUAAACGAUUUAUUCAUUGAACAAGAUAAUUUGGUGAAAGUCUGUGUAAGAGAAAAUACCAAUUAUUUGGUAUGCUCCAGUAUGAAAGCUACAAACAACCAGUCAGCUAAAGGGUUCAAUGUAAUAAAUGAUAUUAAGGUCAGGGUGGAGAAGGAGGGCCCCAAGUGGUAUCCUGUGGUGAUAUUCUUGCUCUGGCAACUCGAGACUCUGUGGUUUAUGUAAUGGAUACAUUUAUAUUUCUAAGAUUCUAUUUUUAUUGGAGUAAGAGUUAUCAAUUAUUAUGGCACUUGAACAGAUAGAAGUUUUGCAGUUAGGAAAACCUUCUUGGUAAGUGGGGUUGAAGAGAUUCUACAAUAGCAUGUAGAAGUGAUGCUGAUAAUAACAUUCCUGAGCCUUUCCUCAAUCCAACUGCUCUCAAAAACAAUUUUGCUAAUCUUUCAGGUGCUAUACUGAUUUGUUAGACGUCUUCAAUCAGUAAUGAAAAAUUGAAUAAUAGUGUUUCCAAUGUUUGAAUUAUUAAAAGUAAGGUGGCUGAAAUUUAAUAAAAAAAUUGAUAAGUAGUCCAUUUCUUUGAGAUUAAAGAAAGUAAUGUUGUGAUUCGGCCUUUUCAGAUUUUAUCAGAAACAUAUAGAUAAUCUUAACUUUUUUACAUAAAUACUGCAAUGUUUUUCACAUUUUCAUUUUUUAAAUAGCUUACAUAACUAUUAUAAUAUAAUUUAUCGUGUCCAUAACAAAGCAUCCUGUUCUAGAUAUUCUUGAAGCUGAUGAUCUCAGCACCAGAUUCCCCCUUCACUUCAAUUUUAUCAACCUUUUUAAAACAAGCAGGCUUUAUCAACUCUUCACUAGAUUCAACCUUCACUUCAACUUUAACAACCUUUUUAAAGUAAGCAGGGUGAUCCAAGUCAUCACUAGAUUCAACCUUCACUUCAAGAUCAUCCAAGUAAUCACUAGAUUCAACCUUCACUUCAACUUUAUCAACCUUUUUCAAGUAAGCAGGGUGAUCCAAGUCAUCACUGGAUUCAACCUUCACUUCAAGAUCAUCCAAGUCAUCACUAGAUUCAACCUUCACUUCAACUUUAUCAACCUUUUUAAAGUAAGGAGGGUGAUCCAACUCAUCACUAGAUUCAACCUCCAUUUCAAAUUUACACAACUCUUCAUAGUCAGAGAUCUGUUUUGCUAUGUAUUCUAAAAUCCAGGGAAGUUUGACUGCUGAUUCUGAGAAUUCAGCAAAUAUGUAUCAUAUACUACCAAAAUAUUUAUUUUGACAUGAUUGAAUAAUUAACUUAAAAACAAGUGUGCAGAAUUAGGUAUCAGUGAACGAAGGCUCCCAUGACACAAUCGCCAAAGGGACAAUCUUACCAAUACAUCAAGAUUCACCUUCACACAAAUUCAUGACUUACAAAUAGGGCAAGUACCCAUUAUAUUUUAGAUAUGAAGACAUUUCAUAGAGUUUCUUUCUUCUAAAAUUGUCUAUCUAGUUUCAUUAGACACCAAUGGAAAGGCAGGAUACUCAUCUUUUAACCGUAAAUAAAGAAUUAUCGGAAAUUCUGGGUGCAAUAUGCAAUAUUUUUAACAAUUCAACAUCCUUUGAUUUCCUAAUAAAAUCACAGAAACUUAGGACACAGAAACUUGAUAGUAAAUUAAUAUACCUUUGCCCGAGGAGAAGUCAAUGUUUUGGCCUUGGAUAGGUUCAAACCUUCAAACUCAUCAUUUUUCUGGCUGUUUUUUCAUCACAAAACCAUACACCACAGCAGUUAUAUGAAAGAACUUCCAACUAUAACAUUGAAUCCAACAAAGAGACGAAGGAAACAUAAAAUGUCAUGAGCAUGCACCAUAGUAAUGGCAAAACAGGACAGGCUAAAGAGGUCAAAUAAAAAAAAAGUAUCGGUUCAGGAAAGCUUUCACAACAUUACCAUGGUUAGAAUUUUAGUCCCCAAUCUCAUUAUUUUUCCGGUGUCCCAAAACUUCAAAAAACCCUCAAUUAUUUUCCCCGGGUCCCAAACUUCAAAAAACCCUCUCUUAUUUUUCUCGAUAAUGGUAUCUUAAAACUCAAUACAACUUCGACAAAAACACAAUCUACCAAUUUUUUUGAAGGUUAAUACUUACAGACUAUCAGAUAUCUUCAAAUUUGGGGUGCUGCUAACAGGAACAGCCACUGCCUUCCCUUUGUCCUUCUUUCUUUUAUUCGAAGAACGUCUUAGGCUGUACACUACUGAAAUAGGCUGAACAGGGUCAUAAGCCUCAACAUCAUCAGAAGCUUCGGCAUCAACAGCAUCAACAAUCUCUCAAGGAAAAAAAGAAAAAGAAAAGAAAUCACAGAGGGAUUAAACAUAGUUAUACGAAAGCUUGAAAUCAAAUAGCGAUAAUUAAAUACAGUGAUUAAACAUGGUAUAUUGAAAUUGAAUUUGUCAAGCGACAGUAGUAUUGCGAGGUGGAAUGUGUCUUUGGUUGCAAGAGAAACUAAAAUUGUAAAAUCAAUAAAAUAAGGAAGCGUGUGUACGGAUUGAAGGGAGGUUAUUGAAUCGGCGGCGUGUAGAGAGGGUGCUUUGAGAGAUGGUGUGGAGGGAACGGACGGUGAAGGAUGGGUAGGGUUUGGGGCAUUAUCGAGAUUGGUGGAGGCGGCAACAGUGUUUUCAGUGACACGUCUAUCGAGUGCAGAAGAGGAAGUAGUAGAAGAAGAAGAAGGGUUAGUGAUAUCGGAAAGAGGCUUUCUGCGAACGACCACUCGUCGUUUUCUGUUACCUUUCAUCCUUACUUGCGGAGUUGGAUUUCUAUUGCCGGCGAAAAACAAGUUAAACGUGUGUGAUGAAGCGAGUGCACAAACUUUACUGCAAGUGCGAGAAGGCUUAUUCUUUUUCUUCUUCUUCCCAGACACCAAGAAUUCGAUUUUUGUUUUUCUUUUUUUGUUUUCUGUUUAAUACCAACGCCAAGAACAAAGGCAAGCCUGCUCCUAUCCAAUACGGGCUUAGGCUUACUAAUUACAUUGAGGCUGAUUCUCCCUGGAGACAGCUUCUUCCUGCACCUCCAUGGCUUUUUGGGCACCCCAUACUAAAACCACAUUUACUUUUAUACCCUUCAAUAAAAAUAUUAAAAUAUUAAUUUAACUUACUUUAAUUUCACUUUCUCUUUCUCACCAUUUCACUCCCAGCAGCCGCAGUCCCAACACCACUUCGGACACCUCUUUCAAUGAGAAGGAUGCAAUGAGUGUCGGAUUAAGUAAUCCGGUAUAACUUAGGAUUCAAUGAUUCUCGGAUCACAUAAUCCAGUGUGUAUGAUUAGAGUUAUGGAUUACUUAAUCUGGUAGGUUUGUUUUAUUCUUGCGUAAUCUGAAAGUUGUAAUAUUUUUUUUUAAAGUUUUUCAACCCAUUUCAGUAAAAUAUAUUAUGUAGACAUGAUGAUAUUAUUCAUUGUCUCUAAAUAAUUGAAAUUGAUAUUGUGUUGUGGAUAGAUAUGGCUAAAACAAGAGGUGAUGGGGUCAUGAUCGCAGAAGACAGACGACAUCCGUUCAUAGAAGAGAGUUAUGUGAUGUUGAGAAAUUGAUUGAUGAUGAUGUUCAUAUUGAUAAUGAAAAGGAUUAUGGAUGAUGACCACUACCCCCCUUUCACAUCCUAAGACAUUUUCAUUUUAUUAUAAUUUUCAUAAAUUCACACAAGUAUGCAAAAUAAAAAUAAAAUUCACUUUCAUACUUAAAACUGACUUCCAAAUUCUAUAAUCCGUAAGUCAAAUUUUUUCUACACAAUGACUUCUGGAUUAUGUAAUCUGUAAGUAAUUUUAGAACUGCAAAAAUGACUUCCGAAUUAUGUAAUCCAUAAGUCAAAAUUUUCACCUGCAAAAUGAAUUAUGGAUUAUAUAAUCCGUAAGUCAUAUUAAUACAACAAAAUGGAUUCCGGAUUACCUCAUUCGUAAGACACAUGUGGAGUUUUAAAAUCACUUCCACAUUAUGUACCCAUACUUCAUUUUGGCACUGGAAUACACAAUCCGGAAGUGUUAAUUUGGUAGGUCCAGAUCCGGUAUACCUACAGAUUAUCUAAUCCGGUACGCUUUGCUUAUGCACUGGAUUAUGUGAUCCGUUGAUCUCUCAGAUUACAAAUUUUUUCCUUUCGGAUAUUCAUAUCCCUAAGUCAAAUUACAAAUUUUUGGAUGUACAAAUUCAGAACUAAUAUGUCACUUAUGGAUUUCACCAUCCGGAAACUUAUUUGGACAGCAUAAAUGAUAUUCUGGAUGUCAAGAUCCGUAAGCAAACAUAAAUAAGUUCUAGAUCUCAAUCCUUAGCACCAUUUACAACACAUCAUUCCGGAUAUGACCAUUCGAAAGCUUAAAUGAAAUAUGAAAAUGACCUUCCAGAUUUCAAAAUAAAAAAUUGUACAAAAAUGACUUCCGGAUAUUAAAAUCCAUAAACAAAUGUGUGAAAAGGACAGAAUGGAGUUUUAAAAUUUUUGUUGAGUGCAAGUAAAAAUUGAUUGGAUGCAGGAAGCAAUUGCCUUACAUUAAUACGUGGCAACAACGCGAGAUUCUGUUUAAUUUCUUUUAUAUAUUUUUUAGUUUUACAGAGUAUAUAUUUAAAAUUAAUUUUAAAAUAAUAUAUAAAAUCUAAACUGAAUUAUUUUGGUUAAAUAUAUUUUGGUGCCUGUACUUUCAUCUGAAAUAUUUUUUUAUGUAUUUGUAAUAAAAGAAAUUUAAAUAAUAAACAAUUUUUCAAUAUAAACUAAAAUAUUAAAAUAUUUUAUAAAAUUUAAAGUUUAAAUUAUAGAAAACCCCAAUUUCAUCUUUUAAUAAAAAAAAAACAUAUUUAAUCUAAUAAAUAACUUUAUUGCUGAUUUGAUAGAAAAAAGCAAUACCGUCCUUGAAAACAAAACCAGGGUAAGACUCCGCCGGUUUUACCUUCCAGUAUUACAUCAAAACACACAUGAACCCAUGAAAACAAAUCAAGGGGCACUCAAAUUACAAACUUACCCUUUCUCUCAUCUAUAAGGAAAAUGAUUGCUUGAUAUCUUGCGCCUGGAUACAACUGAAGUACGUGGCAGAUUUAAUGACAUGGCAAAGGGUAAAUGUGUCUUUUCGUUAAAUAAAUAAAAAUAAGGUUAAACAAAAUGGGAUUUUUGAUUUCAAUGAAAUUUUGGUUCUUUCGUUUAGGGUUUCAGCGUAAACCAGCUUGUGCCUUCAAUUUCAUAGGUUGCGCCUUCAAUUUACGCCAUCAAUUUGCACCUCCAAUUUCGUAGCUUACGCUUUCAAUUUACGGCACCAAACCUUCAAAUUCAUAGAUUGCGCCUUCAAUUUACGCCACCAAUUUGAACCUUCAUUUUCAUUUUCUGAAAGGGUUGGGAGAUUGCGAUUUGGGGCUUCAAAAAAGGUUUCUUUUCGUUUUUUUUUUUGCAUUAUGGUUGCGAUUUUUUUCUCUGCUUUUGUGAUUGGUUGGCAUUCAUUUUCGAUUUCAUGCUGUGUAUUUUGUAUUUCUGUUUUGGAUUGUGAUUUUAGGGGUUUGAUAGGGUUUCGUUUUGGGUUCUUAUUUUAGGGUCUGUGUAGGAUUCCGAUUUGGGAUUCUGGUUACAUAAUCUGGUUACCUAAUCUGCAAUGAUUAAAAUAAAACUAGACCAGAAUACACUCCUCCAUCACUGUAAUUGCUUUUCCACGCAAAAACACUCUUUGGUUAUGCUCAUCUAAACUAAUAUUGAAAUUCCUCCUCUGAGUGAUGUUUGUUACAAGUGUAAUUACACAUUAGUAUGACAAUGAGACAGAUAAUCCCAACGAGUGAAAGGAGAGUACCUGAUAAGCAUUCAAAUCAUAUUUCCCCAGCUUCUUGCUCCAUAUGAUUAGGUUCCCUAAUAUAUACGAAGGGAAAGUAAAAUAACAUAUCCUAUUCGAUGCAUGUAAAGUAUGGUAAAAAUAAAACAAAUAAAGAAGAAAUAAACCCUGUUUCUUUAGGUGGGUAAAUAGUGAGGGCAGACACCACCUAGGCAGAAGUUAUAUAUAUGAAAAAUCAAUGUUUCUUUAGGUGGAUAAAUACAGUUUUUUUUUCAGGAUAUAAUGGAGGGAGAUGCAGGUGAAGUCGAUGAUUUGGUUAUGGAGCACAAGGUCUGAUUCAACAAAAUCAUAAUUUGUGCACAACGCACACUGAUUUUUGUUUUUUGAUGAUUUGUUUUUUCGAUUUCAUAUGUAGGUGUUUCGAAAUUAUUGUAGAACAACUUUUCUGGGUGUAGUGAAUAAGAGGUUAACUGAUGAACAAAAGAGUUUCAUUCAAUCAACCCCAUUUGCAUGGGUAAUGUUGUUGGGUGACAAGGUAAAAAUGAGUCGAACCCUACUUAGGGAGUUGUGUUCUAGGUGGGUGGAGAGAAGACAAAGUUUCCUCAUAAGGUGUGAAGUUGUCCCGUUGUCCUUGGUAGAUGUUUGUUUAGGUUUGGGGUUGAGAGUUGUGGGAGAAAAAAUAGACUUGCACAAAGCAGCAGACGAAAGUCAUACUAAGACUUUAUUUGAAAGUAAUAAUAUCAAUGUCAAGAUGAUUUUUGAUGAAAUUAUGAAGUUUGACAAUGAUGGUUGCAUUGAGGACUUUUGUAGAUUGUACAUAUUGUUAUGCCUUUCAGAGUUUUUACUACCAAAUAGAAUGGGUAUUGUUCAUUCUGGGUUGUUUAGCGUUUUGGAUGAUUUAGGGCAACUAAAAAAGUUUAAUUGGGGUUUAGUAGUUUAUGAGUACUUAGUAAAUAGUUUGUGUUCAGCUUCGAUGUGUAUUACGAACGAAUCAAGUACAUCACAUAUCCACAUUUUUGGAUGUGUAUACUUAUUACAGGUACUUUGAAAUGUUUAUGUUUAUAUAAUUCAGUUCAUAUGCGUAAUUUAUUUCAUAUUUUAUUGAGCAUGAUUGAAAUUUUUAAUAUUGAUGGUAUAUAGAUAUGGGCAUUGGAGCAUUUGUUCUCAUACAAGACAAAAGUGCAUCCCAGAAGAAUAAAAUUUCCUAGAAUUUUGAAUUGGAUGGACUUUACAUUGGGGGACCAUGAAAUUGCAUAUGCGUUGGAAAAGAAUUUGGUAAGGCAUCAUUUUAAUUCAAAUAUGUAGGGAAAUAUUGUUGUUGAUGAUGUAGUAAUGCAUUGAUUUAUGUUUUCACUAUUAUUUACAUAAUCAGGUUAUUGUUCAUUUGCCUGUGUCCAAGGAAGAGUUUGAGAAUGUAAUUGUAAAAGAAGCCUUUGAAGAAGGUCGACAUGCAUAUAACAUCCUAAAACCAACAAAAGAUGAUAUUGGUAAAAUGCUUAAAAAACUGCAGAAAUGGUUCAUCGAGCUAAGGACAAGAUUAUUUGAUUACCAAUGUUGAGAAUAUUGUGAAGCAGUUAAAGCAAUGCAUAAGUGAAAUGCACAAGUCUGUUCCAGAAGAUUGUCCUUCACCUCUACUUGAACCACUAUCAGUGGAUUAUACAUAUAGGGAAAAGAAUGAGUUGAAUGAUAUUAAUGCAGGACAACAUGAACAAGAAGAUGUGGGAAAUCAAAAAGAUGAAGAAAAGGUGCCAAAUGAAGAAAGUAACAUGAUAUCACGCAUGAAACGUGAACCCAGAAUUCGGGUCAAGGCUCCUAUUUUGAAAACACCUUGGAUGACGUAUUCCAGGAAAAGAAGGAAGCGUUUGUAGUUGUAUAUGACUGAUUAUGUUAUUGUUAAUUUUAGUAUGCUUUUGGGACAUUCUACUAUUACACAAUAAAUAUUUUAUGUUUUAACUGAUAUUCAUAAUUUGAACAAGUACAAAAUUUAGCAACAUUACCGUAUUAGUCAUUACAAAUUCAUUGUCUAUUAAUAUUUAUUUUGAUGUUAAUGUAAAAUUGUAUAUUUAUUUACAUGUCAUAUGUUUAUGUUGUUUUAUUAGCUAUGACAAAGGUAUUGUAUGCAUAAUUUUUAACUGUCACAGUGCUCACAGUAUGUGGUGAUCCCUGUGUACAUAAGUGGUGAUCACAGUAUAACUUUCUGACCCAUGCACGAAUUGUGGAUUUUUUAAGUGGGUAUAUUUUGGAAAACCAGGAUGAAUUGUUGGACAUGUGGGAGGUGGGUGGAUGGUCCCAAGGUUAUUUUUGCAUUCUCAAUUGGUCAUGGGUGAUGUGGUGGUCAUUGGAUUUUCAUCCAUAUUAAGUGGGGAUGAGGGCACCAAUAAGUGGUGAUUUCAGUAAUAGUUUCUGUACACAUGACCUACUGUUUCUGAAUUUUACUUAAAUUGGUUCAUGCUUGACUUUUUUAACUGUCACAGUGCUCAGAGUAUGUGGUGAUUCCUGUCUACAUAAGUGGUGAUCACAGUAUAACUUUCUCACCCAUGCACGAAUAGAACAUAAUUUUCUUACAAAUAUUAUCAUUGACAAAGUUCAUAUCAAACAACAUUGCUGUAAGCAUUAACAUCCCAUUUUAAAAGGUGGGAUACACAAUAACCCACCACAAUUGCAAACUAAAUAAAAAUGCAUGACGGAUUGGUCACAAUGUGAAAUUCUUUGUUAAUAUCAUUCCAAAAGUUUGAACUUCUAACGUUGUGAUGUCACUUUAAAUUAUGGCCUGCAAGGAAAGCAACAUGCUUAGAGGUUUAAUUUAAGUGUAAAAUAAUUGUACUGGGUUCAACAUAACACAAGAACAAUUUUUAAUGUACAAACCUAUUCAAUUCUACUGCACUUGAAUGCUGUGAAUUAUUUACACUAUUAUCCAAUGAUGUCAAAAGCGAAAGGAAUCCUAUUGAAGCUCCGAUUGGAACCUACAAUUGCAAACAAUUGAAUGAAGGAAGCGAAAACAUGAAACAAACUUUCACACUUAUAACAACAACAAUAACUUACAGAAGGCCCUUCACUUCUGUGUUCGGCGUGAUUUUACCUCCAAUCCAUGGAGGUGGGCAGAACAAUUUCUUCAAUUUCAUGGUAAUGUUCAUCUUCUUUGCAAAUUUUGUGUUACACUAAUAACCAAACUUAUAUUUUUACGUGAUUACCUUGAAGGAGUAAUUGAUGGACAUGAUUGUGGCCAAAUGUCAUACUUGAGUGAAAUCAAACAAUCAACUGUAUUGCCAUUGUUGACUUGUGUCAUCAAAUCUUGCCACCGGAACGUAAUAGGAGGCAUGUCUAUAUGUUUAAAGGUAUGUUAUGUACUAUUGUUCUUCAUGUAAAACUGAUGCAUUUCAGACUAAAAUUGUGUUCAAAACAUAUGCAUUACAGGAUCCAAAAGGGAUAGCAAGCGCAAGUGUUCACCAAAAAGUGUUAAUUGAUGCAGAAUUUGGAGCUGACAUCGUUGUAGGAUCUGUAUUAGUCUUGAAAAAGGUACGUCAUCUAAAUCAUAUGUUGUUUAACACAAUUUUACUGUAUUUGAAUUUAUUAUCAUUUCUGCUUUUAGGUAAAGAUUUUUUCUCCAGAUCAAAGAGUCUUCUAUCUUCAAAUAACGGUCAAUAACAUUGUUAAGGUAUUUUCACUUAAAUGACAUAAAUUUACAAUUUCUUACAUUGUUGCAUUAACAUAUUGACAAUAAUUAGGUUUUCAAAUUUGACAUAUGUCCACCAACUGAAGAACUAAUUCGUGCUUCCAAGCCAGUCAUACGCGUUCCACCCAUUCUAGGUACAUGUACACCAUCAGAAAGUUUACAUAUAUGCAAUUAUGUAUAUAAUGUCACAAUUGAUAUUUAUAUUUUCUUUGCUCUCUGUAUUAUCAGAUGCAAAGUAUUUAAGAUUUUUCAAUGAGGAAGAAACUCGCAAAAACAAAAGCUGAAGAGGUUGUUUAUGACCAUGGUUGCUUUCCAUUGUAUGACAUGAAAAUGCAUUAGUAACUUUUAAAGUCAUUGUAUGAACAUGAUGCUUAUUAAUUAUGUGAGUUAAAGAUUGAAUUUCCACGUUUGUUAUUUUCCAACAAUUCAUCCUGGUUUUCCAAAAUAUACACACUUCAAAAAAUCCACAAUUCGUACAUGGGUCAGAAAGUUAUACUGUGAUCACCACUUAUGUACACAGGGAUCACCACAUACUGUCAGCACUGUGACAGUUAAAAAAGUCAAGCCUAAACCAAUUUAAGUGAAAUUCAGAAACACUACGUGCUGUGUGCAGAAACAAUUACUGAAAUAACCACUUAUUGGUGCCCUCAUCCCCACUUUUUAUGGAUGAAAAUCCAACGACCACCACAUAACCCAUGACCAACUGGGAAUGCAAAAAUAACCUUGGGACCAUCCACCCACCUCCAACAUGUCCAACAAUUCAUCCUAGUUUUCCAAAUGGACCCACUUAAAAAAAUCCACAAUUCGUGCAUGGGUCAGAAAGUUAUACUGUGAUCACCACUUAUGUACACAGGGAUCACCACAUACUGUGAGCACUGUGACAGUUAAAAAAGUAAAGCCUAAACCAAUUUAAGUGAAAUUCAGAAACAGUAGGUGCUGUGUGCAGAAACUAUUACUGAAAUCACCACAUAUUGGUGCCCUCAUCCCCACUUUUUAUGGAUGAAAAUCCAAUGACCACCACAUCACCCAUGACCAACUGGGAAUGCAAAAAUAACCUUGGGACCAUCCACCCACCUCCAACAUGUCCAACAAUUCAUCCUGGUUUUCCAAAAUAUACCAAGUUAAAAAUUUCCACAAUUCGUUCAUCAGGCAUAAACUUAUAUUAUCAUCACCACUUAUGUACACAAUAAUCACCAAAUACUGUGAGCACUGUGACAGUUAAAAAAGUCAAGCCUAAACCAAUUUAAGUGAAAUUCAGAAACAGUACGUCCUGUGUGCAAAAACUAUUACUGAAAUCACCACUUAUUGGUGCCCUCAUCCCCACUUUUUAUGGAUGAAAAUCCAAUGACCACCACAUCACCCAUGACCAACUAGGAAUGCAAAAAUAACCUUGGGACCAUCCACCCACCUCCAACAUGUCCAACAAUUCAUCCUAGUUUUCCAAAAUAUACCCACUUAAAAAAAUCCACAAUUCGUGCAUGGGUCAGAAAGUUAUACUGUGAUCACCACUUAUGUACACAGGGAUCACCACAUACUGUCAGCACUGUGACAGUUAAAAAAGUCAAGCCUAAACCAAUUUAAGUGAAAUUCAGAAACAGUAGGUGUUGUGUGCAGAAACUAUUACUGAAAUCACCACAUAUUGGUGCCCUCAUCCCCACUUAAUAUGGAUGAAAAUCCAAUGACCACCACAUCACCCAUGACCAACUGGGAAUGCAAAAAUAACCUUGGGACCAUCCACCCACCUCAAACAUGUCAACAAUUCAUCCUGGUUUUCCAAAUAUACCAAGUUAUAAAAUUCCACAAUUCAUGCAUGGGUCAGAAACUUAUACUGUGAUCACCACUUAUGUACGCAGGGAUCACCACAUACUGUGAGCACUGUGACAGUUAAAAAAGUCAAGCCUAAACCAAUUUAAGUGAAAUUCAGAAACAGUACGUCCUGUGUGCAAAACUAUUACUGAAAUCACCACUUAUUGGUGCCCUCAUCCCCACUUAAUAUGGAUGAAAAUCCAAUGACCACCACAUCACCCAUGACCAACUGGGAAUGCAAAAAUAACCUUGGGACCAUCCACCCACCUCCAACAUGUCCAACAAUUCAUUCUGGUUUUCCAAAAUAUACCAAGUUAAAAAUUUCCACAAUUCGUUCAUCAGGCAUAAACUUAUAUUGUCAUCACCACUUAUGUACACAGUAAUCACCAAAUACUGUGAGCACUGUGACAGUUAAAAAAGUCAAGCCUAAACCAAUUUAAGUGAAAUUCAGAAACAGUACGUCCUGUGUGCAAAAACUAUUACUGAAAUCACCACUUAUUGGUGCCCUCAUCCCCACUUUUUAUGGAUGAAAAUCCAAUGACCACCACAUCACCCAUGACCAACUGGGAAUGCAAAAAUAACCUUGGGACCAUCCACCCACCUCCAACAUGUCCAACAAUUCAUCCUAGUUUCCCAAAAUAUACCCACUUAAAAAAAUCCACAAUUCGUGCAUGGGUCAGAAAGUUAUACUGUGAUCACCACUUAUGUACACAGGGAUCACCACAUAUUGUGAGCAUUAUGACAGUUAUCACAAUAGUAUCACGGUUAAAUUUAAAUAAAAGAUGCAAAAUUUAUUGUCUAUUAAUAUUUAUUUUUAUGUUAAUGUAAAAUUCUAAAUUUAUUUACAUGUCAUAUGUUUAUGUUCUUUUAUUGGCUAUGACAAAGGAAUUGUAUGCAUCAUUACAUUUAUACUAAUAGGUUAUUUCAUUAAUAUGUACAAAACUAAUGGCCGAGUUCACGAAUUAUUCAUGUUUUGAACUGAGUUCUGUUAAGAAUGAGGAUGAAUUCAUGGACAUAUUGUUGGUGGGUAUAGGGUUUCCCAUGGUAAUUUUUCCAUUCCAAGUUGAUGAGGGUGAUGUCGUGUGGUGGUCAUUGUGUUAUCUCACACAAGAAGUGGGGAUGAGGGCAUGGAUAAGUGGUGAUAUGUGUAAUACUUUCUGCAUACAACACAUGGUGUUUUGGGAUUUAACUGGGUUGGUGAAGGAUUCAAUUUUCUAGUGUGACAGUGGUCUUGCUAAGUGGUGAUGCCUGUCUAAAUAAGUGGUGAUUAAGGUAUAACUUUCUGCCCAGUGGACAAAUUAUGCAUGUUUUGAACUGCCUUUUUGUAAGAAUGAGGAUGGAUUGAGGGACAUAUUGGUGGUGGGUUUCCCAGGGUAAUUUUUGCAUUGCCAGUUCAUGAGGGUGAUGUGGUGUGGUGGUCAUUGUCUUAUCUCACACAGGAAGUGAGGAUGAGGGCAUGAAUAACUGGUGAUAUGUGUAACACUUUCUGCACACAACACAUACUGUCUUGGGAUUCAAUUUUGUAGUGUCACAGUGGUCCUGCCUUGACGUUUUAAAUGCCAAAGAUUGUAUAGACUGACACUUAUAUAACAUCAUUUUUGUGCAAAUAUUAUGAUUGACAAACUUGCUAUGAAACAACAUUGCUAUAAAUAUUGACAUCCCAUUUCAAAAGGUGAGAUACAGAAAAGGAGACCACAAAAGCAAUCAAAAUAAAAAUGCAUCUGAGAUAGGUCACAAUGUGGAAUGAAAUACAAUUCAAGAAACAAAAUAAAAAAUUAUUAAUAAAAUAAUAAUAAUUUAAUAUAAAUUAAAAAAGAAAACGAAAAAGUUCACUCUUAAUGAAACAAUAAUAAACCAACGAAAAAUUCAAUAAUAUAAAAUAAGUACUCCAUUAAUGAUCAUGUACUUGUACAUUUAACACAACGCUACCACACUCAAUUUAAAAUAAAAGAUGCACAAUUUUUUUCAACUACAACUGUAACCUCUGUUACAUGGUGCAUGUAACUUUAGAAUUGCAAAGUUUGUAAAACAAUUCAUAUGAAUAACUUAUCAUCAAUGUUCACCAUUCAACUUCAAAUCCGUCAAAAUAUUAUCUCGAUAUAUAUUUCGAGGAUCAAAUAGCCACUUGCACACCAUUUCUUGUCGCAAAACUUGGAGAUCCUCCUAAAAUGUACAUGUUUAAUUCAGUAUACCACAAUGUCAAUGUAGAAAAUGAAACUGUGAAAUCUAUAAAAUUAAUAAGUACCGUAGUGUAAUUUGGCAUCGUCUUGCCAUUAAAGUCAUCUCUCCCAUUCCAUAUCUCCAUAUAUUUGAUUACUAUAACCCCACAAUCAUACCUGCAUACAUGAUACAAGAACACAUGAAUUAAUACGAUAUACAUAUGAAUCAACAUAACAAGUACGGUUGUUUUAUAUAUUUACGUGUUUGGUUGGGAAGGAAGACGUUCUUGUACAAUUUGAAUAGGAGGACUGGUUGUUUGAGCAACAUUGUCAACAUAAAGAAACAACUGUUGAAGUUGAUUGACCUACACAUAUCAACAUUAUGACAAUCCUUCACAUUCAACACAAAUCAAACACAAUUAUCAAUUCAUUCACUCUUAAACAUACUCCAAGUACAUACCAUUGCUUUGUCAAUUUCUUUACGUUCGACAAUACAUCCAGGAAGGGAAUCCAAAACAUGCAAUUCCAUAGUAUCACGAUUCAGGACGUAGCACCACCAAUGGUCUCUAUAAAUCGUGGGGACAAACACCUACAUGUGUGAAUAUAUUUUAAAUUUAACGUAACAUGAAAAAAAAAUCAUUAACAGGUAAUUAAGGAUAAAUAAAUAAACCACUCACAAAUUCACACUGUGAUAGCCCUUCUAAUUCAAAGAAACCCUUUUUAUAAAAUGACAUGUAGUCCUUCUUUUGCCAAAUUGUGGGACUCAUGGUCAUUUCUUUGAUCACGCGACUCUAUAACAAACAAUAAGUACUGUUAACAUUAACUCCAUAAAAAAAACAACAAUAAAUUCACACAGUUGACUUACCGCAAAGAAAGAAUUAAAGCAAAAGCGGUCAAUCCCUCCAGUUCUAUGAUAUUCAUCAAGCAUGAAGAAACCAGUUGCAAAUAACAUAACCUAAAAAUACAUUGCAAGUAUUUCAAUUUACAAACUAUAAUUCAAUACAAAUCAAAGGUUAUAGAAAGAAAUGUACCAUGUCAUUAACUCUUGACCUGGGACUUAAUGAAUGCAAGUCAGCCCCAAUCAAUAUCAGGUUUUUGAUGUCAACAACAACACUGCAACAAGACAAAAAAUAAAAGCUCAAAGUAACUGACUUAAAUAAGUUAAUUAAGUAAUGGUAAUUAUCACCAGUUCACUACAUAUUCACAUACCGGUUUAAGUACAGUCCCUGCAAUGAACACAUUAUUGUAUAUAUCUUCAUUCCAUCAAGGGGUAUGUCUUCAGCACCACUGCCUUUGUCUUCAGCACGAGCACUAGGUUGGUCUUCAGUAGAAGGAAUUACUAAUGACCAAUGAUUUACUUGGUGCCCUUGUUCUUGCAGAAUUGUAAUUUCCUUCUGCAGAUCACAUAGCCUCUUGUCAUUGGCCAUAAUUUGCUUUUGGGAAAGUUCAUGUUGUUGAACAAUUGUUUCCCAUUCACUAAAAGAAGGGCCAGUACAUUCAUGUUUUUCAUGUGAACUAACACGUACGGCUUCAAUAACAAUAUCCAGCCUUCGUUCUUCUUCAGUCAAGGGCCAUUCCCAUGAAAUUUGAAAUACAAAAUUAUUUAUUAUGAUAAACAGAUAAACAAAUUAAGCCAAAAUUAUCAACCACAAAGUUAAGAAUAUAAUCUACCUCAGCUAAUAAAAAAGCAUCAUGUAUCUUUCUUGACCGAAGGUUUACGCACGACCAUUGCAAAAAUCGAGGGAAACGAGAAUUAUUUCCCGCUUUGCCCAGCCCAACAUGUUCAACUGCCCACAGCUGUUGCACAAAAACAUUACUAAAUAAAAACCUUCAUUUUAAGAUUAUGAACAUUACAUUAUAUCGACCAUUGUCCUGAAUUGAACAUACCUGCAAUACAGCAACACAACCAACUAAGUAUAUCUCACACGGAUUCUUUUGUUGGUAAUAUACUUUAGAAGCCCGAGUUAUACUGGAAACAACUGAUUCAUGAACUGCACCCCCCCAAUUGUACAUGUGGAGUGCAUCUAAAUUGUCUAAAAGUCUAAAAGGAAAGCUAAAAAAAUUCUUAUAACUCCUAGGAAAAUAAAAAACAACAAAUGAAAGCAAAAUGUAUAACCUACAAAAAUCAUCAACAUUUUGUCUCAGUCUAAAUUUUUCAUCACUCAUUUUCUUCAUAAUAUUACGUACAUUAAUGUCCUCUCCGGCAAACAAAUGAUUCACCAACCCUUCUGUAUCAUCCUCUAAAUUUACAACUUCCCCCCCCCCCAACACGCAAUCCCAACCCCACACAGAUAUCCAUAAGUGAUAAAGGAACUAAUUUUUCCCUAAACAUAAAACUUUGCUUACUCCCAUUCCAUCUACUUAGGAGUUCUCUUAGAACGGUACUUGAUAUUUGCAUUAUGUCUUCUACUUCAGCAAUCCACUUAAAAAGAGUUUGUUGUAUCCUUUCUCGUUGAAAAGAAGUCAACCUACGGUUCACUUCAACAAUGUACUCUAUUUGCACUGUGUGUCUCACUCUAACCUAGAAAUUCAAAGCACAUUAUAAUUAAUAUUUAAUUCAAUUCAAAAAUAUAAAAAAACUAUUAACAACCUUACAAUAUAACCAAUCUUACAUUAAAGUCCUUUUCUUGACUAUCACUUUGUCUUGAACUUGAAGUCAUGUUGCAAACAAUAGGAAAUUGGUAAUUCUACAAAAAAUUUCAUCACAUUAAAGUAUUGAACCACUUCCAAUGACCUAUUUUAGUAUUACAUUACACCCUCCAAACAUUAUAUUAUACGUGUACACUAAAACACAUAUAUUAAAUAAGGUCAAGCAUACACAACAUACAUUUCAGCUAAAAACAAAAGCAAGUGUUGAUAUAUUUAUUCCUAUUUUCAUAUUCUAACAACACGAAUCAUUAAUUUUUUUUGGAGUCUUGAUAUACCUACAUUUUUUCUUCCCAAUGUUUUGUGUAUUGGGUGCGCCUACUUUUAUGGAUUUUCAAUCACUACUAAUUCUUACUGUUUUAGAUAACAAAUGAAGCUGAAGCUAAGAUUAUUAUUUGGAAUGCCUUUAUCUUAGUAAGUUUAAUCUAUGUACCAUCAUUAUACAAUGUAGAGCUGCAAUCCAGUUUUUGGCAAUGUAUUUCUUGUUUUGCAGCAAUGAAAACUUUGAUAACACUAGUGCAUUUUGUUCAUAUCAUCUCAGUUUGUCUAGCUAGUAUAUUUCCUAACAUUUUCUUUCAUGUAAUUUACUAGUCACUUUUGGGUUUUAUGGACUCAAAAUAUUAACAAAUGAGUUUCCUAUGGAACAUGAAUAACCAAAAGAAAAUGAAGAAACAGAUCUUAAUUUAAUCAUAUUCAUCUUAUUUUUGUUCAUAGUAUAGUAAUCUUACAAAAUACAACCUUUUAAUACCCAAGUCAGCAGAAUAGUAUAUUUGGCUUACUUCAUAAAAGUGAUUUCAACAAUCAUGACGAUAACAUUUUCAAACACAUUCCUAUAAAAAAGAAAAAUGGUUUUAUAUAGUAAAGAGCUUUAUAUAACAAAAAAAUGCUUUCAAAUAAAGAGUUGAUCUCCACCAGCAUACCUUUCCAAACUUGAGGAUCAAACUCUUCACUAAAGAGCUUAUCUCUUUCUUUCAUGUGUAUAAGAUCUCAAAGUUUUCUACUAAUGCAGAGAUUUAUACAGUACUUCAAAUAUCAUACUUAGUUUUCCAAAAAACUCAAAAGCUCGAGAUCAAUUUAAACAACAUAUAUGUUCUUUUAUACACUCUCGUAAUAUCCAAUUUCGUUCUUCUUUUUUCUUCAACAUUUUUUAAGUUGAUUGGUGUGCCUUAUGGACUAUGUUUUCAACAAUUACAAGAUAUAUGGAAUCAACUACAUGUUGAUGCAAAUGGUGUUAUCGACUUUCACGAGUUCAAGGUAAUAUAGCAAGCCUUCAUUUUUGGAUGAUAUUUAGGAAAUCCAUGCACUUGCAUGUGCCUAAUGCAUGUUCAAUUUUACCAUUGUAAAGGCCUUAAUCUUAAUGGUAUUCUGAUAUAAAAAGUUAACCAUGAAAUGUAUAACGGUGGGGACAUCCCUGAAAUCUUUCAUUUUAUUUUAUUUAUUUAUUGUAAAUAAAAAAAAUAGUUGAAUGAUAUGUAUAAAAAAAACUAAUGAAAAUAGGAACCAUGAAAAAAAUUCAUCCUACAAUACCCUCCUAAAUUUGAAGAUUUCUUAGACAGUAUACAGAAUAUGUAUCAAACUUGGAUAUCUUCAUACAAGAACUUUUACAAUUUAAGAACUCAAGGAUUGUAUAAUAGCUAGGAACAAAAUCAUUAUGAACAUACAAAAAUGGGAACAAUAUGGACAGUGAAGGUGCAACGAAUGCAAAUCAGAAUUCACUAAUAUUGCCUCAUCAAUUGGGAGACGGAUAGUGGGAUGAAGCAUAUAUGAAUUGCAAUCUCACUUUCUGCCACAGUUUUUUAUUUUAAACAAUGAAAAUAAAUAGUUUACAAAAGCAGAGAACCAUUAUUCUUUUAGGAAUCAAACUAGAAAACAUUGAAAGAGAGUUUUGUCAUGUGACAUGCCUACUUCAGUUGCUUAUUGCUUACACCAUGAAUUACUUAAAACAAAUAAAGCAUUCUAUCAACUUCAAGUGGUGGCCAAAAGUCUGGUCCCAGUCAAUUACAUGAAAAAUUGAAUUUCUUUCAUGGUUCUGAUGCACGUUAUGUAAGGGAAAAUGAUUUUUAGACACCCCAGUUUUACCACCAUCACUAUUGCCAUUCACAUCACUAUUUUUACCAUACUUUAUAUGCAUUGAAUAGGAUAACCCAAAACAAAACCCUAAAACCAAAACCCAAAACAAUACCCUAAAAUCAAAACCCAAAACGGAACCCUAAAUAACCCAUAAAAUUCAAACUCAAAUAGAAAUCCUACAUAGCUACUAUAAUGCAAUAAAAUUCUAAACCCUAAACAAAAACUAACCUCCAAAAAAGUUCCAAAUCGCACGCACACCAAAUGUCAACCCAGAUUGAAGGCGUAAUCUCCCACCGAAUUGAAGGCGCAAGAAUCUCCCCAAACCCAACACUGCCUGAUAAAUGAGGAAAACAGCUUUCGGAAAAACAGAAAUACCCAGGAGCACCGUUUGAUAAAUGACGAAAGAAAGCUUUCCAAAAAACGCGUAUAGGAAUUUUUUAUUUUUUUUGAAAAAGACAAAUUUGCCCCUGCCAUGUCAUAAAAUUAGCCACCUAAGCAGGUUGUAUAGAGGCGCACCCACCUUUCGGUUGUUCACGUAUCACUACUCCAUCUAUAAAUACUUCUAACUUCCAAAGUAAAAGAGAAAGCAACAUAAAAAUUCAACAUGGAGGCAAUUCAAUCAUGGAUUUCAAAUCACAAGCUAGGAACACUUUGCUAAGAUCAAUUUAAGAUAUUGCAAUUGCCAUACAAAUUUUUUUAAUUUAUAAUUAAUCAAUAAAAUAAACAAGUUAAAAAAAUUGGAAUUGCCAUACAAAUUUUAGCAUGAAAGAUCCUUGACAAAGAGCGCAUAAUGCUAAGUAAAUAUCGAGUUAAAGAAAUUCCAACAUAAUUCUUAUGGUAAGUAAAUACCGAGUUAAAGAAAUUCUAACAUAAUUCUUUGAAUGCAACAAAAAAAUAAUAUCAUCUCUUAAAUUAAAAAAAAAUGCAAAAUAAAAAAAAAUCACAAAAGAGUAUUUACUUAUUUUCUUUGAUUCUGAUUCUUUCUCAAAUGUUUUCGGAUUUGUGAACUGAUUAUUCAUAUUACUAUUUAUAGAACAACCAUCACUGUCGAAAUAUAACUAAAGAAAUAGUAACCUUAUUAAAAAGUUUGAAUAUUAUUUUCCUACACAAAUUACCUCACAACAUUUACAUGUAUCAUAAGAAGAAAAUUCAAGUUAAAUAAAAAAUAAGUAUUUUAUUAUUUAUAUUUAUAAAAGUUGUAUGUAUUAUAAAACCAUUUUAUUUUUUAUUUUUCUAACAUUUUUCAAGAAUUGAAAAACUUAUGAUUUCUUUAUAGAUUUCUGAAUAAUUUUUUUCUCAUCUCUUAUAUGAGAGUCCAUGAGCUAGAAAAUAAUAAAGUAUAAGAUAAUCUAAUUUGGUUGGAUCUUAGUUUUGAACAGUUUUUUUUUUCUUUUGUGUUUUCAAUUCUCUUAAUUUUUUUAAUACUUGUGAUGUCUUUUACUCUAUAUGUAUUAUUGAGUCGAAAAAAUAAUUUUUUACGAGUGUGAUAAAGUUUUUUAAGAGCAAAAUAGGGUUUUCUUGACUUUUCUAAUUUUGAAAUAAUGUUUAGGAGUAUUAUAAUUAUGAUAAGAGAAGCUAACUUCAUUCACUUAUUUUGAAAAGAAAUUGACUAUUUUAAAAUGGAACUUUGAUGACAUCAAACCUUAGGGUAGACACAUGUGAAUUUAUUUUUUUGGUGGUUGAUUUAUGACUGGAUUUGUUGAAUGUUGAUUUAUGUAUAUAUUAAUGAGAAUAUGAAAAGGGAAUUAAAUUGAGGUUAUAAAUCUUUAAUUUUGGAUAAGUUAUGUUUUAAGUAGAAAUACUCUAUUAUUUCAUAGGUGAACAAUUGAUCUUAGUUAAGUUUAAAGAAGUAAAACUGAAGUAAUUUUAAAUAUUUACAAAUUGAAAUAAUUCUAAAUAAAUGACUAGAGUGCAAAUAGAAAUUAUGGAGUGGUAAGGAAGACAUGAAGGUCCACAUGUCAUUCCUUCAAUGAAGAGGAUUUCCACCAAUUAAGAAGAGUAAUUUGUCAACCUCUAAUUCGAGAGGAUUUGCUCCAAUGAGAGAACACAUAUUGACAUCACUACUACCGAAAACAACAUUAAUGACGAUUAAAAAGAGUAUUUGAAUGCGAUUCUAAAACUGUCGUUAAUUUGAGUGUAGUUAUAAAUCAACUAUUUAUAACGACAGUUCUAGAACCGUCAUUAAUUCAGAAAAAUAACAAAUUAAAAAAUAAAAAGCUGGCGUGGAAACGGAGGGAGAAACUCCAAUGGGGGGCGGCUAGGCGUGGAGGUCACAGUCAGAACAGUGUCGCGCAGAGCUGGAGUGCGGAGUUAGCGCGUUUUCGGUGAGGUGCGAUUGAGGCUGAGGGUGAAGGUUGUGCGACAGUCAGUUGCACGACAGUCAAUUGCACAGUGGCAGUUUCGGGGUGUGGUGGAGGUCGCGACUGAAGUGUGGUGGCAGAGAGACGAAUGUGUGAGAGUUAGAGUGAGAGAAGUGAUAUUGGGAAGAAUGAGCGAGGGACAAAAUAAGAGAGGAAGACGCGUGUGACACAACACUUUUCAAUUUUUUUUUACAUUUUUUAACGACAGUUCCUCCCAAAACCAUCUUUAUAUCUCUCCCAGAACAGUUUUUAACGACGGUUCUUCCCAUAACAAUUUUUAUACCUCUUCCAGAACCACUUUUAGGGUCUGUUUGGAUUGGGGAAGAGAUUUGUGAGGAUGGGAGGGAGUGGAUUUGUGAAGAUUAGAGAUGAUGUGUGAGGUUGUUUGAAUUGAAGGAUGAUAGAGUGAAUUUGUGAUGAUGGUUUAUUGAGAUUUGUGAGUAAUGUGAUAGUUAGAAAGGAAUUUAUAAAUUUUUUUAAAGGUGUAAAAUGUAAGUUUACAAAUUUACCCUUUCUAUUAAAAAUAUUUAAAUAAUGAGUUAUGAUAUUUUUUUUAGGUUUGAAGUACUAUCAAAUAUUUUUUUUAGGUUUCAACUACACAACUCCAACCACUCAAAAUAUAACCUGAAAAGCAAGAGAAAAUAUAAAUAUAAUUUUUUAAAAAUUAAAAAAACCAACAAAAAAAGAAACACAGUAAGAGAAUCGAUUCUCUAUGUAGUUCAAAUACAAGGAGAAUCGAUUCUCUAUGCAGUUCAAAUGUAAAGAGCAUCGAUUCUCAAUGACACCAAAGAAAGCAAAAUCGAUUUUCAUGACUAAAAGCUAAACAAGAAUCGAUUUUUCUUUCCAUACAAAAUCUCCAAAAUCGAUUUUCCUGUAUGACAAAAUCGAUUUUCGUUCUCUACACAUUGCAUGCAAAAUCGAUUUUACCUUUUCCAAAAUUCUUUGAUUCCUUGCACAGUGCCCAAUUUGAGAAAAUUGUGAUGCAUGCACAUGUUAGGGUAAGGGUAUCAACGUAAAAACGUAUGUUCCUACGAAUAAUCAUCUCAAAUCCGCGCAUUUGUGUGAAGAUGGCAAUUUGCUAGCUACCCGCUCCUCCAUUCGCACAGGCACCUCCAAAACAGUGGAAACAAACAAGGUAGUCACCCGCUCGCCAAUCCUCAAUCCAACCUCAUCCGCAGAAGCAAACAGGGCAUUAAUGACGGUUCCCCUAGAACUGUCGUUAAAAAACAAUAUAAUUACGGAAUUGCCACCGUUUUUUUUACGACAAUUUUCUACUAACCGUCUUUAUAUGGAGUCGUGGUUUUGGUAUUUUUUACUAGUGCAUCAUUUGAAUGGAGAUGAUUCUUUACAAUUAGAGGAGGACACUUGUCAAUCUAGGAGUGAAGGGUUUUUAGGCUAAACUUUUCAGAAUUUUGGCACCUCUUAGCACUAUAAAUACAAGUGUUAUAAAUGAGUUUAGAAUUGAUAAAUAAAUAUUGCCUAAGUUUGUGCACAAUUUGUCUUCUUUGCUCAUUUUUUGUUAGCACUAGUUUUGUGUCUAAAUUAGAAUUACUUAGAAUUUUGCCUCACCUCUUCUAAGUCUCUAUAUUCACUAACCAAAUUUAUCUUCUCCAUUCAGUUUUCUUCAUCCAUUUAACCCACACAAUGCAUCCAUCAAACCACAACAUAUCAAAAAUUACAAAGAGCUACAUGGAUUCAACAUAGGAUUACAUCAAUAUCAUUAUGCGAUAAUCACAUGACAACCACGAUCAACAGACAAUUGGCUUUCAUUGGGCCAUAUUCGCCAGUCUGUACACUCUGAGACCCAAAACUACAGCUACAAAUCUCAGAAGGAAGGUAAUGAAACUCGUAUACUAAACAUCUAGCAUUCUAACCCUUAAAAUUAACUUGAGCGUUAGAGUGUCAUCAUAGGUACAUAAUAUAUAUAUAUAUAUAUAAUAUUCAUUUUCAGAUUGAGUUUUAUGUCAUAUUCAAUGUCUGAUGAGCAUUGAUUAGGUAAUAUCACUUUUAAGAAGAUGAAUAUUUUGGAGUGAACUGUCUUAGUGGGAUAAUAGUGGUGUAGGGAAUAAGUGGAAGAUUAAAGGAAUGGUAUGAAUCUCAUAUCAAUGGUUGUUGCUUGUUAUUGCUUUUAAUUUGUAGGGGUCAAAGUUGUUUAUUGCAAGCCACCUCUAGACUUAGCUUAAUGUUUGUUGAUUUUGGCUUAAGAGAUGUGUGACCAUGUGAUCUAUUUUGAUAAGGUUCCAUGUAUGCUUAUGUUCUUCUAUGUUAAACUCUCUCUCAAUGCACAAGGCUGCCCAGUAGGUAUGAGGUCUGAAACUUUUAGGCUUUAACAUAUAGUUAUGUUUUUUGCAAUCAACCCCGUGUAAAAUGUCUCAAAUUGGUUAUAUAUUAGGUCAGAAGUUGUUUAACUUUAAAAAGUAGCACUAGCGCAGAAAUGCUAAUCAAAUGCGGCUAUUUUACAUUUACAAAUGCGGUUAUAGAGCCGCAUUUGAUCAGCACGCAGUUGUAAAUCAGAGAAAUACAAAUGCGGCUAUAGAGCCGCAUUUGUAAAUGCGAUUUACGAAUGCGGUUAUUUGAAAUAACCGCAUUUGUAUAUUCUUUUGAAUGAGCUCGCAUUUGUAUAUUCUUCUGAAUGAGCAGGGGUUUUAGGGGCACGUUGUUGGUGAAGAGUGGAAGGGGAGAAGAGGAAACAUGGCAGCUGCGGUGAGUGCGGCGGCGGAAGCGGUGGCGGAGCGGCGAGAGCGAAAUGCGACAGCGGCGGAAGCAAUGGAAGAGUACACCUUCAAAAUGCAGAGCGAAACCCAUUAAAAACGAAAGCAAUAUGGAAAGCGAAAGCCAUUGGAGUUCAAUGCAGUUGUUAGGAGCAAUGGAAACAAGAGAAUAAGGGGCAAUGCAGUUACGUACCUUCGAAAAUGAAGAACUUCGCAACCAGAGAAAACGAAGAACAUAUAUGAGCGCAAACGAAGAAUGAACGAAACUGUUGAGCGCCUAAAAUUUUUAGGGUAAAAACCAUUUACAAAUGCGGUUAUUUAAAUAACCGCAUUUGUAAAUCAAGCUUUCUGAUUUACAAAUGCGGUUAUUCAAAUAACCGCAUUUGUAAAUCAAGCGUUUUGAUUUACAAAUGCGGUUAUUCAAAUAACCGCAUUUGUAAAUGGAAGCUCUUGAUUUACAAAUGCGGUUAUUUAAAUAACCGCAUUUGUAAAUCAAAAUAAUUUCAAAAAUGCCACCGCGUUUUUUACGAAUGCGUUUAAGCGCUGAACCGCAUUAAAUAAGGAGCGUUCUUUUCUUAUUUUUGUACUAGUGUAGGGAAAGGUUUUAUGCAUUUUGUGUAAGGAAUAGCUUCGAGUUAUACCUUCGCUCAAUCCUUCUUUUCACUGCCUCAACCUUCACUCUCGCUUCCUCCCUGACCUCAUCCAGCAAAUCUAACUACUGCUAAUGUCUGUAACACCUCCAAAUUUCUAUUAUGAAGUAGGGAAGGAAAAACCACAAUGUGACUAUCACCACCUUGGCGCAUAGGUGCAUUGAUGUGUUACAUGAAAUCAAACUAAUAAAAAGACUGCAUCAUUGGAGUUUGAUUGUAAAUCUUUUGAGGAAGGGAAGUCAUGCAACCUGAACCUGUUGGAAUGUGCUCAACAACUCUGCCUCUAUAAGAAAUGCAUUAUUUAGACAGAAGUUAAGGAACAAUUUUUUUGGUUUUUAGAUUUGAUGUUAGCACAAACUUGGAUUGAGGACAUGUUAAAAGCUUUCAAAGCUUUUUUGGAGGCUGAAAGCCCAAUUUUUUACAUGACAUAUAAACUCUCUUUUUGUAAUAGGAUUAGGAUUGAAAUAUUUCUAAAAUAAUCUUAUUUAUUCAUUCAUUCUUUUUUUUUUCUGAUAAAAAAAUAAAAAUAAUCAAUAAAUUAAAAGUAUUAGGGUACUCUAACCCUUGUUAAAAAAAUAAAAUUUUAAUCGAAUAAAAUGAGAUUAUUAGACUCUACAUGUUGAGAGUGUGCGAUUACUAAGAAUGAGGUCCUUAGUAUCCAUUUUCAUUUUCCUUUUACGUUUUCCCCUUCUAAGUUCCUGUAUUGCAGGGAUGGCUUCAUGCUGAUUGUCCUGUACAUGAAGGUCAUGGAACAUAUCAGACUCUGUAUAUUGGAGGGCUUCAUGCUGAUUGUCCUGUACAUUGUCUUCAAACAUAUCCGUAGAUGGGAUGCUUUCAUGCUGAUUGUCCUGUACUUGAAGGUCUUUGAAACAUAUCACAAGUUAUAUGUCAGAAACUAUAUCUUAUAUUCUCUUCACAUUUUAUAGUCUACCAAUAAUAAAAAGAUAAAAUGUUAAAAUUAAAAAUAAAAUUAUUGUAAAAAAUAUUGUUAUCACCUUCUUCUCCCGUGGAUAUAUCCAUACCCAUCAGUUCAUCUCCAAUACCUCCUCCCUCCUCAAACCUGGCACAAUCAUCUAAAAAUGAAUUUUUGCAAAAAAUUAAAGACUAUAUUAUACAAAAUAAAGUAUGAUUACCUCUCCCAGUUAUUGUUUUAUAUGUAUCAUUAUUUUCAGGUGUAGGCAAAGUAAUAUCCCGUAUAUUAGCUUGAUGGAGAUUAAAUUCAAGAUCUCCCUCUUCUACAUGCACGCUAUCAAGUGUCUGCAAUAAACAUGGAUUAGCUCAUCCUAUCAAUAAUGUUUAUUGAUUAGUUCUUUUAAAGCGAUUAAGUAUACCACAAGGAAAUAGCCAUGUUGGGUGUCAGGUUGUAUGUAUGUAUCAGAACACUCUUCUACCAAGUUAAUCUCAUCCAUUGCUGCAAGGUCAGUGUCAACAAUCUGUGGCAGAGUAACAGACUCUGGCCUAGCCUUGUAAGACCUGUCAAAGAGAAAGAAUUACUAUAAAUAUUGAUUAAUGAUAUACAGAUAACUUGAAUAACAAAAGCAUAAAAUAAAAUGUGACUAACUGGCAUUUUCAACCCUCUAAUAGUGUUUUCUGAUAAAAAAAAAAAUAGUACCAAUAGUGAGAAAAAAAAUGUAAAAAAUAAAGAAAUAAAAAAUUGAAUUCUUAGAAAAAGUCCAAGGUGAACUUCAUACCAAAAGACUGCGCACAUCAUCUGCGAGAAAAAAAAAAAAGAAGAUAAAAUUAAAAAAGAACUUUCAACAUUUUAAUGUUACGUAUCAUGAAAACAGGGAUUCAAAUUUACCAUCAAAGAAUUUCAUUUUACUUUUAUACAGUGUCGCUACUCCUUCUGAUAAAAACACAACAACCAUUGAGCAGAUAUGCUACAUUUGUACCUAUAAACAAAAAAUAGAAAUUGAAACUGAAGAUAGCACUGGAUCAACGAGAGAGAAAGAGAUUACCCAAGAGAAUUGAACUAGUUCUAAGAGACAAAGGAUCCAGUAAGUUCUGAAUCCUUUUGCUAUAAAACAAGUAAAAGAAAAAAAAAAAUAUAUCAGCUCCUUUAAUUUAUAUGACUCUAGGCUUAAAAAAAGUCCAAGUUACCAUUACCAGACAUCAAUGAUGUUAAGCUGAUCCACCUCUUUUCGCCUCAUGUUUUUGCCUCUUCUCAUAGUUCCAUACUUCCUUCAUGAACAACAAGUUAAAAAAAUUGAAAUCCAGAAUGACCAAAAUAAACAAAGAAAUGGAAACAUGAUGAACAAAAAUUGACUCGGUGAUACCAUAUUUUGAUAAAACAAGUGUUCUGCUUAAAAAGCGCCUGCAAGUAAUGCAUCUUCAAGAGGAAUGCAGAGAUAAAAGAACUGAAAGAAAACUUUGCAAAAAAAACCCACUGCACACCUAUGCUAACAAAAUGUGGCAAACGAAGAGCUGUUGUGAACCGAAUUUCUCCCCGCUACAAAACAUCACUAUAACACCGAAUGUAACAGUGUAAUGCUGUUAGAGUUGGCUCCACAAAUUAACAACUUUUUUUGUUUUUUUGUUUAUUGAAGGUGAAUUCGUAAGAUGAAAGCACAUGAACAACAAGUUAAAAAAAUUGAAAUCCAGAAUGACCGAAAUAAACAAAGAAAUGGAAACAUGAUGAACAAAAAUUGACUCGGUGAUACCAUAUUUUGAUAAAACAAGUGUUCUGCUUAAAAAGCGCCUGCAAGUAAUGCAUCUUCAAGAGGAAUGCAGAUAUAAAAGAAAUGAAAGGAAACUCUUAAAAAAAACCCACUGGACGCCUAUGCUAACAAAAUGUGGCAAACGAAGAGCUGUUGUGAACCGAAUUUCUCCCCGCUACAAAACAUCACUAUAACACCGAAUGUAACAGUGUAAUGCUGUUAGAGUGGGCUCCACAAAUUAACAACUUUUUUUUUUUAUUGAAGGUGAAUUCGUUAGAAAAAGAUGAAAGCACAUAAAUAUUGUACACGCGCCUUGAGGAAUGUUAGGUAACAGUGUCUGCUUCCUCCAGUACCUCCAUAAGUUCUUAAGGCACCUCCAUAAAAAAGUUAUGAAAAUACAUUUUUAUCCUUCUCAUGUCACUCCCAUAUUCUGAAUUACAUAAUUUAGAAGUUAAUCUCGAAUUCAGAAAUAACUUACGGAUUAUUUAAUCCGAAAUAUAUUUAAAAAAUGGUAUUUCAGAUUAUAUAAUCCGGAAUUCUGAAUUUGAAAAUAUCUUCUGGAUGAUGUAAUUCAUAAACGCAGUUGAAAAAACACUUUCAGAUUACGUAAUCCGGAAGGUAAAAAAGACUUCUAGAUUAUGUAAUCUAAAAACUAAUCAUGUAUCUGAAAAAUGGUUUCCAGAUUAUGUAAUCUGAAAGCUAAUUAUGAAUUUGAAAAAUAACUUCCGGAUUACAUAAUCCAGAAUAUUACACAAGGACAUUUUUGAAAAUAUGAAAAUUUAUGGAGGUGGGAGAAGAACUUAUGGAGGUGCUGGAAGAAACAGUCCAGUGUCACAGGACUCUCAUUUUCAUUCUGGAUGAUGUAAUUCAUAAACACAGUUGAAAAAACACUUUCAGAUUACGUAAUCCGGAAGGUAAAAAAGACUUCUAGAUUAUGUAAUCUAAAAACUAAUCAUGUAUCUAAAAAAUGGUUUCCAGAUUAUGUAAUCCGAAAGCUAAUUAUGAAUUUGAAAAAUAACUUCCAGAGUACGUAAUCCAGAAUAUUAUAUAAGGACAUUUUUGAAAAUAUGAAAAUUUAUAGAGGUGGGAGAAGAACUUAUGGAGGUGCAAGAAGAAACAGUCCAGUGUCACGAAAUCUCAUUUUCAUUCCUCCAUCUAGACUGUUUCUUCAUGCACCUCCAUAUCUUCUUCUGCCACCUCCAUACACAAUAUGAAAAUACAUUUUUAUCCUUCUUGUGUCAUUUCCAUAGAGUAGUUUCCGGAUUAUGUAAUCUAGAAAUUCAUUUGAAAAUAGACUUCCGGAUUACAUAAUCCAGAAGCUAAAUAAGACUUCCAGAUUAUGUAAACAUAAAGUAAUCAUGCAUCUGAAAAAAGUCUUCCGAAUUAUGUAAUCCAGAAGCUAAUUACAAAUUUGAAAAAUAACUUUCGAAUUAUGUAAUCCGAAAUAUUAUAGAGGGAUAUUUUUGGAAAUUCGAAAAUUUAUGGAGGUGAGAGAAGAAGGUAUGGAGGUGCAGCAAGAAACAGUCCUCCAUCUAUACUUAACUCACCAACUCCCAAGCCCAAUCCCAAUCCCACAAAGAUCGAGCUUUGGUUUGUCUUUCUUUCUCUCACCUUCAUCCUCUGUCUAUUUGUGUCAUUGUCUUUCCUUCCUCUGUAGUUAUAAUUUUUUCAUUUGUGUUGAGAAUGUAUCUUAUUUAAUACACUGAGAUGUUGAAUUCUUGUAUGACCUAACCUUGAUGCCCCAAACAAAUUUGUUCUGUCUUCUUAGCUUUAUGUUUAAGAAUUUUUUUUCAAACUGCAGCCAUGGUGGAUAUAACAAAAGCCAUGUGCUGGAAGGUUGUGGCUAAGGCUCAUGAUUCAUCUGGAAUUGGACUUGUUAUAUACCAGAAGCCCACUUCAUCUUCUUGCUAUGAGAAACGUAAAGAGAACAAUCCACCAUUGUGUGAAAAUGAAGAUGGGAAGAAUAGCUCAUGGUAUUUUCUCUCUUGGGAUCUUAUUUCUAUAAUGCUUAUGUUUCUAUUAAUUUCUACUUUCUCCAUUACAACAACACAAAAUAAAUGAAUAUUAUCUCUAAGAAAAAGGCCAAAGAGACUAUUGGGAGCAAUGCUAGAUAUUAUCACCUUCUAUCUCGUUUAUGAGUAAAAAUCACUUUUUUUUCUCAAAUAUAAGCAAAAUUGCGAACUUUCAUUUUAUUUAAUGAUCUUUUUCCUAAAAUACCCUAUCUGAGUAUGUUGCUCAGCUCAGAAAAGUUGGCAAAGGACCGUAAGAAAUUUCAAACUCUGUUAUUUGCAUUUUACUUUCCCGAGAUGAUCAAAUUAUCGUUGUAUCUUAUUUGUUUUCCUGGAUGAACUUUCAGGUGUGUGGCACUUUGAUCAGAUGCUGCUACACGAGGUAGCUUGAUGAUUACUGUUUUCCCCCUUUCUCUUGUUACUAUGUGUAUCUUUCACAUCUAGUGAAUUUCGAGUCUUUUGUUCUAGAAGGUGGAACUGAAACUAUAGAUGAAUAAAAUAAAUGAGAACUGUUUUGGACACAUCCAUCUUUUGUAGUUUAUUUACUGGACAAAACAAACUUUAUUUCAAAAUAUGCUCCCUAAAAUAAAGGCAAUUUAUGUAAGAAAUCUCACCAUAUAAUAAUGAAAUUAGAUGUACUAUUUCAACAAAUUUAUAUUUUAUAAUUAAUUCAAUAUAUCAUUAUUUAUUUUAUUGAGAUAAAUAGUUUUUGUUGUGUAGUUUUGUAAUAUUGCCAUUUUCUUCAAUAUGGGUAGCAUUGUUUUUACUUAUUAACUUCGCAUGUAUCUCACGCUAUCCACUGAAAAGAGGUUAUUCCUUUUUAACUUAACUUUUUUAUUCCUUUCACUGGUUAUUGAGCGAUCGACAUUAAAAACUCGUUAUAUGUGUUGUUUGAAGGUUGAAGUAAUCGAUUGUACAAUUCAAGUAAUCGAUUAUCAACACCCAUAUCGAUUAUAUGUUGGAUUAUAUGUAUUGUUUGAAAGGCGGUGUUCGUUUCUAUUUUUUUGAUAUUUAUAUGGUUGUUGUGUUGACACUUUUAACAUUUUAUUAACAACUUUGUAAGUUAAUUGAUUGUAAGUAGCUAAGGGAAGUUUGAGGUUAAAAAAGUUUAGUUCUUUUUAUGUUUUGUUUGUUGUUCUUGAGGACUCUGUAUAAUUUGAAUCAUCAAGAUAAAUAGUUAUUGUGUAAGGAAAAUCUUACUCCCAUUUUUGUAAAAAAACAAAUAUUAAUCUCACUCCCAUUUCUGUAAAAAAACAAACAUUUUAUGUAAGUUUAGUAGUUUCAUUUUUAUUUAUCUCUUGUUUGCAACAUGUUUGAAUGCUUUGUUUUGAAAAAAUAAAAAAUUAUAUAUUAAUGUAUAAAAUAUGUUAUUAUUAUUUUGAUUAAAUAAAAAUUUAAACCGUUCACGUGUUAAAUAAAAUUAUAUUUUGAUGAGUGCUUGUUGUUGUAUUACUCUUUUUAUUGUUGGUUGCUUUGUUUAGAUCAUCAUCAGAUUGAUCCCCAAACUAUUUCUAUUAUGAUUACAUAUUUGGUUUGACUUUGGAUUGCUACCUCUGAAUAGAAAUUGAACCUUUGCAUGACUUGGAUUAGCUUAGAUGAAGGUUGAAGUGUGGACCUUAUUGUAUUGUAACCCUAACCCUAACUCUUAACCUUACUAUUAACUCUAAUCUUAACAUUUAAUCCUAUUCCUAACUCUAAUCAUAACCUUAAUCUUUAAGAAUAUCUUAAUCAUUUACCAUUAACCUUAAACUUUAACCAUAUUCCUAACCAUUAACCUUAACCAUAAACCAUAACUCUAAACCCUAACUUUAAACAUAUACCUAACCAUUAAACCUAACCCUAAUCUUAAAUCAUAAUCCUAACCUUAAUUCUGAAAAACAUAAUUAUAAAUGUAUAUUUUUGCUAAAAAAACAAUAUAAAAUGAGAUUAAAGAAGUAUAGUAAGAAAAUAUUGAAGUGAUGGAUGUUUUCACCUUAAUUAAAAUUUUAUGGUUAUUUGACAUGGAUAAUGAUAAUCAUUAGUCUGGAUAUUUCGACGAUGAAGAUAUGUAUAACAUGGAUAACAAUGUUUUUGAUGUGAACUUAAAUCUAAUCUCACACCUACAAUAACAAAUACAAUUGCAAACAGAAGUAUCUGCAUUGACAAUCCUUUGCAUUGUUUCUUAUGGAUUGAAUAUGUUACGUUUGUUAAGUCAUAUGACUUCCUCUAUUACAAAGUUCGUACCAUUAAAAGAACAUUGUUGACCUAUUUGGUGCAUAUUGAACAAAAUUGAAACAUUAAUCACAUAUUCAUUAUUUUAUAUCACUAAUUAAGGAAAAUUUGGUUCGUAAAGAAUGUCUUUCAACAAUGGAGGAAAACAAUUACUAAAUUUCUCCACAUCAUUGGACAUAACAUAAAGAAUCAAAAUGUUUCAUUCUUCUUUUAUUGCAACGGGAAAUAAUGUCUUGUCACUUUCAUAAUGGUUUACCCCAGUGAGCAGAGCAAAAGGCACUCUAUAUUGAUUUAUUAUGUAAGUUGUGUCCAUAGUAACUGCAUCACCAAAAUGACCAUAAGCAGUCCUUGAUCUCGCAUCUGCCCAAAACACAUUAGACAUGUGAUUAUCAUCAUCAAGUUGUAUUGCAUAGAAGAAACCAGGGGGUUGUGAGCAUCCCUCCCUAAUGUCCUCUUUUGAAUAGUUGGCCUAACAGCAUAAUUCAUCAUUGACGGACCUUUAACAAGGUGAUGCUGUUUCAGAAAUAGUAGCAACUGCAGGAAUAUUUCUAAUCCCGUGGAUAUUCUUAGUGGGAAUACAAUUCUUAUCCAUAGAUACAUACAUCACACCGCUUGGAACAAUCCCCACUCCUUGGUAAGUUUCGGAAAUUUUAUCAGUAGUUUUUUUUUAGAUUUACGUAAAUAAGCAGAUUCAGAAAAUAUUAUAAGAAUGGACAUUUUUUUGUCAAAGUUGUUAAUGGUGUAGGCAACAUAAAUUAAAUUCCUUAAUCUUCCUACUUUUCUUCUUUAAAUUUAAUUAAAAUUUUCAACCGGGUUGACAACUUUAGUUUAAAUAAAAUUGAAUACUGGAUUGACAACUUUAAUAUAUUUUAUCUCAAUUAAAGUUGUCAAUUGAAUUGCCAAGUUCACUUGAUUUUAUUUUUUUUAAACAAAUGAUAAUUAAUAUUUUUAAAAAUAAAAAUAUAUAAUUAAAAAAGUAUUUUAUAAAUAAUACCAAAAUUUAAUUUUGUUUUAUUUAAGAAAAUGAUAUAUAAAGUUGAAUAAUUAAAAUGAAUAUUUUUUACAAUAAUUUUAAAUAAAUUGGAUUGAAAAUGAUUUGUUUGAUAAAUUAAAAAUAUUUAGUAUUUUUUAAAUAUUGUUAAAGUUAAAAAUACACUUAUAAAAAUGUGAUAUAAUUUAUGUAUAAAUUUUUAGAUUAUAUAAUAUAUGAAAGUAUAAAUUAUAUAAUAUGUAAAAGUAAUAAUAUACAUGUAUUUAUAAAUGUAUUAAAAAUAAAAUAAAUUAUUCAAUAUAAGUUAUUAAAAGAAGAUGAUAUUAAAAUAUUUGAUGAGAAUAACAUUACAAAGGAUGACUCUACUGUCUAAAUGGACAAUUUCCUCUGUUGUGACCUUCAUUGCGACAGUAAGAACAUUUUUUUGUCUUGUUCUGAAUUGAUUGAUCCAUUUCAUUAUGCAAACGAGUCGUAAUUGGUCAUCCCAAGUUUUUACGUCGCAUGUGGGGUUCUGGUAUGAAAUUUGGCCCGGUAUAAGUAGACCAAUAAUCCUCGUUUCGAACGGGGUGGAAUUCAACUUGAUAUGCCUUUCUAAUCGUGUGGAGGUUGUAAACUGGAUCAAUGAAUGUCAUCAUUUGUAAAUGGCAAGAGGAACAAACGACAAUAACAUGACGACAAGGAAGUCGAAGAGCUUGGAAGUGGCCACAAUCACACCAUCAAUCAUUUAAUAUAACUAUAUAUGAUUGAGGUCACCGACCAUGUUGGGGGUGGCUAAUUCUUGGACAUCAAAUUCAGAAUUUUUUGCAUUAAACCUUUCCACAAAACACAGACGAAUCUUGUUGAUUUUUUCUAAGUAAGGUUGUGAUAUCUUCUGAAUAAUAAUGACUUGCGCGUAACAUGGUGUCUAUUUUGAAGACUCGUUCAACAAACCAUGUUUUUGUUUUUUCAAAAGUUGCCUUAACCAAAGCGAAAAUCGGCAAAGAACGAGCUCCCUUAAGCACGAAGUUAAUGCAUUCCGCUAGAUUUGUGGUCAUAUGACCAUACCUCUUUCCCCCAUCAUAUGUUUGAAUCCAUUUCUCUAAUGGUAUGCGAUCUAUCCAGGAAAAUGCUUGCUUGAACUCAGAUCGCAUAACUGAUAGCUUUGCCUGUACUAUGAGUUGUUUCAUCUCAUAAGUUGUCAUAAAGAAGUAAAUGAAAUUAGUUAAAUGGUAAAAGGUCAUAAUUAUUUGUGAGAGAAGGUAAGGAAUGUCAUUACCCAUGUUAAUCAAUUGUCGUUUCAGCUCAGCAUUUUUGAAUUUUUUGUUGAAAUUCGAUGCGAUAUGGCGUAUGCAAUACACAAAAACGAGGUCGUCUCCUUCCCAUCCAACUUCUUCGGAUUGUAAUGCUGAAAUUAUACCGAUUCCUCUAUCAGUAAUCAUGCACAAAUUCGGCUGAGGUGUCACAUAUUGUCGCAAUAAUUGGAAGAACCAAAUUAAAAUCUCCCGAGUCUCGCCUUCAACAAUCGCAAACGCCAAUGGAAAUAUGUUUCGAUUCCCAUCUUGAGCGGUUGCGGUCAACAAUGUUCCAUGGUAUCUUCCGGUUAGAAAUGUCCCAUCAACUUGUACAAUGGGCUUGCAAAAAUUGAAACCAUCGAUACAAGGCUUGAAAGACUAAAACACCCGAUCCAACGUGUAAGAAGAAUUGUCUUGAACACCAUCAACCAUACAAGGAGAAGCAAUAUACUGCACAAUUGUCCCUGGAUUGCUUUCUUUUACUGCUUCCAACCAUCUAGGAAGAUCAUUGUAGGACUGUUCCCAAUCGCCAAAUGCCAAAGCAAGAGCUUUCUGUUUUCCCAACCAAGCUUUUCUAUACGUGAUAGUAUAGCCAUGCAAAUUUUUUAUUUCUGCAAUUAAGCUUUUAAAUGGGACGAAAGGGUUUGCUUUGACUGAAGUCAGCACCAUGGACGCAAUAUGGGUUGAAUCCAAAUUAACACGGUCUACCGUAAGAUUUGUUGACAAACAAGUAUGUUGUGCAUUCAUUUUUUUUUAUCUCCCAUUGACUUCGGAUUUUACUAAAUGAUGCACGUAAUCUCCAUUCGCACCCUACAUCAUGAUGUAUGCACUGAGCCAUAUAUCUGUCUGGCUUUGAUUCCACGACAACAAAUUUGUAACCGUUGUCUAUGUGGUAUCGUUUUAUGGCAUUCAAUGUCGCCUCCUUUGACAUGAAAGACAUGUGUUCAUUGAGUUCGCAAUCGAUGUUAUGUCCGGAUUGACUGCCAGACGGAAUAUAUUGUGAAGAUCUAUUGAACUGAUCUUCAUCAUCCAAAUCAAAGUCGUAGUUAUCUCCAUCUUCAUUUAUGUCGUCCACGAUGUCUGUAAUUAUUGGUUAUUCAUGCUAGCUUAGUGACGUUCCACCGACAUUCCACGUGUCCAUCUGCAUUUAAAAAAAAACAUGAUAAACAAGAAGGCCACUAAGCUAGCAUGUUAUGAAAAAUUUACAUUACAUUUACAACUUUCUUUGAACUUUAUACUAGAAGGAGAAAUAAUAUAUCUCACAAACCUUGUCCUCAAUUUUUUUUACUUGGAUGCAGAAAUUAAGAGAAGAAAAAGUGUAGAACAAAGAAGGAAUGCAAGGCUAGAGAGUUGCAUUGUUGUUCCACUAUAUAACAAAUGUUCUGUAUGAGUACAAUAAUUUUUAUUCAUAAGUCAUGUCCUCAUGUAAUUGUGACAGAAAGCCAUCACUCCACGCUACACUUGGUUUAUUUUUAUUUUUUCUAAUUUCAUAACAAAGAAGUUGACUUCACCAUUGGCAACUUUGAAAGAAGUUGCAUUCACCAUUUGGCAACUUAUAUUAAAAGUUGCCUUCAUGGUUGACAACUUUGUAUAGGCACCAAAUGAAAAAAGUUCACACACCAUUGGCAACUUCAUUUGCAAUUUCGUGCACCACCAAUCAAUACUUUAUUUUGUGUCCAGCUUUAUGUCAUGGCUAUAGUUUUCAUGGAAGAGAUUCUUUUUUCAUGGCAGAGAUUCUUUUUGAAAAUGAAGUUUGAAUUCAAACUUUCAUUUUUUGAAACUCACACAAGCAACUCUAUUUAAUAGAGUAUGUGUCCUAUGCAAAACACUCUCCAACUUUGCCAUUGUGCCAGAGUGCUUAAGGGUGGCAUUCAAUCACAAAGGUAAGUUCUCUCUAAUAUUUUAAUUAUUUAAUUAAUUGUAGUAGCAAGCACGUGCUAACAAAGAUUAUCAGUAUAUUUUAGCUCUCAUAAGUUGUUUUUGUAUUUUCUGAGGAUGGAUCUGUAUGUAUUUUUGUAUUACAUGGUGGCAUUACUCAUGAACCCUUGUUCAUUCCAGAAGAAAAUUAUAUCUUGGUUUUGACUAAAAUUUAGUUAUCUGUAUAUGAGUGAAAAUUACAUGUAAAAGAAUUUAGUUAUAAUAAUUUAGUUCUAAUGUACUAAUAUCUUUAAAUUUGCAAACAAAAUUAACUACUUGAAAUUUGUUUUAAAAAAUUAACAAAACUCAACUAAUAUUUUUUAUUUUCGUACAAUGUCUUCAUUAUAGCCAAUGAGUAGGAGUAUUUUAUAAAUAAUAAGGAGUAGAAUAAGAAUCUCUGAUGGAGCAGAGAAAGAGCCAAUGGGCAAAAGAGUUAUCCAUGCUAUUCUCCACAUGUUAUCCAUGCGCAGAAAAGAAUAUGGUUGAAUGAAUUAAAUCACAAGAAAGGUACAUGUAAUAUAGGUUAUAUUUUACCCUUUACUUUGGUUCUAGCCUUUGAAACAUCAACCAUACUGUAACAUCAGAAGUGUACGGCCUGGAGAUGUACGGAGAAGUGUAGAAAGAAGAAGAAGAGUGUUAUGCUUUGUUUGUAUCCAGCGACGGAUUCUGAGAAGCGAAGAAAGGCACGUAAAGCUCAAAAAUCAAGAAAUAAAAAAGUAAUAAAACAAAUUUCGAAGCAAAAGCGUUGCACAAUUCUUUCUUUGCAAAUUUGUGAAGAUUUGCGAAGAUUUACAAAAAAUAUGAUUAAAAUAAUGUAAAUAAUAAUAAUUAUUAUUAAAAUAUUAAUAAAUAUAUAAAAUGAUAAUUAAAAUAAAAAUAUUAAAAAUAAAUUUAUGAAAUAAUAACUAUUAUUAAAAAUUUAAAAUAAUAAUUAAUAAUGAUAAAAAAUAAAUAAAAAUAAAUAAUAGUACAACUAAAUUAAUUUAUAAUAUAUUAGAUAAUUAUUAAAAAUUUACAUAAUAUUAUUAAAAUGUCAAAAUUACUCUUAAUUUAUUUGUAUCAAACAUUUAAUAAUAUUAUUAAUAAUAAUAAAAUAUAUUUAUUUAUAUAAUAAUAAUAUUAUUAUUAUUAAUUAUAAAAAUAACUAUAUAAAUUAAUUAAUUUUUUUAUUAUUCAUAUAUUUUUAGAAGUAAGAAUAAAUUUGUAAACUUGUAUUUUACAUAUUUUAAAAAAAUUAAAAAUUUCACACAACUAUCACAUCAUUCACAAAAUUCAAUAAACUUUCCUCACAAAUCUACUAUAAUAUACCCCAAUCCAAACAACCUCACUUUGCUCUCAAAUCACUCUAAAUCCAUUCCCUCAAAUCUCCUCCCCAAUCCAAACACACCCUUAAGGAGGUGGUGAUAGUCAUGGUUUGUGGUGAGAGGGAACAGAAGUGAAUGAAGUCGCGGAAGACUUAUCAUGAGUGUUAGGUUAGAAUUGCAUGGAAGGCGAGGAGAAAAGAACAUGCAGCGUUGUUUGUUAGCGAAACACCACUGCCUGUCUAUUCAGUUCACGGUUUCUUCUUCAAUAUAGACCAAAAACGAAAGUGCAAAAGCAAAAAGAAACAAAACCUGUUAAUCUUUUAUUGGAGAGUUAAAACAAAAAAAAAGGAAAAUGUUGGUUGAACAACUACUUAUCUCAUUGCUCCAGUGUACAACUCUCCAAGUGGCAAAAAAACAAAUAUUAAAUUGUUGUUGCGGGGCCCACAAUUUUUUUUUGAAAAGGUUUAAUCUUUGGUUCAAAUUCCCAUUAGGGUUACGAAACUCUCUCUCUUUCAAUUUCUUCUUCUUUUGGUGGCUGAACUCUCCCUCUUUCAAUUUCUUCUUCUUUUGGUCCCGUGGUUCACCAGUGCACCGUUCCCUCUUUGAAUUUCUUCUUCGCAAAGGUCUCGUGGUUCUCCAGUGCAUUGUUCCCUCUUGCAGUUUGUUGUUGUAUUGGUUUCCUGUGUCGUGGUUCCGUGGUCUUGUUCUUUGUCGCCGUCGUCGGUCGGUGUUUGCUCGGUGGACGCCCUCCAUCUCUUUUCACGGUGGUUAGGUGAUAAAGGUAAUAUAUUUUUGAUUCAAUGGAUUAUGAAGUGAAACAUUGUUGUUGUGUGAUUUUGAUGAUGUUGUGUGAUUUUGAUGUUGUUGUAGAGCCUAUUUUGAUUCAAUUUUAGUUUGAGUUUCGUGUUGAAGGAAGUUUGAAGCUUUUCUUCCUUGAAUGUUGAAUUGUUGGUAUUGUUGUUAUUACUAGACACAUUGAUAUAAAAUUGAUAAAUUUUUUUCACAGUGAUGAAGUUAGAGCAUAUAAAUUGUAUGGUCUAAUCGUUGAACAAACAAGUUUGGUAAUUGUUGGUUUAGGGUUUAGUAGGAAUAUGUGAUUGGGGUGGGCAUGAUGUGGGCAGAAAGUGCGUUAGAUAAGAUUUUUAGAGUCCAUCAGCUUAUUGAGUGUGAUUGUAUAAGUUGGGAGACCAUGAACAUUUGGCAUGUGCUCAAUUUCCUGCAUCUAUUGCAUGUUGAGCUUUGAGGUUGUUGUUAGUAGAGGAUAAUUGUUUGAAACACUUUGCAGGCAAGGCCAAUGGCCAAUGUAAGAAUAUAUUUCCAAAAGCCCAAAUUAAAACAGCUUCGACAACUAGAUUAAUUGAAAAUAGAACACGAUAGGGUAACCUCAUCAUAAAAACUACACGCAAAUUACUUAUUACUCCAACUCUGUGUUGUGCACAAAUAUGUAUUAGGUCUUUCAUGCUGUUGACAACCUCCGAAAUUUGUUAAGCAUUGUAGCAUGUAAUAUAUUGGUUGAGAAAAUACAAAGCAUAACAAAUCAAAGGUUUUCUUUAUAGUACUCAACAUUUGACAUACACUUUCAGGUAGAAUUUAAUACCAUACCUGCAAACAUCUCACAUAUGUUUCAGAAAAACCCAAGUCAUUAAGCGAUUGCAACUCCAAAAUUUGUGGAAGCUGGCGCCAUGCUAUCAAUACCCUGAUGCAAAAUAAAAAUUACAUUAACCUUUGAAGCUUUAGUCCAGUGUCAUUGUAAUUGUUUGUUACCUAGAUGUGACAUAGACUGUUCUAAGCAACAUAUACCUUUUAACCAAUCAUUGUUAUAAAAUGCUAAAAAACAGAGUGUGGUUGACAAAAGGGAAUGAGAAUAUGAAUUUGUAAUCUAUAUUUAAGAAAUUACCAUGAGAUGCUCUUAAUUUUGUAUAGCAUGAUUGUAAAAAUAUGAAUGUGUGACUUUGCAUCUCUGUAUGUAUAAAACAUGUUAUUUCUGUGAAGCAUGGCAGCAGAAUGCAACCAAACAUGCCCAUGGGGUAAAAUGUCAUAUUACAAUAAGAUCUUUUUGUUUUCAAUUUUACGGUUAAUGAUUUCCAACAAUACUUUUUUUCCUGUGAUUUUUUGUCGUAGUUAUAUAUAGUUGGAUAGCCGUUCAAUAAACCCAAUAAAUAUGAAGAAACAUAGUUUGCACCAUAUCCUUUCUGUUGAGUUGUUGUUAUCCAUGUAUGUAGAGUUGUUUUUAUCCAUCUAUAUACCGAAAUCACAAUAUGCAGCAUGAGUGUAGGGCAAUGUCCAGUGAUCACAAAUUCACUCAAUUUAGAGGUUUGUUGUAUGUGGUGACCCUAGUAGGAAUAUGUGGUGACCACAUUAGACUUCCUGCACAGUCCCUUUGCAAACUUAUUCUGGAAAUGUGAAGUGUGUGUUGGUGUUGGUUUGGGUGGGCAUGAUGUCGGCAAAAAAUGCGUUAGAUCAGAUUUUAGAGUCCAUGAGUGUAAGGCAGUGUCCAGUGAUCACAAAUUCACUCAACUUAGGGCAUUGUUGUAUGUGGUGACCUUAGUAGGAAUAUGUGGUGACCACAUUAUAGUUCCUGCACAGUCCCUGUGCAAACUUAUUAUGUAAAUGUGAAGAGCGUGUUAGUAUUGGUUGAGUUGGGCAUGAUGUGGGCAGAAAGUGUGUUAUAUCAGGUUUUGAGAGUCCAUGAGUGUAGGGCAGUGUCCAGUGAUAAGAAAUUCACUCAACUUAGAGGAUUGCAGUAUGUGGUGACCCAAGUAGGAACAUUUGGUGACCCGCAUUAGACUUCUUGUACACACCCAGUGAAAACUUAAUUCGUGGGAAUCUGUUUUUAGGUGAUGUUCUUUGCAACGGGGUUGUUCAUGGUUGAUCAACUUCAAAAGAAUGGAAGGGUCCAACGUUUUUCCUUUAACCCUUUUUUUGCUGUGAGUGGAUUGUGGAAUUUAAGUUUUGUUUUCAUAUGUAUACUUUCUAUUAAUAUCACUACAUUUUUUGUUGCAUAAAGGAUCGUGUUAUUGAAGAAAUGAAAACAACUUCGGAAAAGAAAGAGUGGGACACGAAGGAUUACUGUUCGUUUGCAAAAGAUUUGAUUCCAUUUGAAUCACUAUCAUAUUGCGAUUUUGUAAGUUUGUAUUAUAUAAUUUUCUAUAAUGAUUUUAGGGCAUAAUUUUUUAUGUGUUUAAUUAAGUUAUAUUAUUCACUUUUAGGUAUUCAUCCCAACGGUGCACAAUGACCAUUGGUGGGUCUACGCGUUUAAUUUUCAUAGUAGGGAAUUGCAUGUCUUGGACCCCCUCGGCCAUAGAAGGGGAAAACGCAACAAAAUUGAUAAAGCCAUGGUAAAGAGUAAAAGAUGAUGUUUAGUAAAGAAUGAAGCGAUGAAUUUGGUAUUUGAUUUCUGAUUUCUUGUAUUGUACAGUGCAGGCUGUGCAAGUUGACCAUGUGUACAAAAUUCUUGACAAGUUCGGUGGAGUGAAUAGUCCCCCCAUCAAAGUAGUCAAACAAAAACUUCCUAUACAGCUAAACGGGUUAGUAUUGAAAUGAAAACUUUUGUUAUUUUUAUGCAUAUUCAUAUGUAAAUAUUUUUAUGUGCUUUCUUGUAUGUAGUUAUGAUUGUGGAGUAUUGGUUUUGAAAUAUAUUGAGUUGUGGAAUGGUAUGGUUGACUAUGACGGGAAGACGAUGCCUGAAUACAACAGCGUACGUAUUUGUUUCCUUCACUAGUAGAGUACAAGUUAUAAGUUUUAUUCUGCACUGAAAAUUGAUUUUCAAAAUUAAUUUCAGGACGAGCUUCAAGCAUUCUGUCAGGAAAUGGUUUGUAAUUGGUUCCUUGAUGCACGUAAUGCAGAACGAGAAAAUUUGUUGAGGGAGUUCAACUUUCGUGGAACUACAGAAUGAUGGUGGUUGAGAGUGCGUAGCAUGUGAAUCUACAUGUUCUGCAAUUGUGUAGUUAUUCAUUACAUGUUUUAGUGUAUCCUAGGAGCAUUCAUAACUGUAGAAACAUAAUGGAUUACAUACAUUCCAUUGAGUUGAACAAUGUGCGAACUUUUUAAUGCUAAGAAUUAAAGACGAAUAUUGUUGUACCAUAUGAUGCAACAAACCUUCUAAUUACACUUAAAAUUAGUUUCCAUCAUUUGUAAUUAUGAUGACAAGUUUUUCGAGAAAUGAUUUUAUUCGUAUUCAAACCCAAAGGAUCCAUUAGCAGGUGCCACAUACCGUGGAAGGUUAAUUUAACGGUCGUUCGUGGUUAAGUAUGACUUCAUUCUUAGUUCGUUGGACUCAGUAAAAAAAAAGUUAUAAAUAUUUACAUUUGUCCAUUUUGCUACACUAAAAUAAGUUUAAAGUUAACAAUAUUAAGUUAAAGUUCAAAAUUUGGCAACUUUUUUACCAAGUCUUUGGGUAAAACAUAAACAACUACGAUCAAAGCGAGGAAGACAAAAUUUCAUGAUACUAUGCCUAAGCAACAUUCCAUCCAAAAAUUUUCGUGCAAGCUCAAAUGGACCCUCCUUCAGCACUGGCCUAUUUUCGCUCAAUCCAAAAAAUUUCGUGUAAGCUAAAAUGAACCCCUUCAGCACUGGACUAUUUUCGCUCAAUCCAAAAAAAUUUGUGCAAGCUAAAAUGGACCCCUUUAGCAAUGUCCUAUUUUCGCUCAAUCCAAAUUAUUUUUGCGCAAGCUAAAAUGGACCCCUUCAGCACUGCCCCGUUUUCGCUCAAUCCAAAAAUUUUCGUGCAAGCUAAAAUGGACUCCUUCAGCACUGGACUAUUUUCGCUCAAACCAAAAAUUUUCGUGCAAGCUAAAAUGGACCCCUUUAGCACUGCCUUAUUUUAGAUCAAUCCAAAUUAUUUUCAUGCAAGCUAAAAUGGACCCCUUCAGCAGUACCCCGUUUUCGCUCAAUCCAAAAUUUUUCCUGCAAGCUAAAAUGGACCCCUUCAGCACUGGCCUAUUUUCGCUCAAUCCAAAAUAUUUCGUGUAAGCUAAAAUGGACCCCUUCCGCAUUGGACUAUUUUCGCUCAAUCCAAAAAAUUUCGUGCAAGCUAAAAUGGACCCCUUCAGCACUACCCCAUUUUCGCUCAAUCCAAAACUUUUCGUACAAGCUAAAAUGACUUUCUACCUUAAUAUAACUGUAAACAACAUUGUUAAAGUAUGUGGCUUUCAUUAUAACUAUAGUACAAACAAUUGUGCCUUUUGUUACAAUAUUCAUGCCUAUAGGUUUUAAAAUUUAACAUAUGUACAACAUCUGAUUCAUGCCUAUAGGUUUUCAAAUUUGACAUAUGUCCACCAUCUGAUGAGGAAGUUCGUUGUUCUCAUCCAGUAAUACGCGAUCCACCGACUCUAGGUAUAGUUUCAAAAAUUGUCUAUACUUAAAAAAAAAUGUCCUAUAUCCAAUAUUUUAAUUCACAUUUCAAUAUCCAAAAUAUAUUUAGAUGCAAAGCAAUUGGAGUUAUUGAAUAAGAUGGAGGAAGAUAGAAUCUGACAUUCAAGGAUGGUUUAAACUUCCACAUCUUACAAACAUGGCUACAUGCACAAUGAAGACUAUUAUUGUAUAAUUGAGGAUACAAAAUUGUAUUUAUAAUUUAUAAGCACAUGUUUGAACAAUGCUUAUUACAUGUGUUAAGUGAAUUUUUUGGUUACUUGUCCUUCUUAGCUUCUAUGAACUUAGUUUAUGUGUGUUGACACUGCCAUACAUUCAAAUUUAAAAAAUAUGUUCACUUCAACCACAUAAAUGGAAGACAAUUAAAUUUAAAUAAAACUUCAAAAAGUCCAACCAAAUUAGAGUUACUAAAAUUACAACACAGUUGCUAAAUACACGUCUUAAAUUCUCUAACCACAUUACACCCAAUGAAAUAAACAUGUAUCAUUUCUAACAACUACUUCGUAAUAAACAUAAUUAAGUACUAAACACGUCAUGUACGAUCCCUUUCAAUUAUGACUAACAAAAUCAUUUUUUCCCCUUCCAUACCUAGUUCAUGGUGAUUUCAUCACAACCGACUUCACACGUUUCCUUGCUCUAUGCUUCACUCGGGUGAAUAUGUUACUUUUUUCUUCUCCCCCAUCUUGGUCUUCGGGUACGUCUUGCUCUUGGGGUACGUCUUGGUCUUCGAGUACGUCUUGUUGUUCGGGUACAUGUUGCUCUUCGGGUAAGCCUUGCUCAUCGGGUAGGCCUUGCUCUUCAGGUAAGUCUUGCCCUUCAAGUAUGCCUUGCUCAUCGGGUUCGUCUUUAUCAUCAACGUAAGACGUCUGCAGAUGUUCGUCGUCAUCUACAGAAGGACUAUCAUGCACAGAAGAUUUUGCACGUGCACUUAAAAAUUCUUGUAACUCUUUCAACUCCUUCUCCAAAUUGCUGAUGACAACCUGUUGUUCCUUUGCUUGGCGAAGCAUAUCAACUACUUUCACCUUCAUUUUACCAUAGUCCUUUUUUUUUACAUGUCACUUGUAAAUCCACGUCGAAUUAUCUCAAAUGCUUGUACAAUGAAUUCUUUUUGCAACUCUUCAUUGGACGCAGAUAAGUCCACAAUAACCUGUUCAGGCAGACAACAAAUACCAACAUAAAUAAAUAAAUAAAACUAAGUAUUGUACAUUAAAUAAAAAAUUUCAAUGUAUUCUACACACCACAUUCUGUUGCAGUCCAGAUGCAAUUUCAAUGUCACUCAGCCUAACAUCCAUCCAAUGUGUGAUACGAGGAUAUCUAUUUCCAAUCCUCGGCAUUUGCCGCUUGUAAGAGAACAAAUGUUCAAGAGCCCAUAUCUACACAAUUCAUGUCAAAUUAAUGCCAGUAACCAGAAUUUGUAUGGGAAGUCAAAACACAUAUGAAGUAAUUAUUUUAAAUUACCUGCAUCAAGUACACACAACCACGAACAUGGAUAUAUGUAGCAUUAGUUUUCUCUUCAUACACAUUGAAGCUGAACACAAACUCUGAUCCAAAAAGUCAUAAACUAAACCUCCCCAAUUAAACCUACCCAAUUCGCCUAGAUCAUCCACAACCCUAAACAACCCACCAAGGACUAAACCCAUUCUACUUGGAAAUAAAAACUCUGACAUUCCUAACAAGAUGUACAGCCUGCAAAAGUCAUGUAUAGAACAUUCGUUGCAACGUUUAACAAUUUCAUCAUAAAUCAUUUUGACAGAUACAUGACUACUUUUGAAAAAACUCAUACUCUUACAAUUGUUUUCUGUUUUUUGUAAGUCAAAUUUGUCUCUCAAAACUCUAAGACCUAUACCUAAACAAACAUCUAACAAAGUAAAUGGGACAACUCUAGAGUUGACUACAAAACCAUGACUUCUCUCCACCCACCUAGUACAUAACUCCCUUAAAAGGCAACGAUUCAAUUUCAGGUUCCCAUCCAACACAAUUAGCCAACCAAAGGGGGUUGACUGAAUAAUAAACUUUUCUUCAUCACUUAAGGUUUUGUUCAAACUUCCCAAAAAUUUAGGCCUACAAUAAUGCCUAAAGACCUGCAUUUAUAAAAACGUGUACACUUUACUAAGAAUGUGAUGCCAUUGUAUGCCCAACAAAAUUAAGCAUAUUUGAAAUCGAACCUUAUCAUCCACAAAAGAUUUUGCAUGACUACUUUCUUCACUUGUCAUUAUAUCCUACAAAACAUAAAAAAGCAACAUUGAAUAUGUUAUUCAAAACCAAACAACAAUCAAAGAACAUCAAUCUUUAAAAAAUCAAACAAUUCAUAGUUAAUGUAUUCUGUAAAUGUGCUUUUGCAAUAAACUGACUUUGGGUCAACACAAAGAACAUAUGAAGGACAAAAACCUUACAUUAUUCCCCACCCCACACUAACUAAUAACACAAAAAACCUAACAUUUUAAGAUGAAAUUACCCUGCCUCUAUCAUAGAACUAUAAUGUGGGUCACCACAUAUUCCCUCUAGGGUCACCACAUUCUACAACUGUCUAAGUGGAGUGAAUUUUGUGGUUAGUUUGCACUUUCCUACACUCAUGGGUUCUAAAGNNNNNNNNNNNNNNNNNNNNNNNNNNNNNNNNNNNNNNNNNNNNNNNNNNNNNNNNNNNNNNNNNNNNNNNNNNNNNNNNNNNNNNNNNNNNNNNNNNNNAACCCACUUUCUCUCCACCUCAUGGCCCACCCUUCACCAACACGAACACUCACUUCCCAUAUCCAGGAAAAAAUUUCACUGGGGCUGUGCACGAAGUGUAAUGUGGGUCACCACAUAUUUCCUAUAGGGUCACCAUUUGAUGAUAUUCUUAGUUGAGUGAAUUUUGUGCCCACUUCACAAUGCUCUAAACUCAUGGCCUCUAAAUACCUCAAUUAAACCACUUUGUCCCCAGCUCAUGCCCCACUACAACCAACACGAACACUCACUUCCAAUUUCCAGAAAAAGUUUCCCUGGGUAUGUGCAGGAACUAAAGUGUGGAUCACCACAUAUUCCCUAUAGGGUCACCAUUUCAUUAUAUUCUCUUAGUUGAGUGAAUUUUGUGCCCACUUCACACUGCUCUACACUCAUGGCCUCUAAACACUUCAAUUAAACUACUUUGUCCCCAGCUCAUGCCCCACUACAACCAACAUGAACACUCACUUCCCAUUUUCAGAAAAAGUUUCCCCACAUCAUGCCCAUCCCAACAAACAUGAACACUCACUUCAUAUUUCCAUAACAAGUUUCACUGGGUUUGUGCAGGAAGUAAGAGGUGGGUCACCACAUAUUCCCUGAAGGGUCACCACAUACUGUCAGUCUCUAACUUUACUAAAUUUUGGGAUUAAUUCAUAGGGUCCUACUCCAACAACCUCUAAAUAACUCAUUUAAUCCACUUUCUCCCCACCUCCUGUCACUCCCUAACCAACAUGAACACAAUUCACAUUUUAAGAAAAACUUCCCCUGUUAAGUCUGUGCAGGAAGUCUCAUGUGGGUCACCACAUACUCCUACUAGGGUCACCACACACUGCAACCCUCUAAAUUCAGUGAACAUUGUGGUUACUUGACACUAUCCUACUUUGAUGGCCUAUAUAAAAAACUGAUUUAACCCACUUUCUCCCCACCUAGUGUCCCUCCCCAACCAACAUCAACACUAACACUAACACAAACACUAACACUCUCUUUUUAACUUUCUUAUCUAUGUCAACAUUACAAAAUUUCCUUUAUAAUUUUGGUACCUCAUCAACCUAACAUUCCAAACAAACACUCUGCACUAAUUAUAUACCAACACACAUAUUUCCAACAACAAUAUUUUCACAAAAAAUCAAGUCAUACUCCACAAAAAUGGGUCCCGAUUUUUGGACAACUUUAAAUGAGUUGCUCCACCAAUCCCUUUUCUUUGUGUAUCCUAACAUGCUACUAUGAAAUCAAAUACUACAAUAAUAGUGAAAUACAGACCCACAAAGUAAACCCAACAUCAAAUACAAAUAUACAUUUAUCUUAAUAGUCUGUGCGAGAAAUCAGCUUUGGCUCAUACAAGCGUCACCAUAGGAUAAAUAACAGGAAUGACCCAACAACAAAUCACACAACAUCAAGGUUUCACUUAAUAAACAAAUGAAAAAAAUAAAUGUAUUACCUUUGAAAACAGGAUGUCCAAGAGGAGAACGCCACCCAACCACCAUGAAAACAGGAUGUCCAAGACGACAUCGCCACCCAACCACCAUCAAAGGAGGAUGUCAAAGACGACACCACCGCCAAACCACCCUGAAAAUAGAUGCACCUACGACGACCACGAACGUCGUUGCACAUAAAGGUUGCGGAGAACUUCGAACAAAUACCUUGCAGAGAAGACGAUGUUGGUGGAGAAGACGAUGUGCUGGAGAAGACGAAGUGGUGGAGAAGACAAGUUCGUGGAGAAGAAACCUAAAUUCAGCCCCUUUCUAAAAACCUAAUUUCACAUUCUACUGCACCCUAAACACUCAAUUUCAUAUUUUUUCUGGACCCCACAUCCAAAUAAAAUAAUAUUUUCUUGUGCCACGUUGGUAGUUGUAUGGUGGAGCAACAAAUUUAGGGUUGUCCAAAAAUCGGGACCCAAAAAAAAAUUAAAGAAAACUGAGAGGGUAAAAUAUACAGAUAACCAUUAAUUUUUCAUUAAAUUUAAUUAUAUUUUACCACUUUGAAUACUUAUAUUUUAAUAGUUAUCCACACACAAUAUUUAAUACUUAUACUCUGUUAAAAGAAUUUAAAAAUGAUACUUUAAAACAUGAAAUUUAAUCAUUAUCAACUUAUAAAAAAACAAGUUAAUAUAAUUAAUUGAUAUUAAAUAUUGACAAACAAUUGCUAAAAAAUAUAUUUUUAUUUUAUUUUUCUUAUAUUUUUAUUGUUUGUACAUAAUAUAUUACUUUCAAUCAAUAUUUUUAUAAUAUGUUAUACUCAGCACUCUUUAAUUAGUAUGUGUAAAUAUUUUUUCCGUUAUCUUUAAUGUAGGAAAAUUAAUGUUUAUUGAUAAUAUCAUUUUAAUAGGAAUUAUCUAUAAAGGUACUCUAAAAAUUGGUUGUAUUUUCAGGAAUCAUUUUAUUAGAAUUUUAUGGCAUCUCAUCGUCUUCCCGCGAAUAUGUCUAUAUUGCGACUCCAAGAGAAACAUGUUACUAAAUACGUAUGGGAAGGUAAUGAAAGACUAUUGAGACCCAUAAGACAUGCAAGUUGGGUACUAAAGCAUGAGGAUAUACUUGACCAACGAGUCAAACGGUUAAUUGAUCAUUCUGGUUUUGGACAUUUGUUAAAAUUUAAGCACAUUGACUUCAACCAUGUACUAAUUACAGCAUUAGUGGAAAGAUGGAGAACAAACACUCAUACCUUUCACUUUCCUCUCGGUGAAACAACUGUUAUUUUGGAAGAUGUGGAAUUAAUAUUGGGUUUACCUAUUGAUGGGCAGGUUGUCACCGGGAUUACUAGUGGUGAUUUAAUAUCUUUCUAUAACCAGUUGCUCGGAUUUAUACCACCCUCAACAGCGGUAAAAGGAAAUGCAAUUAAGUUGUCUUGGCUUAACAACACUUUUCAGGAACUGCCACAUAAUGCAACCGAUGAUGUUAUUGCUCAACAUGCUCGAGCCCACAUAUUAACACUUAUUGGGAGUCUAUUGAUGCCUGAUUCUUCAGGUAGUAAGACAUUUAAUGUAUCUAUUAUUGUUGGCAGACUUGAACAACGUAAGGAAUUACAGUUGGGGGUCAGCUGUAUUGGCUUCUUUGUAUCGUGCGCUCGAUCACGGAAUAGAAUUUAAUCAAGAUAAUAUUGGAGGUUGCAUGCUUCUUUUACAGUGUUGGGCAUGGGAACGCAUAACAUGCAUUUCUCCACAACUUCAACCAUUGACCGAUGAAGAAGUUCAACAAGGAGUUGGUUUCCCCUCUCGGUAAAAGGUAUGUUAUUUUUGUAUUAAUUUUCGAGAUAAGAAAACGAAGCUCUUAAUAUUUCUUUGCUUACGUUAGGUGGACUCGGAGGAUGCAUGGGACGCACAUAGGAGGAACCAUUGUUCCACAAAUACGAGCAAUAUUUGAUGGCAUUAAAGUUAAAGAGGUUGUGACAAAUAUAUAAACUAACAUAUCAUUUUAACUAAAUAUUUCAUAUUACUGAUGUUUCAAACAUUUAUUUACAGUUUCUUUGGACUCCACGCUUGAUCACUAUUGAGGUUUCCCCAACUGCACGGGUUGUAGUUCCUCUCAUAUGUUUUGCAACUGUUGAAUUUCAUCAGGUUGAUAGGGUUAUGCGUCAAUUUGGAUUUCGACAGAGUAUUCCAAGUGACCCAUUCAACCUCGAUCAACUUCACAAAGAGGAUAUGAGAGGACGAAUUGAUCGAUACUGGCCACAAUAUCAUGUCGCAUGGAUAGCUAUGUGGAAUGACCGUCAUAAUUUGCAUGACAACUCAAAUGGCAAUUUGCAUGAGUUUAACGGAAAUCAGUUUAACGGAAAUGGAAAUUUGCAUGACAACUCAACAUACAUGCAAUGGUACAUCAACCAUACUAUCCGCUACAUCACGCCUAUACAAUCAUCGUUUGAUGAUGAUGUAAGUUCAAUUACAAAAUUAUUUAUUAUUCUUCAUUCACUCAUCCAAAAUUAACACAUAUUUUCAAAACAGUAUGAUAUGCCACAGGAGACUACACAACCUCACUAUCAACAUCAUGUCGGGUCUUCUUCUCAAGUUCAAUCAUUUAAACAACAAUCUUUUCGUCCACCAGGUGUUCAACCGACCCAGUUGUUCGGAUAUAGGGAUCAAUCUCACAUGUCAUUUCAAUCAUCAUUCCAUCAACCACCUUUCAACUACUUAACAUUUCUAUCUCAACAAAAAUUGUUUGUUGGCCCGUCAAAUUCCUUUGCAACCUCUACCAUGACCCCCCCAUCUGCCUACAAUCCAAUGUCAUUUAUGCAGUAUUAUCGACCAACAAUGCCUUCACAAGUGUCCGCAAAUUAGAGUGAUGACAAUGAAAUCGAAGGCAUUGAUGAUGACUGUAGAUAAAUGAAUAAACUAUUUUUCUCGAGGUUUUCUCUUUAAAGUGAGAUUUAUCUUUAUUAUCUAUAUCAUUCAUCUUUAAAGGUAAGAUGAUUCCUCUUUAAAACAUUUUUUUUAAUGUUUUUCCAUUUUAUCCUAUUACGGCAAAAUGUAGAAUUAGCUGAAAAAAAAGUGAAGGCCCUGUGGACACUAAAUAGUGUGAACUAAACCUUCAUUAUUAAAAAAAUUAAAUAAAGUGAGUUAUACUCACGUAAUUUUUUUUAAAAAAAUAAGAAAAAGGGUUGUGUGGUCAAAUGGUCACUGUUGAAAAUAUAAAUAAUAAUAAAAAUUUAAAGUUUGAAGAUUAAGCUCACACUAUGCAUUUUGAAAUUAAAUUUAAAUAAAUAACAAAAUUGUUAAGGUUCAACCUACGCAAAUAAUUAAUCUUUUAUUUAUUUGAAAAUGGCGCUGAUGUGUGGAGAAAAGAGUGAAAACUUUUCAAAGCUUGGGUUUAAGUUGAAAACGCGACCAGAGAAUGUACAUUGAGAACGUGCCCUAGCUGUUGAGCAGUGCGACCUGAGAACGCGACCUAGCUAUUGAACAGUUCGACCUGAGAAUGCGACCUAGCUGCUGUUGAGCAGUGCGACUUAAGAACAUGACCUAAGGAGCGACCGUGAGAACAUGCAACCGUGAGUUUCACAUUCCUUUCCUUUUUCAGUCUCUGCGAGUUGAAGACUCAACCCUAGGUUUUGCCCCAUCUCGAUUUCUUUCUUUUUUCGUUAUAUUGGUUGAGGUGUGUGUUGUGUAAUUUUAUUUUGAAGAUCUAGCCCUAAAGAUUCUAGAAUGAUUCUCAACACCGUGUUUUUUUAUUUCAUUUGUUUGAGGGAGCUUGGAAACUUCUAUUGUGAGAGCUUGAAGUUCCACCACUUGAGGUAAGUCUUUUAUAAGAAAUUUUAACCUGUCUGAUCAACUGAAAAAUCAUGAGUUCCAUCAAUUAAGGUACAUAGGAGAAGGGAAGUAGCAAUCACUAAGGUACAUAGGAGAAUGCGAUAUCAUCAAAGAAAUUGAUCAUGGUUUGGUGGAGCCAAAUAUGAGUUUUGAGGUACUUCACAUACUGAAUGGCUUCCUCCAACAUGGUUUGCUGUAAAAGUUCGUGAUAUAAGCAAGGGAAAAAGGAUUGCAAUUUUGGAAAAGUGUUACAAUUUUACGAGGUACGUAGCUAUAUACGUUCUCUUCUCAUCCUCUGUGAAGACAAACACACUAUGUUGUGCCAUCUAUCUUUGCUUAAAAUAUUUGUCAAGUGUCAUCGUCUUUUCUUCAUUUUACUGUAAUUAGAUUCUCCUCUUCAAAUUUAACUCUCCAUAAACAAAAUAUAUAUAUAUAUAUAUAUAUAUAUAUAUUAACACGUUACUUCAUCUUCAUUUUGCUGUAAUUAGAUUCAAUGUGGAAAUCAACCCAAAAUUGAUCUGUUUUAUUGUUGCCGUUUUACAAUUGUUUAAGAAAAAAAAUGAAAAAUGGUAAUAAAUUCUGUGAGGAGGACAACACAUAUGGAUUAUGCAUUUGGAUUAUUGUUUUAUAUUUUUCCAUUGCUUUUUCGUCCAUAAUGAAUAGUUCUAGUGAACCUUCCAGUCAUUUAAGUCCACAUUUCCACUCAUUUGCCAAAUUGCAAUAUAAUAUUUCUUCGUUGUGCGAUAGAAUAAUAUAUGUGUAAAUCAAAUCCCAGCAAAACAAUCAGUGCGAUGAGAAACAUUAUAAUGAUGGUUGGUAGAAAGUGAAUAUAGGAAUGAGGUGGGAACAGAUAAAAAUGGAAUGCUGUAAACAAAUUUUACAACUUAAAGUAAAAAUAGGCAAGGAAAAUGAAACCGCAGAGACAUAGUCCAAUAAAGUCAAUAAAGAGAAUAAUGUUUAAUAAAGUCUUUGAAUAAAUAAAAUAAUCAAUUUUUAAUAAUUAAUUUAUUAAAAUAAUAAAUUCUGUCAAUAUAAUAAUUUAUUUAUUACUUUUGUCUUUUAGUUUCUAACUUAUGAAUUCAUGUUUUUUGCUUUAAUGCUAUUGAAAAAAAAAAGUAAAUUAAAAAAUCUUAAUAUUUAAUAUUUAAAAUUCAAAUUUUUAUUUAAAAGUGGAGUCAUCAUCACAUGGAUAGAAGAAGAAAUUUUUUGAGUCCAAUAGUUGCCAAAUUAGCAUUUUAUUUCAUUGUAUAUAAUUGAGUACAAAUCUCAUUUCAUGAGUCGGUUUUAUAGUGUUAACUUAAGCUUAAAGUCUACUUCGUAAUAUGGUAUCAGAGCCAUUUCAAACCUAUAUUAACGAGUGUUUAUUGACCUUAUCAGACCACCCGCUAUCGGACCGUUAUCGGACCACCCAUAAUAUAUUAUCCUAACAUGAGCCGAUUUUAUGACAAAACACAAAUUAUCAAAAGUAAAACAUUAAAGAUGUAAAACAAUUAACUAAUAGAAAAAUUAUUUUAAGAACAUAUACUUCUUUUCUCAUAUUGUAUUUAUGGUUUAAUUUAAUAUUAAUUAGAUGUUAAUUUUUUAUAUUAAUUUCGAUUUAUUUAUUAAGUUUUUAUUAAAUUUACAAUUUUACUAUUUUUUAAUUAUUUAUAUUCCAAUCUUAUUUAAUUUUAUCAAAAUUCCUCCUAAAUACUCAAUAUAUUAUAAGAUUAUUUAAGUUUAAUAAUGUUACUUUUAUUAUAAUUUUUUGUUUCAUCAAGUGUUUGAUGUAUUUUUUAUUUUCGUAUUCUUCCUGUUAAUUUUAUCAACCUGCCUAUUUAUCCUCUACUUGUUUAUUAAUUUACAUUAUUAUUUUUUAGUAUUUUUAUUUUUAAUUUGUUAGUCAACUCACUAUUAAAAAAUAAUAAAUUAAUCAGAGGAUAUUGAGAAAAGAAGAAACAAAUUGAUCAAAGGAGAAGAUAGAAAUAAUAGUUCCAUCCAUUUCAUUUAUAUUAAAUAUCAAACACAAGAAGAAAAAUAUUUUUAAUAAAACCAAAAUUUUUAACAACAAAUUAAAAAUAUUUACAUUCAUGAGAUAUUUAAACUUAUUCUUAUUUUUUUAAUGUUAAAAUCUGAUUAUUUUAUGUUUAUUUUUCCCUUAUUUUAAUAUUUUUGUUUUUAAUAUUUAUGUUUUGACAAUUAUUCAUCAUAAUUUUAUAAUUCUGCAAAGAAGAGAAAUUCUAUUUUAGAAGACUACUUUUACAAAUUUACAAUUAACUUUGUAAAUUAUAAGACAUUUUAUAACUAUUGAAUUUCAAUUUAGGAACUGUUAAUAUAAUUAUAUUAGUUUAAAAAUAUAUAUAGUAUGUAUUAAAACUUAAAUUAACAUAUAUAUUAAAUUUAAAGGAAAACUAUUAAUUCUAUGUUUCAUUUAUGAAGAAAGAAUUCGACUAAUUCCAUUAUAAUGAAUAUAUCUCGUUGAAAUUUCACAAUCUUAGCUCAUAUCUUAAAAAAAUUAAAAUCAAAUGGAUAAGGAUUAAAUAUUUUUAUAAUUCUGGUCUUCAAGUAUCUGAAAAGUUCACAAGUAUACUAAAAAGAAAUAUUCAAUUACUGUAAUUUUUAAUAAUGCUUUUCCUCUUCAGUAUCUAUAACAAUAAUUUAAAAAAUAUAUUAAAGUAGUAAAAAUAAUUAAAGAAUAAGAUUAAAAUAAGGAAUAUAAGUUAUUAACAAAUAAAUGAAUUAUCUUACUUUUCAUUUAUUUAUAUUUUAUUUCUCUUAAUUCAAAUCACUUUAUUCUCUAUUUUUUUCAUUCAUUUUUUAAACAAUAAAAGAAAACUAAAAUAAUCAUUUAAUGCAUAAAAAUGGGUCAACUGUAUCUAAUUAUUUUGUUAGUAAAUCUUAUUAAAGUUUCCUGUAAGUAUAUAAUAUUUCGUAUUUAUUCCAAAACAUUGAUACGAAUAAUCAUUUAAUCUAUAAAAUAAGUUUAAUAAAAUAAGUUUUUUUAUAAUAAAAAUAAAAAAUACUGAUAAACACUACAGUACAGAAGCAAAGGUGUCAUGAAAGGGGUGGUGGUGUGUCCGUGCGCGACCUUUUGCGGCGUCAAGGGACACUGUUCAAUGCUGCUAUGUCUCAUAGUCCAACCUUCAAAUUAAUCCAAUUCAAGAAGUGGAUAACUAUAAAACUCUAUUCCAUCAAAUACACCACUGUCCCCUGUUCACCGUAAGUCUACUAUACCAAACAAUGAUCUCCGUCACUCACGCCAUCCAAACAAUCCUUAACGUCUCUAAACGUCUUCCUCCACUCACUGUGCCUCUUCACGAUGCCCUAGGCAAGGUCCUCGCGCAAGACGUUCGCGCUCCCGAUCCUCUCCCGCCCUACGCCGCCUCCGUCAAGGACGGUUACGCGGUGAUCGCCGCCGAUGGCCCCGGCGAAUAUCCAGUCGUUGCUGAGUCUAGAGCUGGAGACGACGCUCUUGGCGUCACUCUCUCCCCUGGAACUGUCGCUUACGUUACUACCGGAGGUUCGCCUUUUUCCGUUUUCAUUUUCCUAGAAAAAAAUGUAAAAUAAGUUUUGCUUCUCUCGCAACUGUAUUUCAGUUUCUGAAGAAGUUAUAUUCUAGAGUUUUAAGUUAAUUUAAUGGAAGUUAAGUCGAUAAAUUGAUACUAGCUUGCACGAGAAGUUCAGUUCAGUUCAGUUCAUUUUGUCUUUUCUUCUUCUCUUGUUGUUAAUGCUUCCAGUAUAGUUUAUCGGAGUAGAGCUUUAUAUAUUUAUAUCAUGGAUUAUUGAUUUAUGGUUAAUAUUCUUUGUCACGUUUCUCUCUCUCUUGAUUUAGGACCAAUACCUGAAGGUGCUGAUGCGGUUGUUCAGGUUGAGAAUACGGAAGUUGUGAACGAUGCCUCAGAUGGGACUAAACGAGUCAGAAUAUUGGUACAAACCACCAAAGGGAAUGAUAUACGUCCAGUGGUAUGCUCUUGUCGCUUCUCUGCUGUAACUCUGAUCAUAAUGUUGAGUUUAUGUUUUAAAUUGCGUGUCAUUUUUAAUGUCGCCAAAUUUGACACGGAUUCGUUGUUUACUAGUUUAAGUUCUGUAUAAUAUCGAAGUUUAUUAGCUGUUUUGUUCACUGCAUUUUGGUAUUCAUUGACAGGGACUUGAUAUUGAGAAAGAUGCAAUGGUGUUGACAUCUGGAGAAAGGCUUGGUGCUUCGGAAAUUGGUUUGCUUGCUACGGUUGGUGUGACAAUGGUUAAGGUAUUCUUUUAGAGAGUUCCUGGAUUCUGUAACCAAGCAAGCUUCUCCCUGUAUUAGCUAAUACUUCCUGAACUUUGACAUGUUUUGUCUAAUAUUGAGUAUUGAUACAUUUAAUGAUGGGAAUUAUUGCUUAAGUGCAGGUUUAUCCUGCUCCAACAGUUGCUGUUCUUUCUACUGGAGAUGAGCUUGUAGAGCCAAGUACUGGGCAUCUGAGUCGUGGUCAGGUAUUGUUAUGUUCUGCUAGGAUCCUAGGACUAGUGAGACUAGUGUAUGAAAAAUGUUUAGCAUAACAAUAAUGUUUUCAGUUAUUAGAACUAUCAUAUGGAUGGAAGCUAGUGGUUGUAACUUAUAAUUGACUAAAAAUGCAUGUCAGCUUCAGGUAUUUUCUUAAAGGAUUAUUAAUGUGAUAAUAUUUGGAAUAGAUUACUAAAGUCUUAUCUGAAUCAACCUAUAGGCAAUACCAACAUUAAUUAGGCUGCUUGCUUUGAUUUUAGCAUGAGUAGUUUGUUGAAGAAAGAAGGUUCAACCGAGCAUUAUAAUGGACCUAUAAUUCUCAGUCUGGCAGAGGCUUAAACAUAUUACUCUGCUGCAUAGAUGUAAAUUUCUUACUCUGCUGCAUAGAUGUAAAUUUCUUACUCUGCUGCAUAGAUGGUGUUUAAGAUUUGUUGGGCAACCCAGCACUUUUUUUACCACAUUAUUCAACUACUUAUUUGUAGACUAUGUAUUUGGGUUUGUGCAAUAAUUCGCAAGAGUUGCUGGGUAAAUGUAAUUAAAAUGGAUGUAAGCUAAUGUAGUUGCUUUGCAGAUUAGGGACUCUAAUCGUGCCAUGCUCCUGGCAGCUGCAGUACAACUUCAGUGCAAAGUUCUGGACCUUGGUAUUGCUAAGGAUGACAAAGAAAGUCUAGGAAGGAUCUUGGAUAAAGCUUUUGCUUCUGGAAUUAAUAUUCUUAUAACUUCAGGAGGUGUUUCAAUGGGAGACAAGGAUUUUAUCAAGCCUUUGCUUGAAAAGCGAGGAAAAGUACAUUUUGACAAGGUUAUGCCAUUCUUCUAUUUGAUUGUCUAUUAAUUAAAAAUGUUCUGACAUCCUGUUAAUCUGUGCCAUGGAUGCAAUGUGUAUGUUGUAGUUGUAGAAAUCUUACUAGUCCGUAUAAUCUCUGGUGAGUAUAAUUUGUAAAUCAUGUUUUCUUAAUUUAGAUUUUCUUUUCAUCUUUCAGGUGCUUAUUAAACCAGGCAAGCCAUUUACAUUUGCAGAGAUUGACUUUCCGUCAACAGAAAGUAAAAUUCUAGCUUUUGGACUACCAGGAAAUCCUGCCAGUUCUUUAGUUUGCUUCUAUCUCUUUGUGGUCCCUGCAAUACGCCUCCUUGCAGGGUGGACAAAUCCUCAUCAUUUGAGGUUACUUAAUUCCAAAGUUUGUUUUUAUGAUGGUUUGCUUGCCUUUUGAGUUUAUUCAUUUAAUUAUUUUCUAUGCAGGGUACAAGCUCGACUUCAUCAGCCCAUAAAGACAGAUUCGUUUAGACCUGAAUAUCAUCGUGCUUCUGUUAUAUGGACUGACAAUGAUGGAACAGGCAAUCCAGGGUAAGUCGAUGAUGAAUUGUUUGUUUUGGUCUGGGUCUAGCUGAAUCUACUGCAUAUCUGUAAUCUACAUGCAGAUCUGUUCUCUCUAUUGUGUGUUUUUAUUAAUUUAAUAUAGGGAGGUUGUUAUGUGGAGGGUCAGAGGGGCUGUUAUCUUUUAUCUGUUCUCUCUUAAUGAAUGAAAUUUUUAUGCUGUCCAUGAAUCUCAGUUUUGUUGCUGAGAGCACUGGUCAUCAGGUAAGCAGUCGACUGCUAAGUAUGAAGUCAGCUAAUGCUUUGUUGGAGUUUCCAGCAACAGGAAGAGUAGUUCCUGCAGGGACCACUGUAUCAGCUAUCAUAAUUUCUGACCUAAGAUCCAUGGCUUUUGAUGAGAAUCAUAUGUCAUCAGAUGCGGCAUUUUCUUUGCCAGGAAUUAAAUCACACAAAAUAACUACUGAUUCUUCAGGGGAUGCUGAAGUCAGAGUGGCUAUUCUUACAGUUAGUGAUACAGUUGCUAUGGGGGCUGGCCCAGAUAGAAGGUAUUGAUAUUCAUAUUAUAUUUGAUAGGUGUAUGCAAACAAAGAGACAGACAUACAUCUGAAGAUCAAAAUUAAACCUUUUUUUGGCCUAUCUGUAUUUGUUUUUUGAAUCAGGAGAGCCCUUUAAUUGAUUUUUCUGCAUUUGAUCAAUUUAUGAAUAAUGCUUUAGACUAAAAAAGUUUUUCUACUUUCUAGAUAAAGCAGCUUCUAGAUACUUCUAAUGAAAUCUUGCAAAAGAAGAAAUGUGACACCACACCUUUUAUUUUUGAAAUUGCUACAACACAAUACUAUAUUGAUAGAAACUGAGUAUUCCGAUGUUAGAAAGAGAGUUAAUAGACUUGAUACUGCCAAAUCUUUAUUAGAAUUCUCUAAUCCAGUUCCUAUCAAUUUGGUAGAACCGUCCCAGAACCAAGUAUGAUUACAAAAUACCCCACUGAGGUUGUUCGAGAGAACCUCACUCUCCACACACAUACAGUUCCUCUUUUUUUUCUCCAACCAAAAAGUCCCUCCCAACUCUGUUUCUCGACUAUUUAUAUAGUUUAGAUACAGCUGUCAAUUAUUUCUUCUCUUAUAUACAAUACCAAACCUAUCAUAUAUAAAAAAGGUUAAUGAGGUGCUGGCCAUAUUCAUAAUCUUUGUUCUUGAUCGCCAAAGUCAACUAGUAAUUUUUUGUCAUUAAUUGAGUGCAUCUAGUAUCCUCUUCCAAACCAAAGAUUUUUUUUUCUGUAGAUAUGAAAAUAAUGGAGCAGUGUGGCAUUUGUUAUUAUUAAAGCUAGAUUUUAGUAUGCUCAUAUGCAUCAGCAUUCACAUGCUGUAGAUUUUUAGUAUGCUCAUAUGCACAACAUUCACAUGUUGAAGGAGUCAAAUUAACCAAUGUUGGAAUACCAUCACUGUUGCUAUAUAAACACACACAUACUUUUUAUCCAACGAAUGACAUUAUAUUUGUUAACAUUUUAUAUUGCUUUUCGAAAUUACCCUUAAGAUUAUUGGGCUCAUCUUCUCAUUCUUUUCACCUAGUUGGUUAAUGUGUGCUGGUCAUAUUUUCACAUCUGCACAAGAGAGAGAAUAACUUCUAUUCUUUAUUGACUACAAAAACUAUAAAAUAAUUAAGUUAAACAAAUAAUUAAUGCAGGAGACAAUCUGAAUGCCUUGUGAAAAGGGAAAGAGAAAUUUCUUAAAAGGCUCUUAUAUAUAUGGGCACAAAGGUAUUAAUUGUUAAAUCAUAUUCCCAGUUGGAUAAUGUUGAAAGGCAUCUAGAUACACCUCUUUAAAUCAUUGUUUGAAAGAGGUCACAAAGUUGAUGCAAAACUAAAGAGCGAGCUUGAUGUUAGUCAAUGCCAAAAGGGGCAUGAGAUCUACUGAGUGUCUUGCAACAGUCUCAAACUUUUAAGUGUUUAAAGAUAAAAUUUCUGUUUUGGGCAUUGAUCCGUCAUAGUGUAGAAGUGUGUUCUGUUGACUGCAUAACCUUAUCUGCAGUACGUCUGGCUGUGGUUCAUAUUAUUGAUUUUUCACACAUCCUUCAUUGGGGUUUAUAGUAUUUUAUGCAUUUAAGGAUUGUACAUUUUUUCUGUUGUCUUGUUUAUUUCUUCAUUCUCUUUCUUAAUUUGUUAUUUGCUCACUGCCUUGUGAAUGAGUUAAGGAGUUGUGGAACCUUGAACUAAAAUUCACCCUAAUCACUAUUAAAGAAAAUGGCAAUGUCCCAUUUUUAUUCAGUUCAAUAACAAUUAGAAAUAAAGGGUUUGACUGCCAAGUUGCUCUGGACAUAAUUGGAAAGUGGAAGCUUUUUCUCAGUCAUCCUUGGCAUUAGACAUUUCUCCUUCUCUGUUGUUCUAGGUCUGAUGUUACUACUUGAUUAAAAAAUAGCAUCCCUCUGUGCUGGAAACACUUGGGUUCAGGUUGAACCCAAAAGAAAAAUUGCGAGUGAACUAAGAGCUUUGGCCUGUGAUUUUGUUAUCUAUGAAUUUCUGUACUAAAUAAAGUGAAGUUCCUUUAGAUUUCCCCUGGCCAAAAUAUUGGAAUAGAAUGAAUGCUUUGGCAUCCAUUAAAAGAACUGAAGUUUUUGUAGUAUUUGUCCCUUCUAUGCCAUAAGAAUGUUAUUUAAAUUUAACUUACCUGACUUUAUGAGGAAUCACUAUGUCAUGAUCUGGUUAGUUCAAUUGGUUAUAGCCGUGAUUGAACUUGCUAAUAUAAUAAAGAUAAAUUUGUCCAGAGACAUGUCUGGUUCAUGAUUCAAUUGGUUCAAUCAGUCAGUUCAGUUGUUUUUUUAAAACAUUGGUGUCGAUAUCAAAAUGUGCUGACCCUUUACAAAUAAACAGUGGUCCCAGGGCAGUUUCUGUUAUUAAUUCUUCAUCAGAAAGGCUAGGAGGAGCAAGAGUUGUAGCAAGUGCUGUUGUUCCAGAUAAUGUGGCAAAGAUUCAGGACAUUCUAAGAAGAUGGAGUGACAUUGAACAAAUGGAUCUCAUAAUUACUCUCGGUGCAUUUUUAUCUAACUGUCAGCCUCCCUAAAGUAUUUAAAAAAUUGUAGUUUUGUUGAGUUGACUUCUGCUUUAUUUUUGCUUUUCCAAUCCAGGGGGGACUGGCUUUACCUCACGAGAUUUAACUCCAGAAGCUACAAAACCAUUGAUUGAGAAAGAAACACCUGGUCUUCUGUAUGUAAUGAUGCAAGAGAGUUUAAAGGUAUUGCAACUAUGUUCAUAGUAGUUAGAUGAGUAAUUCUUGUGAUGUCUUUUGCAUUUUGUGGUUUCUCAUUUUCUUGCUUCUUUAGUUUCUUUUUUAAAACCUUCUAUUUUUUCCAAAUCAAUGUUAAAAGAGCCUUGACCUGACUGAUUUACCUGGACUGGUCAGUCUGUCAUCAGACUCUGCUAUAUAAUGGCUAUAACCGUAACCAGAAACCAACAUAUUUAUAGUAAUGCACUUUUUUCAAACUUCUAUUCACAAGCUUCUUGCUUUGUUAUUUGGACGAGAAUAAUAACCAAAACAUUCAUUUGAUAACAAAGUAAAGAAACACUAUAAGAAAAUCAUUAAAUAAAAACCAAUUUUAGAAACAAAAAAUAAUUAGUUCUUAUAUUGACUAAAUAGAGACUAAAAAAAUUUCUAGUUUCUAAAUUAACUUCUAUUAUUGUUAAAUAGUUUUUAAAUUGGUAUCUAAUUAGCUAUGAAGGUUUUGCUACCAAAUUUAGAAUUUAAAUAAUUAGUAGUUAAAACAUUGUUAGCUAAUUAGAUAUACCAAUUUAGAAACUAUUUAACAAUAAUGAUAACUAAUUUAGAAACCAUUUUUUUUUUAUAAAAUUGGUUUCUAUUUAAUGAUUUUCUUUGUAGCGAAAUGAGUUAGUAAUUAAAUAAACAAUGAGUUUGUGAAGAGUUUGUGUAUAGAAGUUUGAGUGUAGCAUAGCAUUACUUACAUUGAUUAGUUAUAGAGCUUGUGUAUAUGUCUAAAGGAAGAUCAAUUUUUUGAAUUUUAAUUUUCUCUUUAGUCUGUUUGAUUAAUUCUGUUUUCUGCAUACUUAGCUAUGCUGAUAUCAGGCCUGCUUCCUUGGAAAGUCUAUAGUUAGUGUUUGUUGAUUUCUGAAGGGCAUAAUUGAUUUAUGUUUAAAUAGGUGACCCCAUUUGCAAUGCUUUCUCGCUCUGCAGCUGGAAUCAGAGGAUCAACCUUGGUAAGGGAAAAAUGCUAAUGAUAUUAAUAUCUACUUUUAAAGUACCGUAUGAAAGCUGUGCUGUGCUUUGUCUCCUGGAGUUUUUGCACCUCAUUUUAAUGUUAUAAUGGGAUUUGCUUUGUGACCAUAUCUUUUCAUGCAUCGUACAGCUUUUUUGACAGCACAGUAUUCCAUGUAAGAUUGCUUGUCAAUCUUCUCUUACUCAUGAAAAAAGAAAUUCCUGAAUGUGAAUUGAGCGUCUCAACUCUCAAAUGUCUUGUUAAUUUGUAAAGGGUUAUUUCAUCUCAUUAAUAGUUGAUUUUAUUUUUCAAAUGUUCUUUGUUGGAUUUGUAUGGUUCUGCUCUUUUUAUGCUCUUCUCUAGGAAAAUAUUUUAUUCUCCCACUUGUACAAUAUCUUCUUAUCAGUAGCAACAAAUGAGAAAGUAAUUAACUGCCGUUUGAAGUCAGAAAAAUGGUUUACAUGUCUUGUUCGAUUUUAGACAGGAGUUUGAAGGUAGCAAUUGUUUUCAUUUCAGUCUUCACCGUUACAGUGUGGUUGUUUUACUUGAAUAGUAUUAUUUUCAGGAAACUCAAAUCAUCAUGUAGAUUUUAAAGCAUUUUCAUAUGAUAAUUUGUAUUUAUUACUAGUUACUUGGGUUUCAUUUCACUUAUCACCGUUACAGUGUGGUUGUUUUAGUUGAAUAAUUACUAUUUUCAUGAAACACAAAUCAUCAUAUAUAUUUUAAAGCAUUUUCAUAUGAUCAUUUGUAUUUAUUUCUAGUUAUUUGGGUUUCAUUUACUUAGUUUUGGUAUACAAUACGAGUGCUCUUUACUUCUAAAUGAUGCUGCAUUAGGAUUUAAGGUAAAUCUUGCGUUAUUUUGUUGGUGUAACUAGUACACCCUGAGUCCAGACAUGUAAUCUGUGUUUCUUUUAGACUUGUAUUUACUGGCUAUUUAUGGUGCUUGAUUUGUUGACAUUCAGAUCAUUAACAUGCCUGGAAACCCUAAUGCUGUUGCUGAGUGUAUGGGAGCUUUACUGCCAGCGCUUAAGCAUGGUCUGAAGCAGAUCAGGGGAGACAAGAAAGAAAAGCAUCCUCGUCACGUUCCACAUGUCGAAGCAGUUCCUGCAGAUGUGUGGGAGCAGAGUUAUAGGCUAGCCACUGGCGAUGACGUCUCUUGUUCCUGUUGCAAGUAAAGUUAAUUAUAUUUUCUUAUCGGUUUCAACGUUUGGCUCCCAUGUUUUUCAAUAGCAAUCAAUGUUCGGAAACACUAUUUUAUCAGAAAACUAAAAUUUUGAUGGGUGACAAUCCUAAUUAACUUGAAAGAUCAUUGAAAAAUACAAAUAAGAAUCAGGAGGAGCAGGAGAAUUGAAUUAUGCUAUGUAAUCUUUAAUUAAUAGCAAUUUGAUAGAUCAAGUGAUUUUAUUAACAAAAGCCUUUAAAAAAAGUAUACAAAGUAAGGUUAGUCCUUUAUGAGAGAAUUUUGUUUAUGGCCGGUGGGCAGUGAAAAUAAUUUUGAAGAAAAAUUGUUUUUCUUUUCAAAUAUUUGAAAAUUACUUCAAAACUUAAUCUCUACUUUUAUUGAAAGCGUGUAAGCAUAUGCAAGGGAGAAAAUGAUCAAUACAAUAUUUUAUAUGGUUUGACCCUACUAUUAUUCAAUUCUACAUCUAAUCCUUUACAAUGUUUAAGCAAAUUUUUACACCUUUUGAAAAAUAACUGCCAUUUGACAGUCGUGAUUUGACACAUUUUGUGUACGUGAUUAAGGGUUUUUUUGUCUAUGCAAACAAAUUAUUUUUUGAAAAAGUGUGAAAGGGGAGGGGAAGAAAGAGAGUAGGCGUGAGAUUCAUUUCGGGAGAAAAUUUUGUAGAUCCGUUGUGAAACCUGGAGUGAGGAGUGAUUGCAGAAUCGCCAUUGAACCUUGCAGAUGAAUAUGUCACACAUCAGAAGUAUUGAAGGAGAGGAGUGAUUUCAUAAAAGUGGAAAUGUUGGCAUUAUCAUCAUUGCAUCUGGUAAGUUGAUUUUAAGGGUUUCUACUUUUGAAUAUUUGUGUAAGGGUGUCAAUGGAAAGCAUCCUGAUGAGGGAGAGUGUCUAGCUUGAUAGGGUGUCCAAUUUUGAACUGAUGGUCAUGGUGCACAUGUAUCAAAGAUAUUGUAGAAAUCUUUCAAAGGUGUCCAUAUAAUUGAUGGAGGGUAAACCACAACUUCCCUAAUGUACAACUUGAGUUCACCAAUUUCCUGAAUUGGUGCCUUUGCUUUCAUUACUACCUUAGUAUACAUGCAAAUGACCCCAUGCGGUUGUAGUGAACAUAAAAAAGAAAAAUAUUUGGAGUUGUUUCUAGUUGUGGUCAUCAGUCAACAUUUAUCAAAAUGGUAUAGUCAGUGGCCACAUAAUUGAAGUGGCCAACCACUAUUUUGUAAGGGCAUGCCUUUGUUUUAGUUCAUUUGUUAGAUGAUUGUUAAAUAUUUCUGGAUAUUUUUAGAUAUUUUUAUCUAUUUAUAUUUUGUAACAUAACCUUUUGUACUCACUACACAUGAGAGAUUUGCCCACAUAAGAGAUUUCUCCUGUUUAUUCUUUUCCUUUAUUAGGGAUUUACAGCUUAAUGGUAAGCUAGGUUAUUUUUUUCACACCAAAAAUAGUUUGUCUCCACUCCAUCAUUUCUAUUUCAUAUGGCUAUUUAGUAUUUAGUAAUGGAUGCAAACCAACCAAUUUAUGAACGAGUCAACAUUGGUUCAAAUACCGUAGACAGGUAUAAGUUUGUUGUUGGACAUUGGUAACUGGUGUGGGGGUACCAACGAACACUUCCAUCAAAUUUGACCAUCACAUGCAUUGAAUUUAAGUUUAAUUAUUAUUUGGUUAGUGACUAAAUAAUUCAUAAAAUCAGAGUUAACAAUUCACCUAUGGGUGUAUACUUGCAUUUAUCUUACUGUAAGAUUAACAAUGUGGUUACACUGGUUAAAUUUUUGGCCAACCUGUAUUUCUAUUUUUUAGAAACAUUAAUCAUGUUAACAGUCAUUAUGCAGUGAACCUAAUAAAAUGAAUCAAAAUGGUUGCAGUGUUUGUAUCAAGUCGAAAAAUAAGUCUUUUUCUAUUAAACAUUGCUAAAUCUAAUUGUUUUGAGUAAGGUCAAAAUGAAGCAAACUUCAAAAGGUCAAAUUUCACAAUUUUUUCGAACUCAUUACUUAUUUACAAAUAUAAAACACAAAGUAAUGGUUGUAUUUUACCAAUUUCUACAAUUCUACAUACUAAAACGUCAUGAAAUGUCAAAAUAAUUGAACCAGAACUUUGAACAAAAUAAUUGGAAGGUCUACUUAGUUCACAAUGUUAAACAAUUUCGCUUGCCACUAACCUAGUUCAAAAGAACCAGUCAAUUCUAUUUAUUACAUCAACUUUAUCCUAAUAAUUUCUCGUACUUUAUGGCCACUUAACUCAAAAUUUCCCACCACAACUUUUCGAUGAAUGUUGUUUUCAUGAAGUAUAUGUUUGCAUACAAAAUCUUGUUGGAAACUCUGAAUUUAAUCAUGACAAAACAAUAUCAUCCAUAAAUUUAUGCACCAACAAAAUUACCACAACAACAAAACAUAUAAAUAUAAUGAAAUUAAACCAAUCGAAAGUGUAUUCUGAUAUGUUAUUCCCAUCGAACCAAGGCCUACUGACCCAUAACUCCACAUAUUUGAACACCAUUAGUCCACAAUCAUAUUUUCAAAACAUUAAUCACAUUAUCCAUUAUAUAUAUACACUAAUAGUACAUCUAUCUACACCUAUCUAUGAACAUAAUAUAGAGGUAUAGACUAACAUAUUUAGUUGUAAUGACAUUUUUUCCUCAAUAACCUUAAGAGGACGAUCUAUGUGUUUACAUUACUUAACAUACCAAACAGAUGCUCAGGUUGACGUGUCUGUUAACAUGCAUAUAAAUUUUGAGGCAUAUACGAUAUACUUAAAAAAUAACUUGUUAUUUAUUGAAUGAGUUUCAAAUCCUUAUUAACUUACCACUAUCUUACCAAUAUGCUUAUUUGAAUGACCUUUGUGUCACAGGGAAUCCAACACCACAAAUGAUUUCUAGUCUCACAGUUGGCCACAUAACACCACUAGUGGUCAUCAUGAACCAUUGGGAUAAAGAUGUACAUUUAAACCAGAAUGAAUACAUUAUAGAAACGUUGUAUUAAGUUAGGGUUUAAAGAACUCACAAAUUCAACAAUCAAAAUUUCUUCCAAAUGAAACAAGACCUCAAGUUAACAAACUUUAUAAUCAUUCUAGGUCCAAACUCGCACUUUGGAUUUCGAAUUUUCAUGUUUUGAAUUAUAUUAGUUUGCAAAAGAAUUGUAUAAUAAUAUAAAGUGUGUGAUUGAAACAACUAUCAAUACUAAUUUCUUUUAUACUUAUUAAUUCAACAUAUAUUGGAUAAAGCGUACUAAAAAAAAAUGAAUUCAAGCAAACUCAUUUUACAAUUUCUCCUCUCUUCAUUUCAUCGUAGGGUGUUGGAUACAAAUAACAUAACCUAUAAACACAUUAAACAAUUAUUUUUAUAUAAGACAUUAUUAUAUGUAACACAAACUUUUACCAUAUUGUCAAUUUUCGUCCUCGAUCUAAGUGUAUGGAAAUUUGUUUUUGUCAAAAUUUGUUGUUUACCUGAACUGCCACUCUACACAAAUACAAACAUAACAUCAACAAAUCAAGUUUUAAGCAUCAUUACUAAAUUGAUUUUGCCAUCUUAAUAUGCACAAACCUAAUGUUAUCUCCAUCACCACCUGAAGUAUGAGUCCGAUAAAGUUGGCUACAAUCAACACCAUCAAAGAUUGUGUCAGAGUCAUCCAUGAUGCUCCCUCAAAACCUUUUCCCGAGGCAUUAAAGAAUUCUUCUUGUAGAAAUCUUAUCUAUUCUUCAAGGACAACAAUGUGUUUAUCAUUUGCUUCAAUCUUAUCCCUAUAUAUUUACUCAUCAGAAAUAAUGCUUUCCCACUUAUUCGAUAAGGGAAAAUCAUCAUUAUCACUCGGUUUUGAAGAACCCUUUCUAGUAGAUUGUAGUGCUUCAUGCACUAUCCCCAACAUAUAUUCUUUUUCUAAAAGGACCCAAUUCCAUAUAAUUUUACAAAAAAUUAAUUAUUUCUUCUCAGCUAAAACAUAACAUACCGUACCAAAAUUUACAAAAUUGCUUAAUAAAAUCAACACUACCUCGUUGGAUAUGAAUGCACCAUGAAUUUUAGAGGAUAAAAUGUUUACACACUAUCAUUGAAGAAACCGUGGAAAGCAAGAACUACCACUAGUAUCACCCCAUACUAACGUGUUGAACUCACAAUUGUUGCCAAAAAACUCAAGUUAACAUAUAAAAUAAAUACUACAUUUUUCGAUCUCACCAAUAUAAAAAAAUACAUACUAUAGUUUUUCAUUUUUUAUUAUACAAAAGUAAUUACACUAACUUACAACACUGUAAAACAACCGACUAAGUGAAUUCAAUGUGCAUUCUUCAUUCUUCUGGUGGUUGAAAACUUGGGAAGCCUUGUUCGAACUCCUAACCAAUAAGCCAUGAACAUAUUUCUCCCAAUUUUACACAUUCAAUUGGUCUAACCUAUGCAACAACCAAAAUGAAAAAAACUAGUCACAAACCUAAACAUUUGAGGGAAAUAAAGAACUACAAACCCAAUCAAUAUAUACAACUUACAAAAGGCAUCAACAUAACAUAUUUUUUAUUUUACUAUCGCUAAGUUUCUUAACAAUAACACUUAUUGUGAUAUCCUCCUUGCCAAACAAAUUUUUGACUAACCCACCACCAUCAUCUUCCAACUUAAUUGUUUCCUCGGCACCCAAGCCCACCCCAAUACAUACAUCCAGAGGACUAAAUAAUAUUCUCUGAUCCUAAAACAUUAAUCAUCAUUGGUCCACCUAUUGACCAAUUCAUGUAGAAUGGUUUUUGGAAUAUGCAAUGACUCUUCCAAUCUAAGAAGCCAUCUAAAGGGGAUCUUCUCAAAUUUUUUUUUAUGUUGAAACGAAGUUAACAUACAAUUAAUUUCAACAAUGUAUUUCGUUUUCACUUUGAGCCUCACUCUAAUAUCAAAUUAAUUACUUUGUUAGACAUACAAUCACAUCUUCAAACUAUUUGUUAGUUGAUUUUGUUCGUGAGAGGAACCCACUCCCAUUUGACAACUGGUGAUGUGGCCAAAACGUUGACAAUUUAAUUGUUGAAACAUAUAUACUGAUAUUAAUUUAGAAACUAGUUUAUAAAUUUUAUUAAUAAUAAAAAUUAAUUUAUAUAUCAAUAAUUUUUGUAAUUUAUAAAAUAAUAUUUAAUUUAAUCUAUAUAAUAAUUAAUUAUUAUUACUUUUUAAAAAUAAUUUCUGUUUAAUAUAUAUAUAUAUUCAAUUUUUUUGGUUGGAUUUAAUAAGAAUUUUAAUUGGUAUGUAAUUAGAUUUAUUUCAUCAACACCGUAAGGAUAUUCAUUAAUCUUCUUUCAUUCGCAUUGCUCCUAAAUCAUUGGAGAGAAAUUUUAAGAAGCAAAAACCAUGGAAAAUUAUACUACAGAAAAGGUGUGUUAUAUUUAAUUGCAGGUGAAUUCACGUAAAAGAAACAUAACAUAAUGGAUACAACACAACGUGCAGCAGAUAGUUAUGAGAAAUCGUAUAAUGCUUUUCUUUAUUAUUCAUUUAUUGAAAUCAUGCAUUUACACGCAAACGAAUACAGUGUUCUCUUUACGUGCACAAGUACCUGAAGAAGAAGAAAAUCACAGCUCUUGGAAGAACAAUUCUGUUUCUGAUUCUCCAUUGGAUAUGAAUGCAUUUUUAGCAUAAAGACCAAGCGCUACAAGGGCCACAACCGCAUAGAUUAGCACCAUCCAUUUCACAAUUUUCUUGCACUUGUUUCUCCCUGCGUCAGAAUCUCCGUUCACUUCAUCAUCAACCUGAUUUCCAGAACCGAGUGCAAAAUCUAUCAGCCUAGUUUUGGUUCUUGAAACAGGCCUAGUUUUAGGGGCUGAUGGGGUUUCUUCUUUUGUCUCACUUGAGCCAUUAGCCUUGGCUUCUUCCUCCUUCUGGGGUGGCUUCUGGUCUGCAGAGACUUCACCAUUGGUUUUUGCUUCUGCUUUUGGGGUAUCUUGUUUUUGCUGUUCAAUCUUCUGUGGUGGAGUUGGUGCUGAUUCCUUGGGCUUAUUGGGUGAGAGUUUUCCAAAUUUGAUUGAUAGAGUGGAACCCUCAAACUUGGCAGUGACAUCGUCGGUGUCAUAAUCAGACUGAAUGGGCAAUUCUAAGUUGAAACGACGCCAUCUGUUCUGAACGAUCACUCGUUCACCUAUUAGCCUUAGGGUAGGCUUGGAGGUCACUUGAACCUUCAAUUGAUCCCUUCUAAAACCUACUCAUAGUUCAAAACCAUAUGAUAGAUAUUUCAUUGUUAUAAUUAGUAAACUAUUUUCAACAUGAGUAUCUGUUUCAUUAACAAAUUUGGAAAAUUUAUACAUUGAAAGCAUAAUGAAGUUGAUAUGAUUCCAGAGGGUAUAAGGUUUGAGAAGUUGAGAAUAAUGAAUGCAUUUACCUGGUAGCAUUACUUUGACAAGCCUUUCUUCUCUAACCCAUUCAUAGAGUGGUUCAAAGUCAUCGUAGACAACACCAGAUGCUGGCUGUGUACUUGAAGCCAUAUUUGAGCCCUAGUUUCUUUCUCUUUAGCUUCUGAGUUUGAUGUAUGUUUGGUUGGUAAUGAAUUGCACCUAGGGUUUCUUUUAUACUGAUAGGUGAUGAGGCAAUAAUAAGGAGCAUUUUGCACGCAAAAUGUAGCAUUUAGUUUGCUUUUUAAGUUUCUUGUGAAUGGUGAAAACAGUGUUGGUUUGUGUGGUGCAAGGAAAAUAAUAUGCUUUAGUAAUGGGAGGAGGUGACCUCGUCCUUUGGUGAUGCUAAAACCUAAAAGCAAAAUUUUGUUCCCAGACCAAAUCUUUUACCGACAAAUUCCUCCCUGCUCAAGAUAUACUAUUUGCACGUGUAAUUCCAAUUCUUUUUUGUUCCCCUCUCAAACAUAAACAAUAAAAACUCAAAAACAUAUCUCUCAAGGUUAACUCAAAAUUUCAAAUUUAAUCAUCAAUUUGGAGGAUACCAUUUUAUCUUAUAAUUAAUGCAACAAAAAUAGAUUUGUUGAGUGACAAUUGUUUACAUAGAUGAAAACAAAUGGAGAUCUUUUUUGUUUUUUUGUUUGGAUGAGUAGAAGAGUAAGUGAAAUAAUUUUUUUUUAUGAUAAUUAAAAGAUAAUUUUAUGUAAAAAAAAGUAAAGGUUUUACUAUAUUAUUUUUUUAGUACAAAUUAUUUAUUAUACGUUAAGUUACAAAAAAAUAAGUUUUAAACAAGUGAAAUAAACAAAUGUAGCAUUUUCCCUUUUUUAAAUUUAUGCAUAUGCAUCUACCAUAAUCUUACACUUUCAAAAAUGCUACAUUUUGAGAAAUUCCGACUACAAUUAAACGAUAUUUAUACAUUAUAAAACGUGAUCUUAAAGUGCAAUAUCUUAUAAAGUACGCUGCAGACAUGAGUAUAGUCACACCUAUGUAAACAUGAGAAGUAGAGUUAUAUAAAAAUUAUGUUAAAAUCACUCAAUAAUGCUUAAUUUAGUGGAUAUAUUGCAAUUGUGUGAUGAUAUUUUUUGGUAGGAGUAAUUGAAAUUUAUAUUCAAAUUCUAGAGCACCAGAAUAUAGAAGAUCAAGUACAAUAAUAUUAUAUUAUAUGUUAAUAAUUAUUUAAUAACAAAUAAAUAAAUGAGAGAUUUUUUCUCAAUGUAAAAUCUUGUACUAUAAUCCACAUAUGAUUCUUAAAAUAUUUCAAUAAGGUCUCACAUCUUGAUUAAUGAUUUAGGAAAGAGUGCAAACUUUUUUAUUAACAUAACUACCAAAUGAAUGAAUUGGGUGAGUCUCUUUGUAAUAAGUGAAGUUAUUAAAUUGACUUAUAAGCCUUAUUAUGAGUUACUUAUUCAUAUGUAUAAGUUCUAACUUUUGUAUAUUUAUUUUUUUAUUAAAUUAUAUCAUAUAUUUAUAACUAAAUAAUAUGUUGAAAAUAAUUUUGGAAAUAGUAUAGUUGAGUCUUAUCUUUAAUUACUAUGUAAUGUGUUAAUAACAACUAAUCUGUGUUGGAAUAUAAAAUCUAAGCAUCUCGGAUAUUCUUAACUAAUAGGACAACUAAUAGGAACACAAAUUAUUUUUUUAGCCUUAACUUUUUAUUUGUUUUUAUACCUCACAUAUUUUAUUGACCUAAACCACUACAAGAAAAUCUCAACCAAUUUUAAAUAUCAAUAAUUUUUUGUAAUAUUUAAGUUAAUAUUUAAUUUUGUUAAUUUUUUUAUCAACAAAUAAUAAAUGAAAUUAAAAAGACAAGAGUAUUUUAACUCUUAUACAAUUGUGAAAAUCAUACCUUGUAGCUUACAAUCCAAAGUAUUACAAACCAACAAAAUACAAAUAAAAACUAAAGUUCACAAGGACAUUAAUUUUGCAGAUUAUAUAACAAUUUUAUAUAAUAAUUAAUCAAUAUAAUAAUUAAUUAUUUUUUGUUUUUAAAAUUAAUUUUUAUUUAAUGUUUUUUAGUAAAUAUUUUUGUUGAGUGUGUAUUAUGUAGUAAUUCAAUAUAUAUAUAUAUAUAUAUGUUUUUUUUUUUGUUUUUUUGUUUUUUUUUUUUGUUAACUUUUUUUAUUUCAUAAAAGAUAGGAUAUAUGUAUGGUUUGUUAGUGUCAGAGUUUAUACUUUUAUUUAGACUCAAAUUAUUAUAUACUCCAUCUUCUCUUUAUAACAGUGGUUUAAGAUUUGUUUACUCAAAUCAAGGAAAUAUUCAAUUAUUUUGUUUACGUAUUUAUAGGCCAUACUUUUCCUACUUGGUACUUUCAUAGUAUUGUGCUUACGCAUCUUAUAAUCUGUCACGUGUUUUCUGAUAUUAUAAUGAAUAAACCUUUUUGUUAGUUUCAUGAAAUCUAUAAAGGUGUAUACAUUUAUUAGUUAGCACUGAUUACUGCAUAAUUUUAUUUGUGUAUAUAUCACAGGAAACAAAUAUUGACAUCUUCACCACGCAACUAACAUAUACGUAAGGGAAUAAUAAAAAGGAAUAUCAAUUGUGUGAUCUUUAAUACCUCUUAUUACACAGGGAAAAUUGGUCUAUUUGAAUCCAGAUAUUCAACCAGACCAGUUUCACACUCCUUUAUUGAAUUCAAUCAUGCUUUCACAAGCAUGAACAUGCACAUGGAAAUUAAAAUUCCUUGAAUUUCUCAAAUUCUGGUCCUCCCUGAGAUGACCUGAAUGCAUUUUUCACAUACAACCCUACCACCAUAACCAAUAAGAUCACCACACCAAUGUUCAUCAAGAUCUUCGGCCUCUUAAUCAGAUUAGCACACUUGUUAUCACCAAACCCUUGCUUAACAUCUUGGUCUUCCACUGAUCUCAAACUCACAGUGAAAUCUAAAACCUUUGUUUUCAGUCUCUGAGUCAUCCUAGCUUUUGGCUUCACUUGUGAUGUUUCUGGCACAUUAGUCCUCACCUUCUUUUCAGCAACUUCUUUAGGUGCCACUUCUUCUUUCUUCUCACCCUUUUCUUUCUCUUCACUAAUUGCUUCAUUCUCUUUCGGCCCUUCUGUUUUCUUCUCUUCUUUUUCAUCACUGGUUGGCUCUUGCUUAUCCACAUGAUCUUGAUCUUGUGCUUCUUCUUUCUCUUUCUGAGACACUGGAGCUACCUGUGACUGUGCCCUAGCAAGGGUGAUCAGCUUGGGAAACUUGAUGGUUAGAACACCACCCUCAAACUUAGCACUCACUUCAUUGGUGUCACAAUAUGGGGGAAUGGAGAACUCUCUACCAAAACGACGACGCUUGUUCUCAAUAAUCUGUCGUUCACCAUUGAUCCUUAGUGCAGGAGUUGAAGUCACUUGAACCCUCAGUUGUUCCUUUGUGAAUCCUUUGCAUUUCCAAAGUAUAUACAACAAAAUGUAACGUUUUUGAGAAAGUACAUAUAUAAUGUUCAUCCUUUUUAAUCAGAACAAUUUAUAUAGUUAAUCAAUCAUAAUGACUUCUAAGAUAUAUAACCAUUUCAAAUUUAAUAUAAUGAUCUGUGAUUGAAAUAAGAAUAUAAAAGUAUAUAUUAUUAGUGUAUAUAUAUAUUACUCCAUAGUUCAUGAAUGAUUAUUUUAAAGAAAAUAACAUUUAAGAACAUGUAUUGAAUCAUUGAGUGACACAUAUAUAAUAUAGAAGGUAGUUGAAUGAAGUAUAUUAUAUAAAUUUAAUCAUACUAGGGUUCAAAAGAUAGGGUAGAAGAAGUUUAAUUACCUGGCAGCAUCACAGUGAGGGUGGCACUUCCUUCGUCUUCAGACCAUUCAAAAUAGGGAUCAAAAUCUUGGUAUUCAAAAUUAGGUGCUGAUUGUGCCAUGUUUUUAGUUGAUGUUGUUGAUAUUUUGCUUUUGGCUUCUCUUGUUUCUCUCUUUUGUUGCAGAAGUGUGCUUUUAUAUGUGUGCUGAUGGAAGAUUGUUAUGCAUUUUUACACGCAAAAUUCUAGUUCCUGAUAUUUCUCUUUUGCUUUAUUACUUUCUUUUCGUGCAAACAAUUUUGUCUCUGUUAUUAGGGCAGUGAUGCACGAAAAACUAUAUGCUUUGGUCUAAGAGAAGAGGUAAGUGAUACUAAACCUCCAACUCAUUCUUCACUGCAAAUAUAUUGAUUUCACAAAAGUUAAGCAUUUUGGUUUCUUUAUUCCUUUUCAAAAUAAAGAUUUCAAAAACACUAUAUUUUAAGGAACCGACUUCUUCAAAAGAAUGGCUAUAUAUCUCACCAGAAAAAAGAAUAGUUAUUAUAUUAUGUUCACUUUAUUUCUCUAUCUUUUUUUUACAGUAUCAAGAACUUGAAUUAUAAUGUAUCUAUAUAUUUAUCUAUCUAUCUAUAUAUCUACAUAUAGAUACACUACUUGUGAACAGUGACUUAGUUAUUGGUUAAGGGUUUUUAUUAAUAUAAAUAACAGUACACACACAAAUUGUUAAUUAAUCCUUUAAUCAGUUUGAUGUGUUAUAAUAAUUGAAUGCUUAGGUAUACUUAAGUGUACGUCAAGUGUAAGAUAUUUAAAAGAAUAUAUAAUUGCAAUUUUGUAUUCAUUUUCUUCCUGUACUAGGUAUUCUAGAAAAGUUAAAAGAAGAAAAGAAUUUGAGUUAUAAUCAAUCUUGUUUACAACUUUAUUUUGGAAUCUUUUGGGGAAAAAAUACAUGAGAAACUUGGUUCUUUCCAAAGUCUAAUAAUUACCACCUUGGUGUUUUGUUUACCGUUUGAGAGGAAAAAAAAUGCUUGUUUGUAUAUUAAUUGAAUUAUUUAUAUUUUAAUACAGUAUCUCGUUUCUAAGAUAUUAAUAUAUAAAUUAUUAAAAGAUAAACUCAUUUUACAAGUCUUUUAAAAAAAAAAUUUAUUAUAGAAUUAUGAUAUAUACAUAUUUCAAUAAAAGAAGCUAUUGCUUUAAAGUUUCGUAUAUGUAAUAAAAUUAUAUACAUAUAUUUUUAUAAUUUAUAUCGUCCAUUCACAUCUUCAUAAGCAUAUUUUUGUGGAUGCACAUUUAAUUCAUUCAAUAUAUAAUUCAAUACACAUAUAUCAUAAUUAAGUAUUAAUUAAUUCUAAAUUUAUUCACUAUAUUUCAUGUCAUUAAUUAAUCACUAAUACAUUAGAUAGACUAUUAUGCAUUCAAAGUCACAUGUGUUAAAUUAGAUUCAAAGUUUGUUUUUAUCUUCACUAAGUUGUCAAAUAUAAUAAAACAAUAUAAUAAGAACAUAUCCACUUUUGUGAGAGGAGACAUCCCUAUAAUCUACUAGAUACAAGUCAUUUCUCACACUAAGGAUUAGGUCAUUAGAAUUUUCUUUAACUGAUAGUUGUCGUUUUGCUGUCAAAUUAAUAUGUUCUAGCGUAGACUUGUCUAACACUAGAGAGAUGAUAGUAUAAUUGUGGACAAAUGUCCCCAAGUCGUCUCCCAACGAAUCCAAUAGUAAAAUCAGUUGAUCAGGGGUUUAAAAUCUAUCUGCAAGCAAUGAAAGUUAGCAAUAACAAUAAAGAUGAAAAGGGGAUUUGAGAUAGUUGUGCAAAAAAUAUAAAAGAGAUUAAAAUAGCAAAUAAAAAGCGGUUGAUCCCAAGUUCUUCCACCAUUGAAUUCUUCACAGGUUCUCUAAAGAUUAAUCUUUUCUCAAUCCUUCAACAGAGCUAAACCAGAUUGAACAUGCGCCGAUCUAAUUCAACUGAAACUCACCAGUAAAGCAUGCGUCUACUAGUUUAAUCGAUACCCACUUUGUUCCAUGCGUAUACUCCAUGGGAAUGCUUACCUCCUCUCUCUUGAAUCAUGCGCCCAAGAAAUUAAUUAGAACAAUGUGAACUAACUAAGAAACCAAAGUUUAAGACAAGGAAGACUCUCAAUCAUGCGUUCAAGUACAACCUCUCACAAAAACUAGUUUUCCAGGAGAUUAGACAAUAAAAACAACUACUAUAGAGAAUUAAAAAUCGAAACUUUUAUUGAACAAAACCUCAGAGCUCAAUGGGAAAUUACAAAGGAAUCAACCAAAAAGGUUUAGUCUUCCAUGCGGAGGCAAAACAAAAGAAUUACAAAGAAGAAAAUAAACUAAGAAAACCCUAUGAAACUCUCUCUCUUCUCCUUGAUGCUUGUGUCCUUUUAUAGGCUUUUCUGCUCCAAGGAUCUUGAGAGAAUAUUGUAGUUUAUAUUUUGUUAACCGUUUCCAAGUUUCUAUCUUUCCAGAAUUAUUGUAUUUUGCAGAAGAUAUUGUAGAUUUUAUUUUCUCUUUCUUCUCCUCGGAAUUUGUUUCCUGUUUUGGUUCAAGAAGCAACUUAGACUUUUGCAUAUUUGGCCCAUUUAUAAAGGUAGAUGCUUCCUCCAGAUAAUUUACUCUAAAAACACAAAAUUAACAAUAAUAAUAGUUAAGGCCCAAAUAAACCCAAUUAUAAGAAUAUUAAUUAAAACAAUGGAUUUAUUUAUUACUAUAGUCCAAUAAUCUAUGAUUAAGGCUAUUGUGUGUGAAUAAAUAUAUGCUCAUCAUUAACUCUUAUCAUUUGAUAAUUUUGUCUAUGUGAGUGAAAUAUUAGUAAAGUCACGAUAUUUCCUCCAGAAUCUCAAAUUCAACACACAACUUAAACAUCUCAACAUAAUAUUCCCUUUCUAGAAAUAAUUAUGUUUACGACACAUCACAUGUUUAUGUCACAAUCUUAAUUAUAUUCUUAUCCAUAUACAUUUAAACUUAAUUUAAAUAAUAAUAGAUUUCAAAUUUAUCAUUCAUCACAAUAUAAUAAUAUUCAAGUAUAACAUGUUGAUAAAAUAUAACAAUUUAAUGAAAUAAAAUAAUUUUAGCAUUUAAAAUCAUUUAAAACAUAUUUGUUCAAAGUUUAAAAAAUAUUGUCUCACUCAAUCACUAUUAUUUUCGCUUAUCGGAUUAAGUACAUGUUUAAAUUCACCCAACCAUCAUUUUGCUCGUUCAAUCAAAGCUAUGUUCGUCCAACGAUCAAAGUGAUCGUUCAACGAUUAAACUUUUUGAGUUUUUAAUUAAAUAAAUUUUGUCAACAAAAAAUCGAUUAUCCAACUAAACCUCCCAAGUUUUCAAUUAAUGAAUUUUAUCCAGUGAGAAUUUGGUCACCAACAAUACUGUUUAAAUCAUAUUUUUACAAAAUUUCACAAUUAUACCAAAUUGGUACAAAAAUUGUUCUACUUUUUUUCUUAUACAUAAAAUUGAGUAAUUGAUUUCUAAAUAAGCAUAUUUUGAACUGGUUUGAUCUACUUGAAAUAUUUUACAUUUUUAAUGACAAAUCAUACAAUAUAUAUCACUUAGAAUUUCACCCACACAAACUAUAUCAUUUAUUAUAUUCAUCACUUUCAACAAUUCUUCAUCGCAUCCAUACAAUACAUUACUAACCUUUGACAAAUAGUUUAGGAAGAGUUGAAAGAAAUAUAUUUUGUAAAAGGAUUGAGGUAUCCUUAAAUACCCUUAUUUUUUAUUUCCGAUAAAAAAAAAAUAUCUAUAAUGAACAUUAACUAUGUUGCAGACAUGGAAGGAUUAUCACAAAUAUUUCAAAACUCAUUAUCAAAUAUAUUAUUCAUAUAAAAAUUCAAAACAUUUUGAAUAUUCUCAAACAAAAUGUAAUAUUUGCCCAAAACUCAAUAUUGUGACUGAAUUGCAUGGUAAGGUACACGUCAUUACUACACCGAUUGUUAAAUAUAUUUUCAUCUUGAUUUGGUCAUUAGACCAAUAGGAUCUAGAUGAUUCUUGGAUGUGUGUUGAGAUCAGGGAUGAUGACUAAGUUGCCAUGUGUUAUGCUUAGGACUUGAUCAUUGUCUGACUCUUCCACUCAAGUGGCAAACUAACCCUGAAAGAAGCAUCAUCACCUAAAGCAAUCAUGUAUAUGUGACACUUAUCUAGGGCACAAUCGAAAACAUGUCAAAAUACCUUACAAUCCAAGUUCUUCCAUCUAAAUAAAGUGGAAAUGAUGUAUUAAGAUAAACAACCUCUUAUAAAUAGUCCAAUGAAACUUAGAAGAAAGGAGAAUUAAUUAGUGGGAAACAUCCAUCAUAUUAAUAAAGGGAAUCUAGCAUACCAAAACACAAGUCACAUCUACCCUAUGUGCUAUAAAAAUUAUAAUUACAAUUUCACUUAUCUAUAUAACUUGCUUAAUCAAACUUAAACUUUCAACUUCACUACUUUCACAAGAAGACGGGGCAUGUACAUAAAAUACUGUGAUUAAUAAUUUAAAGAUCAUAGACAAACAAAGAUUCAUCUUUAUCACAUGCAAAACCUUAACCUUGGGCAUGCAUCUUUUCUCAUGAAAUCAACUCAAGAAAAAAUAAAAAUAAAGAGAAACUUACUCAAAAGUUAUUCAUGCAAAACUCUCUACCAAAAUCUCUAAAGUGGACUUGAACCUAUUUUAAAAAUUUAGAGGGAAAAUAAAAAAAUAUUCUAAAGAGAUAAUAUUUUAUGUAAAAUAAAUGUUAAAGUUAACUUUUCUAUUUAUAAAUUUUUUAAUUAAAUAUUCUAAGUGUGACAGUUUUAUGCAACUAUUAUAAGUUUUAUUUUUUUUAACUUUCACGUUAACGUUUAAAUAUUUAAAAUAUUUUUUCAUAAUAACUAUAAUCCAUUAGUUUUUACCAUUUUUUUUUCUAUUUUUUACACUCAAAUUUUUAGACUAGUUUUUCUUUUAAAUAUUUGAAGUUCGAUUGUAGGAUAUUAGAUUAAUUUACUAUUUUUUUAUUGAGUUCUAUCCUGAUCGAGAAAAAUGGGGUACAUUCACACCUUCUUCUUCAUUGAUGACAAUCACAUCAAUAAUCAAUAAUAAAAUAUGACAAUUUCAUCUUAUCUCACUUCUCUAUCCUUAUCUUGUGUUUCUCUAUAUUUUUCUUUUCCAAAAUAUUUAUAAUAAUUCAUAAUUAAUGUCCCCAAAAGAUUUAUUCCAAAUUCCUAUACAAUUUUUCUAGUAGUUUGUUUGGCCAUGACAGCAACUAGAAAGCCUACUCCAGUUUUUCUACUAAUCACUCAAUUAUUUAAUUACUUACAUAAUUCUCUAAAUAAUGUUAUUUCAAGUGGGUAGGUAUGUAAUUGAGAAAAUUAAACACAGUAUCAUUUAUUACGUUGAAAGAAAUACAAGAAGAGUCAACAUAAAAAUAAAAAUGUAGGAGUAACUUUAGCUAAAUUGUAUUAACCGAUAGUAAUUUUUAUAAUUUUCCUCUUAUUAUUUAUUUUUUAAUAAAAAAAACACACCACAAAUAUAUAAUAAGACAAAAUAUUUUAUAAAAAGCAUCUUGAAGAAUACAGUGGAAUAUUUUAUUUUGGGAUCUCCGAAUGAGUUGAAUAAUUUUGUUUUGAUAAUCUGAAGGUCAUAAACGGGGGACCAGGAAGAGAGUGCAAGACAUGUAUCACAUGUUUCCACGUCGAUGCAGUGUUUUUUUUAGUAUUGAACCUAUUGAUAAUGUUUUUCUUUAAAAUAUACUAGAUUUAAUAUAUUAAAAAAUAUUCUUAAUAUAUUUUGAAAAAUAAAAUGAAGACAACACUGAACAAAAGUCCAAUGGAGAAUCCAAAUUCAUGUUAUCACUGAAGAAAUGACAAGGAAACAAAAAAGAGGUAGCUAAACGAUGAGGAGUGUUCUCCAACACUUUUGAAUUUUACACUGUGAUGUGAAGAAAGAUAUAUACUUACAAACUCACACAUCAUAAGAGUUUAAAGUCCUCUUGUCUUGCUGAAAACUGAUAUAACAGUUCCUCGACUAUGGAACUGCAGAAGACUCCAACAAGUUUGGUUUUUGCUGUUAAUGGUGAGAGGUUUGAGCUCUCCCACGUGGACCCAUCAACUACCUUGCUCCAUUUUUUACGCACUCGCACUCGUUUCAAGAGUGUAAAACUCGGUUGUGGUGAAGGUAUCUAUAUCUAUAUCUAUCUAUGUAUACAUAUAUGGUUCUAUGUGUUCGACAAUCUUUGUUUUUUUUUGUUUUUCAAUGGUUUAGUUGAAAGUUGUUGUGCCCUUGUAGGAUGCAUGGUGUUUCAGUUUUUGCGGUUGUUUAUUCUUUGUUUCUGCUUACUGUCAAUAUAUAGAUUACACUUGAGCUAUAUCUUUUCAGUAAAGAUAUUAGUUCAGGAUUAGAGUUACAUCACCUUUAUCUUUAGGAUGUUGUCCUAAUUAUAGUGGUUGUCUUGUACACGGACGAAUAAAAUAGGAUCCAAUAGUUAUUUCAGAGUAAUUUGAUAUACUCUGUUUGUUUCUGUAUUGGUUGGUACUUGAUGUUUAGACAUGGUUGGUUUCAGGGGGUUGUGGUGCUUGUGUAGUUUUAAUCUCCAAAUAUGAUGCUGUGCUUGAACAAGUUGAGGAUUUUACUGCAAGCUCUUGUCUCACACUACUUUGCAGCAUACAUGGUUGUUCAAUAACAACUAGUGAUGGAAUUGGAAAUUCUAAAGAAGGAUUCCACCCAAUUCAUGAAAGAUUUGCAGGAUUCCAUGCCACUCAAUGUGGCUUUUGCACUCCUGGAAUGUGUGUUUCCCUCUUUGGAACACUUGUCAAUGCUGAAAAGACCGACCGUGCAGAGCCACCGGAUGGCUUCUCAAAAGUGACUGUUAGUGAGGCUGAGAAAGCUAUUGCAGGGAACCUUUGUCGCUGUACUGGAUACAGACCAAUUGCUGAUGUCUGCAAAAGCUUUGCAGCUGAUGUUGAUAUGGAGGAUUUGGGGUUCAACUCGUUCUGGAGAAAGGGAGAGAACAAGGACUUGAAGAUUAGUAGGUUGCCUCGAUAUGACCGUAAUCAACUGAAUAGUAGAUUUCCUACGUUUUUGAAGGAAAUCAAGCAUGAUGUGUUCUUGGCUUCUGAGAAGCACAGUUGGCACCGACCUAUUAGUCUAACUGAGACUCAGAGUUUAUUAAAGUUAAACAAUUCCAAUGGAACACGCAUAAAAAUUGUAGUUAGUAAUACAAGUAUGGGAUAUUACAAAGAUAAAGAAGUCUAUGAUAAGUAUAUUGAUCUAAGUGGAAUUUCUGAGCUUUCAAAUAUCAGAAAAGACCGAACAGGGAUUGAAAUUGGAGCAGCAGUGACAAUAUCUAAAGCUAUUGAAGCACUGAAGGAAGAUAUCAGAAGUGAGUUUCUCUCAGAUUAUGUAAUGAUACUUGAAAAGAUUGCUGAUCAUAUGAGCAAAGUUGCCUCUGGAUUUAUCCGGAACACAGCCAGUGUAGGUGGCAAUUUAGUCAUGGCACAAAGGAAUAAUUUUCCCUCGGACAUUGCUGUAAUACUUCUUGCUGUAGAUGCAAUGGUUCACAUUAUGACUGGUGCACAAUUGGAGUGGUUGACACUGGAAGAAUUUCUGGCAAGACCAGCCUUAGGUUUGGAAAGUGUGCUUUUAAGCAUUAAAAUUCCUAGUUUAGAACACAAUCAAAGUGAAUCAUCAAAACCAAGAAGUAGCUUCCUCUUCGAAACAUACCGAGCUUCUCCAAGGCCCCUUGGAAAUGCUCUUCCCUACUUAAAUGCUGCUUUCCUGGUUAAGGUGUCUCCCUGCAAGGAUUCUGGUGGAACUGUGAUAGAUACUUGUAGGCUGUCUUUUGGUGUUUACGGGAGUAAGCAUGCAAUCAGAGCAAAAAAAGUUGAAGAACUUUUAGGUGGAAAACUUUUAAGUUCUAGCGCUCUGUACGAUGCUGUCAACUUGAUUACAGCCACUAUUGUAUGUCAAGAUGAUAACGCAAUCACAGCUUAUCGUUCAAGUUUGGCUGCUGGUUUUAUUUUUCAGUUCUUUAACCCUCUUAUUGACAGUCCUGAAAGAAUAAGCAAUAGUUAUUUGAACGGAAACAAUAAUGAUCCUUUUGCUGAGGAUCUUGAAUUAAAAGUCAGUGAGAAGAAGGUACCUCGUGACAAAAUUCCAACUUUACUAACAUCUGGCAAGCAAGUCCUUGAAGCAGGCUGUGAGUAUCAUCCUGUUGGUGAGCCAAUCGUGAAAUCUGGAGCUGCACUACAAGCUUCAGGUGUGUUUUGUAUCAUUUAAGUUUUAAGUUGAUUUACUGACUGCUGUCUUUUCUUUGCAUUUCUAUCAACGUUUCAGAGUAGUAAACUAAAAUAUUUACAUACAAAGUUGGGACCUUUUUGUAUUAAAGAAAUAACUGUUCUCCAUGCUCUGGGUUUUGAUGAAUUGUGUAUCCAUAUUUUGCAUCUUAUAGUCUCUGGGUACCUUGUAACUAUUGUCGAGAUAACUAUGCUAAAAGUUCCAAUUUCCAGGUCAUAAAAACGUGUUCCAAAUGCUUUCGGUUAUGAUGAAUGCUGCAUCCAUAUUCUGCAUCUUAAAGUCUCUGGUUUCCUUCUAACUAUGCUCAAAAUUUCACUUUCAUGGUCACGGACUAGUUUUUAUGUGUCUUAUUUUAUCCUGUUUCGAUGCCUGUGAAUUAUGACUUUUCAUGUUUAGUUGUUUAAAUUUAUGUUCAGUAACACAAGUACAUAUUUGUGAAUAAUCACUUAUAGGUGAGGCUGUGUUUGUGGAUGACAUUCCAUCACCAUCAAAUUGCUUACAUGGAGCAUACAUUUAUAGUGCUAAACCUUUAGCAAGGAUAAGGAGUAUAAAACUCACGCCUGAGUUGCAACUGGAUGGAGUAAGGGAUAUCAUUUCAAGUAAUGACAUUCCCAAUGGUGGGGAAAACAUUGGAUCUAAGACUAUAUUUGGGAUCGAACCUCUAUUUGCAGAAGAAAAAGCCAGAUGUGUUGGUGAUCGCCUUGCCUUUGUUGUGAGUUCUUAAUCCCUCAUUGUGAUCCAACAAUGUAUAAGCUUAUUUUUCCUUUCUUUGGAGAUUGAUAUGAUAAUACCACCAUUUUAGUCACUGAAUGGCUUCUUCAGGUUGCAGAUACUCAGAAAGUUGCAGAUAUGGCUGCAAACUCGGCUGUUGUUGAUUAUGAUACUGAAAAUCUUGAGCCACCUAUUCUAUCCGUUGAAGAUGCUGUUCAAAGAUCCAGCUUUUUUGAAGUUCCUCCAUUUCUCGAUCCAAAACAUGUUGGUGAUAUAUCAAAAGGAAUGGCUGAAGCAGAUCACAAGAUUCUUUCUGCUGAGGUACAUUGCUAUAUGUUUAUUUCUUUUAUUUGUUUUCCCUCAUUCUCUCAUUUCACAACUUUGUGCGCCGUGGUUUCAAUAAAAUGUUUAAGUUUGCUCCUGAAUGUUUAAAUGGUUAUGCUGAAAAAACAUUCAUUGUUAUCCAUCUUAUUUGAUGUGAAAUACAGAUGAAACUUGGGUCUCAAUACUAUUUCUAUAUGGAGACACAAACUGCACUUGCUGUUCCAGAUGAAGACAAUUGCAUUACAGUUUACUCCUCAAGUCAAUGCCCUGAAUCUAUUCAUUCUACUAUAGCAAGAUGCCUAGGAAUUCCUGAAAAUAAUGUUCGUGUAAUUACGAGAAGGGUUGGGGGUGGUUUUGGUGGAAAGGCCAUGAAGUCCAUACCUGUAAGUAUUGAGUUAUGUUUUAAUAUUUUGAAAAUCUUAUUCAUUACUACAUCUCUUUCACUUUUUUUCAUUAUAAUUUACCAAUAAAUAUUGUAGAGUGUAAACAUGAAGCUUCAAACUUCUGUCGUUUGGAGAAGUCACCAACAAUUUUCCUUAGAAAUAUACUAUGUGCUCUUGUUGAAUUUUCUGAAACAGUACAAAAUAUUUACCCAGUGGAUUAUGAAUAAAAUCUUGUGUCAUUUGUAACAUCAUCUUUCAAAAUAUCCAACUUUGAUGCUUCUUUCAAUGUGGCUAUAUCCAUUGUAUGUUGUAUGAUAUAACUGUUAACGAACGAUUAGAAUAAAAUGUCUUUGUACUUCUCUGAUUCUAUUGUACGAUUGCAGAAAAGAUUCACCAAUUAAGAAGUUAAAUAUGAAAAUUAUACGUGCAUGCAUGUGUGUGUAUAUUACUAACGAUUAGAUUUUGCAGGUUGCCGCAACAUGUGCACUGGCAGCACAUAAAUUACAGCGUCCAGUUAGGAUAUAUCUAAAUCGAAAGAUAGAUAUGAUAAUGGCUGGAGGAAGGCAUCCUAUGAAGAUAACUUACAGUGUUGGAUUCAGGAAUGAUGGUAAGAUUACAGCAUUGGAACUUCAGAUUUUGGUCAAUGCUGGGAUCUAUGUGGAUGUAAGUGCAAUUAUGCCACAUAAUUUAGUUUUUGCACUUAAAAAGUACGAUUGGGGUGCACUAGCUUUUGAUAUAAAGGUAUGCAGAACAAAUCAUCCUAGUAGAUCUGCUAUGAGGGGUCCUGGGGAGGUGCAGGGAUCAUUUAUUGCUGAAGCUAUUUUAGAAAAUGUUGCAGUUACACUUUCAAUGGAUGUAGAUUCUGUCAGAAGCAUUAAUCUUCACACGCACAAAAGCCUUCAGUCGUUCUAUGAGAAGUCUAGUGGUGAACCUUAUGAGUAUACCUUGCCUUCAAUAUGGAGUAAGUUGGCUGUUUCUUCAAACUAUGAUCAGAGAACCAAAAUGGUGAAAGAGUUUAACAGGAUUAACACUUGGAAGAAAAGGGGAAUUUCUCGAGUACCAGUUGUGAUUCAACUGACUCUGAGACCAACCCCUGGAAAAGUAAGUAUUUUUUCAGACGGGUCUGUGGUGGUUGAAGUUGGAGGAAUUGAAUUAGGUCAAGGUCUUUGGACAAAGGUGAAACAGAUGGCUGCAUAUGGUCUCAGUGCUAUUCAAUGUGAAGGAACUGAAGGUCUCUUUGAUAAAGUACGGGUUGUACAAUCUGAUAGUGUGAGCCUGAUUCAAGGAGGCUUCACUGCUGGGAGCACUACAUCAGAGUCAAGUUGCGAAGCAGUUAGGAUUAGCUGCAACAUCUUGGUCGAGAGACUAAAGCCUCUUAAAGAAGAACUGCAGGAGAAAAUGGGCUCUAUCAACUGGGAUACCCUUAUUAUUCAGGUAGCUACUAUAAAUAAAGUAUAACACCUCAAUUUUGAACAUUGAUUGAUUUUCCUUUCAGUUAUCUUCACGAAUGUGGGAGGAAUUUCUCCGAAGAUAAAACCAGUUCUCUUCAUAAUCAUGUUGUAACAUGAAGCAAUUGGCAUUUUAACUAUUUUUUCUCUUUGUGAUCAUCCAUAUGGGGAGACUAUUUUAUGAUUGAAGUUCGCUAAUGACUUUUGAAGGUUUUGAAACUUUGUUUUUCUGUUCACAUUGAUGCAUGUAUAUAUUGGUAUUUGUAAUUUUGAUGUAUAGCUUCAAGUUUUUCUUGUUAAGGUCUUGGAGUAUGUAGUACGGAAAAAGGCACAUUGGCACUUAAGCAUUCUCAUAAUUUGUGAGAUCAUGGUUAACUCCUUUUAAUUAAGAGAAUUAUUCAGAGAAUUAAAUGUGGAAAUGGAGUUGAGAGAAUAUAAUUUCUUCUUAUUUUCCUAGCCCACGAGCAUAAAAUUUUAAUUACCAUGUUACUGACAAUUUAUUAACAUACAGGCAAACCUGCGAGCUGUGAACUUAUCAGCCUCUGCAUUGUAUACACCCAGUAAUGACUCCACCAGUUACCUUAAUUAUGGUGCUGCAGUAAGUGAGGUUAGUUGUCUUUUUUCCUAUGCAUAUCUCAAAUCAAAAUGGUAUUUUCUUAAGUCCACUGGUAGUCACUACUUCUCUAGAAUGUUAAGUGUUUGUGUCAUAUUUACACACAAACCAAGUUACUGAAGUAACUGAGCCAACUUAUCUCAUAUGCCAUGCUAAAUAAUGGAAAUUUUUUCUCAGGUGGAAAUUGAUCUUCUGAAUGGAGAAACCAGAUUUUUGCAAACAGAUAUUAUUUAUGAUUGUGGACAGAGUCUAAACCCUGCUGUGGAUUUAGGACAGGUAAGUUGACUACAUACUUGCUAUGCAUGCUCAGCCAUAACAAAAGGAAUAAACAGGAGUUGGGCCCAAAAAAAGUUUGUAUUAAUACAGCCUCUCACAUCAUGGCUCUCUGGGAGUGGAGAAAGGAGAAAGAAUUGGGAAACAAUUACCUAUGCUAUAAAUUAAAUUCAAUAUUCUAAGAGGGAAAAGCUAGAAUCAACUCCUGUUCACUUUGCUAAAUAGUUUUUAAGUUUGAUAUUUUGUUAACAACCAAGAUCAGAGGUUGAGGAGCCUUGUUAAGAACAAAGAGUCUUCAACUCCUUAUGCUAAAAAUAUCUUGCCAAGAACCAAUUCAACCAAGAACCUGAGAUAUUAAGUAGAGGUCCUAUAAGAUGUCUGUGGUCUCUUACAAGUUACAGUUAUUCCACUAUGAAUGUUUAUCCUUCUUAACAAAACACUCCUUUCCUGCAGAUUGAGGGAGCUUUUGUCCAGGGCUUAGGAUUUUUCAUGCUUGAAGAAUACGAAACAAAUCUCGAUGGUUUGGUGUUGCAAGACAGCACUUGGAACUAUAAAAUUCCUACUGUAGACACUAUACCUAUGCAGUUUAACAUUCAAAUCCUCAACAGUGGGCACCACCAGCAUCGUGUUCUCUCUUCAAAAGGUAUGACAGAAAAACCUGUUCAUGCAUUGAUCUUAUUUAUUUUUCCUCAUGAAUGCAAGUCAGUCAUACAUGAAAAGGGGAGUUUUGUGAUUCUGUCAUUGAUUCAUUAUUCUAGCAGUUACAUUCCAAAAUCUAGUGAUGAAGACAGAAAAAAUGUGUUAACCAUAUAUUUUGUAGUGCAAACUUACUAGUUAAAUAGCAGUAGUUUGAAUACAGAUUCAUGUAACACCUCUAUAGAAUAUAUUGUAAAAAGUAAAAAGUUUGGUAUCAAGCAUAAGGAUUGAAGUGGAUGAAAGAAGUAAUAUUGAGUUCAAUUUCAUCUGCAUAUAGUUUGGAUGUUGCAGCCCAUGUUUUAUUUUAGACUGUUAAUAAAAUUGAGAAAGCUUCAGUGUUAAAAAAUGAAAUUUGUUGGUGCAGCUUCUGGAGAGCCGCCACUGCUUCUAGCAGCCUCCAUUCACUGUGCCACAAGAGCAGCAGUGAAAGAAGCAAGAACACAGCUUCUUUCAUGGAGCAACCAAGAUGGAGAAGAUUCAACAUUUCAGUUGGAGGUCCCUGCAACCAUGCCUGUGGUGAAAGAACUCUGUGGACUUCACACUGUACAAGCAUACUUGAAAUGGAAAAUGAGCAACAAGUAAAAAGGUUAACUAGGUCUGCAAUAAUCUUGCUCACUUGUGACAGUCACAGGUUUGAAGGAUUUCUUCCCAUGAAUUGUUAGAUAAUAAAUUAAUUGAUUGGAAAUAAUAAAAAAUAAAAUGUAUUUCUAUUUGAAAGCAAUCAUAUUUAAUUAAAAAGUAUAACAAAUAUGUCUAACAAUAAAAAUAUAAAAUUUGAAAAAAAAAAUAACUUUACCAUGUUUAGAAAUUUUUAUUUUUAUUUGUCAAAAUAAAUUCAGACACAGAGCUUUGGGAAAGUUUUAAAACAAACCAUAUUUUUAAACUAAAAAAUAAAACAUGAAUAUUUAAAUAAAAAUAUAAGUUCUAUCACAUAAACUUCAAUUGGUUUUUUAUAUGAGAUUUUUAUUUACAUUUAACUUUAGUUUUUUAAAAAUAUAUGUUUUUUAACUCUUAUAAAAUAAAUGAGUUUUGAUUUUUGUUUUUAUAUUUUUUUAUUCUUCAUCUUAUAAAAUUGUAACUAAGUAAUUUUAAUCUUUAAUACUCAUAUAAAGGAUAAAUAAAUAAGAUAUUUAAAAAUAAAUAAAUUUUAUAUACAGAUAUUAAAUCAUUGUAAUAUAUCACAUUAAUGCUUGAGACCACUUAAAAUGUUCACUUGAACUUUUGUUAGAUACAUAAUUAAUUAAUAAAUGUUAUAUAAAACUAAACAUAAAAAAAAGGCAUUUCAAAUUUGAAAAAUUACUAAAUACCAAGAAAAAUACCCGUAUUGAAAUCAAAACACACACUCGUCUCAUGACUAAUAUUAUAUUUAAGUUUUUUUUAAUUUCAUAUUUUUCGAGUGAGUUUUUGUCAUUUAAUUUUUUUUAUAAAACUAAUAUCUUGUUUUAUCAUUUUACUUACUUAUCUUGUCUCUAUUAUUAAGAAAUGUGAAAUUUUAUAAUUAAUAUAACAAUUAAUAAAAAAUAAUAAGUGAUUUUUAUUACUUUCUUUAAAGAUAUGAUAUUGGUGAAGACGAUUACUUCAUCAUAAUGUAAGUGUAGUAGAGAAACAUUAUAAACUUAUUAUUUGACAUGUUUUCAGUAAUAAAAAUCACUUUUCGUUUUUCAUUAACUAUAAUGUCAUCUUAUCUUAAAAUUUUACAAUUUUUAAUACAUUAAAACAACUUAUAUGAUAAUAAUCACAUUAUUUAAUUAAUAAAAAAACAUAACUAUCUCAACUGAAAAAUAUAAUAAUUUUAAAUAUGUAAUAAAAUAAAAUAUUUUAAUAUAUACUCAAUUAAAAAUAAUCAAAUUUACAAUAAACAAAAAUCUUAAUUUUAAUAUCGAUCAAUUUUUAAAUUAAUCAAUUAUUUAAUCAUAUUAAAUAAAUAAAUAAAUAAAUAAAAUAAUUAACAAUUGAUGUUGACUUAUACACACUAGAAAAAUAUUAAUGAUUUAUAUUAAUGUUAGAUAAAAUCAGAAAUAAAAUUAAUGAUAAUCAUGGUAACCUAUGGUUAACAAACGUGCUGCUAAUUAAUGAUAACUAUUUAUUGAUAUUAAAUAGUUUAAUGUAGAAAAUAAAAAGCAUUAAUUAUAAUAAUAAUAAAAAUUUAAUGUUUAAUUAAAUAAUAAAUGUAGAUAAUAAAAUUAGCUAUUUAAAAAAGAUUUAAAUAAAUUUUAAAUACUUUAUAAAUUUGGAUAUUUUGAAUUAAAUUCAAUUACAAAUUUGUUAAUGCUUAAAAUAUUUUUGUAAGUAAAUAGUCCGUCCAAUGUAAUAAUUAUAUUGAUAUAUUUCAUUUAGUAUAUUAAAAUAAAAUAAAUUAAAAACUGUGAUAAUACAUAAACUUUACAAUUUUAUUAAUUUUAUUUGAAUUCGGUCAAGUAACCUUGUACACUCCUUUUAAAUGGUGUGUCGGAUACUUGUAGUGAACUGUUCAAUUUAAAAAUAUUUGUUAAAUUUCUAACAAUUUUAUUAUGAUUCUAACCUAAUUUUAAAAAGAAUUAAAAAUUCAAACUUUAUUGUAUAAAUUAUUAUUAUGAUUAUAAAAAUUCACUUGUUUGAUUAUCACAUCUGUUUAAUAAAGGAGAAAAUUAACGAGUUAAUAAAUGUUAAGAUGAAAUAUAUCAAUAAUUAUUAUACUGAUUAUUUAUCUAUUUUUUUAUUUUAAUCUGAGUAUCAUGUUGUUUAAGUUUUUUUUUUAGGAUGAUAUAAAUAUUGUUUUCGUUUUUUCAUCUCUAAUUCGAAGAUCAACUUCUGUCAUCAUUUCUAUAUUUUUCAAAUUUUUUCGCCAAAAAAUCUGCUUUUUUUUAAAACGAGUUAACUCACAAGUUGGAAAAAAAAUAGGAUUAACUUUUUUUACCAAAUAAAUUUUUUAAAUUAAAUAUCUUGUAAAUUAAUUUUUUUAAUAGAAACAUUUAAUAUUAUCUUUAUCGGUGUCAGUGAGUUUUUUUAAAAUUGAAACACGUGUUACACUGUUUACAAUGUUGAGUAAUAGUGUAAUACAUAUAAAAAUAUUUCACUUAAACAUUAAAUAUAAUAACAUAAACAAAAAUAUUUGUUUUAUGAACUUAAUUUUAUAAUGAUUAUUAAAAGUAAAAGGAUAAUGUCAUGAAUUAGGCAAUAAAAUAAUAUUCAAUUAUAUAUAAUGAUUAAUGAUAAAUAUGAAUAGUGGUUGGUCUUUAGGCUAAUCAACUUAAUUAGAAUUUAGUAUCUUAAAAUCUAUAUUUGAUUAUUUAAUCUAUCAUAUAUAAACUAUUCGGAUUACAACACACUUUAAAUAAUUAUUUUCAUAAUAAACUAUAAUUUUAUAUAAUUUAUUACAAAAUUAAAAAAAAUAUUAUAUCAAAAGUAAAAUUUAAAAUUACUUUUGACUUAAAUUAAAAAAACUUUACUAAGAUAAUAGCAUCUUUGUCAUGUCGCAUAGGAAGAAGGUUCAAUAAUUCAGAAUUGAUCCUUCUUAUCCAGAAAACCAGAUUUUAUUCCUUCAAAAGCCUAUUGAUAUAAUUUUAUUCAUUUAUUUCUAAAAGAUAUUUGUAAACUCAGGGUCCUCUUUGAUGAUAAUAUAGUAGUUUGAAAAAUAUAAGACUUAAUUAAAUUUUAAAUAACUUAUAAAAGCAUUUUUAAUUAACAGAAUUUAUUUUAUUAAUUGUUUUAAAUAUUUUUCUAUUCUUAUAAAAAUUUUAUGGUCUGAUAUUAUUUUCAUCUUUAGUUGAUAGUUGAUGUGAAGAAUAAAAUAUUAUGUGAUCUAUUCACAGUAUAAAAAAUACAUAAUAAACUGAAAAAUUAAUUUAAAAUAUUUAAAUUUGUGAAAUAUGAGUUUUGUUUUAAUUUCUUAAUAUUUUUAUUUUUUUCUUAUUUUUUAAUAAUAUUUUUUAUAUGAUAAAAGAUUGUUGUUAGUUGAUUUGAUGUGAUGUUAGUAGAAAAACUUUUUAUAUAAAAAAAUUAAUUAAUUAAUUUAGUAAAAAAAAUAUGAAAGAAAAUGGGACCAGAGUAUCUUUUCCAAAUGUUGUCAUGUCAGUCUCAAGCAGUUGACUAUGUUAUAAAGAGAGGUUGAUCACUACGGAAUGUUUACUCUCACAACACAACACAACUCACACACAUUGUAAUAGUUUAAGGUUCUCUUCUGUUCUGUUACUGAAAACUGAAACACGAGUUGCUGAAAUUAUGGAACUGCAGAAGACUCCAACAAGUUUGGUUUUUGGUAUUAAUGGUGAGAGGUUUGAGCUCUCCCAUGUUCAUCCGUCAACCACUUUACUAGAAUUCUUGCGUAUUCACACUCGUUUCAAGAGUGCCAAGCUUGGCUGUGGUGAAGGUACAUGCAUCUCUGUCGUUCUCUGCGUUCAACCAUUUUUUAUCUACUGAAGGUCAUGGAGUUUAUUCAUUCGUUUGCUUCAUUGCCGAAUUAGUUUUAGAGCUGUUCCCCUUCAUAGGUGUAUUUGAAUUUCCGAUCUUUUUUAUUUUUUAUUUUUGCCUUUCAAUUUCUGUAAGCUUGGUAUUUACUGUAGGGAUUCAUCUUUUCCUUUUUUUUUUGUCUGUAAGAUUAAUCUUGGACAAGUGUGAUUUUAAUGUUUCAUCUUAUUUUUCUAGUGGUCUACUCAUGAAGAUGAAGGAGAAGGUGUUGGCUUUAAGUAGUCCUAAUUAUUGUUUUCAAUCUGGUACUUGAUGUUUUGAAAUGGUUGGUUUCAGGGGGGUGUGGUGCUUGUGUAGUUUUAAUCUCCAAAUAUGAUGCUGUGCUUGAACAAGUUGAGGAUUUUACUGCAAGCUCUUGUCUCACACUACUUUGCAGCAUACAUGGGUGUUCAAUUACAACCAGUGAAGGCAUUGGGAAUACUAAAGAAGGAUUCCACCCAAUUCAUGAAAGAUUUGCAGGAUUCCAUGCCACUCAAUGUGGCUUUUGUACACCUGGAAUGUGUGUUUCCCUCUUUGGAACUCUUGUCAAUGCUGAAAAGACCGAUCGUGCAGAGCCACCAGAUGGCUUCUCGAAAGUAACUGUUAGUGAGGCUGAGAAGGCCAUCGCAGGGAAUCUUUGUCGCUGUACUGGGUACAGACCAAUUGCUGAUGUCUGCAAAAGCUUUGCAGCUGAUGUUGAUGUGGAGGAUUUGGGGUUCAACUCGUUCUGGAGAAAGGAAGAGAACAAGGAGUUAAAGAUUAGUAGGUUGCCUCGAUAUGACCGUGGUCAAUUGAGUAGUAGAUUUCCUACGUUUUUGAAGGAAAUCAAGCAUGAUGUGCUCUUGGCUUCUGAGAAGCACAGUUGGCACAGACCUACUAGUCUAACUGAGCUUCAGAGUUUAUUAAAACUAAACAAUUCCAAUGGAACACGGAUAAAAAUUGUAGUUAGUAAUACAGGUAUGGGAUAUUACAAAGAUAAAGAAGGCUAUGAUAAGUACAUUGAUCUAAGGGGAAUUUCUGAGCUUUCAAAGAUCAGAAAGGACCGAACAGCGAUUGAAAUUGGAGCAGCAGUGACGAUAUCUAAAGCUAUUGAAGCACUGAGAGAAGAUCUCAGAAGUGAGUUUCUCUCAGAUUAUGUAAUGAUACUUGAAAAGAUUGCUGAUCAUAUGAGCAAAGUUGCCUCUGAAUUUAUCCGGAACACAGCCAGUGUAGGCGGAAAUUUAGUCAUGGCACAAAGGAAUAAUUUUCCCUCGGACAUUGCUGUAAUACUUCUUGCUGUAAAUGCAAUGGUUCACAUUAUGACUGGUGCACAAUUUGAGUGGCUGACACUGGAAGAAUUUCUGGAAAGACCAGCCUUAGGUUUGGAAAGUGUGCUUUUAAGCAUUAAAAUUCCUAGUUUGGAACACAAUCAAAGUGAAUCAUCAAAACCAAGAGGUAGCUUCCUCUUCGAAACAUACCGAGCUUCCCCACGGCCCCUUGGAAAUGCCCUUCCCUACUUAAAUGCUGCUUUCCUGGUUAAGGUGUCUCCAUGCAACGAUUCUGGUGGAACUGUGAUAGAUACUUGUAGGCUGUCUUUUGGUGUUUACGGGAGUAAGCAUGCAAUCAGAGCAAAAAAAGUUGAAGAACUUUUAGCUGGAAAACUUUUAAGUUCUAGCGUUUUGUACGAUGCUGUCAACUUGAUUACAGCCACUAUUGUAUCUCAAGAUGAGAACACAAAAACUGCUUAUCGUUCAAGUUUGGCAGCAGGUUUUAUUUUUCAGUUCUUUAACCCUCUUAUUGACAGUUCUGAUAGAAUAGGCAAUGGUUAUUUGAAUGGAAAUAAUAAUCAUCCUUUUGCUGAGGAUUUUGAAUUAAAAGUCAGUCUGAAGAACGUACCUCAUGACAAAGUUCCAACUUUACUAACAUCUGGCAAGCAAGUCCUUGAAGCAGGCUGUGAGUAUCAUCCUGUUGGUGAGCCAAUUGUGAAAUCUGGAGCUGCACUACAAGCUUCAGGUGUGUUUUGUAUCAUUAAGUUUUAAGUUUUUUCACUGACUGCUGUCUUUUCUUUGCAUUUCUAUCAAAUUUCAGAGCAGUAAACUAAAAUAUUUACAUACGAAGUUGGUACCUUUUUGUAUUAAAUUCCAUUUCCUUUGAAGUGAGUCUUAGUGCUAUUAUAAGAUUGUAAAGCUUGUGACCUUGGUGAUGAAAUUUUUAUGUCUCACAAACAGCCUCUCAACUACGAUGGUUAAUUUGUAUACAUCUUAGCCUCUCUCGAUCCUGUAAAUGGAUGAGAGUCUCAAAAUCAGUAAGUUAAAAAAAUAACUGUUCUCCAUGCUCUUGGUUCUGAUGAAUUGUGUAUCCAUAAUUUGCAUCUUAUAGUCUCUGGUUAUCUUAUAACUAUUGUCGAGAUAACUAUGUUAAAAGGUCCAAUGUCCAGGUCAUAAAAACUUGUUCCAAAAUGCUUUUGGUUCUGAUAAAUUCUGCAUCCAUAUUUUGCAUCUUAAAGUCUCUGGUUUCCUUAACCAUGCUCAAAAGCUCACUUUCAUAGUCACAGACUAGUUUGUAUGUGUCUUAUUUUAUCCUGUUUUGAUGCCUGUGAAUUAUGACUUUUCAUGUUUAGUUGUUUAAAUUUAUGUUCAGUAACACAAGUACAUAUUUGUGAAUAAUCAAAUAUAGGUGAGGCUGUGUUUGUGGAUGACAUUCCAUCACCAUCAAAUUGCUUACAUGGAGCAUACAUAUAUAGUGCUAAACCUUUAGCAAGGGUAAGGAGUAUAAAACUCACGCCUGAGUUGCAACUGGAUGGAGUAAGGGAUAUCAUUUCAAGUAAUGACAUUCCCAAUGGUGGGGAAAACAUUGGAUCUAAGACUAUAUUUGGGAUCGAACCUCUAUUUGCAGAAGAAAAAGCCAGAUGUGUUGGUGAACGCCUUGCCUUUGUUGUGAGUUCUUAAUCCCUCAUUGUGAUCCAACAAUGUAGGAGCUUAUUUUUCAUUUGUUUGGAGAUUGAUAUGAUAAUACUACCAUUUUAGUCACGGAAUGUCAUCUUUAGGUUGCAGAUACUCAGAAAGUUGCAGAUUUGGCUGCAAACUCAGCUGUUGUUGAUUAUGAUACUGAAAAUCUUGAGCUUCCUAUUCUAUCCGUUGAAGAUGCUGUUGAAAGAUCUAGCUUUUUUGAUGUUCCUCCUUUUCUGUAUCCAAAACAUGUUGGUGAUAUAUCAAAAGGAAUGGCUGAAGCAGAUCACAAGAUUCUUUCUGCUGAGGUACAUUAGAAUUUAUUUGUUGCUCUCCUUUGUUUCCCACUUCCUCUCAUUUCGUGCCUUUGUGCUCCUUGGUUUCCUAGGCAAUGUUGAAGUUUGCUCCUGAAUAAUUACUGUUUAAAUGGUUAUGCUGAAUAAAAUAUGUGAACUACAGAUGAAACUUGGGUCUCAAUACUAUUUUUAUAUGGAGCCACAGACUGCACUUGCUGUUCCAGAUGAAGACAAUAGCAUUACAGUUUACUCUUCAAACCAAUGCCCUGAGAAUACGCAUUCUAUUAUAGCAAGAUGCCUCGGUAUUCCAGAAAAUAAUGUUCGUGUAAUUACAAGAAGGGUUGGGGGUGGUUUUGGUGGAAAGUCUAUAAAAGCCAUGCCUGUAAGUAUUUAUAAUUCUUUGAAAAUAUAACUUUAUUUUAUCUCUAUUGUUUUUUUCAUUGACUAACUAAUAAAUUUUGUAGAGUGUAGACAUGAACUUUCAUCUCCUGUUGUAAAGGAAAUACACUAAUAAUGUGAAAGAAAAGAAAAGAAUGUGUCUAUAGUCAUUCCACUUAUGUUAUUUAUAUAUUAUAUUCAGCAAUCUGGAGACGUCCUUCUAUUGUCUUUGACAAUGGUUUUGUUUAUUAAAGCAACCAUUUGCUCUUGAAAUGUGUAUUUUGAAUGUAAUAAAUUAGAAAUUGAAUUCUUCUCUUGGAUAAAAAAUUAAUGUUAAGUGGGAGGAAGGGUAAAAAGUUGUCAGAUAAGCAAACGAAACAAGACAGAAGAAAAUAUUAAAACAUUAGGUGAAAAGAUCCUCUUUGAUAAGCUACUAUCCCAAUUGUUAGAUGUGUUUUACAAUAUGGGCCUAGGCCCUUACUCAGAUUUUCGGGUUAAAGUAUGGUUACACCUUUUCUCCAGUCAACAAGAUGGUCUCUAUCAAAUUAUUUUUAGCCAUAAUUGUUUUUUGAUGUUGCCUCCUCUAUCAGUUGGAUGUAAACAAUGUCUUCCUACAUGGUGAUUUAAUAGAGGAAAUUUAUAUAGAACAACCUCUUGGUUUUGUUGAUCAAGGGGAAUCUUUCGACUUGGUUUGUCAUCUCCGCAAAUCUUUAUAUGGUAUAUCGUCAUUCUAUUGUUGGGUGUAUCUACCUAGUAGUGUAUGUUGAUGACUUUGUUCUUACAUGUAGCAAUCACCAUGACAUUUUACAAAUAAAACAACACCUUUGUCAUCAUUUUUAGACAAAAGACCUUGACAAACAUAAAUAUUUCAGAAGUAUACAUUGGAUAUUUUAAAGGAGACUGGACUAAUGAAUUCCAAGUCCCUUGACGCACCUAUAGAUCCCAAUGCUAAUGCUCAAAUAGUUACUUAAAGAAUUGAGAUUAGGGAAGGUUACAUCCAAAUUUACUACCAAAGACUAAAGACUUAUUUGUGCAUGAGAUUUCCACUUAGUGGAGUCCAAGGAGGGUAGUUGUAUGAAGCCUUACCCUUGUAAGCAGAGAGGUUUUUUUAAAUUUGAAUCCAUGGCCUCUGGAAAUUUCAUGUCCAAAGACUGCUUGGUUGUUAGGAAUUAUAGCUACUUCCCCUAAAAUUAUCCCUAAGUGUCAAAGGAAACCAAGAAAGAACAAAGGGUGCAAUGAAAUCUUUAUUAUCGAACAGGAAGUACAGUAUCCUUACCUAGGCAAAUCUCCUUCUACUGAGCCUGAGGUCUAGGGUCUCAUUUCUACAAAAUUUCUAACUAACAUACAACUGAUUCCCUCUUAUUUUGUAACAGUAGCUACCCACUUCCUUACUAAUUCUCUCAAAUUCUCUUAUAUACGAAAAUUUAUAUGUCUUCGUGUGUGUGUGUAGUACUAACAAUUGGAUCUUGCAGGUUGCCACAUCAUGUGCACUGGCAGCACAUAAAUUACAGCGCCCAGUUAGGAUAUAUCUAAAUCGAAAGACAGAUAUGAUAAUGGCUGGAGGAAGGCAUCCUAUGAAGAUAACUUACAGUGUUGGGUUUAGGAAUGAUGGUAAGAUUACAGCACUAGAACUUCAAAUUCUGGUCAAUGCAGGGAUAUAUGUGGAUAUAAGUGCAGUAAUGCCACAUAAUGUAGUUUCUGCACUUAAAAAGUACGAUUGGGGUGCCUUAGCUUUUGAUAUAAAGGUAUGCAGAACAAACCAUCCCAGUAGAUCUGCUAUGAGGGGCCCUGGGGAAGUGCAGGGAUCGUUUAUUGCUGAAGCUAUUAUAGAAAAUGUAGCAGCUACACUUUCAAAGGAUGUAGACUCUGUCAGAAGCAUUAAUCUUCACACAUACAAUAGUCUUCAGUCAUUCUAUGAGUACUGUCAUGGUGAACCUCACGAGUAUACCUUGCCUACAAUAUGGAAUAAGUUAGCUGUUUCUGCAAACUAUGACCAGAGAACCAAUAUGGUGCAAGAGUUUAACAGGAUUAACACAUGGAAGAAAAGGGGAAUCUCUCGAGUACCGGUUGUGUUUCAAUUGAUUCAAAGACCAACUCCUGGAAAAGUAAGUAUUUUUUCAGACGGGUCUGUGGUUGUUGAAGUUGGAGGAAUUGAACUGGGUCAGGGUCUCUGGACGAAGGUGAAACAGAUGGCUGCAUAUGCUCUUGGGGCUAUUCAAUGUGAUGGAAUUGGAGGUCUCUUCGACAAAAUACGGGUUGUACAAUCUGAUAGUGUGAGCUUGAUUCAAGGAGGAUUCACUGCUGGGAGCACUACAUCAGAAUCAAGCUGCGAAGCAGUUAGGCUUAGCUGUAAUAUCUUGGUAGAGAGGCUAAAGCCUCUUAAGGAAAACCUGCAGGAGGAAAUGGGCUCUGUCAAGUGGGAGACCCUUAUUCUUCAGGUAUCUACUAUAAUAAAUUUAAAGAGCUUAGUUUUAAACAUUGAUAGAUUUUCCUCUCAAGGAAUUCUCGUUCUCAUCAUGGGAGGAAGUUCCCUUGAGAUAAAAUUGGUUCUCUUCAUAAUCAUUCUGUAAAAAUGAAGCAAGUGGAUCUGUAACUGUUUCUCUCUUUAUGAUCCAUAUAGAUAGAUUAUUCAUGAUUGAAUUUCACUACUGUUUGCCUUAAGGUUUAGAAACUUUUUUUUUUCUAAUUUAUAUCGAUGAAUGUAUAUUGGUAUUUGUAAUUGUGCAUAGGAUGUAUUGCUUCAGGGUUUUCCCGUUAAGUUCUUGUAGGUACUCAGUGUUCUCAUAAUUUAUGGGAUCAUAAUUAACUCCUUUCAAUUAAGAAAGUAUUAGGGGAGUGCUCUGGAAAUGGAAUUAAGUAUAGAGAACUUCUUAUUUUCCUAGUCCACAAGCAUAAUAUUAAUUACCACGUUGCUGACAAUUUAUUGAAUACAGGCAUACAUGCAAGCUGUGAACUUAUCAGCAUCUUCAUUUUAUGCACCCAGCAUGAGCUCCAUGAGUUACCUUAAUUAUGGUGCUGCAAUAAGUGAGGUAGGUUGGUCUUACUUUUGGUUUUCUGUACACAUUUCAAAUCAAAUUGAUAUUCUUUUCGAGUUCACUGAUAGUUACUUCUCUUGAAUGUAAGCACUAAUGUCAUAUUUUCACAUAAGCCAUGUUGUAGAAUGUAAGUACUGAUAUUCUAAAUGAUGGAAAUUAUAUCUCAGGUGGAAAUAGAUCUUCUGAAUGGUGAAACCAGAUUUUUGCAAACAGAUAUUAUUUAUGAUUGUGGACAGAGUCUCAACCCUGCUGUGGAUUUAGGACAGGUAAGCUGACUACAUAUUUGUUAUGCAAAGCCAACUCUAAUCAUGGAAUAACACAAUACAAUAGUUCGAGGCCCAAUAAUAGGUUUUAUUAACACGGCCUCUCGCAUAAAGGCCCUCUGGGAAGUCAAGAGGAGACUAAGAACUGGCACACUUUUCCUUCCUAAAAAAUUACAGUUAAUUAUUAGAAAUGGAAAAGGCAAGAAUCAACUCCUGAUAACUUUCUGAUACCUUGUUAAGAAACACCAAAGAGGCUUUAAUUCCUUUAGCCAAAAAUAUCUUGUUAAGAACAAACUCAACCAAAACGCUUGAGAAUUUAGUUGGAGAUCUUGGAAUGUUAAAAGUUACAAAUACUGUUCAGUUGUUCAACUAUGUGUGUGUAUUCCUCCUAAUCAUAUAACACAUCCUGCAGAUUGAAGGAGCUUUUGUCCAGGGAUUGGGGUUUUUCAUGCUUGAAGAAUACGAAACAAAUCUUGAUGGUUUGGUGUUGCAAGAUGGCACUUGGAACUACAAAAUCCCUACAAUAGACACUAUACCAUUACAGUUUAAUGUUGAAAUCCUCAACAGUGGGCACCACCAGCAACGAGUUCUCUCUUCAAAAGGUAUGACUAAAUCACAAAAAAUCUGUCAGUGCAUUGUUCUUAUCUAUUUAUUGUCCUCAUGAAUGCACAUCACGUGAUGAAAAGGAAGUUUUGUGAAUUCUCCUCCAUUGAUUCAUUAUCAGUUCAUUCUAACUGUUAAUUCCAAAAUGUUGGGAUGAAAUGAGCAAAUAUUUGUUAACCAUAUACUUGUUGUGGCGUAAACUAACUAGUUAAUUAGUGUAGUAGCUUGAAUAUGAGAUACAUGUUAUAGUUAUACAUCUAGAGCAGGAAUUAAAAAAAAGGUUUGGUAUCAAAGCUAAGGUGGAAGUGGAUGGAACUGAAUAAUCAAUUCAAUUUCUUCUGCAUAAUAGUUUGGGGGGAAAAUUGUGGUUAUAACUUGUAGGCAUGCUGCAGCCUAUUUUUUAUGUUAGAAUCUUAAUAAGAUUGAGAAAGCUUCACCUAUUCCUGUUUGAAAAUCUAAUAUGAAAAAAAAAUUGAAAUUUGUUGCUGCAGCAUCUGGGGAGCCACCAUUAGUUCUAGCAGCUUCCAUUCACUGUGCCACUAGAGCAGCAGUGAAAGAAGCAAGGAAACAGGUUCUUUCAUGGAGCAACCAAGAUGAAGCAGAUUCAACAUUUGAGUUGGGGGUCCCUGCAACCAUGCCUGUGGUAAAGGUACUCUGUGGACUGGACAAUGUUGAAAGAUACUUGAAAUGGAAAAUGGGAAGGACAUAAUACUGUUGAAUAUCCUAGAUUAGUUAGAAGAAUAAUUUUAUUCUAUCCAUUUUUCAGUCCUUCUGGUAAAAAUUUAAAAUAAGUUGAGUUUUUAUUAUUUUAUUUCUCAUGAUGAUCAUGCUAGUGCAAAACUUGCAAUUUUUUCUUAUGUUCACAAUAAGAAACACAGGCUAUUUCUUGUGGGGCAGUUUUUGCUGCAAGAAUAAGGUAUAUCUGGACAGUAAUGUACUUUAGUUAUGCAUAAAGUGCUUAAAGUGAUGUGCAUUGCUUUAUCGGUAUAAACAUGUUUUAAUUUAUAAAAACUAAUUUAUGUAGAAAUUAAUUUUAAAAUUUAUAAAAAAUAAUUUUAUUUGAGAAAUGGUCUGUUUCUUAAAAGGAACAUGUUUGCCGACAAAAUUUUAUUCUGCAAUAUGUUAUUUUGUAAGGACUACCUUUUUUAUUACAUGUACGAAGUUCACCAAAUUCUGCAUGAUGAGAUUCAUCCAUAUUAAUUUGAUAAUAAAUGCUGCAUCUGCAUCAUAAGCAAUGUGUCAAACACUGGUAACAGAUAGCAUUUCUUUUAGUUUAUAUUACAUUUUAAAGAUGAAUAUAUGAAAUAUUGCAUUAUAUUCCUAUACUUUAAACAUCCUUUUAUCCAAUUUUUAUCUCUAAAAUCGAAAUAGAUUUAUGGUUUGGUUAUAUUUUUAAUUAUUUGAAUUUAAAUUAUGUGUUGUGGUAGUUUCAAGUUUUUAGUUAAUUAAAUUUUCUUUUUUCAAAAUUAAGUAGGUUUAUACACUCAUCUAAAAAAUGCAUUUUUAUUUUUUUAAGCCAUUUUGAACAGAUAGAGGUUUAGUGGUUCUGGUGAGUUCAGUCAAUCUAAAUUUCUAACUCACUUAUUCACUCACCAUACAAUAAUGUUUUAGUAUGAAUCAUAUAUAUAAUUUCUAUUUAUUUAGUUACACACCAUGACCUUAAACCAUUAUUUUUAUCACAUACUAAAGUUUAUCAUCUCAUUAAUGAGAAUCAAUUACUUAAUUAUGACUAAUUUUUUAUGUGAUCUUUUGGUAACAUAUAAAUAACUGACAUAAGAAAAUCACCUUAAAUAUCAUGUUUAAAUGUUUAUAAUUGCAUUGUUCCUUUGUUAGUUUCUAACUUUGAGAGGUUGGAGUCAUGAUUUUCAUUAUUAUCUACAACGUACGAGCAACUUAAUCAUCUUAUCUUAUGUUAGUAUCCUUAAAAUAUUUACAACUUAAAGCAUUUAAAUUAUCAUUUAUUCAAAAGCUCAUUCAUUCCAUCAAUUUUGUAUUAGAAUUUUUUACGGGAUACAGGAGAUAAAUCUUAUAUUAAUAGGUUAUGAACAAAUAAUACAAGAGAUCAUGAUAUAAUUUUAUCUUAAUAAUUCGUUAAUAAUAUGUGAUUGUAUUUUUUAAUAUGUCCCAACUUUUUUAUUUUUAAUUAGUGCACAACUUUUAUUUUAUACUUAAAUUCCUAACAUUUUUUUCAUUGAAAGGAAUAUGUUUAUGAUCAUUUUAAAAAUACAUGUUCUAUAUUUUCGCACAUGAUUAUGAAUGAAAAAUUUGGGAUGUAACCACGCAAAAAUAAAAUGAGAUUAAUCAUAAUUAAAUAAUAAACAUUAUUUGAAACAAAAGAAAUAAUUUUAGCAUAAAAAAAUACCAUUUUACGAGUGCCUUCUCUGGUACUCAUUUGUUUGUAUGUUAACAUCAGAAGCAAAUAUUAGAAACACAGCCUGUAAUUGUACUGCAACAAAUCACUCACAGCUGCCCUGCAAUAUCAGGAAAAGGUAUAUGCAAAUAAAAUAAAAUAAAAAUAAGUAAAAGUAGAUAUAUAAAUAAAUAAAAGAGAAAUUAAAAGUUUUAGUUUAAGAGAAGUAUAUAAAAGAAGAAGAGAGAAAGAAAAUUGAAAUAAAUAAAUAAAAAUAAAUAUUGAUUUUUAUCAAUUUCAAAAUUAUUUUUCCUCUCAAUCCCAUAAAAACAAACCAUCUUAGCUUACUUCUAGUUACACAAAAUUAUUCCAUCUCGUAAAUCAAACAAAAUUUUAGUCUCAUACUAAAUUAUUAAGUGAUUCCAUGAUUAUUAUUUAUUAUAAUUUCAGUUAAUUUCUAUAUUCUCUCAUUCUAAAAUAAUAGUAGUUUAAAGUUUUUCAAGAACAACAAUAAAUAAUAAGUGUAUGUUUGUCUUAAUAAAUUCUUAUUUUUAUAUAUUACAAAUACAAACAUUGAUAUAAUUGAUCUGAGAAAUAAAAUUAAUAUUUUUGCUGAAAAUGGGAAUAUAAGUUAAUUUAUAAGUUUAGAAAAAUAAAACUACUGGUAUUUAUGAUCAUGAGUAUCUUAUAAUUUAUCCUGAGAACUGCACAAAACACAUUAAGACACCUCACUCUCAAACCCACUUUGUUAUCUCCAUUCAACUUCUUCCUUUCAGCUUCUUCACUUCAGUGCCUGAAGUAGUGGUAACCUUCUUAAUGCCAUUAACUAUGCUCCAUUUCAUGUGUUUAGAAAACUACAUGUUUUUCACUUGCUUCAUAUGCAUGUCAAAUAAUGGAAUUCACAUCUUAUGGCUAUUGUGAAAAUAUCUCAACUACAUGCUGAUUAUAUACAGGUUCAACUUCAAGUGUUGAAAUGGGGGCAAUUGCAACACCCCUUGUGGUUGUUCUUCUAUUUUGCUGCCUAGUUUCUGUUUCACAAGCAGAAUACUUGAAGUACAAAGACCCAACACAGUCACUGAAUGUUAGAAUCAAGGACUUGCUGAAGCGGAUGACCCUGGAGGAGAAGAUAGGUCAAAUGGUGCAGAUUGAACGAAGUAUUGCCACCCCUCAAGUGAUGAAGAAGUACUUCAUUGGUAAGCUCUCACCCAAUCUCUGAAAAACUACCAGUGCCUUAUAUGCUACUAUACUAUGCAUGGUGGUUAGUAAUGUUUUUCUAUUUUCCUCAUAUAAUAAGUGUAUGAGUUGUUGGAUAUAAGGGGUAUAACAGUGUUUGCAAUUAUGGAGGUGACAUUAUAGAAAUACAUGUGAUGUGAUGAUUGAUGGGCAGGGAGCGUGCUGAGUGGGGGAGGCAGUGUUCCAGAAACAAAUGCAUCUGCUGAGACUUGGAUCCAAAUGGUGAAUGGGAUUCAGAAUGGAUCUUUGUCUACCCGCCUUGGGAUUCCAAUGAUUUAUGGCAUAGAUGCAGUUCAUGGCCACAAUAAUGUCUACAAGGCCACCAUCUUUCCUCACAAUGUUGGGCUAGGAGUUACCAGGCAAGUAUGCAUGAUAUACUUAAUGAGUAGUCAUGGUCAUUUUCUUUUGUGACAAGAUAACUUUUUUUGUUUGUAAUUUGAAGACCUUGGUUUUCAAAUGCUAAUGGUGCCGUAUGCAGUUGAAAGCCAUAUUUCAACAUGUUGACAUUUUCACUACACCCUUCAAUUAUUAUCCUCCAUUCAAUGAUAAACCAAAUUGAACUAUAGGAAUUCAUUAUUGGGACAUUUUAGAUCUUUAAAAUGAAUUAUUAUUUCAUUUUUAUCUCUUCUCACUACCUUUCUUCUUAGCUGAAUACAUAAACUAAUUAUAUAAUGCUAAUAGGGAUCCAGUGCUGAUAAAGAAGAUUGGAGAUGCAACUGCCCUUGAAGUUAGAGCUACUGGAAUUCAGUAUGUUUUUGCUCCAUGCAUUGCGGUAAUGUUGAUGAUUCCGUUCCUUUUACAUCAAGUAAAAGUUUAACAUUGAUCAAAUGUAUGUUUGGUAACCUUUUUCUUCCAUAGGUCUCCAGAGAUCCUAGAUGGGGGCGUUGCUAUGAAAGCUACAGUGAGGACCCUGAGAUUGUUAAAGCAAUGACUGAAAUUAUUCUUGGUUUGCAAGGAGACAUCAGUGGAAAUUCCAGAAAGGGGGUUCCCUAUGUUGCUGGAAAGUAAGAUUCUUAAUAGUAGCUUGAGUUCAGUGUGAACCAUUUGGUUAAUUGAUCAUCCUAAACUUUUUAAAUACUUCCAUAGUUCCAUGCACAUAUGUUGGAUGGUAAUAAUCACUCUGUUCCUUCUCACCUCUUGUUUAUAGUUUAUUGUUGUUAAAAGAUUUUCUGUGUUUGUAAAUUAUUUUAAGCUUUUGUUCUGUUUUUUUUAUGCAAAAGCAUUGUAUUAUUGUCUUUAAUUGUAUUUAUGCAAUUUUCUUUAAGAUUUUGGGUUCUGGAAUUUCUGUGUAAAAUUUUGUGAGUUUUGCUUCUACAAAAAGUGUUACAUUAUUUAAACUUGAAUAUUGUUUCAACAUUGUAAUUAAUUUGACACAGGAACAAGGUGGCGGCUUGUGCUAAGCAUUAUGUAGGAGAUGGUGGCACAUCCAAGGGCAUUAAUGAGAAUAAUACUUUGAUCAGUUAUAGAGGAUUGCUUAACAUUCACAUGCCUGCAUAUCAUGACUCCAUCCUCAAGGGGGUUUCAACAGUAAUGGUCUCCUACUCUAGCUGGAAUGGCAAGAAGAUGCAUGCCAAUCAUUUUCUUGUCACUGAUUACCUCAAGAACAAACUGAAGUUCAGGGUAACAAAUAAAACUUAUUUGAUUAGUCUCUAAUAAAGCAAUUGAAGUGUACUUUUGGUUCUUUUAAUUUACAUUACAUGUGAUUUUGGUUUCUCAAGUUUCGUUUUUUACCUAUUUUUAAAUAUAUAAGAAAAGAUCUUCCAUCAAAUUCAAUGAGUAAACAUGCAGUUUCUGAUGUAGUCUUUUUGGCAUUUUUCAGGGUUUUGUCAUAUCAGAUUGGCUAGGCAUUGACAGGAUUACUUCUCCUCCUCAUUCUAACUAUUCGUACUCUAUUCAAGCUGGUGUUGGUGCUGGAAUUGACAUGGUAACAAAAGAAAGAAAUUUUUUAUGACUUUUGUGACUGAUAUUUAGUAUCAUGACUUUUUCAUUUAUAUCUACGUUUACAUUAUUUUACAGAUCAUGGUUCCUUUUAAUUUCACUGAAUUCAUUGAUGUGCUGGUUUAUCAAGUAAAGAACAAUAUUAUCCCUGAAAGUAGGAUUGAUGAUGCUGUGGAAAGAAUCUUAAGAGUAAAAUUUGUCAUGGGCCUAUUUGAGAAUCCACUUGCUGAUCCAAGCCUGGUGAAUCAACUUGGUAGUGAGGUAUAUUUCCAGAAGGAUGUACUUUUAAUAUCUUUCAAAUGAAUAUUUUUUUAUGAAUUACUGUGCCUUGAACAGGAGCAUAGACAGUUAGCAAGGGAAGCUGUAAGAAAAUCUCUUGUGUUGCUAAAGAAUGGUAAAUCUGCUGAGAAGCCUCUACUUCCCCUUCCCAAGAAAGCUGCAAAUAUACUGGUGGCAGGAAGCCAUGCUGACAAUUUGGGUUAUCAAUGUGGAGGAUGGACAAUUACCUGGCAGGGGCUUGGUGGCAAUAAUCACACAGUUGGUAAGCCAACACGCUUAAUUUUGGUGUAAUAAUGUAUAUUUUUAAGGUAAGAGGCCUUGGUAUACGAUAUAAUGUGUUUCAAAUAAUCAAGAAGGGUUUUGGGUGUUAAAAAGGUAAGAGUAUGGUGUGAAGUUUCAACAAACCACCGGUGCCAAUGUAAUUUGCCCAAAACAUUAACUCUUAACCAUCUAAAACCUGCAUGGAUAAGCAUGUAAAACAUUCAUACACACUGCAACUUGGAUUAUCUGAUUAUGGUUUUCUUUUUGUAGGAUAUUUACGGUUUAUCUGACAAAAAAAUAUCACUUUCCUAACAGGUACAACAAUCCUUGAUGCUGUAAAACAGACAAUUGAUCCUGCUACUAAAGUUUUCUACAAGGAAAGUCCUGACUCCACCUUUGUCAAGUCCAACAACUUUUCUUAUGCCAUAGUCAUUGUAGGUGAACCCCCUUAUGCAGAAACACUUGGUGAUAGCUUGAAUCUAACUAUAGCUGAGCCAGGUCCAAGCACCAUUACCAAUGUAUGUGAAUCUAUCCAAUGCGUGGUAGUUCUCAUCACUGGCCGUCCAGUAAUGAUUCAGCCAUAUCUAUCAAAAAUAGACGCUCUUGUGGCUGCAUGGCUUCCAGGAACUGAAGGCCAAGGUGUCGCUGAUCUUCUAUUUGGUGAUUAUGGAUUCACUGGCAAGCUGGCAAGAACAUGGUUCAAGACAGUUAACCAACUUCCAAUGAAUGUUGGUGAUAAAUAUUAUGAUCCUCUCUUUCCAUUUGGAUUUGGCUUAUCUACAAAUCCCACCAAGCACUAAAACAAUAUUUGAGAUUACUACUCAAGUCUCACGGCUCCUUUUCACCAAGGAGAUUCUGAAUUGUCUUCGGCAAGUGAAUGAUCACACAUGUAUGUUUGUAAUGAAAACCUUAGAGAAACUUAGCACUAGAAAAUAAAAUUUACUGUUUUGACAAUUUUAUCUUAUGAAUUUAACAUUAUAGUGUGCUCGGAUAAGUAAAUAAAAGUGUUGAUUGCAAAGGAUAGAGAUGAAACAAAACAAAAAAAAUAGCUGUGAUUUUUCAACUUGACAGAUUUAAAGUGCAGUUCUAUAUACACUUCUCACUCACAACACAAGUAGAACAACUUAAUCACCAAGAAAUUUCAACCACAUAAGUUACCAUUCCAAUUCUACAAGGUCCCUUAUCAUUCAUAUGCAAAGAUCCCAACAUCAUCUAGAAAUCACCUUACGUACUUCAAACUUUAUAAAUAAAAUAAUUUCCUUUCGGAAAACCAAAAUCAAUCCACAAUUUCUAACAUUUUAUUCCAAUUAUCAAAGAUGCAUUGACUUCCAUCUAAUUUCCAAUUCUAACUUCAUUCAAAUAAACUUUCAAAAUUGAAUUAGUUUCUCACACCUUAAUUUUCUUGUACCCCACGGAACUAAAAUGGUAAGGAUAUGUGAAACACACACCCUCAGCAGCUUCUAGAUCAAUCCAAACCAAUUAGCUAAACAUCAAUCACCACCCAAAAAAAAAUUAUAAACCUCAAUUUCUCUCGAAUCUUAGAAACCCUAGACACUUGCAUUCAAGUCUUUGAAAAGAUGUAAGAAUAGAAGGAAAGAAAAAAGAAGUUUACCCUGAGUAAGGAAACAUCAAACUUAUGCUCUAGCUUUCCUUUUAAAUGAAAUUAUGGAAGAAAAUCUCAAUUAAGGAAAAGAAGGAGAUUUGGUGCUUUUUUACGGCUAAGGGGAGAAGAAACGGUGAAAGGAGAAUGAAGGCAAUUUUUCCGGCACCUCCAUAAUUUGUUCUUGCACCUCCUUAGUUUCUUUUUACACCUCCAUAAUUAUUGUAAUUUUAAAAAUACCCUUAUGAAUUUGUAUUCAAAAUUUUAAAAUUAAAAAGUGAUUUUCUGAAUUCAUAAAUACUUUUAGGAAAAUGCUCCCUGCACCCAACACUUUUGAACCUGCACCCAACACAAUUUAAAAAAUUCCAAAAAUACCCUUUAUUUUGGAAAUGAAAAUCUAGAAUUAAAAAUAAUGCAUUCCGGAAAAGUAGAUCCAAAAGAGAUUUUUGUGUUCUGGAUAUAAAAAUCCGGAUAAAAAAAUCAAAAUUCCCUUCUGGAUAAAAAAUUCCGGAAUUGAAAAUAAUUCAUUCUGUAAAAAUUUAUCCAUAAGAGAUUAUUGUGUUUCGGAAAAAGGGUCCGGAGUGUAAUUUUAUAUGUACCCUUUUUUUAAGGGUAUUUUCGUAGUUUCCCCUAUGAUUGGGUUCAGUGAUAUGGUGCAGGAAGCAAUUGCCUACUUUUAAAUUGUAGAAUUUGUAAGCCAACUUUGUAUUGUAAAUUCUUCAAUUCACAUGACUUCCAAAUAGUAGAAAUUAGAAUAAAAAGUUGGCUUUCAAAUUAUAAAAUUUGGAAUUUUACAUUGAGUUAUGACGUCCAAAUUAUAGAAUUUGGAAGGGAAUUUUGUAUUUCAAAUUAUACAUAAGUCAUUUUUUAAUUAAAAAAUAACUUUUAUUUUUAUAUAAAUUGUAGAACUCAGAAUACUAUUUAUACUAAAUCUGACUUUUCACAAAAAAAGUAUGGAGGUGCAUAGAGAAACUAUGGAGGUGCAGGAUAAAAUUUCCCAGAAUGAAAGUUAGAAAUGUUUCUGUUCAAAUUUUUAGGGAAGGAAAUAAAAUAAGAUUUCGAGUUACACCCCUUUUCCUCUAAAUUUCACUCUCUUCUUUAUCGUUUCUUUUUAAACAACACCUGGUUUAGCCCACAUAUAGCCCAAUUAAAUCAAGACUAACUCUCUCUAUCCACUAACUACACCCUUAUUCUCACACAUACACGCAUCCUUCAAUGAAUUAAAGAUCUCUCUUAAAAUAAUUUUAAUUAAAACUUUUUUAUUUGAAUUCACCCACUUAUUAAAUAUGAACAUAGUACAAAAUACAUUACUUCUACAUAUAAGUUUUAUCUAACUCUUAAAAUCUUUAACAAUUUAAUAACUAACUGUAAAGAUUAAUCAUAAAUAUUUAAUUUUUUAUAUUAAUUUUUUUAUAUAUAAAUACGUUGUUACCUUUAUAUAUUAGAGUAUUUUUUUAAUUAUAGACAUGAUCAUAUUCAUAAUUGUAUAAUGGUUAGCCUUUUAUUAAAGUUCACUCUAAAUUUUUUAUGAAUAUUAAUAGAUGCACUAUAUUCAUUGAUAAUGAUUUUAUAAUAAAUAAACAAUCCAUUUUAUCGUAUAUUCUAAUUAAUUUAUACGAACUUUUUAUAUAAUUAUGUGAUUUACAUCGUUUUUAUAAAUAUUAAAAAUUUAUUAAACAUAUGUAUAAUUAUGUUUCAUCUUAUAUAUAGUACUUAUUAAUAUAUAUAUAUAUAUAUAUAUUUCAAUUAUAAAUAAAAAAUUAUUUAAUAUGUUACAUUAUAAUAACUAUAUAUAAAUGACCAUAUACAUCAUUUUAUUUAAAUAUUUAAAAAUUGUUAGAUAUAACAAACUUUAAAAAACGUAAUUGUUUAAAUAUAUAAAGAAUUUUAUAUUCUGUACUUAAUUCUUUUAAAUACAUAAAUAUAUAUAAUAAAAAAAUUAUUAAGAAUGAUACUUUUAAAAUAAAAUCUACAUAAAAUCCUAAACAUCCUAUGUAUAAUUUACACCGUAUUCUUCAUUUCAUGCGUAGACUAUAAGAAAAUUAUUUAUUAAAAAGUAUAAUUUCACUCGAAUUUAAAAAAUAUUACAAUUUAUCAACUUUCAACAAAAUCAUUUUUAUGAAAACAUUUAUGUAACAAAAUCCAUAUCUUGUCAAGCUCAGGUAAAUAUUUUCAUAAAUAUUCCUUUUCUAAAAAGUAAUAAAUAACAAAUAGUUUAAUUUUGUUUAAAUUAAAAAGAAAUAUUUUUAAAAUUAAAUUAAUUUUGCAUAUUUAAGUUAAAACAAAAGUUCUUAGAUAUGAAAAACAUCCUUCCACGGAAUUCACUAAUCUAUUCUUCUAAUAAUAAACCAUAUUAUCCUAAAAGAGCUAUUAGACUAAUCUCGGAUCAUGAUGACCCCACAUUCAUUUGUUUUCCUUUAGUUGGUACCAAAACCAAAAGGAUAAAGUAGUCUAUCAAAAUCCAUUGAAAUUCUAUAUUUUGGGAGCAAAAAUGUUUUAAAAAACAACAAAAGCUAUCACUUGCCUGUAUACUUCCUGGCCCCUUUUAAGGUAAAAAACAAAUACACAUACCAUUUGCUCCCCCCAUACUUUAAACCAAAAGAUGAUGCAUGAAAGCAAUACAACUUUCUUUCAGACUGGGGAAAACCCCUUCUCUGCCUCGUUGAUGAUUACAAAAUCUUUACAUCCUAUACAAAAUUUAACAGAAUCAGUAACUGACAUCAGAAGAUGAGAACUCCAACUUUUCUCUGUGGAGUCUGGAGGAUAAUGAAUGCCAUUACUUCUUUGAGAAAGUGAGAUAUGGGUCUUGAGCAAUGGUUAACACAUCUGGUCUCUCAGCCUGGUUAUAUGUUAGACACCUUCGGAUAAAAUCCUGACAAAAAAAGUGUACAUACGCAACAGACUAUUGUCAGGUUUGACAGUAUUGUAGAUAGUAGGCACAUGAUACUAUAUUCUUCCUACAGUAAACCGGAUAUAAGAAAGUGUAUAUACAUUGAGGUCUUCAAUGGAAACCACAACCUUCCUAGUUCCUACACUUGCAUGUGGAAUCAUGUUUGAAUAUUUUAUUAUGUCAAAACGAUCAUAACAUACAUACAACCUUUCAAGAAGCAUAGUUGUGUCCAUCACUGAAUAAUAGAACAGAAUAAAGGCAACUGCACAAGCUAAGAAGCUAAAAGAGAAAAGCUCUAUUGAGAAAUACGAUAAUGCACUUCUACUAUGAUUUUUAAUGCACCUCAACGCUGAUUCCUCAAUCAGUGCAUGACAUUCAUUUGCAAAAUACCCUUCAAUAAAAAAUUGACGCAAGGCAAAAAGGGAUCAACUAUGGGCAGAUAAUAUCGGUAAAAGGGUGAAACUCACCUUUGCCUCGUUAGAAAUGGUAGGUCUAGAAGGAAAGUCAACCUUGCGAGCCUUAAUAAUUGUGUCCUCACGAAGUAUUCUCUCUUGGGUUUGGUGAUGCCCAAAAGGACGUCGGCCAAAGAGCAUUUGAUAAUACAAAAUACCAGCAGACCAGACAUCAACCUGACUUCCACAAAACAUGUCAGAAAAUAUGAGCCAAAUGAUAAAAAUCUCUAACGUUAUGAUCAAAGAGUUCGUUGUUUGCAUAAUCCCAGUCAUCAUGACACUUGUGUCAAAGUGAAAUAUCCUUUGACCAAAGUAAUUGAGUUAGAAUAACAACAACGAAAAAAAAAUAGAAAAAAAAAAUUAUCUGUGUAUUUACAACUUAGAAAAUGAUUGACCUUUGAUGAUAUAAGAGGUGUCUUGCUGAGCUCAAAGCAUUCAGGAGGCAAAUACCUGCAAAUUGAAAAACAAAAAGAGCGGAUAAAGAGGUUGUUAGAUAUUAUUAGAUAUUUCUAUUUAUGUAAUGGGCUUAGUUCAUAUGUUUCUUUUUUAUAUAUAAACAUAACCCUAUGUGUUCAAUAUACACAAGGGAUUUACCCUAUUCUUCCUUUUCUUUUAAUAGAGGUUUUACCAAAGUAAAUACUAGAAUCUCAAGGAAACAUAAAAAGGAGCACCAAAGGUUAAGUCAGAUUGAGGAGAAUGAAGCCUAAAACAUACAAAUUUGGACUACUUCAAAUUUUGGAUUCCAACAAAGAUUGUCACCACUUACCAAUAUGUUCCAGCUCCCUGGGAUGUAAGUUCCAUACCUUGGGAUCCCACAUCAUCCUCCACUAUCUUACUAAGACCAAAAUCAGUCACUUUGGCAACACCAAGCUCAUCAAACAGAACAUUUCCAGGCUUCAAAUCAUAAUGGAUAAUCUUCUGUGUUCUUUUAUUCAUGUAAAUGAGGCCUUGAAAAAUCUGAACUAUGAUAACCUUAGCCUCCCUCUCGGAUAAUAUAGGUGUUGCUUUAAGAACAGCAUCAAGAUCCUUACCUGGGAGAAUAAAGGAAAGUCAAGCGCUAAGGGGUAGAUUAAACAAGAAAUCAUACAAAAACAAUGAAGUUAUUCCAGUUCAAACUCCAAAAAAAUAUUUGGAGUCUGUAAAAUAAAUAAAAAUAAUGAACUUCAUAAAAUAGUUAACAGUGUAUACCACUACAAUACUCUAGAACGGUGCAGAAUGUGUUUUGAUCAAUCUCAAAGAUGUCCCACAAACGAACAAUGUGGCGAUGUACAAGAGUCUUGUGAAUAUUAUACUCCCGAAUUGCAUGUCGUAUGUAACUUUGCUUCUUCUCUUCACUCCAUUGAGCAUUUAAACCAUGAAGUUUGCACGCAACAUAUCUAUGGUCCACCAAAUCGAAAGCCUGCUGGAAAUUUCUUACUUCAAAUUACUGCAAAAAGGUAUUUAUUUACAAUUGCCCAUGUAGGCCAUGUAAUUGUCUAGACUCUGGUUUUUAGUUUUUUCAAAACCUUUUAUAAUAUUUGCUAAAAGAGUAGACCAGACACAUUUUGAGUUAAAAUUUAUUGAAAAGUACAAAAGCAUUAGUGGAAGUAUUGAAUGUUGAUACAGAAUUUGUGAUAUAUAAUCAUUUUGUCAAUGAUAAAUAGUUUCUAGAAGUGUGUUUAGUGUCUUGCUAGCAUUUUUCCAGCAAAAACAAUAUCAACAUGAUCAAAUGAUUAUUAUUUCUGAUCUGACCUUGUACACCUCACUGAAUCCUCCCUUCCCAAGAAGGUUAAGAAGGGCAUAACGAUGAUUUAGAAUCUGAAAGUUGUUAAACCGUGAACCAUCUUCAUCUCGUAUGCGUUUCAUCUCCCGAAUUAACCUCCCCUUGUCUAUUUCAUAUCGAUCCCUCUCUCGCAAAACGAUUUCCUCUUCCUGAACAUUUCCAUGCCAUUAGAAGCAUAAAGAAGAAAGAAAACAGUUGGACCAGAAGAAAUUGCAACUUACUCUUUUAAGGCUAGCUAAUCGACAUUUGUAAAUUUCAUCGUGAAUUAGAAUAUCUUCUGGCAAUGCAGCCUCUGCAUCUGUCCCAUCACCCUUAUCUUCAACAAAAGAAAAGACAAACAAAAACAAAACACACUAUUAACACAGGGAGUAGAGUAGUAUAGUACAAGAUAUAGUCCAGCGAUUUGUGUGUGAAACAGAUAUUUUUUAUAUCAAACUAUUCAUUUGAACAUCUGAUAAGUACCCUAGCACUCAGGGAAUCCACCCUCAAAAGCUAGCUAUUAACGGUGAAAACCAAUCACUCAAAUAUUCUACCAAGUAUUCCAUUCUAAUUCAUGUGAGACAUAGGCACUCCGAUCCAUAAUACCCAAGUUCCUCUAUAGCACUGCCCCUGAGACAGGCAACCAGUUUUAUAUCAAUCACUUGGGGAACCCACCCUCAAAGGCUAGCUAUUAAGGGGGGAAACAAAACACUUAAAUAAUUCACUGGACAUCCCAUACUACUCAAUGAGGGACUUAGGCAACCAUAACACCCAAGUUCCCAUCAACAUCCUUAAGGAGCAUAUGGAUUAUCAUGAUUUGUAUAAUUUCUAGCGAUGUUAUUGAGAUUCAAUAUACACAAAGUACCUAAUGUAGAGAUUUGACAACAUGCAUGGAAUGUUCAUACCAAUGGAUGGUAUAAACUAAGGGGAAUGAGGAAGUCAUAAUGACUGGUCCCAAAUUUGGUCCAAUCAACCUCUCCUCCCUAAUAUUAGAAGGAUAGUGCUGAAAGAAAAAAAGGAAACAGAAUUUACCAGAUUGCUUUUUCUUAAAUAAUUUGCGCUGCCGCUCUAUCGCCUCCUUUGUUUCUACUAGUUGUUUCUGGGGAAAAAACAAAGAAUGAAAAGGAAAAGGAAUUCUUGGCAUCACUAAUGAACACUAUCAAGAUAGGCAAGGUUUAAAUUGCAAAAAACUAACAAACAGAAGCUAUGGUGAAAUUGACAUUAUAUACCCGGUGCUAUAGCUAAAAGAUACUGAGAAGGAAAACACUUGACACUCCAAAAACAAUAUCCUAUAAUUUUAUUCACUCAAGUGAAGCAAAAGAAUUCAGAUUUGGUAGUAUUUAUAAUAUAAGGAUAGUAAAAACUUUGUAAUUUCACUGCACAAUUGAACAUGAAAGUAUCUUCAGAUAAUGACAAUUUAAUUGAAUAUGAAAUGUUCAAUCAGAAACAAUCAAUUUUAAUGAUAUUGAUCACAGAAAAUUAGGAAAGAAUCAGAAUCCUAAGAAUCUGUUAUAAUAAUUCCUAAAUCAGAAAAUCUCACAAUAAAUCCUAGUUGAAUCUGAUAAACUAAUCACAAUCAUUAAUAAUCUCCAGUACAAAAAUUAAAAAGAAAAGUCAUGAAGAAGGAGAAAGGAAAUGGGACAUACAAGCUGGGCAUUCAGAUCCUUUAAAGCUUGACCAUCUUCCCAGGUCUCAGAUAUUACAGUUCCAGCUCUACAAUUCAUUAUUUUAACUAAUAAGAAACUUAGUAAGAAAAGAUAAUGUGAAAUAUAAUUUCUCAGUUUCAUUUCUGUAUUUCGGUUGCCAGAAUAUGAAUGUCUCUAGUUUAGGGUAAAUAUAUGUAUAUGUAUAAAUUAUUAACUUUUAUUUUUAAAAUUCACAAUAGCAAAGCAGUUUUGGUGUCAGCUGCUCCACACUGCUAUCCGGGAUUGAUAAUUAUGUAAUUUCUUAAAAUGCUCCAUGCAUACCUGAUUACACCAACAUUUCCAAGUCUCAACGAGUCUUGUCGUACUUUCAGCCUUGCUUCUUGUCUUUCAGCCUUUGAAACGGAUAUCAGCAAGUCAGAUAUUAUUUUCAUUCUCUGCAAAAUAGAAAGAUCAGAUGUGAAUAUGCUGCCUAAUUGAUGCAUGAUACAGAGAAUGCUAAUUAACUAUUUAGUUGGGGGGAGGUAAUGGGGAUUUAACUCCUGUAAAGUGAGUAAAGGUUAAGAAAGUAAUCUUGCUCAUUGAGAAAAUAAUUGUUUAAUAUUCCAACACAUGCAUGAUUUACUAUACAUGUGCACUUCAUAUCAACUGGUGAUUUUCUCAUCAAUGAUUGAUAUUACUUAAUGCUUACUAUACUCUCUAAAGUGAAUAGCUUUUAGAGGAGCCUCCCAUUUAUUGUAUAACAGCAAGGAGCUGUCUAAGAUUUCUAGUUCACUUUUACAUACAGAAUUCAAACAAACAAGAUUUAGUGUCUGCAUUCAGUUUCAUGCACCGUAAGGACAGCCAGUGCUCAUUGUUUAAAUAAAAGUACAUAAUUAGUGAUGAAGUGUUUCGAUAGACUCAAGAAGCUGAGAAUAUCACACCUUAGGCUUCAUUUGUUGUUCAUGAUCAGUCAUCUCCUUCAGUUCCUGCAUGUGCCAAAAAAUCAAGCAACAAUAUUAUAAGAACAAAAAAUCAACACAUCAAUUCAAUAAUUCUCAAUUCUCUAUAAUUUAAAAUAUAUUUUGCAAUUCAGUAUAUAUUCCUUGUUAUUUUGUCCCCAAAAUUGGGAGUACUUUCAUUAGUCAAUGUUAUCAAAAAUCAUGAAAUUUGCAAAUAGAAUCACACGAUUUGGUCCUUUUCACUAGCAUCUAGUAUUUUUCAGGCCACAACAGCCAUGGUUUAUAUCUGUGUGGCCAAAACGGUAAAAGAUAUGAAAAUUUUAAACUUUGUACCUUCUUCAGAAACGUGAAUAUUAAAAAAACUAUAUCUGAGACUUUAUGGUACUAUUACAAAAUGCAAUUGCACAGAAGAUUUAACUGUGUUUUGGUUUGGCAGUGAGAUUGCAACAGAGCAGUUCAAAUCUGCUAGACCCAAACAGAAAAUACACAAAUUUGAAAUCAAAACACUUUUUUUCAAAGAACAACAAAUAAGGUAGAAUUUAUUAAACAUGACAGGAAGACCUUUCUUGGAUCCAAAAACAAGAAUGGUGACAUAAUAGCAAUUGCCCAGCUUUACCUCCUAGUGGAAAUGUAUCAUGAAUCAAUUUUUUAUAUUCAAGUCUGGACUCUAUCUUUGAAUUUGAAAUUUAUGUAAGACAUGAUUAGUUGUUAUUGUUAUAACAAAUUAAGUGCCAUGUUUGGUAUUAAAAUAGUUAAAUUUGGAUUAAAAUCAUAUGUUAAUCCAUUGAGGUAUGCCUCUUUGAAACUAUUUUUCAAUUCGUGAUAAUAUCUUACAAUUAUUUGAUACAAUUCAAGAUUCAGACAUCAUCCAUCUAAUUGUGACAUGACUAUGUCAUCCAUAUACCUGUUCUAACUGUUGAGUAAGAUUCUGAUAAUCAACUGCUUCUUGCUUUGAUUUACGCAAUUCCUCCUCCAAAGCAACAACUUUAGCUUGUAAAGAUGCAACUUCAUCCUAAUUUAAGACAGAGAUGAAAUAAAAUGAGAUAAAGUUUGAAAAUUACAAGCUUGUGAUACCUCAAUAAACAACAAUGGAGUUAAAGUAUCAUCAAUGUCCUUGGAUAUGGCGGAAGGAGGUAGAACUGAAAGAAGUCAUACCAAACUCCUAUUUAUUUUCAUAUAAAGCCACACAUUUUACAAGUGGAAUUAGGCAAAAGCCAUACCUCUAAUGAAACACAAUUAUCACUAUGAAACUGAUCACUGGGUUUGCCACCCUGCAAAUAAAUACAAGCUCUAUAGGGUACAAUCAAGGAGUACAAAAUAAAUUAUUAACGAGUAAAAUUAAUUGCUUAAGCAAUAUGACAUUCCUAAACUUAUGAAUCUUCCAUUCGUAGGGAUCAGAAAAGAUUCUAAUUUGUAUAACAACAGGUAAAAAGACGCAACCAGACAACAAUAUCAAAUAACCAUUGCAGAAUAGAGAAGACAGAGUGGUUUAUAAGACAUUACACUGAUAUUUAGUAACCAUUGAAAAAACAAGCAAAAAAAAGGGCACCCAAAACCAAUGCAAUCAAAUUUCCUUUCAGCUACAGACUAUAGAUGAUAUAAUCAAUCCUUACUGCUGAAAUCCUUUCAGCCAAGAAGUUUAAACUUCAGAACUCCAUUAAUAUCAGUUAAAGAAGACCAGGUGUGCAACUAUGCUUCCAAUCAUGUAUAGACAACAGACAGGAUCACAAUAAUAAGACCAGUUUAGAAAAACACAAUAGGGACAAUUGAAAAAUUACAAUUACAGAAACAAAUAUUUCAUGGGAAUGAGCAUACUUUAUGGUAUACAUUGUCGAUCUGACCAUUUGAAGCCAAAACAGUUGGAGGAGAAAUUAGUAUUUUGGUCUGAUCAUUAACUCUGGAACCCCGGCCUCUACCCGAACCAGAACUCCCUCUUCCACGACCAUGUUUCUUUCUAUUCAUUUCAACAUGCAUUUUUGUCUCCACAGAAUCCAAACUAGUUUGCCUUCCAUCAGUAACAACCUAAUAUGUAAAUUAUUUUCAGUUGGAUUAGAAAUCACAAGAUGACCAGUUUCUGAGACAAAAUGUACACAUUUUACCCGUGGUUGUUAAAGUCAUCAAAUACUAGAUACAGAAGAUGAUGAGAACAAUAAAUUUAUAAAGGAUGCAACUUAUCCAGUAAGUAGCUGUAUUUCAACAACAGAUGCAGUUAUUGUAUAAAAUCAAAGAGUGUAUCAAGUCAUAAAAACCAACCUCAACACGUUCAAAAACACUGGCGUUGCCAUCUUCUUGAAGUUUUUGGCGCUUCUGUGUGUUGGCUUGUAUCAAGAAUGCCCCGCCAUUCUGGAACAGAAAUACGAAGAUACCAACAAUCUAAUCAGUCAAGUUAUCAGAGAAACAUGUUUCCUUACAUCUACCGGUUCAACGAGAUAGAAACAGCGGCAAUGAACACAAAACAUACCACCUACAUUUAUUAUAUCCUAAACCAUAGAUAAAUACCCAAGCAAUAAACCUCCAAAAUAAACAAAAAAAAACUACAAAUAUUAACAUUGAAAAUCCCUGGUACCACAAGAACAAAGCCAAAACCUAAAAACAAACGUCCCGCUAAAUGAAGUCAAAGUACCAAACCCAUGCACUGUAUAAGGAUAAAACUUACAUCAUCAUCAGAAUCACUUGAAGUUGACGGUUCAGCCGAAUUUUCAGCAGCUCGACCAAAUUUCCCAGCAGAAGGAACAGACACAGUGGACCAACCUGGUUGCUGAGCAGAAGUUGAGGAACCCUUGCCAACCAUACGAGCUUCCAACUUCGCAAUUUUUGUAGGCAGGGAAUGAUCGGAUUGGUUUGAAGAGUUGGACGAGAAAUGAAUGAGCAUGUCAUCUGACAUUGUUGCUGCAACUACAAACUGUUUGGAAACAAAGAAAAAAAAAACGUCUCAAUUCAAAAUAAACCAGCAAUCUAGAAAAUUCAACCGAUUUAGGGGGAAAAUGGCUUUUAAAUGUGGAAAAGGAAAAUGGUGAAUAGAACUAGGCCAUACCCAUUCGUGAUUAAAGAUGCCAAUUUUCCAUAGACCCCCACGUGAAAGAAUUGGGGUUUAUGAAAAGGGAAAACGGCAGAAAAGUUGAAGAAAUCAGGUAAUCAGAGAACUGAUACGGCGAUGUGAUUGAAAGAAAAAAAAAAUGAAACUUUGGGAAAUUUUGAGUAUCUUUUGCCUUUUGGUUGAAGAACUCAGAGAAUUAAGCCAAAUAGAGAAUCUAGGGUUUUGAUGUUUGGUAAAGGGGUGAAGGAAUCAAAAGAUUGAGAGGGAAGAAUGAACACUGGGGAAGUGAAUGAAAAAGGCAUGACUGCAAAUAACAGGCGACAGUAGAGAGUAAAUUCAGUGACUUUAUCUCAGGAACUGCAUCAUGCAAUUGAGAUACUAUGAGCCAUUUGAUUUAAUAAAUGCUUCAGAUUUUGCCAUGUGUCCUUGGAUAUUUUUUAAUCACCAUUACUUUCCUUGUAUCUUCUCUGAGAAAUUCAACUUUUUUUUCAUUUGAGAAAUGUAAUAGUUAAUUAAUUGCAUUGUGUUUACCUCAAAUGCAAAUUCAAAUGUACCUGAUGUCUUGGUGAUUGUUUUGUCGGUAUGGAGAUGUUCAGGUGCAUUGACCGUUACAUGUAUUUAAAUGACAAGUGGCAAAAUCUGAAGCAUGUAUAAAAUCAAACGGUUGACAAUGUCUCAACUGCACAGUACAGUUCUUGGGUUAAAGACACUGAACCACUCCUGCUUAGAGUAACAAAUAAUGUUUUUUUUUCUGAGAGAAUGUGGGUUGUUUGAAUUUGUUUUGGGCUGUUUUUAUUGAAAGAAGUUGCUGUGGGUGUAAAUGUAUGACAUGAGAAUAGUAGCAGAGAAGUUAAAAUGGACCAGAACUAAAAAAUGUUGCACAUGUAGGUGCAGAGUGUGUUUGAAUGUGAUGUGAGUGCUUCUUAAAUCUGGUGAGGUAUUAUUGUGAACAAUGAUGGCAGUUUGUUCUUACCUAUUUUAUUCAUAUAUGAUAAUGGUGUUUUAAAUUCAAAAUUUUGUGAGGAUCCUAUGUAUUUAUAGGGAAUAAAUAGGUACACUUAAUUAAGUAAGAAGAUUUAGGACUUAGAUUGGGGGAAGUUCAAGAUCUUUAUUUGGAUAAGAUCUCUUCACAUCAAAAUUUGUGAAAAUAACUUUUGGUUGAUAAAUUGAAAGAUUAAAUAAAAUAUACUUGUUCUCCUCAAAGGUUCAAAGUAAAUGUACAAAUUGUGCAGGUUAGUUUAUUUUUUUCUUAAAGAGUGGAGUUUUGAUAAUCUAUAAAAGAUUAUUUUACGUUUAAGUCAAUAAAAAUUUAGAAAUAGGUUAAGGGAUGAGUGAAUAAAAAAAUAUUCAGUUGUUGAAAUCAGUACUCUGAUAUUAAAUUUAUAAGCUUUUGGAUCCACUAAAAUAUUGAGAUAACUUAUAUCUAAUAUCGAAUAUAGAGUUAAUUUACACUAAAAUUAGUUAUUUAAGAUAUUUACAAGAUGUGCAUAUAAUGUACAUUAGUACAAUGCUUAAUCACAAGUUUAUUAUGGGCUAAAAUGAUGUUAUGAAAAUAUAACAAAUAAAAGUGUUAAUGUCUCAAAUUCAGGAUAAUGUCUUAGAUAGGAAAGGCAAAUUACACAAUAAAUAUUUUAUUCUUAUUUUAUCUAUACUUGUAUAUAGGAUCAUAAGCUGAUUCUGUCGUUUUUUUGGAAGAUAUCAUUGAUAAUGAUUUUAAGGUUGAGUUGAUCUCAAUGUAUCAAGUUAAACUAUCUUAUCAAAAAAAACUUCAUAAAAAGAUCGAUUAAGUAUCAUGAUUACUUAUUUAUUGAUGGUAAUUAAGUAUUAUGAUAUCAUGUGUUUAUGUGAACUUUGCUACCAAUGACUUGAGAUGUAAUAUAAACCUAAAUCAUACGCCAUAAUGAAUAAAAUAAAAAGGACAAAGUAUUUUAUAUGUGAUAUUAUAUUUAUGUAAAGGACAAAGUAUUUUUUUAUAUGUGAUAUUAUAUUUAUGUAAAAUUGACUUUGUAAACUUAUAUUAGUUAUAAUUUAUUAUUUGAUUAUAAGGAAUGUGUUCAUAAAAGAAUCAUCAUGAAAUACUCUCAACUUGCAUAGAUUUAUUGUGUGGUACUUAUAAUCUAAAAUAACAAUUAAGCAUCGUCAUAAAAUACUCUCAACUUGCAUAGAUUUAUUUUGUGGUACUUAUAAUCUAAAAUAACAAUUAAGCAUACAUUUUGUUUGAAGUAAUUUAUCGGAUAGUUUCAACAACAAUGAGACACAAGUUAAACUCGUAUAAAUGAUUGACACCACAUUGAGAUAAUGGAUUUGAGUCAUAUUCUUUAUAUGUUGUUUAACUUACUUAAUUCUACAUAAUAUGAGACUUGGACUCACUUUAAUUCUCAAGAAUCUCCUCCUCAAGUGUGAGUUGCUUUCAUAUUGGACACUUUCCUCAAGCAUAAUAAUUUAUAGCAACGAGUACCUUUGUUUGGUCUUUCGAGGGAGAUUAAUAGAAGAGAUUCAACAACAAUGAGAUAUGAGUCAAAUCUAUAUAAGGGAUUGACACCAACUCCAACCCUAAAUUACCAGAUAAUGGAUAUUUAUAGGUCUUCUUUUUUAUAUGUUGUUCAACUUUAUUAUUUAUAUGUAAUGCGGAACCUAAACUCACACUUGGAUUUUUAAUAAUUUUCCUAUUGGGUGAGUUCCUUCCAUAUUGAUACACUUCCCUCAAGCGAAAACAUUUAUAACCAUGAGUACCUCAAUGAUGAUCCUUACUUGUAUUGUCAUUCAUCAUAACGAGACAAAUUUGCUUAAAAGUUUCGUGAGGAAAACUUUCAAUACAAGGACCAUCAUUCGCUCUAAUACCAUUGUUGGGUCUUUCAAGGGAGAAUUUACCAGUGAGAUUCAACAACAAUAAGACAUAAGUCAAACUCAUAUAAAGGAUUUAACAUCAUCUCCAACCAAAAACUUCAAAAUAGUGAAUAGAUUUUCAAAUAACUUACUCAUGUUUAUUGGAUUUUUAAGAUAUUUGAUAAUUAUUGUUCAAUUAUUUUAAAACACAAUACAUAUUUGUAGGACCAAAAUUCAUGUCAAUGUUUUCUACCUCACAAAAAAAAGUAAAAAAUAAUAUAAAAUAUAGUUCAUGUAAAAAUAAUUUGAUGAUAUGCAACAAUCUUAAUUGGAUCACUUAAGUAAAUUAAGUAAAAAAUAAUACAGUUCAUGUAAAGACAAUUUGAUGAUGUGCAAUAAUUAAUUAGAUCACUUAAGUAAAUUAAAGUUACGCACAUAACCCAUUUUUAUUUAAAUUAAUUUGAUUUGUUCAUCGGUUGAACUAUAUAUAUAUAUAUAUAUAUAUAUAUAUAUAUAUAUAUAUANNNNNNNNNNNNNNNNNNNNNNNNNNNNNNNNNNNNNNNNNNNNNNNNNNNNNNNNNNNNNNNNNNNNNNNNNNNNNNNNNNNNNNNNNNNNNNNNNNNNNNNNNNNNNNNNNNNNNNNNNNNNNNNNNNNNNNNNNNNNNNNNNNNNNNNNNNNNNNNNNNNNNNNNNNNNNNNNNNNNNNNNNNNNNNNNNNNNNNNNNNNNNNNNNNNNNNNNNNNNNNNNNNNNNNNNNNNNNNNNNNNNNNNNNNNNNNNNNNNNNNNNNNNNNNNNNNNNNNNNNNNNNNNNNNNNNNNNNNNNNNNNNNNNNNNNNNNNNNNNNNNNNNNNNNNNNNNNNNNNNNNNNNNNNNNNNNNNNNNNNNNNNNNNNNNNNNNNNNNNNNNNNNNNNNNNNNNNNNNNNNNNNNNNNNNNNNNNNNNNNNNNNNNNNNNNNNNNNNNNNNNNNNNNNNNNNNNNNNNNNNNNNNNNNNNNNNNNNNNNNNNNNNNNNNNNNNNNNNNNNNNNNNNNNNNNNNNNNNNNNNNNNNNNNNNNNNNNNNNNNNNNNNNNNNNNNNNNNNNNNNNNNNNNNNNNNNNNNNNNNNNNNNNNNNNNNNNNNNNNNNNNNNNNNNNNNNNNNNNNNNNNNNNNNNNNNNNNNNNNNNNNNNNNNNNNNNNNNNNNNNNNNNNNNNNNNNNNNNNNNNNNNNNNNNNNNNNNNNNNNNNNNNNNNNNNNNNNNNNNNNNNNNNNNNNNNNNNNNNNNNNNNNNNNNNNNNNNNNNNNNNNNNNNNNNNNNNNNNNNNNNNNNNNNNNNNNNNNNNNNNNNNNNNNNNNNNNNNNNNNNNNNNNNNNNNNNNNNNNNNNNNNNNNNNNNNNNNNNNNNNNNNNNNNNNNNNNNNNNNNNNNNNNNNNNNNNNNNNNNNNNNNNNNNNNNNNNNNNNNNNNNNNNNNNNNNNNNNNNNNNNNNNNNNNNNNNNNNNNNNNNNNNNNNNNNNNNNNNNNNNNNNNNNNNNNNNNNNNNNNNNNNNNNNNNNNNNNNNNNNNNNNNNNNNNNNNNNNNNNNNNNNNNNNNNNNNNNNNNNNNNNNNNNNNNNNNNNNNNNNNNNNNNNNNNNNNNNNNNNNNNNNNNNNNNNNNNNNNNNNNNNNNNNNNNNNNNNNNNNNNNNNNNNNNNNNNNNNNNNNNNNNNNNNNNNNNNNNNNNNNNNNNNNNNNNNNNNNNNNNNNNNNNNNNNNNNNNNNNNNNNNNNNNNNNNNNNNNNNNNNNNNNNNNNNNNNNNNNNNNNNNNNNNNNNNNNNNNNNNNNNNNNNNNNNNNNNNNNNNNNNNNNNNNNNNNNNNNNNNNNNNNNNNNNNNNNNNNNNNNNNNNNNNNNNNNNNNNNNNNNNNNNNNNNNNNNNNNNNNNNNNNNNNNNNNNNNNNNNNNNNNNNNNNNNNNNNNNNNNNNNNNNNNNNNNNNNNNNNNNNNNNNNNNNNNNNNNNNNNNNNNNNNNNNNNNNNNNNNNNNNNNNNNNNNNNNNNNNNNNNNNNNNNNNNNNNNNNNNNNNNNNNNNNNNNNNNNNNNNNNNNNNNNNNNNNNNNNNNNNNNNNNNNNNNNNNNNNNNNNNNNNNNNNNNNNNNNNNNNNNNNNNNNNNNNNNNNNNNNNNNNNNNNNNNNNNNNNNNNNNNNNNNNNNNNNNNNNNNNNNNNNNNNNNNNNNNNNNNNNNNNNNNNNNNNNNNNNNNNNNNNNNNNNNNNNNNNNNNNNNNNNNNNNNNNNNNNNNNNNNNNNNNNNNNNNNNNNNNNNNNNNNNNNNNNNNNNNNNNNNNNNNNNNNNNNNNNNNNNNNNNNNNNNNNNNNNNNNNNNNNNNNNNNNNNNNNNNNNNNNNNNNNNNNNNNNNNNNNNNNNNNNNNNNNNNNNNNNNNNNNNNNNNNNNNNNNNNNNNNNNNNNNNNNNNNNNNNNNNNNNNNNNNNNNNNNNNNNNNNNNNNNNNNNNNNNNNNNNNNNNNNNNNNNNNNNNNNNNNNNNNNNNNNNNNNNNNNNNNNNNNNNNNNNNNNNNNNNNNNNNNNNNNNNNNNNNNNNNNNNNNNNNNNNNNNNNNNNNNNNNNNNNNNNNNNNNNNNNNNNNNNNNNNNNNNNNNNNNNNNNNNNNNNNNNNNNNNNNNNNNNNNNNNNNNNNNNNNNNNNNNNNNNNNNNNNNNNNNNNNNNNNNNNNNNNNNNNNNNNNNNNNNNNNNNNNNNNNNNNNNNNNNNNNNNNNNNNNNNNNNNNNNNNNNNNNNNNNNNNNNNNNNNNNNNNNNNNNNNNNNNNNNNNNNNNNNNNNNNNNNNNNNNNNNNNNNNNNNNNNNNNNNNNNNNNNNNNNNNNNNNNNNNNNNNNNNNNNNNNNNNNNNNNNNNNNNNNNNNNNNNNNNNNNNNNNNNNNNNNNNNNNNNNNNNNNNNNNNNNNNNNNNNNNNNNNNNNNNNNNNNNNNNNNNNNNNNNNNNNNNNNNNNNNNNNNNNNNNNNNNNNNNNNNNNNNNNNNNNNNNNNNNNNNNNNNNNNNNNNNNNNNNNNNNNNNNNNNNNNNNNUAAGAAAAUUUUAACAUAAAAGAAACUAGUUUAGUUAUAAUUUUCAAGUUAAAUUAUAGUUCAUAUUAUAAAGUAUUUUGAAUGGAUAUGCUUGCAUACUUAUAACAUUUUAAAUAAAAUAAAAAGUAUAAUUUAUUAAAAUAAUCUGGUUUUCAAGAACUUUAUUGUUGUUACAUGCACUUAAUAAUGAGUUUGUGUGGUGCUUUCGUGAGAAUAAUGAAACUUAAACUUAAACUUUAUUUGUAACACGUACUAUUUAAAUGAUAUUUUGAGCAUAAUAAGAAGAUAGCAAAUAUUUUUUUCUAUGAUUAUUUUAAGAAUAAAAAAUAGUUAUAGGAUUUAAUAAUAGUUAUAUUUCUUUUAUUAUUAAACACACUAUUUAUCUAAUGAGAUAUAUCGGCGAUUUAGUUUUAAAUUUCAUUUCUUUCCAGACAUUAUAUUAAUGUAUUGUUGAUCUAAAAAAAAUGAUUUUAGAUCAUUUAAAAAAUUAUUAAGUUUAAAAUUUUGCAAAAUUCAAGUGAGUAUCUAGAAUGUCGUGUAAAAUUUAGUGUUCAGUAAAAUUAAUAAAUAUUCAUGUCUAUAAUAUAGAACUAAGAAAACCCUUUCUGAUUAUCAAUGUAGUUGUUAUCUCUCUAUAAAGUAAUAGUCUCUGUAAAGUAAUAGUUAUCAUGACUUUAUAAUAUAAUUCACUAGAAAAAAAUUAGUUACCGACUAAAUAAGAGAUAUUUUAAAAAUUAAAAAGAAAUAAUUUUUAAAUUAUUUGUUAUUAUUGUUAAAUAAUUUUUAAAUUGAUAUUUAAUUAACUAUCAAAGUUUUAAUUAUCAAUUAUUUAAAUUAUAAAUUUGGUAGAAAAAUAUUUGUUGUUAAUUAGAUAACAAUUUAGAAAACAUUUAACAAUAAUAGAAACUAAUUUAGAAACUAAAGGUUUUUUAAUCUUUAAAAUUGUCUAUAAUUUAGUCCCUAACAACUAAUUAUUUUGGUGUCUAAAAUUGAUUUCUAUUUCAUGAUUUUCUUGUAAUGAUUUAUAUUAGUUUUCUGAUCAUAAUACUAAAAGAAAAAUAGUUAUUUGAUGUAAGUGUUAAUAAAAUAAACACUUUUGUAUAACACAAAUUAAAAUACUAACAUUGUUUCAAUUUGUAUAGUACUGAAUAUUGAUAUGUAUAAUUGAACUAAUGACCAAACUAAAUUAAGUUUAACAAAAAUUGGUCACAAGAUCGAUUAUAAUACUAAAAUAUUGAUAUGCAUGAAAAAUUGAAAAAAAAAAUCAAAGUGUUAAAUUGGAAGUCAAUCUUGGUCUAGAUCAAGCUGAGUCGGCUUAGACAAGUUAAGUCAAGUUGUCCUGAGUCAGGUCAAGUCGAGUCAACCCGAUUAGAUCGAGUUGAGUCAACCUGAACAAGGUUGAGUCGACUGAGUUGAGUUGAUCCCACGUCAGGUCAAUCUCAUAUCAAAUUUAAUCUAAUUUAAACUGACUUAAAAAAAUCUAAAUAAAUUUGAUCUAGUUAAAAUAAUAUGAAUUUUAUAUACAACCUAUUUUAUUGGAUAUGGAUUGGAUGUGACCUUAAUUUUAAAAAAUACAAUCCAUAAUCAUAAUGAUAUGUAUAAUUCAUAAUCAUUUGUAUGAAACCUACAUUAAUUCUCGAAUUACAUGUAAAAUAAAAAAGACUAUUAAUUUGAUUUGGUUACUUGAGCACCAUAAUCAUAUAUUAUGUUUUAAAUUCUCAUUAUUUACUAAUAGAUUAACCUAGAUUUUGUUUAUUAAAUAAUUAUAUAUAAAUAGAAAAGUGUACAAGUUCUGAUUUCGAAAAUUACCUAAUAUAUUUUAAAAAUAUUUAUUUGAUUUUUUUCACAUGUUCAAUGUUUACGUAAUUUGAAAAAUGAUCUUAACACAAGGUAUAAAAUAAAUUAAAGGAUCUUGGACGUGAAAACAUGUAUGAGUUUCCUUGAACACAUCCUUUAUUAUAAAUUCAACUAAGAAGUAUGAUGACCAUAAAUUUAUGACAAAAACUUAAAUACACUCAAAAUGUCUUGAAUUAUUUAGAAAACUAAAAUAAAAAUAGAAAAAAUAUAAAAAAAUAUUCUUUGAAAAAUUGAUUUUGUUUGGGAUUAAAAUUUAUCCCAAACUCAACUCUAAAAAAAAAACAAUUAUAACCUAUACAAUAUUUUUCUAUUCAUAAAUUUUGAUUUUUUAUGAAAUUUAUAUGAUAUAAUAAAUUAUAAAAUUAAUUAAUGCAUGAAAAUUAUUAUUUAAUGUAAUUAAUUACAUUGAUUGAAAAUUAAUUGCAUUAUUAAUAGUGUGGAAUGAUAUGCAUGAUGGAUUAUGUCUUAUAAAAUAAUUGAUUAUGUCUUUUGAUAUGAUUGAUCAUCUACCUUCUUUCCACUACAACACUAGUAAUAAAUGAAAUUAAUGGAUGUAAUGGUUAUGAAUUUAAAAACUAUUAACACGAUUAAUAAAUAUAAUUAAUAAAUACAAUAGUUAUAAAUUUUAAAACGUUUUAAAGUAGUUUGUAUUUACUUUGAAUUGAAAAAAUAUAAAAAAAAUAAGAUGAAAAUUAAAUAUGACAAAAAUAUGUGAUAAAAAUAUUUUGGUACAAAUAAUUGUAAUAAUAUAUAUAUAUUAAAAUAGUUAAUGUUUUUGUUCACUCCUAUUUUAAACAAAUCUUAAUUUUCUUUUAUUUGAAAUUGAAACUUUGUAAAAUAAUGUUAAAAAAUAAAUUAAAUUUAUGUAAAAGUAUAAAUUUAUAUGAAAAAAUUAAUUAUUUUUCAAAUCAAUAUUAUGAAAUUUAUUAACAAAAUAAAUUUAAAUAUUAUUUUCAAAUUUAUAAAAUAAUUACUUAAUAGUUAUUUUUUUAAAAUAAUUCAUACUCAUUCUUCUUUAAAUUAAAUUAGGGAUAUUAUUGCAAUUUAUUAUAUUAUUUAAUUAUUUUUAAAAAAAAUCUAUUAUAUCAAUAAAAUCUAUUACAAACUUUUCACUAGUUUCUAAUUAUUAGUUUUCUUAAUAUAAACAAAUUCAUUUUCAUAUUUUUCCUUGAUUUUCUUCUUUUUCUACUCUCACUCAUGAAAAUGAAAACCUUUUCAAAAGUAAUUAAUUUUGAAAAAAAGUUUUUAUUGUGAGUUGAUACUUAAUUAAAAAAUAAUUAAAUAUAAGGAUAAAUUUUCCUUAUUCAUCAAACAAAUACAGAACUUAACAACUCAUAAUUUUAUCUUUUAUGUAAGAUCUUUAAAAGGCCAAAUUUAAAAGAUAAAGUUUAAAAAAUUGUAAUUUACUUACACUCAUUUCGACUUAAGAAAAGUUAUCUACAUAAAUGUUAAAUCUAGAUUUUCACUUACACAAUCUAAUUAAUAAUCAUAAAUUUUUAAAAUAUAUAUAUAUAUAUAUGUAUUAAUUACAGCUCAAAUUUAUACCGAAAUAAAUUACAUAAGAGUAACUUUAUCCUUCCACAAUCUUAUAAAAAAAGUUCGAACAAAAAUUAAAAUAAUUUUUUAGAGUGAAAAAAGUUAAUAGAUUAUUUUCUUUGUUUUAGAGUGCAAACAUUUAAAUUUUGUUCUCAGACACCGUCAACCAUGGUUUUUUUAAAACAUCUUUAAUUAUGUUUUUUGUUUCUUCAUUCAAUACUUUUAUAAUAACUUUAAAACAUGUUUUUAAGAUGUGUUGGAAGAAAGUAAACGAGAAAAUAAGAUGGGAGAGCAUAACAAUAAUACUGUAAUAUAUUUUAUUUUAAAAAAUGAAUUAAUUUUUUAUUAAAAAGGAAUUCUUCUGAAACCUAUUUUUGGUUUUUUAAAUGCAAACGAGACACAGAAAUUGAUGAAAAUAACACACACAUGCGUGGUCGUGUUUUUGCACAUGUCUCAAAAGUCUAUUUAAAAUAAUAAAAUUAAAAAAUAUGAAUAUUUUAGUAGGUGUAUUAUGCAAAAUAAAUGUUUUAUUGAUACAACUAAUAUUUAUAAAAAUAAUAAUUUUUAAAAAUAUUACGAUCAAAGUAUAACAACUAAAUAUGCUAAAAUAUAAAUUACACAAUAGACAUUUUACAUCGUAAUAAUAUUUUUUAAUUAUUUACAAAUUUUUAAUAAAAAAACCCUCAAAAAUACUAAAUACAUAUACACACAAGGUUGCAAAUAUUUGUUAAUUUUGUUAAAGGUUAAAUUUUACAAGAGUUUCUAAAUAAAAUAUGUUUCAUACUAAUACGUUGCUACUAAUUUAUUUAACUAAUUUUAAAUUAAUUUAAUCAGUAUAAAAAUGUUUCAUAAUUAAUGCAUCAACAUAACUUAUUAUGAGUUAUUUUUGUUUAUGAAUUAUAUAGUAAAUUUGACAAAACUGACUUAUAAGUUAAUUAGUAGUUGAAAAGCUAGCCAACUGACAAUUGAUAACUUUUAAUUUCUAAGUUUUGAGUGAAUAAAUUAAACUAAUAGAUGAUAAAUUAAUUGAUAAAUAUAAAAUAGAAAUAUAAUUAUAUGAAUUUUAUUGUAUAAAAUAAAUUUAUGUUUCUAAAAAAAUGUUAUGAUGUAGUUAUAAGAUAUAUUUCUUUAAAUAGUUAAUUUAUUGUUAAACCUUUUAAUACUUAUAUUUUUUAAAUAUAUAUGUUUGAACAAGUAAAUUUAAUUAAAUGAGUUAAUUAUUUAAUUUUUUAAAUUUAAACUAUUGUUACAUUGAACGAUUUUUCUUACAUUUUUUAUAGUGUGUAAUUUGAAUAGAACAUCAUGUAAGGACAUUUUUGUUACUUAAAUUUGUAAUAUUAAUUUUUUAAUUUAAAUAGAAUAUAAAAUUCAAAAAUCACCUAAAAAGUACUAAAAAUAAUGCAAUAGUAAUUAUUGUAUUUAUAAAAAUUAAAUAUAUAAUAAUAAGUAAAAUAAAAAUAGAGAUUAUAAGAAAAUAUAUUAAAUUAUAUAAAGUAGUAAUGGAAAAAUGAUAAGUUAACAGUUAGCUGAAAUGACUUAUAACUUGUACGGUAAAUGGUUAAUUUAGUACAAGUAUUGACAUGUUUCCUUCUAAAUACAAUAAAAAAUUCAAUUUUAUUAAUUUAUUUUUAAGUUUGUUAAUGCUUAAGGUAAUUGCAUAGGUGAUUUACCUUUAUUGAUGAUCAUGUGGGUUUAUUAAUUAAAUGGAAAAUUAAUGUCAAUAUGUAAUUGAAGUCUUUUUAUCCUUUUUUGUGUAAAUUAAUUUUUUUUAAUGAUUAUUUCAGAAAUAAUUACAUAUUAAUGUUAAAUACAUGUGAUAAUUAUUAAAUAUUAAAUACAUGUUCAAUUAUAUUAAUUAGUAAUAAUGAUAUUAAUUAGUAACGAAGUUUAAAUAAAACUAUAAUAAUUACUAAUUGUUGCAUUAAGAGAAUAAAUACAAAUUGUUGCAUUAAGAGAAUAAAUACAAAUUGUUGCAUUAAAACUAUUGUAACACCUCAAAAAUACAUCUAACUAUUAUAAUACAAGUUUUACAUAUUUUUAUAUAAACUUAGGGUUUUUCCAAAUUUCCUAAUACAUAGAGUUUAUAGAAAUACAAAUAUUUACAAUAUAAGUUUCAAAACAGCACUCUAAAGCUUUUCAGAUCCUCCAAUACAUGUAUGAUCAUCUACUCCUGUAUUAUUGCAGUUCACAACAUAACAAUAAAACAAGUGAAAAUAAAAUUUUAUAAUAUACAAUUAAUUCAAAAGAGAAAACUAAAUUACAUUGAUCAAUUUCUCAAUUAUUCAAUCUUCUUUAAAUCCCAACAUAAAAUAAUCACAUAGAUCUCACAUGGAUCUACACAUCUAGGAUAUUCAACAAACAUAAUAACAACUGACAUAUUCCAGAAUACCCGUAUUAAGUAAGUCAUACAAAAUACUAACACUUGAUCCAAAGAUUACCAGCGAAUCCAAGAGAAAGGAUAAUGGUAAGUUCAAUACAACCCAAGUCGUGCAUCUCAUAUGUCACGGUGUGCAUGAACUCUCUCAUCAGCUUCUCAUCACUUAAUAUCUUAGUCUACCAGUGAAGCUCAAAGAUCUCUGUUAUCACAUAGGCAUCAUUACUUAAUAUACAAACAAACAUCCAUUCAUACAUUAUCCAAAGUGUAUGAAUUCAAUUUCAUACCAUUUUUCAUCAUACAGUAUCAUUCAAAACGCGAUCCAUAACAUUCAAAAGUUUAUUUAACAUAAAAAACAACACUUAAAUAUUAAACCACACAAAUCUAAUAUUUCUACAAGUUUAAAUAAUACAUAAACAAACAACACAAUAUAUAAACACACAACAUCCCUGAAAGAAAAAUUGAAUAUUGGGAUCACGUCCCCUUCACAUCCAGAUCUUCCAGUCCAGGGUGUUAUUAAAAAUUAAAGUUAGAUUCUCUUACCUUAAUUACUUGUUGUCAAAGCAACUUCUAUAAUUUUAUCUCUUCAUUAUGGAUAAACUUUAAGAUUUAAGGGCCUAAUGCAAGUUAUCAAAACAUAAUAGAAAUUUAGUAUAUAGUAUAAUAAGUUGAGAUGAUUACUCUUCUCGACUGACCCCACAAAGAUUGGUGACUAAAUCUCGAGGAAAAACAGAGAAUAAAAGAUUUUUAGAACAAAAAUGAAUUUACUUCGUUUAAAAAUUUGAUCAGAUAGAAAUGUAGUCUGACUCAUCGGCUAUUACACGGUGUGGUCAAAUUUUGAAAAAUAGACGAGUUAUGGGAGAGAAAUAGAAAGUGAAAGAGAUAGGGUCGGUUUUUUUUUCUUUCAUAUUUAAGGAUUCUUACAUAAUUUUUUUUUUUAUUUUACUAAAAAUAAAAUAUGUACUUAUCACAUUGAAUCGACUAUUUUUUAUUAAUAUAUAAGAUAAUUAAUUUAUUGUACUCAACAUAUGUAGUAAGUUACUUCAAAUAGUUUUUACUUGUAGCUUAUUUAUUUUCUUAUAUUUUUUUUAUCAUUCUUUGUUUUUUUUCUUAUUUUCAAUUUGACACCGACAAUAACUUUUUACUUAUUUGUAGUAAUUGUUGAAUUGCUUUUUAUUUUUAUGCAUAUCAAGUUGAAAAAAUUAACAUUACAAACUAAGAUAAUUAAUAUUUUAUAACAUCAAUGUAAAAAUUACACACAUUGAAAAUUGUUAAAAAAAACCACUGUAACGAUAAUUUAAAUUGAGAAAUCAUUUUUUAAAAUAAAUAAAAAAUAAAUUUAAUCAGUAUUCAAUGACAUCAAUUAGCUUGAAUAAAAUUAUUGUAUAUAUUUAAAAUUAUAUAUAAAAUUUGGAAAUUAAAUUGAAGUACUUUUUUAAUAAAACAAUAUUAAAAAAAAUCUAAAUUUAUAACUACAUAAUAAUAUAUUUUUAUCUAAAAAAUAUAAAUUUUAUCUAUAUAAUAUAACAAAAAAAACUAUAGAAAGGAUAACAUUCAAUAAAAAGUUGAUGUAACAAAUUCAUAUACACCAAAAUUAAACUGGUCACAACAAAAAGAAAUAAAAACAUAAAAGGGCGGUCCACUGAUAUAGUAGAAAACUCCAUGGUGAUAUCUACACAUGUUUUCAUACGCACCACCAAACAUAGUUCCCAAAGUUUGUAUUUGAGUUUAUUUUGUACACAGUACAUUUAUAGCAUGUCAAGCACACAGACAACAAACAUGAGGACAGUUUGUAAAAAACGAACAUGAAGACACUAGAAUUUGAUAUUAUUGCAUCCACUACAAAAUUCACAAUUUGUUACAAAUCAUCAUAUGCUCAUCACAUGCACACAUAUAUUUAUUCACAUUUUUCAAAAUACUCCUAUUGAAAAAGUCAUAUUAGAGACAAACACAUUUUUCAUAUAAGCAUCUCACACUUUGCUUCAAUGGAUACGAGUUUAUAACGGGACUUGUAGCGUGCUAAAUAUGCAAUAAAUUCUCAUCCAACUUCUCGUCACCUAAUGUCUUAGUUUAUGUAACAGAUAAUUAAUGAAGCUAGUGAUCUCUUUAAUUAGAGUAUGAGCAUUAAACUAUAACUCCACUAGAGUGAAGACAACUCACAUAUUUAAGUGUAUCUGACUAAAAACUCACUAGAGUGACUUAUAUAUGAUGUCUUUGUUUCAGUGCGUUCACUUUUUGCCGAUUGAGGGUUUAGUAAAAAUGGAAGGCACUUAAACCAUUCUACUUAAUUAAGUGAUCUAUGUUCCUUACUUAGCCAAUAGCAUAUUAACAUAGAAAUGGAUGACUUGAAGGAAGUAAAACAUUAAAAAAAAAAAAUCUCAAUAAAUGCUAUUAAUGGAUUGCAUGUAUUAACAAUUUAUGAAAAUAAUAAUUAUUAAUAAAUGCUAAAAAAGGUUACUAUUAUUUUAAAAUGGUUUAUCUUCAUGACUUUUCUAAAAGUGAAGAGAAUGCAACCAUAACAAUCAUUAUUGCAAAAUGAAUUAGAUUUAUAUUUUGUUACACUACAACAAAAUGAUGAAAUAAAAAUCAAUUUUAGAAAAAAAAAUAUUUAGUUGUUAUAGUAAAUAAAUUAGAAACAAUUUUAAAGAUUAAAAAAAAGUUUAGUUUUCAAAUUAAUUUAUAUUAUUGUUAAAUGGUUUAUAAAUUGGUAUCUAAUUAGCAACUAAGGAUUUUGCUACCAAAUUUAGAAUCUAAAUAACAAUAAUAUAAACUAAUUUAGAAACCAAUUUUUUUUUAUAUAUAUGUAUACUUUUUAACAAGUUUAAAUCCUUUUAAUUAAUAACUAAUAUUGCACACUAUUAUCUAAAAUUCAUUUUCUCAUUUAAAGGAGCUAAAAUCCUUAAUCUAUACUAUAAUAGUCAUAAUAAAUAUUUAUAUUUAUAUCUUGUCGCAUGUAUAUAAAUGAGAGAAAAAAAAUCAUAAUGAUAUGUUUUUUAUUAAUUAUUUUGUUAUAAAAACAAAUUUGUUAAUUAAACAAUUGAAUAAUUUGUUUUGUUCUAUCCUUCAGAUGGAAUAUUUUUAAUAUGUUCACACGUAUGAGUAAAACUAACUGUAGUUAAUUUAGGUAAGUAUUUAAGACAAUGUACUAAACACUGUCAUGUUCUUUUAUCAAAAAGAUAAAAAAAGAAUUAUAAUAAUCUUAAAGAAUGACCAGUUUUUUUUCAAAACUAGGUGUGAGAAAUAAUUAUAUUAAUAUAAUAUAUAUAUAUAUUAUUGAAGGGAAUAGUAAAAGUAAAAGCAGAAAAUGAAUUAGAAUUAGAGUAAUUAUAGAUGAUGAGAGAGGUGUUAAGAAAAGUGUAAGAAAUUCGAUAUUUUAAUUUGCAGAGAGACAAUGAAGAGAGAAGAAGAUACAAAUUUGUCCAAGAAAGUGAGGGGUGAAAUACCGAAAGUGGGUAAACCCCCCAAAUAAAAACCAAAGACAUUUCUCCCUCUCGUCUCGAGCAAUAGGAACACAGCAAUAGCUUCUGGUGAUCUCGUUUUUUCACAGUGCUCUUCCCCCUUUUCUCUUUCUCUUUCUCUGUUUAUCUUUCUCUCUCUUCCAUUGCUACACCACAAGUAACGCAACGCGAGGUCAAUUGCGUAAUCGCCAUGACUGUCAUGACUCCUGCUCCCAUUGACGUACGUUUCUUACCCUCACUCCGCAACUUCCCCGUGCUCCUUUUCACGCCUCCAUUCACUCGCGCCUUUUCAAUUUCGCUUCUCGUUUCUCGUUUUAUCUUAUCUGCUUGCAUGAUUUUGUGCCUUUUGCUCUUCCGGCGAAUGGUGUCAAUUUGAUUGUCGUUUUGGUGGGAGGGUUGGGUUGGCGGGGACUGAUGGGGUUUCGUCCAGGGGUUGUGCUUUUGAUCUGCGCGACUGGAAUUUGCUUCAAUUUGGCGAUGCAUUUCGUGCUCGGAUUUUCGGGAUUUAAUUGGUUUUGUUUCUUCGCUGGAUCCGAAGUACGGUGAUAGUGAUUAUUUUUUGUUGGGUGUUUGGUUCUUGCAGCAGCAGGAGGAUGAGGAGAUGCUUGUCCCACACACUGAUUUGCCGGAGAAUAAUCACCAACCCAUGGAAGGUACUUGUUGCUUUCUUACUCUUUUGAUCCGUCGAGAAACCCCCGCUAUUUUUGUUACUCUAUUUAUUGGCUGUUAUGUGAUCGAUUGGUAUUCCUGUUAGAGUACAGGGAGCCACUUCGUGCAUUUUUUGAUUGCCAGAGAGACAGAGAGAGAAGGACUAAGUGACGAAUUCGUCCAAGAGUUUUAGGUUUUCUAGACAAAAAGUGAUUUCUUGUUAGUUUACAUUCUAGGGAUGUUGUGUAUUUUCAAUGUCUUUCUUUCUCCUCGUCUUACUCUUUUUUUUUUGAACAAGUGGAUGGCCUAGUUCAUUUUUUGUUUCUUGCCCUGGUUUCAGCAUUUAAAGCAGAUACUUAGUUGUUCUUUUUCAUUGAUUUUAUUGAUCGUUAGUUGUGGCACAACCUGAUGCUGCCAACACUGUGGAGAGCCAGCCUGUCGAGGAUCCUUCAUCGACAAGAUUCACAUGGAAAAUUGACAACUUUUCUAGAAUGAAUUCGAAGAAGCUCUAUUCAGAAAUAUUUGUUGUUGGUGGAUAUAAAUGGUAACGACAAUCGUGUUUUCACAUUGGCUUAGUUGAUUAAUGAUGUGCUUAUCUUUAAUGAUCUCUUCUGAUUCUUGUCUUUACUGAGCAGGCGUGUACUUAUUUUCCCAAAAGGGAACAAUGUGGACUAUUUGUCCAUGUAUUUGGAUGUUGCAGAUUCAUCUAAUUUGCCCUAUGGCUGGAGUAGAUACGCACAGUUUAGCUUGGCUGUUAUUAAUCAAAUCCAUAAUAAAUAUUCUGUCAGAAAAGGUAGUCUCUUAAGUUUGUUCCUUGCAAUUGUUAUUGUUACAAGAUGAUGUAAUAUGUAUGUAUGUAGAAAAGAUCAUUGCUUGAACUAAAGUUAUAGAAAGUGGUGGGAUUUUUGUUGCAAUUAAUUUAAGAACAGUUUAUACAUGUGUGUGUAUUUAUUUCCUUGUAGAAUUGUAUCUAAAUCUAGAUAUAUUAUAUUACCUCUUGAAUGAACUGUCAUCAUUAACAUGCUAAAUAAAACAAGGCUUUUGCAAAUGAAUGCUCUAAUGGUACUGGUUAUUGGUUAAGAAAUAAAUGGUAAGUAUUUAUUAUUUAGUGCAUGUAAUGUGUUGGGAAUUUAAAGUGUUUGACCUUUUAUUUAAUAAUUUGUUAUUUUUUUUAAUUUACCAUGGAAUAAAAGUAAUAAGGGAAGAAAGUGAAAAUGCUCAUGGUUUUUGGGUAUACUUAUUUCGUAUGUCGUGUUCUAACUUUGUUUUACAUGAUAUAGACACACAACACCAAUUCAAUGCGCGAGAAAGUGAUUGGGGUUUCACGUCCUUUAUGCCACUUGGUGAAUUGUAUGAUCCUACCAGAGGGUAUCUUGUGAAUGACACUCUUGUAGUUGAAGCCGAGGUUCUUGUCCGUAGAAUUGUUGAUUACUGGACUUAUGAUUCAAAAAAAGAGACUGGCUAUGUUGGACUUAAGAACCAGGGUGCUACAUGUUAUAUGAAUUCUCUACUCCAAACUUUAUAUCACAUUCCUUAUUUUCGAAAGGUCAGGCCCUAUUUUUCUUUUCUUUUCUCUUGUAAGUUUAGUUGUUUGACUUGAUAGUGAUGACGAAGUUGGGACUUGGGUCCUGGUGGUCAUAUUUCAGGCUGUGUAUCACAUGCCAACAACAGAGAAUGACAUGCCCUCUGCAAGCAUCCCUUUGGCAUUGCAAAGUUUAUUCUACAAGCUCCAGUAUAGUGACACCAGUGUUGCAACAAAGGAGCUCACUAAAUCUUUUGGAUGGGACACGUAUGAUUCUUUCAUGCAGCAUGAUGUUCAAGAACUGAACAGAGUCCUUUCUGAAAAACUUGAAGACAAAAUGAAGGUAAUGGAUGGCAUUUGGAUGUUUUGUCAACAACUUUUUGUGGAUUAUUCUCUCAAAUUCAUGAUGAUUAUGUUUAUUUUGUCAUUAGGGAACUGUUGUUGAGGGAACUAUACAGAAGUUAUUUGAAGGACAUCAUAUGAACUAUAUUGAAUGCAUUAAUGUGGACUAUAAAUCAACUAGAAAGGAGUCGUUUUAUGGUACUUCCGUGUUCAUUUUGAAGUUAAUUAUUUGUUUAAUUGUACCAUGCCACUUGAUUCUAAUUUAGGUUUACAUAUGCUUGCAGAUCUUCAGCUUGAUGUGAAAGGCUGUCCUGACGUAUAUGCUUCCUUUGACAAAUAUGUUGAAGUUGAACGUCUUGAAGGGGACAACAAAUAUCAUGCCGAACAAUAUGGCUUGCAGGUUGGUUGCAAUCGUUAAUUUCUGAGUCUGGUUGUAAUAAAUCAUCUGUAGAAGUUCUAAAUCUUUAGUUCUUAUAUUUUGACUUAACAAAAUUAAUUUUUGUUUUCAAAUUUUAAGUUCUGAACUGAAUCCUUUUAGUUUUUUAUAGUUACUGUCUGAAUGCACUCAAACAUACAAGUUUUCAAUAUAGUUUCAUAUAUAAACUGACAAUUUUUCAUUUUUUUUUCAGGAUGCUAAGAAGGGUGUCCUAUUUAUUGAUUUCCCUCCUGUUCUUCAGCUUCAGCUGAAAAGAUUUGAAUAUGACUUUAUGCGGGAUACCAUGGUAAAGGUUGGUAGUCAAACAGACUCUGCUCUAUAGGAUAUUUUUUUUCUCUAGGUGCUUUAUUUGCUGCCAUUUGAUUUAGUUCGCGUUCAGUCAGAGUAAGGUUCAAACAAUUUCCUGUAGCUCAACUAUUAAUGCCAAUUGAAGAUUAUUUCGAUUAAAUUAAUUCCUUAUGCUGGACUAUCUACUGUGAUAUCCUUCUUCAUUUGUGGUAUGUAUUCAUCUACAAUACUGUUACUUCAUGCAAGAAAGUGAUUCAGCACAUCUUGUGUGGGACAAUAGUGCCCCAAGAUGUUGAAAAUAAUGAAGAAUUUCUGCAAGCAUUUUUCUUAAUACCUUUUUGAAAUGUAAACUGCUAUUUUGCUUUUCUUUGCUCUGGGUGGGAAAUCUUUUGGUUGGUUCUUUUGUUUGCAUGUGUAUAUCCAUGUAUUUAAAAUUUGUGUACCUCAUUUGAAACAAUCACCUGAAGGAAUAUUUUCUGCUAGAGGGAUCAUGGGCAUUACUUAGUUUACGUUUUUGUCCAUAGGUUCUCAUUUGAUGGAAUGGUUAAACUCUCUUUUCAAUAAAUGGAAGUUUAAUUUUUUUUCUUCUUCCAUGUAGAUUAAUGACCGUUAUGAGUUUCCCAUGCAACUCGACCUUGAUCGUGAGAAUGGAAAAUAUUUAUCACCCGAGGCUGAUAGGAAUGUCCGCAAUCUUUACACACUUCAUAGGUAAUGUUGUGGUAAUUGCAGCAGUAUUUGUUGCCAGACUACAUGGUUUUUUUUUGGGACUGGUCUUCUAGUGAUUUUUUUGAAUCUUUUCAUGACUUAUUUAUUACUUGUGCUUGUUUCAUGAUAUUUUAUUUUGUUGUUUGUGAUUGGUGCAUGGUGCGUGUUUUAUCAUAGGUAAUGUUGUGGUAAUGGCAGCAUUAUAUAUUUUAUCGUAAUUUUACCCAUAUACUUGAGUCAAGUACAAUCAAUCAAUGACUUCUACAAUCUAAAGAAAGAAAAAAAAAAUGAUUAAGUAAAAUAAGGAGAAAAUGCUGUGAGGAUAGAGGAUAAAAAGAACAAAUUUUUUUAUCUUGGGGUUCACUGUCUAAAGCUUUCUGAAUUUUCCAAAUAAAGUGGGGCAUUGAAUUUUUAAAUCAUCUUGGAACAAUACAAUUUGUAUCGUUAAUAUUAAAAUUUAAUAAAGUCCAUCAAAUUUGUAAUUUUUCUUUCUCAAUGCUGAUGAUUUCCAUUACUGUGAAAUUACAACUUUUUCUCCAAAUGCAUAUUUUUUGACAGAUUUAAAUUUUUUCCACAGUGUUUUGGUUCACAGCGGUGGUGUACAUGGUGGACACUAUUACGCUUUUAUCCGGCCAACUCUCUCUGAGCAGUGGUAUGUAUAUACUAGAAUUACCAGGUCUGAAUUGUUCAGUGCCAUACAAGCUAGGUGCUUUUGUGCAUUUGUGAUGAUGACUACCAGGGGUCACAUUCCAACAUGCUUAAAUGUUGAUUUUGCUGCAUUCAUUGUAAUGGUUCAUAGGAUCCUACCAAAAUGCACAAUUACUGAUAAAAUAGAAUGUACAUGUGAUAAACAUGACAUAGAAGGAAAAUAUCCUGUAAAAGAUAGCAUUUAACUUAAUUUUAAAAUUCACAUUCAUAUUUUAUACUGGUAACUUUCCAUAAACUCAUACUAACCUAUGUAAUCUUUGUGUAACAUACUUUAGUUAACUUGAUAAAUACUGAUUUUUAAGUGUUCUAUUGAUAGUACCCUGUUAUUAUGAGUUACUAUAAAUACUGCAUAGGAUAUGUGAUAACUAUGUGUUUACAAAUUGUUGAUAAGUAUAUAUUAAUUUAUGAACAUGAAUACAUGGUUUUAAAAUACACAAUCUAAUUUUGUUAAUAUUUAUCUGUAGUAUAUAAUCUUAGUCAAAUUAGUGUACAUAACAUAUUUUAUAGGAUUGUUAGCAAAUAUUUUAAAACUGAAGCUAGUAUUUAAUAACCAGCUCACAUGUGAGCUAAAGCUUUACCAUCAAAGUUAAAAAAUCAAAGUCAGAACCACAAUAAAUCAAAAUAAGGAGUUUCUUUUAACAGAUAAAAUAAUAAAGUAUACAUGUUAUUGAGAUGACGUAGAUAAGGAAUAUAUUUUGUAAAUGGUAACAGUGAGUUAAACAUAAACUGAAAAUUCGAAUUCAUUGAUUUAUAUGUGUAGCCUGUAAAUGAUACCAUUAUUAGUUGUGCGAAGAGUAGGUCAUAUCUUACAUUUCAAAUGAAUGUGUUGCAAAGGUAAACAGUUGAAAUGCUGAAUCUUUUUUUUCGCACUUUUUGUUAGAUUGAUAAUUCAUAAUGGUUGUCAAUGAACUUGGAUAUAGCAUGCAAUUUUCUGAUAGUCCCUUCACCUUUUUUUGUUAUUUUGAAUUGCUUUUCUUGCUUUUUUUUACUGAGCUCUUCACUGCAUGCUUUAAUAGAAUGUAUAUGACUUAUUAGGUAUAAAUUUGAUGACGAGAGGGUAACUAAAGAAGACACUAAACGGGCAUUAGAGGAGCAAUAUGGUGGUGAGGAAGAGGUAAUUAUUUUUUCAAUUGGCUGUGAAAUUGAUCCACAUAUUUGAACAUUUACUUAUUCAUUGUUUAAACUAUUUUAACAGCUACCACAGACAAAUCCUGGGUUUAACAACACUCCUUUUAAAUUCACCAAAUAUUCAAAUGCUUAUAUGCUGGUGUAUAUACGUGAAGCUGACAAAGACAAAGUAAUAUGCAACGUGGAUGAGAAAGACAUCGCUGAACAUUUAAGGGUAAGCGAUCAUUCUUAGUUACUUUGGGCUCAAUAUAAGUCAUGCUAAACCAACAAGUUAUUUUUUGUACGUGAUAAGUUUUUUAGAAGUAUUUCAAGCCAAAAUCAAACAAAUUGUCAUUUAAAUUUCUAUUUUUUGUUGUUUCUGCUUUAUUCUGGAAAAUUUGCAUUGAAUUUCUUCAAUGGAUUAAUGCAGGAGAGGUUGAAGAAAGAACAAGAAGAAAAGGAGCACAAAAAGAAAGAAAAGGCGGAGGCUCACCUUUACACUAUUAUAAAGGUUCCUUGUUGCUAGUUUCUAACUUGCUAUUCAGAAUUUAAUACUGUUUGUGUGUGUCUGUACAUAUAUGCCGUAGGCUACCUAAUCAAAUUGUAUUUAGAUAUAACCUGAUAGCAUGUCAUACUUCUUAGGUGGCACGAGACGAAGACCUUGGAGAGCAGCUUGGAAAGGAUAUAUAUUUUGAUCUUGUAGACCAUGCCAAAGUGAGGUCUUUCCGUGUUCAAAAACAGAUUUCUUUUAACUUUUUUAAGGUAUAAUCUUUAAUUGCACUUUUAGCUCUCCUGCUAGAUGUGUUUUGACUUGGCAUAUCUUUUUCAUUUCUUGUCUUGUUUGGUCUGGUCUCUGUAGUAAAUCUCUCUUAGUCUCUGCAAAAAUUGGAAUUCAGGACAAACUACAUUUCCGACAGCAUGCCUUGUUUGUUUAUGAUUGUUUUGAGGCGGAUAUUAUAAACUGUCCAUUGACAGAAAAUUAUAUUAUUAUAAAUGCUGUUGAAUGGAAAAAUAAAUCAAAAUAGGAUUGAAAAAGGAGUAUUUUUUCAGUAGAAUUAUUUUUCUAAGAAAGGGCAACACUACAUAAUUUUUUUUUCUUUUCUUGGGAGAGGGAUUCAGUGGCAUAUGGAAAUUGCCCCUUCCUUUCACUAAAUUAUGUUCACAGUUGAUGAGUUGUCUAGAUAUCAUUUGACUGAAUAUAACCCACGUAGGAUUUGGGAUGUGGGAAUACUGAUAAUAUGUUGUAAUCCAAGUAGGAUUUAGUAUCUUAGUUUUUCUUACUACUAAAAAUUUUAUACUUGUGAUUUAUGGAACUAGAAGUUUAAUUUGUCUACUAAAGAAAAAUCAUUAGUUUUGUUGCUUCUUCUGAGAUGAUAAUUAUUUUUAGAACACUGUUAAAAUAUAAAACUUACGAUGCUUUAGCUGCAUGAAAAAUAUCGCAUAUGCAACUUUGUGAUCUUUGAUUUUCUAUUUGAAUUUGAAGAUGAUAUAAAGAAAAGCCAAAAGUGACGCUGGACACAGAUUUGAUUGAUAUGGACAUAAGCACACAAAUUUGAAAAGUCUUAAAUGAAAAAAAGAGUACAUGUCUUAAAAAUGACCUCAAGUUAUUGUUGACUAAACAGUGUUAUCUACUUAUUAUGGUAUUUUAGUUUAAUAUAGCAUAAAAGGUUAAAAAUAAUAGAAAAUGCAACUAAAAGUAUAUGAAGUGUUCAGCAUGGAUACUUAUCUAACACAGCUAUGACAUUACAACUACUAUUAAGAAGUAUCAAUGCUUUCCUAUAUGCUUGUUCAAAACACAUCCUAUUUUCAUUAGUUUGAUUUUUUUUAUCUGAUCACUGGUUGAUCCGUGUGAUAAACAGGAAGAGGUUGCUAAAGAGUUUGGCAUACCAGUCCAAUUCCAGCGCUUUUGGCUAUGGGCAAAGCGGCAAAACCAUACAUACCGUCCAAACCGACCGUUGACACUCAUGGAAGAAGCACAAUCUGUAAGUUCAUGAGCUUGAUUAAAGCUUUUCUGUAUUAUUUUGCUUAUAUACUCCCCUUCAAGCUUAAUAUGCAUUGCUUGUUGCCCCACACUUGUAUGUUGAAUGUGUUUUAUGCUUCAUGUCUAAUCAAUAUGCCUAUUUCGUAAUUGUCCUGGCUGUUUGCCUAUUUUGAAUUUUAUUUCUUGGGCUGGACUAACAGUUAAUUCUGUGUUGGCUUUGCUUUUUCAAUCAUUUCAUUUCUCCCAUGGUUGGGUAGUUUAUUUUAUUUGAUUUUAUUUCUGAAAAUGAAUAAGGAAAGCAACUGUAAACAUUUUUUAAACUAUUUUUGUGACCCUGAGGUUUGCUUUUUGUGUUGGGAGUGGUGGAUAUUCUACUGUUAUUUUUAUCUUUCUGCUUUUGGUUAAUUUCUGCCAUGUCUUUCUGUGUUAUCUGAAGUUCAAACUUUUUGUUAAUCUAAUUUGCGUUGCAGGUUGGACAAUUGAGAGAGGUAUCAAACAAGGUUCCCAAUGCAGAAUUGAAAUUGUUUUUGGAAGUGGAGCUUGGGCUGGUAACAUUUGUGUUUAUGGAAGUUGUAUUCCACUUUGAUUGCAUGAACAUGAAUAUCCAAAUUCUGUCUUUCUGACAAACUACAUCAAUCUUUAGGAUUUACGUCCCAUUGCACCACCUGACAAGACAAAGGAUGAUAUAUUACUUUUCUUCAAGUUAUAUGAUCCUGAGAAAGAGGAGCUACGGUACUGAGUAAUAUCUAUAUUUUAACGUCUGGUUGUGGUAAAACACGAGUUUUUGUUGACAUCAGAUGUAUUUCCCUCUUGUGGCAGUUAUGUUGGAAGGCUCUUUGUGAAGAAUACUGGUAAGCCAUUGGAAAUCUUGACAAAGUUAAACAAAAUGGCUGGUUAUGACCCUGAUGAAGAGAUUGGACUAUAUGAGGUUUGUUUGUCUUCUCAUUUAAUAUUUUUAGAUUGCACUUCAUCCUUGUAUGAUCUAAACACUAUAUAUUUGUUUAACAACUACACUUACUGAUGAUUGAUGAUAAUAAAGUGCAUCAUGUUCCGAGAGAAGUUUGGAUCUGAUCUCAAUGAGUGACUUUACUCGUGGCAUUUGUAAAUUUACUGUGCCUACUAUUAUUGUGCAGGAAAUUAAGUUUGAGCCAAAUGUUAUGUGUGAACCUAUUGAUAAGAAAUUGACAUUUCGAGCUAGCCAGGUAAAUUAUAAACACCAUUGGAGCACUUCGUGCUACUAUUGUUGAUUUGUUCAUUGAUUUGUUUUUCUAAAUUUGCAGUUAGAAGAUGGAGAUAUUAUAUGCUUUCAGAAAGCUCCUGCUAUAUACAAUGUGGAACAUGUACGCUAUCCAGAUGUGCCGUCAUACCUAGAAUAUGUGCACAACCGCCAGGUACUUUUCCUUUUUUGGUUCAAUUAAAGGCAAUAUGUAUAAAUUGAUGUGAUGCAAAAAUGAUCACCACCCAACAUUCAAUUGUAUUAUGUUUGAUUUUCUGCACCUUCCUCCUCUGUCCAUGCCUGUGCAUAUCUGUAUGUUUGUAACCAAUGUACCAUGUGUUUUUCAUUAUAUUUUUAGUGUAAGAUGUUAGCUAGUUUUUUAAUAUCCAAUUGAUGGAUUUUAGGUUGUUCACUUUCGAUCUCUUGAUAAACCCAAGGAAGAUGACUUCUGUCUGGAGAUGUAAGUAUUGUGUAAUUUAUUGGAGCAAAUCAUUAGAUCUAUUAUAUUGUAGUAGCAGAGAGAACAUUAAGUACUUGUUAUUUUUCUUGGAAUUACAUCCUUAGGAUAUGCUCUGCACAUUAAUUUCUAGGUCAAGGCUAUAUAAAUACGAUGAUGUAGUGGAGAGAGUGGCUCAACAACUAGGUUUGGAUGAUCCAUCCAUAAUCAGGCUUACUCCUCACAAUUGUUACUCUCAGCAGCCAAAACCUCAGCCGGUUAAGUAUCGGGGUGUGGAGCAUUUGUCUGAAAUGCUGGUUCACUAUAAUCAGGUAAUCAUUGACUUAAUGCACAAUCUUUCAUUUUGUUUCUUAUUUAAAAUCAAAACAUCUUAUUUCCCUUCAUGCAUGUCAGACUUCGGACAUAUUGUACUAUGAAGUACUUGACAUCCCUCUGCCAGAAUUACAAGGUUUGAAAACUCUGAAAGUUGCAUUUCACCAUGCUACCAAGGAUGAAGUGAGUAUAUAGUGAUCUGAUUUUCUUUUGGUUUUUAUCUAGAUUUUUUCUGACCCUUUUUUUAAAUUUUUAUUCAGGUGGUUAUUCAUACCACCAGACUUCCAAAGCAGAGCACUGUGGGGGAUGUCCUUGAUGAUCUGAAAACAAAGGUGAUUUUGCCUCAGUAUUGUUCAGUUCAUUAACAUGUCUAAAUUGUAUUCUUACUCACCACUGAAAUCAUAUCAUCAAUCUCCUUUAUUUUAAAAAAAUAGAUAUGUGAAGCAUGUUUACUGUUUUUGUUGAGUGCUCCAGGUUGUUAUAGAGUAGCGACUGUUUGAAUGUAAGUCUUGUGCUCAUUUAUUAUUGUUCACAGGUGGAAUUGUCCGACCCUGAAGCUGAGCUUAGGUUGCUUGAAGUUUUCUAUCACAAGAUAUACAAGGUCUUGUGUUACCUCUAUUUUAACUGAUCCUGGAUUUAUUGCUUAUUCUUUUAUAUUUUUCUGACAAAAAAAGAUGAUUCGGAAUUCAAUACAAUACUAAAUUUACAUUGACUUGUGAUCUUGCAAUUAAUUGUUACCCUGCCUCUCUGCUUGUGCAGGUUUUCCCUCCCAAUGAAAAGAUUGAAAACAUUAAUGAUCAAUACUGGACUUUACGUGCAGAGGAGGUAGUAGUCUCUUUCUGUUUGUAGUGGGCUGGGAAGGGAGGUGUUAGCUUUUAGUCCAUGAAGUGUUCAUGCUUUAAUUUACUGAAAUUAUUGCAUCAGUGGAUUUUUCUAAAUGCAUAAUCAAUUACCGUAUUCAGUUUAUGUGACAAUAUAAAUGAGUUGCUGUUCUUGUGGUUUGCAGAUUCCAGAAGAGGAGAAAAAUCUGGGUCCUCAUGAUCGCCUAAUCCAUGUGUAUCAUUUCACUAAAGAUACGGCUCAGAACCAAAUGGUAUAUAAUUGUAUUUGAUCCAUUUUGCUUAAUGCAGUUUGUAAUAUCGUAAUGGGCUUUGAUACUUCAUUCUGACUUAGUUGUAUGCCAAAUCAAUUGUAAUGUUUUUCCCAUUUGAUUUGGUAUGACAGCAAAUUCAGAACUUUGGGGAACCAUUUUUCUUGGUCAUACAUGAAGGGGAGACUUUGACAGAAAUUAAAGUUCGAAUACAAAAGAAACUUCAAGUUCCUGAUGAUGAGUUUGCAAAGGUAUUUCCUCCUUUUUUUGUGUUAUGUGUUUAUAUUUUGUUUCUUCCCUUUUGGGUAACUUUCUUUUGUUUGGUGGAAGUUUCAUUGUCCAUAAAUAUUAUUAAAUUUGAUGUUAGUCUAUCUAAUUUUUUAUUAUAUUUUUUGUUUGGCCAGUGGAAAUUUGCUUUUUUUUCUUUAGGGCGUCCUGAGUACCUUCAGGAUUCUGACAUUGUAUCCAGUCGUUUUCAGGUACAUCCAUUUAUAGGCUAAUUCCUUUUAUUUUUAGUUGUGUUAAUUCCAUUCAUUUUUUGUAACAUUUGCAUGUAUUUGAAUUAAUGUAUCUUGUGAUAUAGAGGAGAGAUGUUUAUGGUGCUUGGGAGCAGUAUCUUGGCUUGGAGCAUACUGAUAAUGCUCCAAAAAGAUCAUAUGCUGUCAACCAGGUUAGUAACCUUGUCUGCAAGAACUAAUUUCUUAAGUACAUUUUUUGUCUUUUAUUUAUUUUUGUUGAGUUUGUUCACUAUUCUGAUAAUACUGGAGUUUAGUUUUGAAGUUUAAGAAAACUGGUUUGAUUACACCAUUUCAAAUUUCUUGGGUUUUGUUUCAGAAUCGCCAUACAUUUGAGAAGCCAGUAAAGAUUUAUAAUUAGAAAACUUGGUAUUGACGAGCUCUCGUCUUGCGUGGGAUGAAUUUGGCAUUCUUCUACAUCUAUGGGCUUGUAAAAACAGGGAAACAGCAAAAGCUACUCUGUAUAGGCCAACUAGUGAGAUCAGCAAUCCAGGUGGUUUCUGCAGAUUUUAUAUUAAAAUUGUGGUAUGUAAUUCUUUCUGUCAAAAGGAGUGACAUUGCUCUCAACACUAUCUGCUGACCACAGCCCGUUGAGCUUUACUACUUCCAACUGUGGAAGUUCUUCAAGUUGAGGUCAUUGAUCAUCAUCGCUGCACUGUAUCAGUACAUAAGAUUUUUGGAUUAGUGAGUGUAUACAGGGUAUAGUUGGUUGACUUUUUUUUUGUUCAUCUUAAUUGCUUCCAGAUUUUGUUCAGUCAGUAGUUGUCAAAUUAUGUGAGAGCUGUGGAAUGGUGUAGCAGAGUUCAUGUAAUGUUGUAAAAGAGACCUGUCAGCCUCAGUAUAACCCGAUAGCAUAAAUAUAGUUUCCUGCCGCACCAUUUGGUCCAUUUCUAUUUCCUUUGGCUGUUUUACCUUUUUAUUUUCUGUUUCUUCCUGCACCUGACCCAUCUUUAGUAAGAGCUGAAUAAGCGUUAUCAUGGUAGUCUCAAUUAACUUUAGAGUAGAAGUAAUGCAUUGAUAUAUGGGUUAUUGCCACAUGUGCCUAUUCCUUCAUUUCAUAUUUUCAACUUUGUUGGACAUGAUGACAAUAGUAUAAUCUGCUUUAUAUGGCACUUUAUUAUUUUUCCAUCCAAUGCAACCAAAGAUUAAAUUUUCAUGUUGCGUAGUUAGAAACAUUUUUCUCUAAUGGUUUAUUACGGCUUUGUUUGGACUUACGGAAGACUGAAAAAGGACAGAAAGGAUGACAGACUGGAAUUGUUUGGAUAGAAAGAAAAUGAAUGGAAAAUAAGAAAGAAAUUUGCACUAAAUUGAUGUGAUAGAAUAAAAUUGGUUUUAUUUUAAUAUGUUUAAAAGGAAUUUACGGUAAAAAAAUAUUUAUUUUGAAAAUGUGAAUUAAAGUUAAAAUAAAAUUUAAAUUAAAAUACAAAUUAUUAUAAAUUUUUAAUAAAAAUAUCAAAAUUUAAAUAAAUAAUUUUAUUUAAUUAUUUAUUUUUAUAUAAAGGUUGUUAACAAAAUAUUAAUUUUUUUAUUAUAUUAAUUAUUUUGAUGUUUUUAUUUUAAUUAUUCAUUUUAUUAUAGUAGUAAAAUAUAAUUAGAAAUAUUUAUUACAUAUCAAUUUAAAAAUGUAUAAAUUACAUUAAAAUUCAAUUGAUUUAACUUAAUUUUUUUUCUAACAAACUAGUUUAAAAUAAUUUAUUUUGUAAAAUAUUAAUAUUCAAAUUCUUUUAUUUAUUAUUAUAAUAUUAUUUAUCGUAUUAUAAUUUUAGAGUAAUAUUAUAUUUAUUUAAACAUAAUCAUGUCUAAAAAUAUAAUUAAUUAUAAUUAUAUAAAUAUAAUGAAAUAUCUAUUCGUAAUCCUAUUAUAUCUUUGAUGAUAAUUUUUUAUUUAUUUUUAAAACUCUUUUUGGUAUUUGGAUAGAAAGCUUAGAAAAAAAUAAUCAUUUCGUUAUUUUUUUUCAUUUCUGCCUCUCCAUGACUAGUGUAUAGGAAAUACAAGAGUUGCAGUAUGAUUAGUUCUUCAGAAUUCAGAUUGAAAGUAAAUGGUUAGUGCUGACUCACUUCCAGCCACCCCUGGUGUUUUACUGCAGUCAAUUUUUCUAUGUAGGAUUUUGGAAUUUUGUUUAUUAGCAAAUUAUGAUCAUAGAAAACAUUUGCAGUUAUGAGAUGUUUUUGCACUAUUAAACCAAACCCUUGCCUUUGAACUUGUCAUAAAAUUUGAUGAGGAAUUCAAAUUAUAAACUAAUUGUUAGAUGACCGAGAUAAGUUCGUCAUGCUGUCCAGACCCAGUUAACUGUACGGAUGUGGCCUAACCCAUCUUAGUGGUAUAAUAUAUUUUCUAUUAUUUGUUCAAAAUCUUAUAUAUUACCAUUAUUUAAGUUUUCUAUUAAUUCUAUAAAUACAAAAAACAUGUACUAUAUGCUAUUGUUAAUAUAUUUAACAGCAAAACACUGUAUUAUAUUCAAUGAAAAAUUAUUGGAGUUAAUUAUAAAAUAUUUUUCUUCUAAAAUCGCUCUUUCUAACUUGUAUUAUUUUAAAUUUGUAAAAUUUCAUUUGUAAGAAUUAAUUAUAAAAAACAACAUAAUUACUACAUCUUCGUUCUUAAAAAAUUCCUGUAAUUGAUCAUGAAUAUAUAUUACCCUGUGUCUGUAUAAUUUUGAAAUGUGUUGAAAUUUUUGAGUUUAUGGAAAUGAAGAUAUUAAAUAGGUCUUAACUAAAUAAAUUAUUGUAGAAUAGAAUAUUAUUUUGAUAGUAAGUUUUAGAAAUUAAAUAUUCAUAUUAAUUUUUUAUGUUAAAUAAUAACUUUGUAUUUAGAGCUAUUAUUUACAAUAAAGUUAGAAGAAAUAAAUAUUAAAAGAUAGAGGAAAAGGAAAUAACAAAUAUUUUUAAGUCACCCAAAGACAAGGAGGUCCACUUACAUUUGAGUCAAUCAAAAGCAAAACAAAGUCAAGAAGGAAUUUAGGCAUGACAUGUUUGAAGGAGUAUAGAUAGUAUGACUCAGAAAAAGAACACAAACUAAUCUAUAGUUAAAUUUUGAAUUUUUAAAUUAAAUUUUUUCCUCUUGGUUUAGUUUAAAUUUUUCGUACCAUUUUUUCAAGUUUGUUUUUUUAUUUUAUUUUAAGGAUUUUAAAAUUAUAUUUCAAUUUAUAUAUUAUUCUAAAUUUUUCAGUUAGAUUUUAUUUUUUUAUUCUUCUAUUUUUUUCAUUUUAGUUUUUCAUUUUGAUUCAUAUAAUAUCUUUGUUUAACUAGAUCCACCCAUAGAUCUAUCAAACUUGGCUCUUACUUAUUCUUCUAUUUUCUCAUUUUGAUUCAUAUAAUAUCUUUGUUUGAUUAGAUCCACUCACAGGUCUAUCAAACUUGUACAGCACUUCAAUAAAUACUCCUAUUUAUCUAAUUAUUUAAUAAAACUAUCUAAUUAGAUAAUAUAUUUAUUGUGGUUAAAAAUGCAAGAUUAUUAGUAUGUUUAUUGUAACUAAAAGUACAAGAUUAUUAAUAAAAACAGUUGAGUUCAAAUAAACUUAAAUUCUAAUUAAAAAUAUGUGAAUUUAUUUAAUAAUAUAAUCCAAGAAAAUUAUAAUUAAAAUUAUGUUCAUCAAAAUCAAUAUUCUGUGAAGAUUCAAUUGUCUGUUAGUGUGCGAGUUUGUAGCUAAUAUAAUAAUUUGUAUAACUUAAUAUAAAUGGUUGUCUUUAAUUAUCAUAGCUAAUUAAGUUAUAUGAACAAUUUAAAUAGUUAAGCUUAUUCUUCUUAUUCAUAUUUUUAUAACUAUGACAAUCAUGAAUGACAUGUGAUUACAUAAUAUACAUGUGUAAAAAGAAUACUUUAAACAAUAUUAAAAAGAUAUUCUUUUAUAUUUGACGUAUGUUAUUAAAUGUAAAAACUUUACAAAUAAAGUUCUUUGUGAUUCAUAUGUACGAAAAUUAAAUAUAUCAAAAUAAAAUUUAUUUUUAAACAUUUAUAUAUAUAUAUUUAUAUAUAUAUAUAUAUAUAUAUAUAUAUAUACGUACNNNNNNNNNNNNNNNNNNNNNNNNNNNNNNNNNNNNNNNNNNNNNNNNNNNNNNNNNNNNNNNNNNNNNNNNNNNNNNNNNNNNNNNNNNNNNNNNNNNNAUUAUAUCAAAUAAUUCAAUUAUUCUUAUUAUUGUAAAUUAAUUUUAAUUAAAUAUAAUAUAAUAUAAUUUAUUUAUUUAUUUAAUAAUUUUAGUAUUAUUGUUAUUAAUUUAUCUUUUUAUUAGAUUAUUUAUAACAUUAAUAAAUAUAUUUUUCUUUUUAACUAUUUUAUUUGGAUAUACAAAUUUUUCUUAUCUUUAAAUUUUUUAAUUUUUAAAAAAUUAAUUAAUUAAUUUAAUUAACAAAAACUAACUACACAUUUUAAAAAAUUAUAAUGAUUAUAAUAUUAAUAGAAAAUUCUUCCUUUUAACUACUUCUUUUUAACAACUUUUUACUAUUUUACCUUUUAGAUUCUGUAACUCAUUUUAAACUUAAUGGUGUACUUACAAUAAAUCUACGCUCUAAAAAAAACUACUUAUAACAAAAUUAUAAUUUUUUUUAGUAUUUUUUGAAUAUCUUUUCUAUGUUUUUUAGUUUUUUAUUUUUUAUUAUGAUAGUAAAAAGUAGAGACAAAUCUACAGAAAUGUAAGCGUAUCUGUUUCAAUUAGUAUUAUAUAAUUAAUUAUAUUGUAUCCAUUAUAGGUAUACUAUAACAUAUUAUAAAUAAUACUUUUCAACCAUAAUUUUCAUUUAGACAAAGACAACAAUAUAACCUGUUACUCAAAUUAGUAUCUGUUUCAAUUAGUAUUUAAUUAAUUAUAUUGUAUCUAUUGUAACAGCGCUUUUUUUAAAAAAAAAAAGCAGACCCCACCCCACCAUUCUUUUUUUUCUUCUUCUUUCUUCCUCUUUUUUCCAAAUCACUUUCUCUCUCUACCAACUUCUCUCUUCUUCAUUUUUUCUUAAUUUCUCACUUCAUACCUCAUCUAUUUUAAAAUCUGAUCAUAUCACGCUGUAGCAGAGGAGUUAAGGAACAUUUCUACCAGAUCAGAUUUUCAAACAGAGUAAGUUCAUUUUUAUUCUAAAUAUCCUUUGUUAUCUGUUUUUUUUUAAGAUUUAGUCACCAAUCUUCGUGGGGUCAGUUGAGAAGUUUAAUCCUCUCAACUUAUUCUAUUAUAUACUGAAUUUUUGUUCUGUUUGGAUAAUUUGCAUUAGGCCCGUAAAUCUUGAAGUUUAUCCAGACUGUGGGGAAUAAAAUUAUAGAAGUUGUUUGGAAAACAAGCAAUUGAGGUAAGGGAAACUAAUUUAAUUUUUUUAUAGCACCCUAGGAUAGAAGAUCUGAAUGCGGAAGGAACGUGGUCCCAAUAUUGAAUUUCUCUUGCAGGGGUGUUAUUUGUUUAUAUAUUGUGUGUUUGUUUAUAUAUUAUUUAAAAUUUAUAAAUAUUAUAUUUUGAUAGUUUGAGAGUUAAAUAUUGUUUUUGACGUUGGAAAAGUUCUGGAAUGAUAUGAAUUUUUAAAUGUUAUGUGAUUGAAUGAUAUGUAUUAUAUACGAAUGAUGUAAAUUGUAUGAAAUUGAUGUCAUACAUUUGGGAUAAUGUAUGAGUUGUUGUUUGAUGGUACGUUAAGUAUGAAAAACCUAUGUUUAACGGAGAUCCUCUGGCUUCACUAAUGAUCUAAGUCAUGUAGACUAAGAUAUUAGGUGGUGAGAAGCUGAGAGGGAGUUCAUACACACCGGGUCCCACUGUAGACACUCGUUAUUGAAUGUUUGAACUUACCCUGAUCCUUUCUAUUGGAUUCACUGGUAAUCUUUGGGUCAGGUGUUAGUCUCUGGUAGGGGCAUACUUAAUGAGUCUUCCAGAAGACGAAGUGGGAUUGAAAUAAAAUCCAAUGAUUGUGAUUGAAAAUAGAUCCAUGUGUGGUCUAUAUGAAUGAUGGAAUUGAUAUUGGAAUUUUACAUGAAAUUACUAAAGAAAUGUUUAUAAAUUAUUAGUAUAAAUUGGUUCUAUUUCCAUGAAUUAUGUUAUGGAUUUUCUUUACAUUAGCUUACCCUUGCUUUUCUUGCUGUGUUUGAACUGCGAUGACUGUACUACGUACACGAGCAGAUGAUUUUACAGGUAUCGGAGGGUCUGAAGAGCUUUAGGAUGUUGAUUUUGAAACUUGUAUUGUAAAUAUUUAUAUUUCUAUAAAUCCUAAUCAUGUAUUAGGAAUAUUUUGAAAAACUCCAAGUUUGUAUAGAAACUGGAAGAACUUUUAUUGUAAUAGUUAUAUGUAAAUUAUGGGGUGUUACAUCUAUUAUAGGUAUACUAUAACCUGUUAUAAAUAAUACUUUUCAACCAUAAUUUUCAUUUUGACAAAGACAACAAUAUAAGCUGUUAGACUACGGAACCUUAUGUUGGACUUGUGAUACUCAAAUUUAAUUGGCAAGUUUUUCUUUUAAAUACAUUUCAUCAAACUUACAUUCUUUCUAAUUUACGAAUCUUUGUUUCUUUUAAUCUUUGAGCAUGAUUGAAUCAAGGUUUCGUUGUUUAGUUUAAGUGUUAUAUUUUAUAUUUAUGUUAGUUCAAAUUUGACCUUUUAUUUUAAUCACACUUCUAUAUUAUAUAAAAUACUCCCAACUUCUAUGUAUUUCUUCUUUUCUUUCAGCAAUGGAAUAAAAUUAUUGAGAGUGGAAAAUUAAGAGUCAUAUUAUUGCUGCAAUUGUUGUGAUGAGUUGUAACGGAUAAUGACGUUUCUAAAUUGAGACUUGACACUUCUACAUAUUGUGAUGGGUAAUACCAUUAAUUAAAAGUAAUAAAAUAAUUAUUGAGCUCAAAUUAAUAUAUUUAUUCAAUAUUAAAUAUAAAAAUUCUAAAUAUUUCUUUUGGAAAUAUACAUUUGAAUAUAGAUUAUUUUUAGAGAUUUCAAAAACGUUUUUAAGCAUCCUUUUAUGAAAUUGUUAGUGGUGUUGGUGAAGAUAAAAUUAGAAAAUUGUCACACAUAUUACUCUUGCCAUUGUCAUUUCUAUUUGAAAGUCUUUAGCCCUUUUGAAGGGAUGCAAGACCUGGAAAUUUCAAACAUGCCAUUUCAUUUUGGAAAUUCCUAGCCAUCUUCACGACGUAAGAUUUAAAUACGAAAUAGGAAAAUAAAAAAUGAAAAAUGAAAAAUUCCAAAAAAUACAAAUUUAAGAAUUAGUUUCAUGAUAGCUAAUUUUCAAAAAACUGUCAUAAAAUUAUAAAAAAAUCUUUAAGAAAGAAGUUUUAGAUCACCAUAUAUAAUUCUAAUUGAUUUGUGUAUAAUACAAAAGUAAAUUAAGCAUUAUUAUUUAUUUUGAAAAUUUAAAAUAGUCUACCUUGUUAUAAAUAGAUCAAACUCAAUGGAUUGGUUGCAACCAAAAUCCAUAUGAAAAUGAAUUGGGUUCUACUCUCAUACUUGAUCAUCUUCCUUUGCUUCCUACUUCAUUUUCCUUCCUACAUUUGUUUAGUGUGCAACCAUGAUGACAAAUAUGCCUUGCUGCAAUUCAAAAACACAUUUCUUGUUCCCAACUCUUCACUUGCCUUUGAUCCUUGUUCCUCCCAUUUCUCAAUGAUGGAAUCUUGGAACAACAUCACAGAUUGUUGUGGGUGGGAUGGGGUCACGUGCGACUCCAAGUCAGGCCACGUGAUUGGCCUCGACCUUACCUGCAGUGAUCUUAGAGGAGAGUUACUGGGUUCCAAUAGCUCCAUUUUCAGACUAAGGCACCUUCAACAACUCUACCUUGAUUUUAAUGAUUUUUCUGGAUCUUCAAUACACUCUGCCAUUGGUGACCUUGUCAACCUCACCCAUCUAACUUUGUCUGGCUCUGGAAUCACUGGUCAUGUUCCCUCCACAAUCUCUCACUUGUCAAAAUUACUAUAUCUUGGUCUCAUUUCCAUCGACUUAUUAUUACUACUUAAUGAUCCCACCACAAGCUACUCCGAAAUGAGACUUGAUCCAUACACUUGGAACAAACUCAUUCAGAACGCAACUAAUUUAAAAGAGAUUUCUUUAGGAAGAGUGAACAUGUCCUCCAUCAGAGAGAGCUCUUUGUCAUUGUUAACCAAUCUGUCAUCCUCUUUGGUUUCUCUAUAUCUCUUAGACACCCAAAUUCAAGCCAAACUUCCAACUGACAUCUUCCGUUUACCCAAUCUCCAAGAAAUAGAUCUUUCAUACAAUGAAAACCUCAGAGGUGAACUUCCAAACUCCAACUGGACUACUCCUCUAAGAUUCUUGUCUCUCUCUUCAACUGCUUUCUCAGGAUACAUUCCCGAUUCCAUAGCCCACUUGAAGUCUCUUAGCUCACUAACUCUUCGGGAUUGCAAUUUCAAUGGACUUCUUCCACUAUCAUUGUUUAAUCUAACUCAACUUGAUCAGUUAGAUUUAUCAGAAAAUAAAUUAGUUGGCCCCAUUCCGACCCAUAUCACGAAACUCUCCAAAUUAUCGUACCUAUAUUUGUCUGGUAACAUGUUAAAUGGACCGAUUCCUCGUUGGUGUUAUUCUUUUCCUUCCAUGUUGUCCUUGGAUCUUCAAGACAACCAACUCACAGGGUCAAUCGGUGAAUUCUCAACUAAUUUUUUGCAAUAUUUGUUGCUGUCUAAUAACAAACUGCAAGGUAAUUUUCCAAAUUCAAUAUUUCAACUCCAAAAUCUUAAGUUUUUGGGUUUGUCAUCAACGAACUUGAGUGGUAUUGUGGACUGUCACCAAUUUUCAAAGCUUAGAGCUCUAGUUUAUUUGGAUCUUUCUAGCAAUAAUUUUCUCUCUGUAAACUUUGAAAAUAAUUUUGACUACAUCUUACCCAACCUUCAAUACUUAAAUUUAUUUUCAAGUAAACUAAUUAGUUUUCCAAAAUUCUUAGCACCAAUGCAAAAUUUGCAAGGUUUAGAUCUUUCUCAUAACAGAAUUCGUGGAAGCAUUCCCAAUUGGUUUCGUGAGAACCUCUUGCGCUCCUGGAAGAACAUUAGUUCCAUUGAUCUCAGUUUCAACAAGUUGCAAGGACAUCUUCCAAUUCCACCAAAUGGAAUUCAAAUCUUUUUAGUCUCAAAUAACAAGUUUAGUGGGGACAUUUCUUCAGCAAUGUGCAACGCAACCACCCUUUAUGUACUCAACUUGGCUCACAACAACUUGACAGGACUUAUUCCACAAUGCUUGGGAACAUUUCCUUCUCUCUGGGCGUUGGAUUUGCAAAACAACAACCUUUACGGAAGCCUACCUCAUAACUUUUCUAAAGGAAAUUCCUUUCAGACUUUAAAGUUGAAUGGAAAUCAGUUGAAUGGACCGUUACCACAGUCUUUGACCCACUGUACAAAACUCGAAGUUUUGGACCUCGGAAACAAUAACAUAGAGGAUAUGUUUCCCUAUUGGUUAGAAACUCUACCAACUUUACAGGUACUCAGUUUACGGUCUAAUAAAUUUCACGGUGUCAUCAAUUCUUUCCAUACCAAACUUCCAUUUCCCAGGUUGAAGAUUUUUGACAUCUCCAAUAACUACUUUAUCGGACCCUUGCCAGCGUCAUACAUCCAUAAUUUUCAAGGAAUGAUGAAUGCGAAUGACAACCAAACUGGUUUGAAAUAUUUGGGUAAUGAUAGUUCAUAUACUGAUUCAAUAGUGAUUGUAAUGAAAGGGCAAUCCAUUGAGCUAGAGAGGAUAUUGACUGUUUUGACAACCAUUGAUUUUUCAAAUAAUAUGUUUGAAGGAGAAGUUCCGAAAGCCAUUGGAGAGUUGCAUUCUCUCAUAGGGCUUAACCUUUCACACAAUAGAAUCACUGGAACCAUCCCACUGACAUUGGCUAAUUUAAGCAAUUUGGAAUGGUUGGAUCUCUCAUGGAACCAGUUGAAGGGUGAGAUUCCCAUGGCUUUGACAAAUAUGAAUUUUCUAGAGGUAUUGAACCUUUCACAAAACCAAUUUGAGGGAGUGAUACCAACAGGUGGACAAUUUAACACAUUUGAAAAUGAUUCGUAUGUUGGAAAUCCAAUGUUGUGUGGAAUCCCUUUGUCAAAAUUCUGCAAUGAGGAUAAAGAAAGGGCAACACGUUCAAUAGUUGAUGAAGAAGAAUCGGGAUUUGGGUGGAAAUGCGUUGUGGUGGGGUAUGCAUGCGGGAUAAUGUUUGGAAUAAUAUUAGGUUGUAAUGUAUUCUUCGUUGGAAAACCCCAAUGGCUUGCAAGACUUGUUGAAGUUGUGUUAAAUAUGAGGCUCAUAAGAACAAACAAGAAACCGUACAAAUCAUAGAUGAAGGAAUUAGUUUAGUUUUACUUUAAUAUGGUUGGUUUUGUGUGCCUAUAUGUAGUUUUAACUUCUCUUUACUGUAUCUUAAACGAUCAAUUUCAUGUAGUUGAAAGGGAAGCACGUCCGUUGAUGAAGUAGAAUCAGGCUUUGGGUGGAAAAGCGUUGUGGUGGGGUAUGCAUGUGGGAUGAUGUUUGGAAUAAUAUUGGGUUAUAAUGUAUUCUUUGUUGGAAAACCCCAAUGACUUGCAAGACUUGUUGAAACCGUAUUAAAUGUGAGACUGAUAAAAACAAACAACAAAAACCGUACAAAUCGUUGGAGAAGGAAUUAGUACAAUUUUACUUUAAUAUGGUUAUUUUUUGUGUGUGCCUAUAUGUCUUUUGUAGUUUUAAUUUCUCUCUACUCUAUCUUAAGAGAUCAAUUUCAUGUUGUUGAAUUUGCAAAUAAUAAAGAAUUGUUAUUAUGAAUCCUUAUAUGGGGUAAAAUGUCAAACCUGCAUUAACAUUAAGGUAAAAUCAAUAAAUUUCUAUAAUAAUUUUUAAUGAAGCUUCAAAGAGGUUUCUUUCAUAAUAUAUUUUUACUUUUUUUAAUUAAGAAUAUAUGAAUUUAUUGUUGAUUUUGAAAUAUAAAAUUAUUAAAACAACUUUUUUUUGUUAUUCUCUCUUUUUAUCAUCUUAUAUAAAAAUUCAUAAAAACAGAAAAAAAAAACAAAAACGAAGUAAUAUUUUUAUUGUUUAAAGUAAAAGCAAAAAGAAAAAUUGAAAAUUUUAUUUAUUAUAGAAAAUUUAGGGAAAGGAGAUAAUGCUUGAGUAGAAUACAUGAAAAGCUUGUGGAGCGAGAGUGGGUGUAUAAAUUCUUUGAAGGAGACAUAUAUGAACUCAUUUCUGCAACUCUAUCAACUCUUUAAUGUUGAAAAUGGACAUUUUUUCUCUAUUUAUUAAUGUCCAAUAAGAUACAAAUUAUGUCAGAAUAAUUUAAAAAACGAUAAUUGGAUAUAUAUAUUAUAAGAUGCUGUAAAAAAUAAAGACUUAUUUAAUGAUUUGGAUAUAUAUUAUAAAGACUUAUUAAUGUAAUUAUAUGAUGAUUCUUACUCUAAUAGAAAUUUGGGGCUUAAAAACAAAUUUAAUAACAUAAUAUAUAUAUAUAUAUAUAUAUAUAUAUAAUUCAUGAACCCUUCAAAUCAUGUAACAUAAUUUUCAACUUUAAGAACAUUUAAUACAAAUGUUUAACUUAUUAAAUACCUAAUAUAAAGAAACGAAAUUAUUAAAUAUUCAAAAUAAAAAUGAUUGGGGAACUCGAAAGUUAUUUAAAUAUAUUAGGUGACGCGAUUAAAUAAAGUAGCUUGGUUAUGAGUCUACACAAGGUUUGUUUGUUUGUUUGAGCUUUGUGCUUUUACUUCUAAAAUGCUAUGAAAAUUUAGAGACUGUAGUUUCUGUUGGAAAUGGUGAUAUGAUUUAUGGUAACAAAGUUUAAUGUAUAGAAAUGUUCCCGCCGGUUGACCAGAGACAUCUUUGUGCGUGGCUUAUCCUUGUGAGUUAGGGCACUUUCGUUCUGUACCGUCUGUGAGUACAUGAAAAGAAGUGAACAAAGGAGCGCCCUCGCGGUCGUUUGCACUCCGACGAUCAAGUCAGCUAGUGAGAAACAUCAAAGGGGACGCACCUCCGUAUCGGAACACCGUGAACGGAUGCUCUGAAGGUGGUCCAAUAACUGAGUAAAUGAUUUUCUCUCUAAUUGCCUGUGCAUACAGUGGGUAUGUGAGCAAGCAACUAGAGUGUGUGCGUAAACUGAGCCUCAAUUUUUUUUUUUCCGUCUCAAACGGCUAAAGCCCCUUUUAAACGUCUAAAGCGUUUAAAGCGUCUUAAAGCGCAUUUAAAGCAUCUUAAAGCGCAUUUAAAGCGUCUUAAAGCGCAUAUAAGGCGCUUAAAAACAUUCAACGCGUUUAAAACGUUCAAAGCAUUUAAAGCGUUUAAAGUGCUUUAAAGCGUUCGAAACGUAAACUAAAUUAAAGCGUACCUUAGCAAACUUUCAGGAAAACAUUGAUGUUUCAGUGCUUACUGCCACGUGUUCUUCUGACUUGAUUACUAUUCUACGUGGAGAACCUCACAGCGUCAUAACCCAACUUAGGGACAUUCUAUCGUGUAAGUCCUCCCUAUUUGAAGUGCAUCUGGCGCAGGGGGUGACUUUUUGGGUGCCAACUCAUGCGCCCCAGCCUCUAAUCACUCGCCCUGGGAGUGUAUCUACCUUCCUCUCGCACUACGCACAUGGUUCGCCCCUGGGCAUGACCCUCUCAUGGGUCGUAUCUAUCCCAGGGGUCUCCCCGAGGUGGCAUGAGUACUUCACGAGUCAGGUUACUCCUCACUAGUACUGGGAAUAUGGCCUUGAAGCCACAUUUCUCUUCUCUUUAUUACUGUUCUAAUGUAUCGGGGCCCGAGACCUCCUCGUGGUGUCGCCCCCUCCACGGUCUUUCCUACCUAUGGGUAUCGGGGGUAACAUUGUCGAUGUCUCAAUCUUGGCGACGCCUCAACUUGGCGACCCCUCCACCUGGCGAUGCCUCAACUUGGCGACGCUUCAACCUGGCGACACCUUGUCCUGGCGACGCCUCAAGCGGUCAACCCGUUGACUUUCUCCCAUUGGACCCCUUGAUGGGUCCCACCAUAUGUUGACUUUGACUUUGACUUUGACCUUGGUCAACGCCCGGGGACGGGACGGUACAAGAACAAUUAUUCAAAUGUAAUUAAUCACUUAAUCGAGAAGUGUAUAUAUAUACAAAUCUACUUGUUGCACCGUGUCUGUGUAUUUUGUGUCUCUAAUUUAACGUUUCAUUGUGGUUUUACGGUUAGGGGUUUGGGUCUUAGUGCCAUUGUCAUUGUGUUGUUUCCUCAUCGUUGUAAUGUUGGAAAAUGGCAUCAGUAAACCCUAAUGUUUUUUUUUAAUCGAUAAUAAAUAAAUAAAUAUGAUCCACUUUAGGAGUGAUAUAACCCUUAUACAUAAACACAACCUUUAAUCUCUCUUACUAGACAUACUCUCAUAUAUGCUUAUACAUAACACUUCUAACUGCACCCAUAGAUAAUCACCUGAGGCAAUCAAACAUACAUCUUAAAUGAGUACAUCAUGAGAUCAUCCUCAUACAAACCAGAGGAUCAAGACACCAAUCAGAAAAGGAGAAAAACGCAGAAUGUGACUUGGAUGUAACACAAGACCAAUUGGACCAAAGUAAAAACUUCUAAUACCUCUACUACACCCCCUUUAAAGAUUACACUGUUUUUAUGCUUCCAAAUCUCGUUGACUACUGCAAUCCAAAUCACUCCCCAAACCUCAUUUACCGAAGCAGGCACAUUGCACAUCCUAAACUGUGAAAAAUUUAGCAAUGUAAUGUUGUGAAACACACUCUGCACACCCAUCCAUACACAAUAGUGGUUCCACAAUAACCAGGAAAAUCUAAUGGUGAGAAAUCACAAGGUUCUCUUUUCUCUGUUUUUGGGAUAGAAAGCAUCAACUUAUAGAAACUGAAUGGGAAAAAUAAUUUAGCCUAGUUUGCUUCUGUAAUUGGGUUGAAUCACGACAAUGGGGAAGGACAUUGUACCGGUGAGGGUCGUACGACUGAUGUCACGUAUGGGUCCUCAUCACUGGAUCAACCGAGGUAAAGGCCCACGUCCAUAGGGCUGACCAACAACACAAGUCCAAUUACGCUCAAUCAAGGUCAACGAAGCUAAUCCUCGAUUAAAAGCUAGGUAAUGCAGCCCUAAACGCGAUCCAACUCCUUAACCUGACCCAAUAAGGAAAACCCACCAAAGGUAAUAUAAAUAGCACAUAUUCCAAGAAUUAGGUAAGUCAUCAUAUGUAGUGCUCUGAGAACAGAGUACCGAACGUCUUUGCUGACUUGAGUGUCAGAGUGCCUUCUACACGUACCCUCUGAGUCUGGAUUACGAGAAGACGAAGAAUCGAUGUUAGGAAGGAAGAGUGAGGAGUUUGCAAGGGAGCUGAAGGAAAGUAGGAUCGACCGAUAGAAGGAAUCCUCUCAAUAGUUCUCUAGGCCCCAACCCCCGUACGAGAACAAUUGGCGUCCACCGUGGGGCCGAAAGAAGUUGAGUAAAGAACGCUAGUAGUGUUAGAAUGUAUGGCCUUAAACGAGAGGGGGGUGAAUUGUUUAAUAAAGAUUUUCGUAAACUUUUAUGCCUUAGAAUGAAAAUACUUCAAGAGAACCUUGAUUAAGAAAUCAGUUUUUCAAAACAUAAAGCAAAAACACAAUACUGGAAAAAAAAUCGGUUGUUUUAACAAAAUAAUCGGUUGUUUAUACUAGUUAUCAAAUAACAAAGCUGAAUUUAAAGAGAUAGGAAUAGAGAGAUUGUACACAGAUGUUUAUACUGGUUCACUCCAAACCCAGAGCUACAUCCAAUCUUCUCAGAAACCCUGAGGAAAUCCACUAAGCAACCACAACUUGAUCACUUACACAACAACCAAGAGAAUGACCUUGAACACCUCAAGAAACACAUUCUCCUUGGUCAACACAACAACACCAAGAUUGUGGAUCUUGAUCCCCUCAAGAACACACAGUCAAUCUUAGCAAACACAAAAACGAAGUUGUUUAUAGAGUACAAGGAUUACACUUGUUACAAAAGAUAAUCUGAAUUCAAUACAAGCAGAAUCCUAUUCCACAAACUUUGAUCAAUCACAAACUCUUAGCAAUCUCAGCUCUUUAAAAAACUAAAAAACUCUUAGUGAAAACUUGUCAAAAGAUUACAUUCUUAAAUCUGUUAUUUGAAUUUAUUCAAAGAUGUAAUUUGUUAUCAAAUCUUAACAAACUCUUAAAUUGCAUUAAAAGAUUGGUCAAAGCAUUUAAUGACUGGAGCGUAAGCAGUUAAAUCAUUUAAAGCUCAGUCAAAGAUAAAACAGUUUUUCUGUUAUGGUCCCAAAACAAACAAUCGGUUGUUUCCUCGAAUCAAUCGGUUGUUUUGGUUCUUAACAGUUCAACCAUUUGAAAAACAGUUUUCAAUCUUUUUCUCAAAACACCUAAGUACAAACAAUCGGUUGUUUUGACAAAACAAGCGGUUGUUUUAACUUAGUUUGAAAACAUUUUACUUUCACAAAGAUUGAGAUGCUUAUUCUUUAGAUUUAAUUUACAAAACUCAAACUACCCCAGAACUAUACUAAACCAGCACAACAACACCAAGCACAACAAAGGCUUCAACAUCCUUCAAAAGAUUUGUAUUCUUCAAAUCUUGAACACUACUUGGUUCAACAAUCUCCCCCUAUUUGAUGAAGACAAAUCCCUGGUGCUUAUGUUUGAACUGAUUGAAUCUGAAGCAGUACCUGUAAAAAUAACAUUUAACCUAUCAAAUGCUUCUAACAACAGCAAGUUAGAUUUUUUACAUAUCUCAAGCAUAAACCAUGAUAAACAAUUGGUUGUUUACACGAAACAAUCGGUUGUUUUUAUCAGCAGCAGAGAAAACCUUUUAUAUCAGAGAUUUUAACAGAUUAUUCAGUAUCAGAUAAAGAUAUACAAGAACCAACCAAUUCUCCCCCUAUUUGUCUUCACAAAUAGACUUUAGCAUGAAAACAAAAACAGAUUUAGGAGAGAUUAUUAAGAUCAAGGAUACCUAACUCAUUUCUUAAGAAGAAAAACCUCUCUUUUGGUAAAGGCUUUGUGAAGAUGUCAGCUAACUGCAGUUUGGUCUCCACAAACUUCACUUCACAGUUCCCAUUGUUUACAUGAUCCUUGAUGAAAUGAUGCCUUAUCUCAAUAUGUUUGGUCCUUGAGUGCUGAAUCUGAUUUUUGGUAAGAUUGAUGGCACUUGUGUUAUCACACAUCAAAGGAACCUUGCUGAUUUGCAAACCAAAAUCUGCAAGUUGUUGCUUAAGCCACAUAAUUUGUGCAUAGCAGCUACCAACAACUAUAUAUUCAGCCUCAGCAGUAGAGAGAGCAACACAUGCUUGUUUCUUGCUAUGCCAUGAGAUUAAGCUUGAGCCAAGAAGGUGACAAGUGCCACUUGUGCUCUUUCUAUCUAGCUUGCAACCUGCAAAGUCAGAAUCUGAAUAACCAAUUAAAUGAAUUGGAGAGUGAGAAGGAUACCAUAAUCCUACAGAUGAUGUUCCUUUGAGAUAUUUCAUAAUUCUUUUUGCAGCUUUGAAGUGUGACUCCUUAGGAUUUGCUUGAUAUCUUGCACAAAGACAUACCGCAAACAUGAUAUUCGGCCUACUAGCUGUUAGAUAGAGCAAAGAUCCAAUCAAUCCUCUGUAUUUUUUUUUAUCUACACAUUUUCCAGCAGCAUCCGCAUCCAUGUAGCAGCUUGAUGGCAUUGAAGUGCUUGCUUCUUUGCAACUCUCCAUUUUAAAUUUCUUGAGAAUCUCUUUGCAAUACUUUGAUUGACUUAAGAAGAUCCCAUCCUUUGUUUGCUUAACCUGCAAUCCAAGAAAGAAAGAUAGUUCUCCCAUCAUAGACAUUUCAAACUCACCUUUCAUUGCAGCCACAAAUUCUUCACACAAUCUAUCUUGAGUAGCACCAAAGAUGAUAUCAUCAACAUAGAUUUGCACAAGGAUUAUUUCUGCAUUUGAUUUCUUGAUGAAGAGAGUCUUGUCUACCAUUCCUCUUUCAUAACCAUGAGAUAGCAGAAAGUUGCUAAGCCUCUCAUACCACUGCCUUGGAGCUUGUUUCAGUCCAUACAAAGCUUUCUUCAACUUGAAUACAUGGUUGGGAUACUUAUGAUCUUCAAAGCCCGGUGGUUGAUCUACAAAGACUUCCUCAUUGAUGUAGUCAUUCAAGAAGGCACUCUUGACAUCCAUUUGAAAGAGUUUAAAACCACUCAUACACGCAAACGCCAGCAGCAACCUCACAGCCUCCAAUCUAGCAACAAGAGCAAAGGUCUCACCAUAAUCUAUGCCCUCUUCUUGAUUGUAGCCUUUUGCAACUAGCCUUGCUUUGUUCCUUGUGAUCACACCAUCCUCAUCUAGCUUGUUCCUGAAAACCCAUUUCGAACCAAUAAUAUUCAUUUCAUUAGUUUUAGGGACCAGAAACCAUACCUCAUUCCUUGCAAACUGAUUCAACUCUUCAUGCAUAGCUUCAACCCAUUUCUCAUCCUUGAGAGCUUCCUCAAUUGAUUUUGGUUCAAUUUGAGAGACAAAGGUUGUGUGCCUGCAGAAGUUUGAGAUGGAGCUACGUGUGGAGACACCUUCCUUUAUCUGCCCUAUGAUGUUGUCCACUGACAGAUCUCUAGGAAUCCUCCACUCUUUGGGCAGCUCACUCUGUUGCAGAAUUUCAAACGGUUGUUUCUGCGAAUCAACCGGUUGUUUUUUUGCAUAGAUAUCCAGCUUCUCCAAACUGAUGCUCUGUUCAUCUUCCUCAACACUGGUCUUUUGGGAUUUGAUUGACUCUGCGAUCUACCUCAUCAAAGACAACGUGAACUGAUUCUUCUACAGUCAUCAACCUCUUGUUGUAGACUCUAUAUGCAUGACUUGUGAGUGAAUAACCAAUGAAGAUACCAAGGUCCGCUUUCUCAUCAAACUUUUCCAAGUUUUCCUUUCCAUUGUUGAGAACGAAACAACUGCAGCAAAAGACUUUGAGAUGACUGAUGUUAGGCUUCCUUCCAUUGAAGAGUUCAUAUGGAGUUUUCUUCAAAAUGGGCCUUAUAAGCACCCUAUUCAUCACAUAACAAGAGGUGCUCACUGCAUCUGCCCAAAAAUACUUAGGAAGUGAUGAUUCACUAAGCAUUGUCCUUGCAAGCUCUUCAAGAGACUUGUUCUUCCUUUCAACCACUCCAUUCUGCUGUGGUGUUCUUGGAGCAGAGAAAUUGUGCAGAAUUCCCAACUUCUCACAGAAUUUGCUAAACUUCUCAUUCUGAAAUUCUCCUCCAUGAUCACUUCUAAUAGAACCUAUGUUGCUGUUCUUUGUAUUUUGUAGCCUUCUUGCUAGCUUCUUGAAUGUAGAAAAGGCAUCACUCUUUGAUUCCAAGAAAAGAGUCCAAGUGUACCUAGAGAAGUCAUCAACAAUAACAAGAGCAUAAUAAUUUCCACCAAAACUCAUAGUUCUUAAGGGUCCAAAGAGAUCCAUGUGAAGAAGUUUAAGAGGUCUCAAAGAUGAAACAACAUUUUUAAUUUUGAAAGAACUUUUCACUUGUUUCCCUUUUUGGCAUGCUUCACAAAUGUGAUCCCUCUCAAACUUGAGUUUUGGCAGCCCAAUCACAAGAUCCUUUGAAAUAAGCUUGUUCAAAUGAUUCAUGUGAAUAUGAGCAAUUCUUCUAUGCCAAAGCCAAGAUUCAUCUUGCUUGGAUAGAAGACAUCCAAUUGAACAUGGUGAAGAGAUAUCUAGAAGAUACACAUUAUUAACUCUCUUACCUACCAACAUUACCUCUUUGGUGUUAGGUAGACAGAUUUCACAUGUGUUUGUCUUGAACAUCACUCGAUAUCCCUUGUCACAUAGUUGGCUAAUGCUUAGCAGAUUAUGCUUUAGGCCUUCAACAAAAAGUACAUCAUGGAUCACCAAGAUGUUCUCAUCUCCUAUGGAUCCUCUCCCAAAAAUUCUUCCUUUGUUGUUGUCUCCAUAGGUGACAUGACCCUCUUGCUUGAAGGAGAUUCUCAGGAACUUUGAUUUAUCCCCUGUCAUAUGUUUGGAGCAUCCACUAUCCAAGUACCAUAGUUGUUUGCCUUCCUCCAAGAUUUCCUACAAAAGAGAUUUUCAAGUACAAAGAUUUGGUCCCCUUAUGAAUGUGGGUCUAUCUAGUUUAUACUCAUCAAUUAAAGUUUUAUUUCCCUUAGGAAUCCACUUCAUAAGACCUUUAGGAACAACAUGUUUUCUGAUUUUACAGAACCUCACAGAAUGGCCUCUUUUCAUGCAAUAGAAGCAUGUAACAAUCGGUUUCCAAUCGAUUGUUUUUCUGGCAUUUUCAAAAAUGAUUUUGAAAAUCUAUCUUGUUUGUUUUGUGGAUUAAAACUCAAUCCAGCUUUUCCAAAAACACAGUUUUGAGAUGCUAGAACACUCUCAAAGUUGGAUUGGCCUUUACAAAGCUUAUCCACUGUUUUAACAAGAUAGUGGACCUUCUUUUCAAGAUUUUCGCAAUUUUCACAAACUAGAGUAUCACACUUGCAGGAGGAGUUUUUGUAAAUGAUUUCCAGAUUUUCAAAGUCUGUUUUUGAAUUUUCUAAAUCCUCUUCCAGUGCCUUUACUCUAUUUUCAAGCCAGUUGUUCUUUUCUUUUAACCGAUUGUUCAAGAGAGCCAAUCGGUUGGCUUCUUCAUGUGUUUCUUGAAAGGCUUGAAGUAAUUGACCAUAAUUUUCAGAGUUUGAGGAGUUUGAUGAACUUACACUAUUUGAGUCAUCCUCCCUUCUGGCCAUGAAGCAAAGAUUGAUUCUUUUCUUAUUUUGCCUCCUUUUUCUUUUUGCUUGACUCUUUGUCAUUGCUUCCUUUGGUUCAUGAGCAGCCUUGAGUGUGUCCCACAUUUCCUUAGCAGUUUUGCACUUUGAUAUCCUGAAAAAUUCAUUAGUAUCCAGUGCAUAAGCUAUAAUGUUUUGAGCAGAUCUAUCAAGCUGGGCCAUCUUACAUUCAUCAUUUGUCCAUUGAGACAAAGGUUUUGAAAUGAAAGAAUUAUUCUUUUUGAACUUUGGAAUGUAAGGACCAUUCUCAAUUGAAUCCCAAAUUCUUUGAUCAAUAGAUUCAAUAAAGAUUUUCAUUCUUGCUUCCCAAAACUUAUAAUUCAAUCCACAUAAUAAAGGUGGUUUGUAGAUUGAAGCACCUUCCUCAAAAGAUAGUUUUCCAGCCAUAAAAAAGAUUUUUGAUCAACUUGAAUAACUUUAAAGAACCAAGCUUUUGAUGCCAAUUGUUAGAAUGUAUGGCCUUAAACGAGAGGGGGUGAAUUGUUUAAUAAAGAUUAAUAAAGAUUUUCGUAAACUUUUAUGCCUUAGAAUGAAAAUACUUCAAGAGAACCUUGAUUAAGAAAUCAGUUUUUCAAAACAUAAAGCAAAAACACAAUACUGGAUUACCGAAACAAUCGGUUGUUUAUACCAGUUAUCAAAUAACAUNNNNNNNNNNNNNNNNNNNNNNNNNNNNNNNNNNNNNNNNNNNNNNNNNNNNNNNNNNNNNNNNNNNNNNNNNNNNNNNNNNNNNNNNNNNNNNNNNNNNCCAAACCCAGAGCUACAUCCAGUCUUCUCAGAAACCCUGAGGAAAUCCACUAAGCAACCACAACUUGAUCACUUACACAACAACCAAGAGAAUGACCUUGAACACCUCAAGAAACACACUCUCCUUGGUCAACACAACAACACCAAGAUUGCUGAUCUUGAUCCCCUCAAGAACACACAGCCAAUCUUAGCAAACACAGAAACAAAGUUGUUUACAAAGUACAAGGAUUACACUUGUUACAAAAGAUAAUCUGAAAUCAAUACAAGCAGAAUCCUAUUCCACAAACUUUGAUCAAUCACAAACUCUUAGCAAUCUCAGCUCUUUGAAAAACUCAAAAACUCUUAGUGAAAACUUGUCAAAAGAUUAUAUUCUUAAAUCUGUUAUUUGAAUUUAUUCAAAGAUGUAGUUUGUUAUCAAGUCUUAACAAACUCUUAAAUUGCAUUAAAAGAUCGGUCAAAGCAUUUAAUGACUGGAGCGUAAGCAGUUAAAUCAUUUAAAGCUCAGUCAAAGAUAAAACAGUUUUUCUAUUAUGGUCCCAAAACAAACAAUCGGUUGUUUCCUCGAAUCAAUCGGUUGUUUUGGUUCUUAACAGUUCAACCAUUUGAAAAACAGUUUUCAAUCUUUUUCUCAAAAUACCUAAGUACAAACAAUUGGUUGUUUCGACAAAACAAUCGGUUGUUUUAACUUAGUUUGAAAACAUUUUACUUUCACAAAGAUUGAGAUGCUUAUGCUUUAGAUUUAAUCAAAGGGUGGAUUACAAAACUCAAACUACCCCAGAACUAUACUAAACCAGCACAGCAACACGAAGCACAACAAAGGCUUCAACAUCCUUCAAAGGAUUUGGAUUCUUCAAAGCUUGAACACUACUUGGUUCAACAAGUAGAUGGUAUCAACCUGCAGCAUGACAAGCGAGAGGAUGACCGAAGCUGACUAGUUGACGUUGUUGAUGUCUUUGUAGAUAGAGAUGGCUGAGUUGAGGAGGAGAAAUGAAGAAGUGAGUAGGACAUCCAAGCUCUCCAUAGGAAGAACGAGUAUAUGAAGAAGAAGUUGGUUAAGGGAGGACCAUCCGUUGUGCCGACUAACCUUGUCGGUAGGUCAUUCACCUCCCCUCCCAACCCGAGAGCUGUUGGAGAGACCAAGGACAAGGCCCUGACUCAGGAGAUGGAUAGUGAGUAUUUUCCUAACAAGUCGGUCCGCACGACCCGUACCAUGGAUUCGGUGCGUCGACACCCUUUCACUGAUUCUAUCAUCGGGUUCCACUACGGGAUAAGUGGAAAGGCUUCAACAAGGAUCGCUAUGAUGACACAACCGAUCCAGAUGGGCACAUGGAUGCGUACACUACGCACAUGAGCCUGUAUACCUCGAACGAUGCGGUCUUAUGCCGAGUGUUUCCUACGUCGUUGAAGGGAGGAGCUCUUAACUAGUUCACAAAGCUCUCUCCCAACUCCGUUGAUAGCUUCGCGACGCUGAUGUCUAAGUUCGAGACACAAUGUGCCACAAGCCGACUGCACCACCUGACCUCCAUUACCCUGGUUGGUAUCCGCCAGAAGAAGGGAGAAUCCUUGAGGACCUUUGUCGAUAGGUUCGACAAGGUAACAAUGAGCAUUCAGAACCUUAGUCCGGACAUGGCCAUGCACCAAAUGUUAACGGCCUUACGGUUGGGGCCGUUUGCCGACAACCUCUGCAUGUAGCCGGCCGCUAGCUUGGACAAGCUUCGGAAGUGAGCUACCAAGUAUAUUCAGUUGGAGGAAGUGAGAAAGUUCCGUAACCAGGCCCGGGCGAAAGCCAGCGCCGAGAAGGGAAAGGAGGAGAAGGAACGCCAGGGCUGAUCGACCAAUAAGGGAGACAUGCACAUGGAUAACCGAAGCAACCAAUUCUCAAUAUACACCACCUUGACGACCGAGAGGGGAAGAAUCCUGGAAGAGGCUCUCAACCAAGUUGAUCCCUCCACCCAGGAAAGCAUAAAACCCAGAGAAUGUUGACUAUAGGAAACGGUGUCGGUAUCACAAGAACAACGGACAUUCCACUGAGGAAUGUCAGACCCUCAAGGAUAAGAUAGAAAAACUUAUCCAGGUCGGGCACCUGCAAAGAUUCGUCCAAGGUGAUCGAGGCACAAGAUGAUCCCCCAGGUGGGACUAGCCCGUGAAGCGGAGGAACCACUCCCUUCCAAGGGCGCGGGAUGACCGUCGACCCGAGGAGGGAUGACCCUCCACGUAAAGAAGAUCGCUCAUGGGAGAACGAGAGGGAGGUGACCGGGAAGUCAUCAACACCAUCGAUAGAGGGUUUGCCGGUGGUGGAAGCUCCAACAACGUCCGGAAGAAGCACCUCAGAACGGUGCACCAGGUGAACAUGGUUUCAUUCUGACCGAGGAUGUCACCCAUCACCUUCAUCAACUACGAUGGAGUAAUUUAUGGUUUUAUUUCAAUAGUGUUCAUUUAAUCAUUUGAUGAAGAAAACAGUUGAAUCCGAUAGGUAAGCAUUUGAACUUUUAAAAUAUUUACUAUAUUUCAAAUUAUCUUAUCAAAAAAUAUGAUAUGCUUUGUCAUAACAUAUAUGUCAUUCCACUAUAUAUAUCAUAAAUGUUUUGUUGCAUAUUGCUCUCUAAUUUGAAUAUGCUCUUGGUGAGACAACUUUCUUUUCAAAACUUACAUGGCAUUCAAUCAUAUGUGAAACAUUACAUCAUAAAUAAGAGGUAUGAACAUUAUGAAAUUUUUAAUAAUUUAAUUUGUAAUUAUAAGUUUGUUAUUAAAUAACCUAAUAAUGUUUUUUCAUAUUGUAAUGACAGUUGUGCUCUUGGAUUAAAAAAUAGUUAUCUUUCUCAUUUCUAUUUUUUAACUCACUAUUUCUUGACUUAUUACAUGAAAAUAACACUUCAAUAAUUACAAGUACAAAUAUCUACUUUUUUCUUGGCCAAUGUGAACUCCACCCGUCAAUAUAACAUUUGUUUUUUUACUAAUUGUUUCUUAUUUGAAUUUGCAUGAUAACAUAGUUUUUCUUAUUAUAGUUGUGCUUCUGCUACAAAAUUGUAAUAAAUAUAAUGUCUUAUCAAAAUCUUCUAUUGAUAUGUUUGCAUUUGGACAAAAUAAUACUUUUACUUACUGUUUUUUUAAGACGUAACAAUACAAGUAUGACCAGUACAAAAUUAGUCUCUUAUUUUUCAUAUAUUUUCACCAAUUUUACAUUUAAGUUAUCUGUUGUGGUCAUUGAAAUGUGUUGACAUUAUAAUCUAAUAUUGCUCAACACUUAAUUUAUGGCAGCUAAAGCAAGAAACUUAUCUAAUUCAUUUCCUCACUAGUGCAGAAACAUGAAACAAAUGCGGCUGCAUUUGAUCAACACGCACUUGUAAAUCAAGAAAUAUAAAUGCGGCUAUAUAGCCGCAUUUAUAUAUACCAUUUACAAGUGCGGUUAUUUGCUUUAACCGCACUUGUAUAUGGCAAAUCAUUAAAAAAAAAUUUUAAAACAUCGUCAAUCUUGUGUGAAGGCAACGUUGAUGAAGAGUCACGGGAGCGCCAACAACGGUGGCGACAGUAGAAGCGACGGCGGACAUGGAAGCAGCAACGGAGCAAACCAAAAAAUCCACAAGAAACCACGAAGACAAUGAAAGAGUACUGAGCAAUGCAAGAAACCAAACAAUGUAAGAAAAACGAAUGUCAGCCAACAAAACAGUGCUUCGAGACCACCAAUGCAAGGAAAAAACAUAUAUAAGAAAAACGAAAACAUUUAUGCAUAUAUUUGUGAAGAUGAAGAAGAAGAAAGAGAGUUCGAGAAACUUACAUUGCACAAAUGGAAUGCAGAUGCAGCAGAAGGAGACGAACUCAGAGUGCGAACGCGAAACGAAGGCAAAGACGAGAAAGAAAGUUUGAAAUUGUGUGUGGCGCGCUUCAAAAUUUAGGGUAAAAAAGGAUUUACGAAUGCGGCUAAAGGUAAAACCGCAUUCGUAAAUCAAGCUCUUUGAUUUACAAGUGCGGUUAUACAAAUAGCCGCAUUCGUAAAUUAAGUGCUUUGAUUUACGAAUGCGGCUAUUCAAAUAGCCGCAUUUGUAAAUCAAAAUAAUUUCAAAAAUGCCACCGCGUUUUUUACGAAAGCGGGUAGCGCAAAAACCGCACUAAAUUAAGCGUAUCAUUUUCUUCUUUUUGUACUAGUGCCUAUUAUUUGUUGGUUGACAUAUUUUGUCAUUAAGAUUGCCUUUUUCUCUUAUUUUUUUUCUACUUUUUGUCAAUAUCGUUAUGUAAUAGUUAUUAAAUUCGUUAAUAACUGCUUCUUCAUAUUGAGUUGCUUAUUUUAAAUUUGUUGAUUUAAAUUUGUUAAUUCAAUAAUAUAAUGUACUUUAAAGUAAUAUUGUUUCAUAUACAAAUGUAUAUAUUGGUAAUUACAUUUCUACAACUAUAUUUAUGGUUUUUUCUUUUAUUUUGCUUCUAUAGUAUUAUAUUUAAAUCGUACGUGUUGUCUUAUUUAAAAUGUGUUGACUUGAUCCUAUCAUGUGGUCUACACUUCAAAUUUGACAACUACAUUAAAAUAGUAUAAUUCAUACCUAUGUUUGGAAUUACUAUUGUUAGAUUUAAUUUUUACUUUUAUUUUUAUUUAUUGCAUAUUUACUUGCUGAAAUGAUAUUAUGUUGUGUUAUCUACUUAAUUUGUUAAUAUUGUUAUUUAAAUUUUUCUAAACAAUUCAGACAUCGUACUAGUUCUUAUAUGUAAUCGGAUACAGUUAAAUUCGUAUAUAUGUUCCUACCGGGUUUGAACUCGGAGAGUGCAACUCGACAAAGACAGAAUAUUCCUCAAGGAAUGAACUUUCAGUUGGUCUCCGAUGAAAAGGAAAUGUUCACCUCAAAAUGACUUUAUGAUGAUUAGGCCAUUAAGAGCACAAAGAUAGCUAGUUAUUAACAAUGUGAGUGUUAAGAGUAUGAGAAAAGAUUCCUCGAGAGUGCGUAUUUAUAAAUUCAUCAAGUGAUAUUUUUUGAGUUGAUGUUUGUGAGCCCUUACAUUGACCAUGUAACUACUUUAUAAGUUCAUUAAUUAGAUCGUUUUACUUAUAAUGAUCAUUAAUAACAAAUAACGACUCCGUUACUAAGUAGAAAAGUCAUCCCAAACUAUUAAUCGUCCGAAGCUAAACAGGUAAUAUAUAUAUAUAUAUAUAUAUAUAUAUAUAUAUAUAUAUAUAUAUAUAUAUAUUCAAAGCAAAAACAACAAUGUUUCAAAGCUUCAAUAGCAAACUACUUAAGUUGACUCUCUCAUUUAAAAAAUUAAUAUAAUAUCUUGUGAACCAAUGAUUCAAAACAGAAAACUACACUUGAUCUUAGCCAAAACGCCGAGAAAGAUAUUUUUGUAUUGUUAUGUAGUAGAAUUAUUUCUAAUCAAGUUAAAAAAAAGUCUACCAAUAUUAAUAAGAUUAUAUUUUGAUUGACGUCAUUAAGAAUUCUUUUACUUGACCUCUAUUUAAGUUCUUUUUUAAAAUAUUAUAGAGAUUAUUAUUUUUAUUUAUACCAUUAGUUUUAUUUUUUUUAUCAAAAGUCGAUAGAGAUUUGUUUUCUUAAUAUUAAUUACAUAAUUUUCAAUUUGACUAAAAUUCUCUUUGAUAAUAUAUAAAAAAUAAUAUAUCAACAUCAUAAGAAAACAUACAGUAGGCAAUAUCAAGCAAAAUAAUUUGCUGUUAAAAAAAAGAAAAAAAAAGCAAAAUAAUUUCAACUAAACUCAAUUGAUAAAAGCAUUCUCUUAUUUAAAACAACAAAUUGAAGGUAAAGAAAUUCAAAUUUAAUAUAUUUGAAUUUCUUUGAAAUUGUAAGAUUCUGAACGCCCUUUAUUUUCACUUUUUUAUGCUGCUUACUCAGUUGCAUGGCAAAAGCACUUAUCGGUCUUAGCAGCGCAAUUCCAAGCUGCCCUAGCUUCUCAUUUCAGUGACAAUAUGUGAAGCUUCCAAAGACAACGUGGUGCCAAGAACACCAACAUUUGAAGAGACGCUCCCAUUCUUCAACAAGUUAAUCACCAAUGGUCCAAGUCAUGUCAUUCUCAAAGAUCCAAUGACACACCUCAAUUUGCCCCGGACCCGACCCGAGAGCCAAGAAAGCUCCGUGAGAUGGGCUCCAAGCUGACGUGUCCAAGUGACAGAUGGCAACACCACGGUUGAUCUUGGCCUUGCUUUUCGGGUCCAACAGAUCCGCUUCGUAGACCCGAACCUUUGGAACCGAAUGGCAGUAAUAAAGCAAAUAAGGAAACAAACUCUGGUGACAAGAAACGGAUUCAGUAACUCUCCCACCGUUAAUCCCAUUCACCCAACCCACCAUCACAUUCCCCUUCGACCCCUUCACGUUCUCUGUGGUUCGAACCACAACGUUGGAACCCAACACCCCUGUGGCGAAGUCCACCAUAUCCUCCAUGGACCCCACGCACCUCUUGCUCUCACCUUGGCUCGGUACUCUCUCGCACUCGCUCACUGAAUCCUUCACAAUCUUAUCCAAACUUGAACCGGCACCAACCUCAAAAACCCGGUUCACCCCACUAACGGUAAACGGUAACUUAGACAAAAUUACCCGGGGCAAAAACGACCUUUCAGGCAUUUUAUCUCUAAUAUCAGGCAUAGCCAUCACCGUUCCCUCUUUCAGCAUAAACUCCCGAAAAAACUUACCCUCCUCAACCCAAUUUUUUACUAUUGUGCCACUGAAACUCUCGUUUUUGUAGCUCGCAAAUGUUUGAGCGCCCUGUUUGGCAUACUCAGUGAAAGAGGAGUUGAUUCGGUAGCCAGAGAAUCCAAACCUCUGUUUCUCACCACCCUUUCCAUACCCAAUGAACUUAUCCGAGUUACUAUUAUCCGAUUUAUCAUACCCCUUGAAAUCCACGUCACCACCGUUAGAUUCUUUUCCGUAAUUCUGAAACGAGUCACUCCCACCGUUGGACUCAACCCUGUAAGUAUCGAACCUGUCAACGGCGCCGUCUCCACCGUUACCGUAGCUCUCGAACGUGUUCGUUGGAUUGUUCCCUUGGUUAGCGUAGUUCUUGAACGUGUCGUUCACUCUAACUCCGUCGUUGCCGUAGCUCGAGAAUCCGGUUAGGGUAGGGUUGGAGCUUGUGCCGUAGUUUUGGAACGAGUUUUCCGUCUCAUUGCCGCGUUUCCCGUAACCGGCGAACGAUUGUUGGCCGCCGUUACCGUUCUCGGUGUAUCCAAUGAAGGAUUGGGUUCUUUUUCUGGCGUCGUCGGAGUAGGAGGCGAAUUCGAGGUCGUCAAAGCCGUUGACCGGUUCGGCGUAGUUUUUGUAACUGGAGGUGCCGGCGGUGGCGCCGCCUCCAUAGCUUCGGAAUGUGUCGUUGAUGACGUUGCCGAAGGAGCCGUAGGUUAUGAAAUCGUCGCUGUGGUUUACGGAGGCUUUGCUGUAUUGGCGGAAGUCAUUUUGGGGGCCGUUUUCGCGCUGGUUGUCGGAGUAGUUCUUGAACGAGUUGAGUCCACCGAGUCGACUCGUUCCGUAGUCGGAGAAGUUUCUGUUGUUGUAGACAGCAAAUUUAGCGUCUCUGCUGGUGCGUUGGGCGGAGAGAGAGAGAGGUUUGGAAUGACAGAGUAAGCGUGCGGCGGAGCAGAAGCGUGGGAGGUGCGCGGAGAGGGUGUUGUUGGCGGCAAGUUUGGCGAAGGUGGCGGUUUCCGCUACGGUGAGUGGAGAGGCCUUGGAGAGAAGAAAAUGUGGCUUUGGUGAUUUGUUGGUGAUUUUGUUGUCCCAGUAACGAAUUAAGAAAGCCUUUGGGGAGAAAGGAUUUUGGUUUUUAUCUCUGACGCUGGCAACCUGCAAUAUUGAUAAUGAGCAUGAAUAAUAGAAAUAUAUAAAUAGAAUUUGACAUUUUGUUAAUUGGUUAAUUGAGAUUUAAAAGAGUGGAGUAAGUAGGGAAGAGUAAUGUUGGAAGAAAAUGGAGAUAAAGAAAGGUGAUUACAGUGAGAGAUGAAAGGAGGAGAAGGAGAAAGAUGCGGGUGAUCAUGUUUAUGGACACUGACAGUUGUGAUGUGAAUGGUGGUGAUGGAGAAUUUUGGGUUGUGUACUUAUACUACUUAGCGGCGGCUGCUGCUGUCAAUAUUGUUCUGAUCUCUAUAUUGAAUGAAAGUUGCAGAUUUUGUUUGGAAUCAUAGUUUUCACUUUUAAGAGAGCCCCUGAAACUGAAAAUAGAUGUUUAGCAUUUCAAGCUUUAAGCACAAAGAGUGAAAAGUUGAAGGUGGCAAGAUUUUGGUAAAUAUGUCAACAAGUUUUGCAAAUUGGAAGGAAUUGGGAGGAGUUUCACUAAUCCCUCAUAAUGUGCCAAUGUAUCUCUAUACACUUAGUGCACUCAUGAAACACUUGGUUGCAUGUAAUUUUUUAUGACAGACAAGUUAUAUUACAAUAAAUAAUAGUUGGUUAAGAAUGAGAUAUAUGAAGAUCUUUAAUGAGAUAGAUCAACCAUUACAACUCUCAGAGUGGUCUUAACAAGAACUCUGUACUCAACUUUUGUAGAACUUUUAGAAAUAAUUUACUAUUUCUUAUAUUGCGUGAAUUUUCAACAUGUAAAAUGUAUUCGGUGAUAAAUUUUUUAGCAUUAGGGCAUCCUGUUCAGUCAAAGUUACUGAAGGGUUUGAAUUUAACUUCAUUGUUAGCAUUAAGAAAGAUUCCUUUUAGAUAAUGCAGAAUUCGAAAAGAAGCUUGAUGAUGUGCAGUUAUAGAAGCAGAAAAAGCUGACUAAGAUGAUGAACCACAUGUGUUAUAUCUUCACUUAUAUUAGUAAAAUAGAUAUGCCUCCCUAUAUAUAAGUAUUCUAUAGGAUGUAGGGUCUCUGUUAGAUCACGAGGACAACCAUUUGUUUAAUUCAAAUUUAGUGAUAAUUUUUAAUAUAUUAUUUUGAAAAAUAACAGAUUAUAUUUUAAAUAAGAUUUACAUUUAAAAGACUUAAAUAUGUUUAAAAAAAAUAAUUUAUCAAAAAUAAUUUCAAAAUAUUGUUUUCCGGAUUAAUAGAUUAAUUUACUGAUAUAAAAUUUAUUAAAACUAGAAACAAUUUGUAAUUGAAAUUUUUAAACUUUUUCCAACACACAAAACAAACCUCCACAGUCAAAUAUAACAACAAUGGAGAGAAAAAUAAUUUUACAUUUAAUAUGAUAGAUAUAUAUUUCAGAAAAAAUAAUCAAUUGUUUUAUAAAACAUUGAUUGUAUAAAGAUCAACAGAAUUUUAUUAAAUUGUUUAUGUUUCAAAUAAUUUUAUUAAUCAUAAAUUGAUACAAAUUACAACAAAAUAUAUUAAGAUUUGAUAUAACAAUCAAUAUCAAUUAUUUGAGUAACUCUAGUUUUACAGAAAAUCAAUACAAGUUUGGAAACAUCAAAAGAAAUAAAUUAUUUAAAAAAAACCAACAAAUUGAUCAUAUAAAAAAAAAUUAUUAUGUAAACAAUUCAUAAAGUAGAAUAAAAAAUAUAGAAAAACACCAAGAAUUUUAUAUUAGUUCACUCAUAUACAAAGUUACAUCCAAUCCCACCUGACACCAAGGUGAUUUUCACUAAAAACGAAAUUCUUUACAAGAAAAUACACCAAACUCUUGACAUAAUUGACAACAUAUGUCCAAAAUUGAGCAGAAACAUUAGAUUGAAAAUCAAAGUUAUAGUAACAUUUAAGAGGUGUUGAUGUUUUAUUUUAUUUUUUUUAUUAUCACAUUUUGUUUAGGUGUUUCAACAUAACUAGUUUGAUGCAAAAUUCCUUCAUAGCAGAUUCACACCCAUUAUUGGAUCUUAUGAUUUUAAUAGCAGCGGCAACCUGGUUUUUUACAUACGCUAUGAAAUUAACAAGAUGUAUACAUGUUUUAGACUUAUUAUGCAUUAGAUAAAUCCCAGUAUAAUGUGAGUAAUGAUCAAUAAUGAUAAAGAAAUAUUUAUGAAGAUAUGGGACAAGGUCCAUAAAUAUCAAGAUAAAUAACAUCAAAUAUCUUAGCAUGCAUGGUAUAUAUUUUGUGGAAAGGUAACUUUUUUGUUUGGUUAAGUGGCAAACAUUACAACCAUCGGUUCUAGAAUCAUUAAUGUGUAAAUACUUUUGCUCAAUCUAUUAUGUCAAAGAUUGUCGUUGUCAAUUUUACAAAUUUAAAUCCUAUCAACCAUAUUAAGUGAACAAUUUGAGCCUUUAAAAAUAUAGAGAUCAACAUGGAUUUCAAUUGUACUAAUCCUUCCUUUUAUUUUCUGGUCUUGGAUCACAUAUACAUUCUUUGUAAAAGGAUCAAUGUCAUGGAAGGAUACCAAUUUUGAAAUAAAAAUUAAGUUAUAUGCAAAAUCUAGAAUAAAUAAAAACAAAAUUUCAUUACUGAUUUUGAUUGUUCCUAUGUGAGUAGCUUUAACCUUUGUUCCAUUAAGAAAAUUAAUAAUAACAUAAUCAAUUUUCUUAUUAGAAUAAAAUUUAUCAAAAGAGGAAGUCACAUGAUUAGUGACUCCUGAAUCUAACACACAUGUUGUCACACUAUUUGUCUUAAAAGAAUUAAUGCUGAAAAAACUUUUACCUUCAGCUUAAAUAACUUUUACCUUGAUUACAAAAAUUUGGAAUGAUAACACUUAUUUACUUUAUAUGCAAUGUGCUUGUAUCUUUAUCAAUAUUUGUUUGAUUAAUCAAAGCUGUCAAAGCUCGAUAAUGCUAUUGAGUGAACCAUAUAUCUUGCUCAACAUUAUUAGAUUCUAUUUCUUGCUUUGUAUCUUGAGUCUUAGCCAAAUUGUUGUUUUCCACUAUAGUGCUCGUGACCAGGUAGAAAUCAUGCUUUAUAUAGCAAACAUCAACCAUGUGCUCACCUUUCACACAAUGAAUACAAACUUUUCAUUUUGUAGGGUUCUUGAAACUCUUUUAAGGGAACCCUUAUUUCUUAAAACAAACAGAUUCAUCAUAACUAUUCUUUCCACAAUAUGCACAAGAUGUUAAAAUGGUAGCAAUCGCAACCUUGAUUUCUAAUUUAGUGAAAAAACUAUUGUCUUUCUUGUUGCGCGACAUAGGAAUUUUUCUUAGAAAUGGGAGAUAUAGGAUCGAUCAUUUAGACUUCUUAAAAACUAUAUGUCACUACCUUUUAUUUUUCUCUAUGCAAUUAAAGAUGUAAUCCCACAAGAACAUCUCGUGUUGCAACUGCAAAUAAGAUCAAGUCUAAAGUUCUCUAACGCAUCCCAUAUAAUUAUAAAACUUUUGUAAAAAAAUUUGUGAUGGUAUAUUCUCUCUCUUUUAGAUAUGUGACCUCCAUUUGUAACUAUAUGCUCUUAAAAGGUCUCCUUGAAAAAAAUCUAGACUUCAAGUUGUUUCAUAUGUCUUGUGCUUUCUCCAUUCAAAGAAUGCUUUGUAAAAUAGGUGGUGACAUGGAAUGCAAAAGCCAUGAAACCGCCUUGCAUUACUUCUAAGCUUGAUAAGAUGCAUCAUCCUUCAAUGAUUCAAUAGUGAACCCAUUAAUAAGUUUGAGCUUGUUCUUUGCACUCAAGAUUGUGAUCAUAGAUCUACUCCACACUACAAGAAAAUUAUGAAAUAGAAACCAAUUUUUAGAGACCAAAAUAAUUAGUUACAAUAGUAACUAAAAUAGAGACCAUUUUGGAAACUAAAACAAAAAUUGGUUUCUAAAUUAGUUUAUAUUAUUUUCUAUUAUUGUUAAAUAGUUUCUAAAUUGGUAUGUAAUUAGCAACCAAGGUUUUAGAGACUAAAUUUAGAAACUAAAUAAUUGGUAGUUAAAACACUGGUGGCUAAUUAGAUACUAAUUUAGAAACUAUUUAACAAAAAUAGAAAAUAAUAGAAACUAAUUUAGAAACCAAUUUUUGUUUUAGUUUCUAAAAUGGUCUCUAAUUUAGUUACUAUUGCAACUAAUUAUUUUGGUUUCUAAAAAUUGGUUUCUAUUUGAUGAUUUUCUUGUAGUGCCAUAAGUGAUAGUUAUUAGAGUCAAAAACAAAAAAAACACGAGUUAUAGUUGAAUUCUGUGUAAGUAUAUAUAAUUAUGUAUAGAUAAAAGAAGAGUAAAUUCUUCGGUCAUCAUGAAUGCUCAAUUUGGAUCCGAGUGAACAGUUCACUCGGAUAGAAAGAUAUUGAUUUGGAGGAAGUAAGUAUGUUUGUAUCAAUUUAAUUGUGAAGAAUUGAAAGUGUAGAAAAGAGUGGAGGAGUUCAAAAUUGUUCCUCACAUAGAUGCUGAGAUUUGAGAGGAAAGCCACUUAAGCAAUGUCAUUUUCAUUUAAAUAGUAAAUGUAUUUUAUUUUUGUUACUUUUUUUAUUUACAUUUUAUUUGGUUUUGUAUUUACAUAUCUUUACAAAAUAUCAAUUUAUAAUUUAAAUUUAAAACUAAUUUUAAAAUAUAAUAAUUAAUUUAUUAUUAUUUAUAUAAAUAUUAUAAUCGAUUAUAUAAUAUAAUAAAAUAAUGUUAAAUAAUAAUAAUUAUUAAUAAAAAUAAAUAUUAAAAAUUAAUAAUAAUGAAUAUAUAAUCAUUUAUAAUAAAAAAAUAAUUUAUACAAUAAUAAUGUUGAUUAUAAAUAUAAAAUUAUUAUUAUUAUUAUUUAAAUUUGAAAUAAAAAUUACUUUUAAUUAAUUUUUUUGUAAUAAUGAAUAUUUAAAUAUUAUUUAUUUUUAUUUAAUGAUUUUUAUAUAAUAAAAAGAUUAAUAAUUAUAUUUUUAUAUAUAUCAAGGUUAUCUUCUAAAAAUAAAUAUUUUAAUUCAUUUUAAAUUAUUUUUCAAAAUAUUUUUUACAAUUUUGAAUAUUACAAUUAAAUUUAUAACGGAAAAAAUUUAUUUUUAUUAAAUUUUUUUACAAUGAUAAUAACUCAUAAUUCUUGUAAAAAUAAUUAUUUAACAAUAAAAAAAUAAUUUACAAAAUUUUAAUUAACUCAAAUCUAUAUAAAAAUAUAUCAUAUUUUAUUAUUCAAAUAUUUUUAAAAAAUAAUAAAUUUAUAAACUUACAUUUUAAACUUUUUAAAAAUAUAAAAAAAUUUAUCACGAUCAUCUCAUUAGUUAUAAAUUUUGAUAACUUUUUCUCACAAAUUGACUCCAACGUACCAUAUUCUAAACACAUUCAUUUUCAUUUUCUUCAUAUUUUUCUUUCACGCAUCAUUUUCCUCAAAUAUUCACAUAUUCACUUUGAAUCCAAACACAACCGAAAAAAUAAGGAAAAAAAACACCUGAAACCUUUUUUGAAGAAAGAAGAAGCAAAUCAAGAAAGAGAUUAAAAUAAUAAAGAAAGAGAAAGAGAUACCAUCUUAAAAUCCUUGUAGUCAUUAAAGAACUGGAACUACAUGUUAUCUUGCUUGCAGUAAAAUGUAAAAGAUUCAUGUAAAAUGAAAAGCAGAAUAAAAAAGAAAAGAAAAUAAAUACGAAAACUCUGUACAUGAAAAGAGCAUUUGCAGAAAAAAUAAAUUUAUCACUAAAAGAACAAAACAAUGAGUUAUAAAGCCGAAAACAAUAAAAACCGGAAAAACUACAAAAACACACUUAAGUGUGACUAAGCUUAUCAAAUUAAAUUAAAACGACAUAUUUAUUUAAAAUAAUAGUUUUCACUAUUAUGAGAGAAAUUAUGUGGUUAAUAAGAAAUAAAAAAAAAUAAACCUUUUCAUUAUAAAAAAUAUAAUAAAAUAAUGUAUACCAAUUUGUUGGGUUUACAUUUUGUACUUUGAAAUUUAUUUUCUAGAGUUUUCCAAAUCAACAAUUGUAUUCACAUGUUAUUAUAAUAUUUUUUUUCCCUUUUCUUCACUUAUAAGAUAUUAUAAUAAAUGUUGAAAGCCCAUUAUUAUUUGGGUGGGUCUCGACGUGUAACGCACUAUGUGAUGGCGGCUGAAAACAAGAACCAUUAAUUGCACUUUGUUAUAGGCCUUGCAUUUUACACUUCUUUUAUUUAUACAUUUUUUCGCUAUUUUUCUGAAGGCAUUUUUCCAAAUCAAGUUUCAGAAAUUAUGUCUCUAAAUUUAUUUAAGAAAUUUUACCAUUUUAACACGUUCUAAAAACUAAUUUUUAAAGUGUUAAGAAUUUUAAUAUUUCUCGAAAUUUAAUUUGAAAUUUGUUAAAAUUUAACCCUGGCAUAAAAUUUGUUAAAAUUUGAAUUGAAGCUUUAUGAUUUGACAAUGGCGGCUGGUGACACUGCUAUGUGGUACAUGAACUUCAAUAUAAAAGCACAACAAAUCUGACUCAAAGACCAAUAAUUUAAAAAAAAUAGUAUUCUAAAUUGUUAUUCUGAAAACAAUUUAAUAUUGGACUAAAAUUAUUUAAAUUUGGAAAACUGGAGAACCAAUGUUAUUAAAGUUUUAUAAUCACUUUAUUUGCAAAAUAAAUCAUAUUAGGAAAGAAAUAGAAUGUGUUAAAGUUCCCAUAAUGUUAGUUUCAGGAGUAAAUAAUAAUUUGUAACAAUAUCAUAUUCUAAAAAAAGUUUUAUAAGAAUGAUAAGUGGAUUUAAGCUUAUAUUGUUAACUUUAAUCGUGAAAUCAAAUAAUGGUAUUGUUAAUCAGUGAAUAAUGGUAUUGUUAAUAGGCAAGCCCUUUUGCAUCUAUACCUUCUUUCUACACCUUCAUAUAUAUUUUUCCUACAUUUUUAUAUAUUUUUUUAAUUUCAAUCAUAUCCUUCAGAGUAUAUGUUAGAGUUUUUUAUUUGUUUAUGUUUUUCAUUUAUUUUAAAAUUAUAAAAUCCGUAACACUCUUCUAUUAUAAUAUGUAUUUUAAAUUAUGUAAUUUAAAAUAUAAUUCUAAAUCCAAAAAUAUCUCUCAUAUUAUAUAAUUCAAAAUACAUGAUAAAUUAUAGAAUUUGAAAUACAUAUUAUAAGGUGUUAUAGAUUAUACAAUCCAAAGCUAUUAAAUAUCUUUCGUAUUCUAUAAUUUAAAUGAACUUUUAAAAAGUAAAUUAUUCUAAAUUUCUGGAUGUGGUCCAGGUGUUAUAGAUUAUACCUUCUAAAUUUUACAAUCUAGUCCAGUGUAAAUAGAAAAAAUAACAUUUUUGGAUUUUAGAAUAAUAAUGUAUUUUGUAAGAAUAAAAUGGUCUUUUCGCCUGUAGGGGUGUCAAGAGAAACUAUGAAGGUGCAGGAAAAAAUAGCCAUCCGCAAAGGAGGAGGCAGGGUAUGUGUGUGCUGGGCUGGACCGCUAUAUUUUUUUUCUUACAUCCCUACAUUCUUCUUCCUGCACCCAUAUAUUCUUUAAAAUAUUGAAAUUAUUCUUGAUAGUUUUGAUGAUUUGAAGUAGAGAUUCUAUAAGAAAAAAUGUUUCUGGAAUAGAAGUUUUAUUAGUAAAAGGUGUUUUUGGAAUAGAAAAUUCAGAAGACAAAAUUAUUUCAGAAUAUCUAUUCUGAAACAUAUUUUUUUGUUUUUGGUAUGAAAAAUUCGGAAUUCAUAAAAUAUGUUCCAAAAAUAUUCCAGAAAAAAAAACCUGAAAGCCAUUUUUAAAAGGGUUAAAACAGUCUUUUCCGAAAUUGAUGGGUACAGGAAGAUAUUUGUUGGGAUGAAGGAAGAAACACCCAUGCGUUCUUUGGGGAGUUUCUUUCUGCACCCCUACAUUUUUCUUCCUGCACCCCCACAAGAUUGUGCAAAGACAAAAGUGUCCCUAUAUAAAUUGUACAUUUUUUUUUGUAUUUUGGAUUAUGAAAUCCGGUAAAUUUUCGGAUUGGUGCUUCCGGUAAAUUUUCAGAUUGGUGCAUCCGGUAAUCUCCCGGAUUGAUGCUUCCGGUAGAACAUGAAUGAUAGUGUUAAUCCAAAAUAAAAAAAUGCAAAACAUCCAUAUUUGAAAAAAUCAUUCCAGAUCCGUCAAUCCGUAAUUCAAAAUAUGCAUUCAGAAUUUAGAAAUCCAUAAUUGAAAAAAAUCAUUCCGGAUCCACCAAUCUGUAAUAGAAAUUAGGCUUCCGGAUUCAACAAUCUGGAAAUCAAUAAUUUAUACAAACUUUGCUUCUGGAACACUCCCUCAUCCAGAAUGCAACAUGAUUGACUUCCGGAUUGAUGAAUCCGUAGCACACUCCCAAAUCCCAAAAUAGUGGGGUCAGUUUCGAAAUUUACAAAAUUGUGGGGGUGCAGGAAGAAAAAUGUAGGCGUGCAGGAAGAAACUGCCCGUGCUUUGUUGUGUUUGGGUCAUGAAUUAUGGCCCAAGCCUAUGAUUCUUUUUAUCAAAUCUAUUUUGGUAAAUAAAUUAAAGAAUACAAAAAUUAAGUGAAAGAAAAGAAAAAGAAAAAGGCGCGAUGUGACAUGUUUGAAGAGCUUAGCUCCACAUACUAAUAAUAAUAUUAUUUGAUUUAGUUUUAUCAAUGGCCACUCUUCCUUACUACACUCUGCAUCCUCUAUCUUCUUCUUCCACUUCGCUUCACCUUUCUUCAUGCUCUUCCACACGUUCUCCUUCUUAUCUUCUCCAAUUCCCCUCCAUUCUCAGACGCAAACCCACCAAGAAGCCCAGGCUCUUCAUGAUCGUCCACCCCAUUUUGCUCUUUAACGGCGUCGCCACCACUUUCUAUUUCGACACCCAAACUGUCAUCGUUACUGUCAGUGUGUUGGCCGCCAUUGCUCUUUCUCUCUUCCUUGGCCUCAAGGUUCUUCAUUUUCAUUCUUUUAAUUAUGGGCUUCUCUGACUUCACAUAAAAAUCAAAACUUUUUUAUUUUCCUUUUUAGAUGUAAUGUAAGACUUACUAUACUACCCACAUGCAUUUAUUGUUUAUGUAUUCAGUUAUCUAUUAUUUCAGAAAUGUGUUCAGUUUAGCUUAUCAUGGCUCCAAUGUUGCUAAUUAUUUCCUUUUGUUGAAUGAUGUUUUUUGGCUUUGAUUAAGACAUUUACUUCUGCUUAGUGCUUACUCUCUGCUGCUUCAAUUUUGGUUUUGGAAAAUUGUGGAGUGGGAAUGAUAAAUGAGAUAAGUGAUGUGAUAGAAAACGUUGAAAGAAAAAAAUGUACACUUGUAAUUAUCUUUUGAAACUUUUAGGUUUUGAUUUGAUAAAGUGAUAAACAUUUUUUUGGGAGGGGUGGUGGUCGUGGUGAAUGUUGACAACCUACCUCAUUCAGAAGUGUAAUGUUGUAUUCAUAUGCAUAAUUGCAUCAACAUUUGCUUGUUGGCUACUUUCUAACAGUAACACUGUGGGUUAAAGUUGAUACUUAUGUUUGGUAACGAGUGAUGGGGUUUUGCAGGGUGAUCCGGUGCCUUGUGAGCGAUGUGCUGGCAACGGUAAUUAUCUUUCUGCAUUUGAACUUAAACAUUGUUGUGCUUUAGUGUUGAAUUUUAGGGGAAUUAUUGAGGCAUGAAUCAUGAUGGUAACAGUACGAGGAAUAUUUUAGAUAUUGGUAACGAGGAUAUCAUUAUUCAUGUGUUUAGGACCUUGACUUGAAUGACUGUAGUUUGUGGGAUAAUGAUUGUUUUGGCUGAGGAUACUUGUGGUCUGCUUGAUUGAGCAAGUGAGAAGGUGGAAAAUAAAAACAGUUUUGAACUAAAGUUAUUGGUGAGAAUUGAAAGGAGAUUGUUUUAUUUCCCACUCUUCGUGUUUUUGUUAUACCAAUCAAAUGUGUAGUGCUUUUCAUGUGAAAAUCUUCACCUCUUAUUUCCACCUAUUCAACCAAGAAGACAUAUAGGGGCAAUUGGUUGAAGUUUCAAAAAGUAUUCCCAGCAACUACAUGCCUGACUAUUGUAUUUUCAUAAGGGGAGUGCUGGCAAGUGCUUGGAUGAGGGUAAUAUGUAGAAGUUUGUGGAUAACAUAUGAUCUUCGAAUUUUAUGCUAGAUGACAGGUGUUGUGUUUCUCAGCCACUAUAAUGUAUGGUAUAGAGCAUAAAGCUUCUACCAAUUGUUUAUGCAUUAUAAGAUUGCGCUUCUAUUAUCCCAAUAACUUCAAAGUUUUCUCUUCUUACCCCUUUUCACGUAUGCUUUCUUCCUUCAAUAAUUAUAUCACUGUGAAUGGAGAUGUACUCUAUGGCAAUAGGUCAUUUGGACUGGAUAAAGAAAGUCUAGUACCUAUUUUAGUGAUGGUUAUGAAUGAGAGAUCUACUUUCUACUGUCAUUGUCCCUCUCACUAUUGGGAUUCCUGUAAGUCUGCAUUGACCUGCGUUUUUACAUUGCAUGUGAAAUUAAGGGGAACUUGUUUUAGUAUUGAAAGAAGAUACUAUAUUUUGAAUAACAUUGGUGACAAACAGGUGGGACAAAAUGCGUGUUUUGUGACAAUGGCAAGAUGAAGCAAGAUACGGGGUUAAUUAACUGUAAAGUAUGCAAGGGUUCAGGUAUAUCUUUCUGUUCUCAUAUGCGUAAAACAAAUUAUUAUGAUUGCAUUUUCUUACAUGAAUAUUUUGGGUUACCACCUUUAAGAAAUUGUUUGAUGUUGGUAUGAGAAAAUCAACAUAUUGUAUCCCCUCGAGGGGAAAAGAAGAGAUUAUACUCUUUUUCCCCACGUUCAACAAUGUCUUACUUAAGGUCUUCCUUGUUCUUUCUGUUUAUGCAUAUGUUUCCACCUUAUAGGAUUGAUAUUCUGCAAGAAAUGUGGAGGUUCUGGCUAUUCCCGUCGGCUAUGAGCUGUGAAAUUCCUGUUAUAUAUUAAAACCAUCUGUUCUGAAAUAUGUAAGAUCUUGUAACAAUUUUAUUGUUCAUAGUGUUUUUUUUCUGUGAAUCAUUUUAAUCAAGUUAUUCUGAAGCCCUUUGAGGUCUUAGCUAUUGAAUCAGUCAAAUUUUGAUCAUAACAGGUAAAAAAUGGUUGUAGUCAUGUAAAUUUGACUAGGGGAGUGUUUAAUCUGGUUUUUUCUUCUUCUUGACAAUGUAAGUUAGGUAAAACAUGCUUAGAAAAAAACUUAAAAGAUUAACAAACAUAGUUUUUGUUUUUACCAAAGAAGCAUAGUUUUUGUAAAAGAAAAGGAGGGAAAAAGUAGUUUCAAAAACCAAACAAAGAGUUGUUUUUUAAAGAAGUUGCUCACAGUAACUUCAUUUUGGGUUUUUAUUAAAAAAGUUAUUCACUGAUUUUUAUUUUUAACCAAUUAGUUAAAAUUGGACUAGUAUUCGUAUAUCGUAUUUUGAUCUCGUCUAUUAUUUUAAAGUGUUUUUUUUUAAUUAUUAUCAUUAAGUGAAUAUGUAAUGUUAAGUUUAAUAAUAUUUUAUUACUUUUAGUGAUAACUAUCUUUUAUUAUGAUUUUUAUCUUUUAAACAUUACUCGAUAAAAAUAUUUACUAAAAUUAAAAGAAUUAUCGAUGAUUAAAAAUCACGAAAAACAUUGAUUAUAAAGAAAAGCUUAUUUAAUCCAUUUAUUUGUAUUAGUCUUUCUUUAUUUAAGUUCUAAAAUUAAUAUAUCUGAUAUGAAGGCUAGCAUUCUAUGGGUUAGAAUCAAAUUCUUUUUUUAUAUUAAUAGAAGAAAUUAUCGACAAAACUUAUCAUUAAAUCAUUAAGGGAACUAUCCAAAAGUUAUCUGAUAAAGUAAUAUAUAUAUUAUAAUAAAAAAUUAUGAGAAUAUUAACGUCUUCUCUUUUAAUUUUAAUGAAAACUUUUAUCAAACAAUACACUAUUAAAAAAUUAUUUAAUAAUUAAUUAUUAUAUUGAUUAAAUUAGAUAUUAAAAAAUAUUAAUAUUUAAACUAAUUUUUAUUAUUAAUAAAUAAUUUUUAAAUUAAUAUCUAAUUAGCUACUAAAAUUUUAGUUACCAAAUUAAAAAAUCAGUAGUUAAUAGAUAUUUAUUUAGAAAUUAUUUAUUAAUAAUAGAAUUCAUUUAAAUAUUAAUAAUUAUUUUAAUAUUUAAAAUAGUAUCUAAUUUAAUAAAUAUAAUAAUUAAAUAUUGAUUUUUAUCAAAUGAUUAUCUUAUAAUGAUGUUUGAAAGGGAAAAAAAUCAUUAAAACAAUUAGUUGUCAUUAAACUUAAAUGUUAUUAAAUUGAACAUGUGAUUACUUAAUAUAAUAGUUGAAAGAAUGUAUUAAAAUUAAAAUCAUAGACAAACCAAAACAUAAUGUAAUUAAAAAAAUUAAAAAUCUUUUGUAUUGAAAACAAAAAUCAUUAAAAGUUGAAGGGAUUGGACUUAAGUUGAUGAAUAAACGUUGACAAAUUAUUUGAUAAUGAUCUGAAAAUAAAUGAGUUGAUAAGUCAACAGAAACUAUCAUUAAAAAGCAACACAACUUAUAAUUAAUUAUAUAUCAUACUUUCACUGUUAGUAUUAUUUGGAAUUGCUCUGAAGAGUCUACAUAUUUUUUUUGUCCAAUUCAUUUUCCACCAAACACGGUGUAUACUGAAUAAGAAUGCCAAUAAUAUAUCAUUGGGCAAACACAACAUCAAAUAUUUAAUAAUAAAAAUGUAAGAAAGAAAUAAUUCAAAAAUUCUUCUACAAUUGUUCAUUUCUCAAAUGAAAUAAAAACUCCCCAUUUCAUUUCACCUUCUGAAAUAUGAUGCACCCAUCACUUUUCAUUCCAAACCAUCACAGUUUUAUUUAAUUUACUCUUAUGGCAUAAUUUUUUGUUAUCAUAGAACUUAGAUUAAAUCCUGCAUAUAUUUUUUUAUUUUAUUUUAUUAAUAUGCAUACUUUUAGUUUUGACUAGUGUUUUAUAUUGUGUAGUGUAUAAGAUAAAUAUUUAUUUUUAUGAAUUUAUUAUUGUAAUUCAUAAUAAAUGUAUAAAUUAAAUCUUCAAUUUAUAAUAAAAAAAUUAAAUGGUGAUAUGAGAUAUUUCUAAAUUAAAAUGGAUACCCAUUUUAAAAAAAGUGUAUAUAUAGAUAUGACAGUUUGAGACGAUUUAUAAAGAUAACUUUUUGCCAAGUCACAAAAAUAUACUUGAAAUGCACUUUCCUAUAAAAAGGAGAAAGAAUUACAAAAACCCUUAAUUGUAUAAGUACUUUUUUUUUAAUUUGAAUUUUAGUUCUUUAUUUAUUUAAAUAGUUGCAAGAAAAUACAUUAGAUUUUUUUGAUAGAACCCACCACCUGAAUUGUGGUCUUAUUAUACCAGCUAACCCUCUCAAAUCAAUACCACGGAUGGUUUUAAUGGAAUUCAGGUUCUAAAUAAAUUUAAUCUUUAUUUAAUUUUUAAAAAUGAAUUAAUUAAUGAAUCCGACAAAUAAUUUUAAUUAUUUGACAAUGACGUGCACUAAAAUCAUUUAUUGAGUUUGGUUAUUUUCAUGUAUUAAUAGGGAUGAUAAAUCAGACAAACAGGUUAUUUUAAUUAUUUGACAAUGACAUGUACUAAAUAAAAUCAUUCAUUGAAUUUGGCUAUUUGCAUUUGAAAUAUCCAAAUUGUUGUCAGUUGACAGAAAAAGGUGAUACUAAAUUUGCAAACUACUUGGUACCAAACCCUUUUGCAUCCUUUUUUUUCUUCCAAAACAGUGAAAAAACAUGUAGUUGGUGUCAAACAGUAACUAAAAAUUUAUUCAUAUAUCAUCUACAUGACAAAAAAAGUAGUAGUAAAUUUGUGACAACAGAUCAGAAUGUCAAAAUUUGACCUGAAUAUCUCUGUUAUAUACUUCAUUGAAAAUUCACAUGCCUUUGAUUUAUAUACAGGAAAAGGUAGCAGAGUUAUGAUAUUAUAUAGCAAUGCUACCAAUAGUGAACUUCAAAAACUAUCUAAUGCUAGUUUUAUUCUCUGCAUUAAACGUGAUUUUCAUCACAUUCAAACUCACUCAAGAUGACAAUGAGCCGCUAUGUUUGCUUGCCAAUGGUGUGUGUGUUCCUCCGGGACUGGCGUUUUGUUUGUACAACUACUGGCUCUUGCUCUUCCCACUUUUCGCUCAUUACUUCACUAUCACUAUCAUCAUCACCUUUAAAUACAGGAUGGAUAUAUGCACUCUGAAGGAACUCUUUCAAAUUGAAGUUUGGCUCUCUUGCACGCUCCAAUGUGUCCUUCAUCAUUGCUUCCUGAAGUUUCACCAAAAGAGAGGAAAAUUAACACGAAUUUGGUGAAGAAAUGGGUGAGCUAAGAUGCCAUGAUCAAGAAAAGGAUAAAAAAAGCAAUUUCAAAACAAAUGGUUUCUUGCAAAGUUAAAAGCUGUAUGCCAACAGUGUUGCAAUAUCAAGACCAACCUGUAAUGGAUGCUUAAUGAAAGCAGGUUGAUAUCGUCCCUUGCAAUACAAAUGGAAUGAUAUUGUCAAAACUGGGAGAGUGAUGAGCAAUGGAGUUGAGUUAGCAGCUUCUUUUGUACUCAAUAAUCCCAUUAACAGAAGCUGUGAGAUCACUAAUGCAAAUAUGAUACGUCCAUGAACAUCAGGCCAGAAUGCUGCAGCACUCUCAUACUCUUGGUUGUAGACAUUUAUGAUCUGCCAUCAGAUAUCGUGCAUUAACUUAGAUAUUAAAACUCAAGUUGGAACUCCACUCACAUAGUAAAUAAAUGAGAAGACUUUUAUGUUAGAACAUACUGUUUAAGUUCUACGUAACAGUUGAAAUUUUAAUAAACACUUGCUAAAAAAUUUCAGACACAAACUAUGAUAAGCUUGCAUUGUAGGUAACAUAAUUUAUCGUUCAAAAGCUAUGGUGUAAGUAUAAUGCCAUAAUAUUGUAGAACAUUUUAUGUAAUCAAUUUUAUGCAAAUACCUUGUGCCAUGUUUAAGUUGAAUAAUCAUACAGAAUUUUUUGUGUGUAUGUGGCCAGUUUAUGAAAACAGUAACUAAAUGUACAGAAACAGAAACCUGUCAUGAACCAGCUUUUACCUGAUGACGGUAGACGACAUAUGCGAAGCCAAAGAACACUAUGAUGUAUGGAAGAAGAAAUGGUGUGACCACAGCAUACACAAGGCCAAGUAAGAAAUAAAGUUGUAUCUGAGGUUCUCCUGUAUUGAAACCAAAGGUCCCUGGAUCCAUUGCUUCUUCACGAUCCUUUUCAGUCUUCACUAAGAAGAAAAUUUUCAAGUGAUAAAAUAUCAAUGGCUUCAACCUUAAAAUCUCACCAGCACAUCCAGCCCACCCAUCCACCAUUAUGUAAGUUAUGAAGAAUGUUGCCUUCAUUGGAAUUGAGACACCAACUGUUAUUGGAAUUCUGCAUACACAGCAUAUGUUUACUUUACGUUAUUGAAAGCUAUUUGUGACGGUUUAUAACCUCACUUUUUUACUUCAGGUUAUUAAAACUCUAGAAUUAGAAGAGUUUGCCACAAAAUACCACUACUUAAAAAUGAAGAGACAACCAGAAAUUCAACCAAACACUUGAUUUCAUGUUGUUCAAUCCUCAGACAUUUUACACAAACAUAACCUUGCAUGUGCGAUUCGCUAAUCUUAUUUUUAACUCAAUUUUCAUGAGGAAAAAAUGGAAAAUCUGGGGAAUGCCAAACAAGUUUAUACAAUAUGACUGUGUCUAUACUUCAGUUGAAUCAUGUUUAACGUUAAUUCAUUGUGAGAGGUGGAUUGAGUUGAACGUUUGGAAAGUGAAAAAUGGGAACUGAAUGGAAAACAAAGAAGCACAUGGUCAUUAAUGAAAGGAUAUUUUCUGUGAUUGUUUUACUAUUAUCUAAUUGACUGUGUUGACCAGAAGAAUGAGCGAAAAUAAUUAGUUUCCAAGAUAUAAUUUAUUCAAACUGAAUUGCUAACAUAAAUGAAAGUUAAAUGCAAUAGUAAUAGUAGUACUACGAGGGCUUACUCAUUUGCUGACUGGUGGAGAAAUUUAUCUAGCUGUUGGAAUGCAGUCCCAGUAAUUAUGCUCCCAAGAAAUACAUUAAUGAACUGGAAGAUGUAAUAUCUUGUGGCUGCUCUCAUUUCCAGAGAAGAAGUGCUAAUAUACCCUUCGAACUUGGACAUCAUCAUCAAUAUUGAUGGCAGAAAUAUGAGAAAUAUCUUCAAAGCAAUACCGGGAAGGAAACCUUGUACGAAAGCUUUUAUGACUUUCCUGGAUAAAAGAGAAGCAUAAGAUUAGUUUCCACCACAGACACCAUUAAGAUAUCAAAGAGCAAUACAGGGUUAUCAGUAACAUAUUCUGGGUUGCGAUCAUAUUAUGUUCAAUAAAUUUUGUUCAGGCGGAAAUAUGUAUUAUGCAAAAAGGAAAAGGAGAUGAUAUUAAAAAUAAUAGCACUUACAUUUCAAUAAAAGGUUUAAGGAAAGGUGCUGCUUUUUCAAUGCCUUCAAUGUUAGCUAAUGACUGAACAAAAGCAAUGGGGAUCAUGAAAAAGAAUGUCAGAAAGAAGAAAGCUACAGCAAUUAUAAGCCUCCUUAUUGUGAGUGAAACAUAUGGUAUUGCCAUGUUGUCCCAAUACACAUCACGAGGUUCUGGAGCCCACUCAGUCAACCAUACGGUUGGAUUUCUGGACUGUUGUGUUUGCGCACAAACAGCUGCACCCCAACGAGUUCGGAAGGAAACAAAAGCCGCUGGCAUUAUAUAUUUAGGAUUCUUCAUCACCUUAUCUUUCUCUAACUCUAUCUGAAAGUGCAGAGGAACAUAACACUCAAUCAUUUUCUUAAAAGAAAAUUAGUUAACAACUCAAUAAUCUAUGAUGCAAGAAACAUAGAUAACAGAAAAUGGAUUUGGAGAUGUAUAAUGAUGAUGAUCAUAAGCGAAUAUUUGAAUUUCAAAGAUGAGGACAAAUUAUAUCACUGAUGGAAAACACCUCUGAUAGAAGGAUCUCUUAUUCUGUUUUAGGUGAAAGAAAAUCAUUUCAGAUAAGUAUGCCUGCCGAUAAUUAGCUCAGAUCUCUUCCAUCUUUUUUAUUUUCACAAUUAAGUGGAAUAAAAUUUCUUUCUAGUUAUCAGCAUUGUAAAAUAAACAUAGAAAGCACUGCUUACUUCUUCUGAUAAUCUGUCAAUUUCAGCAGUGUAAAAAUCAAUUGCAUCCACUCGAUCACCCCAAAGACCUAGACAACCAGUCUGCAAGCAAGUACAAGAUAAUGGAAUUAUAGUGCAGGCGAAAAAAAAUUGGAAUGCCUUUAGAAAAAUAGCAAGAGUUUAUGCUGAAAUUUUUUAAAAAUGGAAGAUAGUUUAGAACUCAUAAGAACCAGAUUAGUGAAAAUGGCAUACCUUUUUAUAUGGCCUUGUGGAUUGAUUUCUAGAAUAUUUAAGUUCAUAGUAGUCAAGCCAAUUCUGGGUUUUCUUCUUCUUAGAAACUAGACUAGAAAGUUUCUUUGCAUUGCGAACAACCUGCAGGAAUAUCUUUAAAAGUAAGAGAAAAACAAAAACAAAAGUACUUCGUAGGAUAAAACAGAAUGAACAGUCUGUGAAUGAAGGGUUAAGACGGAUUGAACUUGAUAUCAAAGUAUCAUUAUAUCAACAGUGCAUUUAACAUAAUAAAUCUUGGUUGACUUGAUCAUGCUACAAAGAGAAGAGUUGACAUAGGUAUCGCCAGAAAGUUUCUAGCCCAAUAAGUAAUCUUUAGCUAACAGAAACAAAACAGAAGAGGAAGUUUGUCAAAUAUACUAUGAGAAGCUAUAGUACAAUAAAACCCAACUAAGAAAUAUGUAUUUCUUUGAUUAUAACCAAUCCUACAAAAAGGAUUAGGAAAUAACUAUCCAUUUGAAUAAAACAAAAUUAAUAUAAGGAUAUAAAUGGUAAAUAUUGUUAAUCUGAUACACUCAAAUGCAAAAACCAUAUUACAAGCUUUGAAACAAAAAAUAAUAAUUAGGCAAGUGUGAUUGUAAUAAAAAAGGAUCAGACCUGGUGAGUGAGAUAGUGAUCUGGAUGGUUGACCAAAAAGAAAUGUUCCACUAGCUCACUAACUGAUUCAUCAGGAUCAGGUGGUACAUUUCUAACAAGUACCUGCACAGAUGUAAAGGACAAAGUUUAUUGUCACAAGUUUUUCUUCUAUAUUUAUGAAGGUACAAUUGGAUCGCUACUUGAAAGGACAGUCCUUUUGAUGUAAGAAGGUAGGAGAUAUGUGGACUUUACUAAUCUUAGGAUAUAAAUCCUUAUUACAGAAACAGUGGAACUACGAGUAUGAACAUAUCGUCUUGUUCAGCUAUAAAACUUAUUCUUACUGUAAAUUGGUCUGGACGGCGUCUUUCUGAUGCUAGAAAAUGCAAUCUCAUUGUUGCAACUAUUUGAUACUCCCUUUUCAAGAUAUAGCAUGUCCAGAAGGUAAAAGCAUAGGCCAUUACCAAAUGAGUCCAGAAUCUGCAAUUCAUGUAAAAAGCAUUGGAAGAUAAUCAUGCUUGUUCGAAAAUAGGCAGUUACUUCAGGAAGAGAGUAAGGUUCUGCAAGUAGUUAUUAAUUUGUUUCAACUUGACUUAGAAGAUUUGCAUGGAAUACCAGAUGUAUAUACCAAUUCACCCACUCUACAACAGGGACAAAAAUGAAUGUACGCAACAUACUAAUACUAAUGUGCAAUUCUUUAAAAUUAACAAACACAUAUCAAUAGAAAGUUCAUAUCAGAUGAAAGAAUAUGUACAAGGCCAAAGGAAGGUAGAAAAUAAAGCAAACAAUCCUACCGUUGAAAAGUUUGCAUACCUAUUUGAUCCGGUUGGAAUAUUUGAAAUAGAAAGCUUAUCAAUCUCACUAUAAGUCAAAUUGGAACGCUCCAAGGUGCUAUUUGUCCAAUUGACAGGAACCAUAACAGAAAAUGCUAGGAAUGCAAUCGGGACAAAUAUUUUCAGCCUGCAUUUCAAUCGGGUAAGAAUACGCAGUUAGUAAAAAAAUCAAAAGACAUAAGCAAUGUUGGAGCUAAAAACUGGGGAAAUUCUGAAAAACAAACUACCAUUGGAAGUGAAGGAAAAAACAGAUGAGAAAGCAAGAAAGCAAUGAAUAGUUGACAUCCACAAAUGCCACAAAGAAUGAUUCAUCAGAGCAUACCCAAGUAAGUAGAUCCUCAAGAAAACAGCAGAGUCCAAGCCUGCAUGGUCAAUUAGUUCAGGUUCUGGCAUUUGCAAUGCUGAAGGCAUCCAGCUCAGGAAACUUAUAUAUGACUUGAAGUCCAAAUUGACAAACUUGCUGACAAAUAACCCUGCUUGCAAUGGACUGCUCCUUAAACCCUUCAAAUACCAUUUUGGAAAAUACACCCUAUCGUUUAUAGGUUGAAUUCGAAGUAAGGCAAAAGCCAAUAAGAAAGUAAAUGCACUCAGGAUGUUAAUUGCUGCUGCGAGUCCGAUAUCACUCAAAGAAGCCAUAAGCAUAUGACAACUUAGAAGUAAGAAGCUACUCCCUGUAAAAUAUACAAAUAAAGCAUGAUGUCAAAAUCAACACCAUUUCUUUAUAAGCUUUGAACUUAAAAGUACAACCUUAUUUUGCAGCAGUGAUAGGUGGAAGACAAAGCAGACAAUGACAUGAAGAUUUAACAUCCGAUUUGAAAUAAGAACUGAUGUAAAACUGAUUUUCAUGUGAUGAUAUAGACAAAAACAGAACCAUAAUAUUAAAAAAAAAAGUUGUCAAGUGGGAGAGGCUGAAAAGUCACAGUCAAAUGAAGUUUUCUCUUCCCCAAAUUUUCACCCAAAGUCAUAAUCAAGUGAGGAAGUAACAAUCAACCCUUCUACCCCAAAAUCUCUCGGUGGUCAAACUAUAAUCCACUUCUAAACAAAAGAAUGUCUUUCUGUUAGGCAUAACCGAUCAUGAUUCUGAAUUCCCAUUUUCCAUGCAAAACCAAAAAUUAAAGCCAAAACUUAAUGACAUAUUUUGUUCUUCUAACCAUCUUAGCCACCAAUCAACAGAAAACAGAGUUCAGCACCCAGAAAAAUUCAGCAUUGGAAACCAAAGGAACUAAAACACAAUGAAAAAAAAAAUGUCCUUGAAUAUUACUACACAAUAGAUCCACUCCAUUGGGGUACAUUACCUUGUCUGCCACAACAAAUUCUCCGAAUAGAAAAUGAAAGACGGGAGAAAACGAACUGAAACAAAAAGGUAAAAACGAAAGGAGUAGUUUUUCAACGCAAUUGAGAUGAUCACACUGCCACUGUUAGUUCAACCGACCACAGGGAGAAAACCCAAAAGCCAGAAAGUCAGCAAUUAGCAAAAGUUACAAACUUUAUGGCAUUUCUUUUCAAAGGGGUGCGUUAAGGAUUUAUAAUUUGUAGCGGCACGUCUUAGUCAGGUGAGGUAAGAUUCGUGCCUACUCAUAUACACCAUGUCGACCAUUCACUGUAUAUAAUAAAUCCUGCAUGUAAAAUAAUGAAAAGCAAUUGAAAACAAAAGCUUUAACUAAAAGAAAAUUGGAUUGAUAAAACAGUGAAUCAAAUUUGGAUCAUUUCAUGAACAUAUGGUGAAAAGAUAUUUUACAAAUUACAAUUACUUUUUCUAAUACAGUGAAUAUUUUCCAAUUAGUUUUGUUAUUUUACCUUUUAUAACAUGAUCCUAUGAUGGUAAGGGAAUAUGAAACAAAAUUAAAAUAAAACAAUUAGGAUUUUGAAUUAAUAAAAUUCUGACAUUAAAUUAUGUUUGGUUGGCUGCACAUGGCACGAGGAGGUUGGGUCGGAGAGAGAGUAUUAUAGAAAGAAGAAGAUACUGUGUCUUUGACGUUUCCUUUCUUUUCAUAACGGCUACUAUUUUUUUUUUUUUGCUUUUGUUAAUUCACUACAACAGUUUAAAAAGCCAUGGCCAGCCAAAAUGAGAGGUUUUUUUUAAAAAAAAAAAAGAUAUUUUGAUACUCCACGUUUAAAUAAUUAAAAGAAAGCUUAUUUAAUCUUAAAUAGUGAGCUUGAAUUCAAAUAUUCUUAUUAAUUGUUCAAAAUAUUUAUAAAGUUAGUUUUGUGAUUCAUAUUAACUUUAUUUGACUCAGUGAUGAUUGCCUUCCAUAAAAUAUACAUAUAGUUUAUGGUAAGAAAAUUGUUUUUUUAAGACUAAGGGUUUUUGAAAUUAAACUCUAAUUAAAAAAACAAGAAACGUGUAAAGUUGCACAUUAAAAGUUAAACCGAACAUAAUUUUUAAUUCAGUUGAAGAUGUGUACAGUUAAACUUGUACAAUAAUAGUCAUCAAAUUUUAUAUUUGAACACUCUUUAUCUAAGUAACUUCAACUCUAUUAUUUUAAUUUAAGUUGUGACCUCUCUUAUAUAAGUUUUUAAUUUUUGACAAUUAUUGUAUUAUUGAGACUUAAUUCUGAAGAAUUUUGAUUUUACAGUGACACAUCCCUUGAUCGUUGGUAUAAGGUUUAACGUUUCAAAUAAACCCGGGCCCACGUGAUAAAAUGUUGAAAGCAGUUAUUGAGAUAAGUUUAAAGUUUUCAAUUAAUGAAUAUGUUUAUUGUUUCCAUUGUCAAGUGCCUAUUAAACAGUGUAGAGUACAUGAACAUCAAGAUUUUAUUUUAAUUGAACCAUAAAAAAAUUAUAUUGUUACAUAUUAAACGGUGAAAAAUUUGUAAUUUCUGUUAUAAAUAUUACAUUAAUUAUAUUCACAUAAUACUUUUGAUAUAAUAAAUUCAAAUAAUAGAUCAUGCAAAUGUGUUUAAAAAUCAUAGCUUAUCGACUUUAAUGUAAAACCUUUUAUAACUUGUAUAUGAUGGGACUUCUAUUUAACAAAAGCCUGUAAUAUUUCUUUUCAUACUACACAACAAAAAUUUAGAAGACAUAUCACCAAAAAACCAUGUAUCCAUAAAAUUAUUUAGAUAAUAAAUGGAAGAUAGAAAUUUAUAAAGUAUGUAACUCUUAUUUUAUAUAAUUUUAGUAAGUUGGGAUUCUAAAUAGGAUGAUUAACUGUAAAAAAGUAAUAAUUAAAGAUUAAUAUAACCGCAACAUGAAAAAAUAAUGGACUUGUAAGUAAAGAUUUGUCUAAUCUAAAAGAUAUACUUACUUUUUACGUCAUAGUUAAACAAAACAAUAAGGUUUUCAAUUACGCCUAAAUAUAAAAUAAUUAAAUAACAACUUAUAGAUACAUAAUAACAAGUUUUAAUAAUAACGUAUUUUGUUAGCUAAGAAAAAAUAAUUUAUUGGAAAUAAAUAAACUCAUAAAACGACAUUUAGCAACCUCAAAUCACAUCUUACACCGAAUUAAUUAAUAAAUAUUGCAGGUUAUACAUCAGAAAGCCAUAAUUAAAUAAAUAAUAAUAUUUUUAUAAUAGUAAAAUAUCACUUAAAAACUUCUCUGAUGAUAGAAGUUAUAUAUAUAUAUAUAUGAACAACUUUUUAUUAAAAUAACAAAUGAUAUUAUAUUAUAUUAAUACAAUACUUUCUAUUUUUAAUAUUAAAACUUUAACAUUUAAUAUUAGUUUUCUUGGACUAUAAUUGUAUGUUUUUAAUUGGAAUUUAUCUGAUUGGGUUUAUUUGGGCUUUAACGGUGUUUCUAUGCUGUAUACAAUUUAAUUCUUGGACAAAUUCUUCUUGCACCUUCAUAUCUUUCCCUUGCACUUUCAUACUUUCUUUUAAUUUCAGCAAUGUCUUCCCGAGUAUGUUGGAGAGAGUGUGUUACUUUUCUUUUCAUUUACAAGGGGUGGUGGUGAUGGUUGUUUGUGAUGGGUGACGGUGAACGUUGAUAAUUGAGAUAAGUUUUGUAUUGCUUUUACUAGUGGUAGCGGUGUUUUUCAUUAUCUUUUUUUUUCAUGUUUUUGGAAGCCACAAAAUCCAAAAAAGAACCAACAAGGUGUAAAAGUGAAAUACAACAUAUCUUAUUAUCAACCCUCUUGUACACGCUCAAAUGAUGAGAUUUCUCUCUCAAACACUACAACUAAAGAUAAUGGAAGUGUUGUGGCUAGAAAAGAGAUAUGUUGAAAGGGAAGUAUGGGGGUGCGAGAGUUAAGGUUAUUUAAAAAUGUGGGGUUAUGCUUCAUUUGGAGUUAUUUAAACUCUUAAAAAUGUUAAAAUCGACUUUUCAUAAUUAAUGUGGAAGUGGAGGAAGAAUUCACCAAUUCUUGUUGCAAUAGAUGAUCUUAUGGAAUAAUUUGCUCCACUGAUGCACGUGGACUUCAUUAGUCAAAGUCCAAUUCGUUUAUUUAAAAUAGAUUUAGAAACAAAUUAACAAAAUUUGAAAAUUAAAAAACAAAUAUGAGAAAAAUAUAAUAUUAGAACUGAAACAAAUUUUGAAUUCGAAACCUACAAGGAAAAGAAACUUAAACUUAUAAAUGUAUACAAGCAAGGGGAAGAUUAUAAUCUAGUUGCGUUGUUUUUUUAGUUUUUUUUUUCUUUAUAAAUUAUCUUAGUUUUGUAUUUACAUGAAAGCCUAAACUUUAGUGAAUUGAUUAUCUUAUGAUCUAACAUUGAAUUAUAAGGUUUUGUGAAAUUCACAUUUGUUCUUCAAUUUCUAUAAUAGAUUGAUUGUGCUAAACGGUUUUAUCUUUUAAAUUCUAAUUUUGUUAUUGAAAUUGUGUUUGAACGUUAGUUGAUAAUUCAGUUUUAUUUUUUAAUUGAAUUUUUUGUUUUAUUUAUUUAUUUUGAACAAUAAUAUGUUUGCUAAAUUCAAGAGUUAAAUAACUAAAAUAUUAUGAGUAGAAGCUGAGAUACGAGUGAGGUAUUAGUACACCUUUGUUUUUUUAGUUAUAUUCUAUUGGAAUUGAUUGAAACUUUGAUUAAAUUUGAUUUUGAUUGAAAAUUUGGAUGGAUAGAAAUCAUAUAACAACUAAUAAAGAAUUUAAAAAUGAAUGGACUUGGAACCUCAUUUUAUCCUUAUUUUUUUUAAUUAUUGCACAACAAAACUUCCUUUUUACUUAUUGCUCUUUUUAAUUAAUAUUUGUUUACAAAUAAUAUAUCAAUAACAUUUAACUGAGAUUAUAAUUAAAUUGAUGGAAAAUAAUUUGGAUUGACUAAUCAUAUUUAUAUUCUAAUUUUUUGACUUUUGAUACAAUAAAGAGUCUAUAUUAAAUAUAAAAUAAUUUAAGACACUACCUUAAACAAUUUACACUCUUUUAUUUGAUUAAAAAGGAGAACUAUAAAAAAAAAUUGACCGAAAAGAGAAAAAUAGUUCUUCAGUCUCUUUAAACAACUCCUGAAAAUACGCUUUGCGUCUAGAAAAUGUUUUCUAUCUUAGACUCUAACACUAUCUCCUGCUACAUAUUUUUAUAAUAAAGAAAGAUGUUCUAUCUUUUUUACUUUUACUUGUAAUUAUAAAAACAUACUUUAUUUGUAUUUUUUUCUGUUUUCUACGAGUUUAUAUAUAGGAUAAUAAAAAUAGAAUAAAAAAAUUUGUUACUAUUUUUAUACAGGUGUUUUAAAAGAAAAAAAAUCAAAAUAAAGAGACACUUUUUAAUUUAAAAAACACGUUUAACAAUCGAAAUAACCCUUAAAAUUUAAUUAAAAAAGAUUACAGAAAUUUAUUGAUAACGUUAAAUGUUAUCCUGAAUAAAAGAUGUAAAGUUUUGUUUUCUUAAAUAAUGUUGCCAAGAACAUUAUUUUAUGAAAGAUUUGACUGGUAUAACAUAAUGGUUUUGUUUUCAUAAAAAGCAUGAUGCACUGAUGAUGAUACGAGAUUUGAUGUAGUUAGGAGACAGUGUAUUACGUAGUUGGGACUUGGGAGGCCCAAUUGAGUGACAUAAACUGGGGGCAUGGGCUGGGAGGUUGUGGACCAGUAUGGCCCAAAGUGUUGAAGAAAUGAUUGAAUUAAGAAAGGGAAAUGAGAAAAGAGAGAGCUAAUAGAGAGACAAGAAAACUGAAUGGACCUCCUUUCUUGUGAAUUGUCCUUUCUUUAUAGCCCAUCAUUAACAAUCACAACACCCAUUACUCAUUGCAAUUACCUGCACAAAACUUUUCUUCACACAUUUCUAACGCCUACAAAAUUAAUUCAUAACUAUUCUUCAUAUAAUAUUAAAAAAGUAAAUUUCAUAACUGUUUUUUAUAUAAUAUGUUUUAUCAAUAUACAACACAUAGUUAUGUAUUAAACUCAAAAACAGUUUAUAUACUAAAAAAAACAGCGUUUUUUCCUCACCCUACACCAUCACUUUCUUCUUCUUUCUUCCAAAUCACUUUCUCUCUCUACCAACUUCUUUCUUCUCCCUUUUGUCUUAAUUUCUCACUUCAUACCUCAUCUAUUUUAGAAUUUGCUCGGACCACGUUGUAGCAGAGAAGUUAAGGAACAUUUCUACCCGAUCAGAUUUUCAAAUAGAGUAAGUUCAUUUUUGCUCUAAGAUCCUUUGUUUUCUGUUUUUCCUUAUGAUUUAAUUAUCAAUCUUGGUGAGGUCAGUUGAGAAGUUUAAUCCUCUCAACUUAUUCUACUAUAUACUGAAUUUUUGUUCUAUUUAGAUAACUUGCAUUAAGCCCGUAAAUCUUGAAACUUAUUCAGACAGUGGGAUAAAAUUAUAGAAGUUGUUUGAAAAGCAAGCAAUUAAGGUAAGGGAAACUAAAUUUAAUUUUUAAUAGAACCCUAGGUUAAAAGAUUUGGAUGUGGAGGGGACGUGGUCCCAAUAUUCAAUUUCUCUUGCAGAUGUUGUUUGUUUAUAUAUUGUGUUUGUUUAUAUAUUAUUUAAACUUUAUAAAUAUUAUAUUUUGAUAGUUAAAUAUUGUUUUUGAUAUUGGAAAUGUUCUUGAAUGAUAUGAAUAUUUAAAUGUUAUAUGGUUGAAUGAUAUGUAUUAUAUAUGAAUGAUGUAAAUUGUAUGAAAUUGAUCUCAUACAUUUAGGAUAAUGUAUGAGUUGUUGUUUGCUGGUACAUUAAGUAUGAAAAGUCUAUGUUUAACGGAGAUCCUCUGGUUUCACUAAUGAUCUAAGUCAUGUAGACUAAGAUAUUAGGUGGUGAGAAGCUGAGAGGAAGUUCAUACACACUGGAUCCCGCUGUAGACACUCGGUAUUGGAUGUUUGAACUUACCCUGAUCCUUUCUAUUGGAUUCGCUGAUAAUCUUUAUAUCAGGUGUUAAUCUCUGGUAGGGGCAUACUUAAUGAGUUUUUCGGAAGACGAAGUGGGAUUGAAAUGAAAUCCAAUGAUUAUGAUUGAAAAUAGAUCCAUGUGUGGUCUAUAUGAAUGAUGGAAUUAGUAUUGAAAUUUUACAUGAAAUCAUUUAAAGAAAUGUUUAUAAAUUAUUAGUCUAAAUUGGUUCUAUUUUCAUGAAUUAUGUUAUGGAUUUUCUUUGCACUAGCUUAUCCUUGCUUUUCGUGUUGUGUUUGAACUACGAUGACUGUACUAUGUAUUUGAGCUAUAGAUAUGUAAAUAUUUAUAUUUCUAUAAAUCUUAAUCAUGUAUUAUGAAUGUUUUGAAAAACUCCAAGUUUGUAUAGAAAUGGAUAUAACUUUUAUUGUAAUAAUUAUAUGUAAAUUAUGAGGUGUUAGAACAUCCUCCAACUGAUUAAUGUCUUUUACGGAUAAAACUGUAAUAGAGCAUUAACAAAUUAAAAAAAACGGUUCAAUGACAAUUUUAUAAUAAACAUUAUAUUUAUUAUUGUUAUGUGAAGUUAAAAUUAAAACUUAAUCUAAAAUCAGCAGAAUAAGUUAUUUCUCAAUCAUCAUCGACACGAGUUAUUUUUUAGUAAUCAUCAUUUUUUAAUUAGGUUAUGAUGUUAAUAAAGAAAAUCUUGGUAAAUUUUAAUUAAGAAAUAAUCUGAACGAACAUAGACAAAAAAAAAUGUUUUAUUUAUUUAAUAUAUUAUUUAAUACUAAAAGUUUUUUUUUUAUAUUUUGUUUAAUUGAAAAAUUCUAAUCAAACGAGUAAAUUUAAAUUCAAUAAAUUUGAAUGUUUUAUGAAAUAAAAUAUUUUAAAAUUAAAUAAUUUUGAAUUUUUUUUAUUCAAAUUAAUAUAUUUAAUUUUUAAAAUCAUAAUUCUUUUUGUUCAGAAGGUUAAAAGAUGCACUAUGGAGUAAACAUUUUUUCUCUCCACUAAUCAAGGGAGAGAAUUAAUAAUUCAUUAACAGUGAAACAAAUGCAAUAUCUUAGCAAGUAUCAAUGAAAAAGAAAAAUUAACUAAUAGUUGCAAAAAAAAGGUUUUGUGUUAGUAUAUAAUUAAUUAGUGUCUUUAUCGAUUUAUUAUGUACAAUCUCAUCUCAGUAAUACAUAUUUGAUACUUUAAGUUGUUUAUUGAUACUAUUGAUAGCAUAUUUAAAUCCAUGAAAGAUACACAUAGUUUUGUCAUGGGCCAUUUUUUGGGGAGGGAUUAUUUUUGGCCAGUGUUUUCUUAAUUAUGCUUUUAAAGAGUAAUCAAAUUUUAUUUAUAAUUAACCUUAUACAGGUGUUAAUUUGCCCAGUCUAAAAGUUCAAUUGGUUGUGAUAUUUUAUAAUAUUAAUUUAGAAGUAUAUCAAACUUGUCGAAAGGUUAAGUUAUCGUGAGUUUAGGAUUAAUGGUUUAUUUAGAUUGUGUUUCGAGGUGUGUGAUUCGACAUCUCAAUAUCUAAUAGUAUAUUUUUAAUUAACGAUGUUUAUCUGUUAAUUUUUACAAUAUUUCAUAAAAACAUAUUUCCAAAUAUUAUACCAUGAUAGUUAUAACUUAAUGUUAUUAUUUUGAAAAUAAUAAAAUUAUUAUCAAAAUCAGAUUUAUCUAUUUAUUAAAUGUUGACGGUGAUUUUUUGAGGUGAUGUUGAGUUUUUCCGGUUUCAUAAAAUAAUCUAAACACAAAUGAGUUAAAUUUAAAUUAUUUUGAUAAAUAAAUUAAUCCAUUAUUAUUAAAAUUUUGAUAAUAAAAUCUUAACAAUACAAUAAAUACGAAAUAUUAAUUUACGAUUUCUAACGAAAAUAUAAUUUAAAAAUGGCUGUGAGAAUAAAUAUAAUAUAAAAAUACUAUUUUACCCUUGUCAAUAAGACAAUGUGUGAACGGGUUCUAUAUAUGUUUUCAGCAUUUAACAUUUAUAGUCUAACAGCGUAAAGUCUUCUGACUGUGAACGUGAAAAUUAUGGUUCAGACUUUUAAAUGUUUCUCACACCACACAUGAUACACGCACGUCAACAAUGUGUUUGCACCACUGCAAUAAUCACAUUUUUAUAUGAUCUCACAUUUAUUUUGAAAAAUAAAAUAUUUUUAAGCUUUUAGGUUAUGUUUUUUUAAGAAUUUGGGAAUGUAGUAUGAACUCCAGAAUUGGAUUAAUUAAAAUCCAAUUUUUAAAGGUGGUUAAUCUUGCUAAAUAAUGAAAGGUGUUUAAAAUUUUAUGUAUUUUUCACUUAUGUAUAACGUAGUAUUUUUAAUAUUUUCUUGUAUAUGUUUUACCUUAUUACAGUACAACUUCAAUAAAUUAUAAAACAAAAUAAAGAAAAUAUAAUUACUAUAAUAAUGUACUUACCCGUCCAAAGGUUGAGAUACGUCUAAGAGAUCGAGGCAACUAAUGAGCAUUAUGAACAAAACGGCCUAAUCAAUGAGUCUUAAAUGAUGAGUGACUAUUUAUGGAAUAAUAAAUAACAGUUAUGUGGUCAAUCUAAAGGACUCGUAACUAUUAACACAUAGGAUACCACCUAAUGAACCUAUAAAUAUGCACUCUUUAAGAAGUAUAAUCUAUUUUAUCUCAUACUCUUAACUCUCAUAUUGUUAAGAACUUAUCAUUUUUGUGCUCCUACUGACCUAAGCAUCGAAAAACCAUUUUCAGGUGAACCUCCCUCUCUCAUCGAAGACUAACUGAAAGCUUGUUCCCUGAGAAACAUCUUGUCCUCAUCGAGUUGCACUCCUGGAAUUCAUUUUUGGUAGAAACAUUUGGCGCUCGCCGUGGGGUCUGACAAUUUUUUUUCCAAGACCACCAUAACAACUAGACAUACACUCUUAACAUAAGUUUCCAACAAGAUAACACAAACCAACAACUCGAGGCUUUCCUCCGAAGGAGUGAGGAAAACUUGCAUAGAACCAUGAGGGACACCCUAGGCCAAAUGUAGGAAAAGAUGGAGCAGGACAUGGUGUCCCUGAAAGAACAACACAGGGUAGAGUUGCUAGCACCGCAGGACCAGAUGGCCUGCAGGGAUGGUGAUCACACUCAGGAAGACCUUGAAUAUUCGGGCCAUAUUGUAGAGUCCCAGCGAAACUCCCCUAAGAACUCCUCUCUUUGGGAGAAAUCGGCGUCCCGCACUCACACUAGGAGAUCAUCUUGGAGGAGGACCCUGACAAGCACCGCUCAGGGUACAACGGGGCAGGAAAGAUGGGGACACGAGCACCAACCUUCAAGGCGAUUCACAAUCCACUGAUUAACCGCAAAUGAAGGCGAAUUUGAAGGGUUUCCACCCAUUUACCAACGAGGUCAUGGGCACCCAGUUAGCUCGGAGGUCGUGGUGGCCCAAUUUGGAGAAGUACUCGGGAACCUCCGAUCCUAAGGCCUACGUUAAGGCCUAAAUGGCACAUGCUCACUUGUUCUCGAAAAAUAUGGUCGUGCAUUGCAGGCUGUUCCCCACCACUCUGGCAAGGGUAGCCCUGGUUGACUCUUUUGAGUUCGUGUGGCCGAUUCCUGACUCGAUUUGCAGAUUGUAAGCCCAUAAUCACAACCUUAGCAUCCUUGCACAACAUGAUACAAGGAAAGGGGGGGGGGUGAUAAACAUAUAUUUAUUCACAAUCAAUAGUUUUAAUCAUAAAUUAUUGACCAUAAUAAUAAAUAAAUUCAUUCUUUUAAUUCAAAUUCAUAUAAUUGGGUUUAUUUGGGCCUUAACUAUUUUUUGUGUAAAUUUUGUGUUUUUUAUAUUAGUUUGAAGGAAGUGUCUACCUUUGUGAAUGAGCCAAAUAUGCAAAAGUCCAACUUGCUUCUUUGAAUCAAAACAUAAAACAAAUUUUAAAGAGAAAUAGGAGAAAAUAAAAUGUACAAUAUCUCAUAAACAAAAUUGGAAACAAAUCUUCUGCAAAAUACAAGAAUUCUGGAAAGUUGGAAACUGAGAGAAUGUUAACAAAAUUUAAACCAAAAUAUUUUUCCAAGAUCCUUGGAGCAAAAAAACCUAUAAAAAGACAUAAGACUUAAGGAGAAAGGGGAGAGCUUCAUAGGAUUUUCUUAGUUUAUUUUCUUCUUUGUAAUUCUUUUGUUUCGCCUUAGCAUGGAAGGCUAAACCUUUUUGAUUGAUUCUUUGUAAUUUCCCAUUGAGUUCUGAGGUUUUGAUCAAUAAAAAAUUCAUUUUUUAAUUCUCUAUAGUAGUUGUUAUAAUAUUCUAAUCUUCUGGAAAACUGGUUUUUCUGAGAGGUUAUACUUGAAUGCAUGAUUGAGAGUCUUCCUUAUUUUAAACUUUGGUUUCUUAGUUACUUCAUAUUGUUCUGAUUAAUUUAUUGAGCGUAUGAUUCAAGAGAGAGGAGAUUAACAUUCCCAUAGAGUAUACGCAUGGAACAAAGUAGGUACUGAUUAAACUAGUAGACACAUGCUUUAUUGGUGAGUUUCAAUUGAACAAGAUUGACGCAUAUUCAAUCUAGUUUAACUCUGUUGGAUGAUUGAGAAAAGAUUAAUUUUUAAAGAACCUGUGAAGAAUUCAACGCUGAAAGAACUUGGGAUCAACCACUUUUUAAUUACUAUUUUAAUCUCUUUUAUAUUUUUUGUAGAACUAUCUCAACCCCUUUUUAUCUUUAUUGUUAUUGUUAACUUGUAUUGCUUGCAGAUACUUUCUAAACAUUGAUUUACUAAUUUCACUAUUGGAUUUGCUAGGAGACGACUUGGGGUCAUCUGACCACGAUUACACUAUCAUCUCUCCAACGUAAGACAGGUCCACAUUGGAAUCAUUUUAAUGUGACAGCAAAACGACAGCUAUUAGAGGCUUGAGACAGUACAUGGCCAAAUUUUCCCGGGCCACGCUGAACAUACUCGACCUACAUCCGACAGUGUUCAUGCACGCCUUGUCAGUAGGGUUACGUCCAAGGAAAUUCUUGAACACGUUGUAUGUUAAGCCACCGAAAGACAUGGACCAACUACGGGUUAGGGCGACAAGGUAUAUGAACAUUGAAGAGAACGUCGACGCCUACAAGAAGGCGAUGAAGGCAUCAACCACGAUGACCUUCCCUAGUUAGAAAAGAAAUAGGUCAGGGAAGUUUGAGAGCUACACUCCUCUAAACGCCUAGAGGGAGAUUGUACUACAGGAGGCCUGCAACUUGGAGCUGGUUCACCUACCAUCUCCAACCUAUAACAACCCCCUAGGGGAUUGUAGCUACCACCGAAACCAGGGGCAUAACACAAGAGAAUGCUUCAAGGUAAAAGACCUCCUUGAAGAACUUGUUAGAUCGAGGGCCCCGUUUCAUCUACCGGGUUGAUAACACCCGUUGUAGGAGGUCAAAUCGAGGUCACGAUAGGGGCAGGUUAGGACGAGGACGCGAUAACAAAGCAAGAAGCUCGUGCUGAACUGACACCCCAGAGAAGAGCAAGGCAAGAACCACCCAACACGAGAUGGGGAAUCCCAUCAAGAGCUAGAGAACCAGGAGAGAUCCGGGGUUAGCAUCGGUUGGGGAGAAAUCAACACUAUCACUGGUGGUGGCCCUACCAGCUCGACUAGAAAAAGACAUAUCAAGAGUGUCAAUUCUAUCAGUCUCCUACCACCACGUAUUAUGCCAAUAUCCUCUUUACAAACAAAGAUCGAUCCUCAGGAACAUCCUAAUCUCGCGAGUUGCACUCCCCAUAUUCAUUUCCAGUAGGAACACUAUAUAAUAAACAAAAAUGCAUAAUGUACAUAUAAACUAGAAUCGUAAACAUGUAUUUAAAAAAUAUACUAUUAAUAUAUAACAUAAUAGAAACACAGAACCAAUUUAAACUAGUCAAUUCCUUAGCGAUUUGCAAGGUUUAUGCCUUUUGUUUUUGUCACUCUUACAUUUAACACAACUUCAACGAGUGUGGCAAGCCAUUGAGGUUUUCCAGUGAAGAAUAAAUGAGAGCCCAAGAUGAUUCCAAAGAGCAUCCCACAUGCAUAUCCCACUACCACAAUUUCCCACCCAAAUCCUAAUUCUUUAUGAUCAAGUGUUGAAUGUGGUGACAAUUUUUUAUCCUCAUUGCAUCGUUUUGACAAAGGGUUUCCACAUAACAUUAAAUUUCCAGCAUAUGAAUCAUUUUCAAAUGUGUCAAAUUGUCCACCUCUAGGUAUCAUUCCCUCAAACUGGUUUUGUGAAAGGUUCAAGACCGCCAGAAAAUUCAAAUUACUCAAAGCCAUGGGAAUCUCACCUUUCAACUGGUUUCGUGAGAGAUCCAACCAUUCCAAAUUUCUCAAAUUACUCAAAGAUUGUGGAAUGGUACCAGUGAUUUCAUUGUGGGAAAGGUUUAGCCCUCUAAGGGAAAGCAAUUCUCCUAUGACUUUUGGAAUUUCUCCUUCAAACAUGUUGUCUGAUAAAUCAAUAGUUGUGAAAGCAGUCAAUAUUCUCACCAACUCCAUGUAUUGACCUUUCAUUACGACCACUAUAGAAUCAUUAUAGGAUUCGUGAAUAUCCAUAUAUAACGAACCAGUUUGGCUGUCACUCACGUUCUUCAUUCCUUGAAAGUUCUUAAAGUAUGAUGUUGGCAAAGGGCCACUGAAACUGUUAUUAGAGACAUCAAAUAUUCUCAACAUGGGAAAUGGAUGCUCGGUACCCAAACAAGUGAUGACACCAUGAAGUUUAUUUGAUCGUAGACUAAGUACCUGUAACUCUUGCAAAGUUUCCAGCCAAUGGGGAAAUGUAUCCUGAAUGUCAUUGUUUCCAAGGUCCAAAACUUGGAGCUUUGUGCAGUGAGCCAAAGAUUGUGGUAAUGGUCCCUUGAACCUGUUGCCAUUCAACUUUAUUGUCUCAAAUGCAUUUUUCUCAGGAAAGUUCUGAGGUAUGUUUCCGUAAAGGUUGUUCACUUGCAAAUCCAACACUAUAAGAAAAGGAAAUGUUGCAAGGCAUUGUGGAAUGUGUCCUAUCAAGUUGUUGUGAGCCAAGUUGAGUAUACGGAGAGAGCUUGCGUUGCACAUUGUUGAAGAAAUGUCCCCAGUUAGCUCAUUAUUUGAGAUUAGAAAGUAUUCUAUACCACUGGGUGGAAUUGGAAGAUCUCCCUGCAGCCUGUUAUAACUCAGAUCAAUAGUUUCAAUGUCCUUCCAGUGCAAGAGUUGCUCACGAAAUCCUUGGGGAAUGCUUCCACGAAUUUUGUUAUUAGACAGAUCCAAUACUACCAUAUUUUGAAGAAUUUCUAAGAAUUUUGGAAAAGUACUCAUGUUACAGGAGGAUAAAUAUAAGAAUUGAAGGUUUGGUAAGAUUUCAACACUACUAUCAAAGUUGAUAGAGAUAAAAGUAUUGUGUGAAAGAUCAAGUAAAAGUAGAUUUUUUAACUUUAAAAAUCGGUGAGAAUCCACAAAACUAGUAAAAUUAUUUGAUGACAGACGCAAGUCAACAAGAUUUUCCAUUUCAAAUAUUGAAUAUGGGAUAUUACCUUGCAGUUUGUUAUUAGAGAGAUACAAAUAUUCUAAAGAAUAAGUCGAGAAUUCACCAACUGAGCCUGUGAACUGGUUGCCACUGAGAAACAACCGUGACAAGGAUGGAAGAGAAUAACACCAACUUGGAAUUGUCCCAUUUAACUUGUUAGCAGUUAAACCCAGAGUGUGUAAUUUUGGAAAUUGAGUGAUUGUAUGUGGAAUCGGGCCAACUAACUCAUUAUCUGAUAAAUCUAAAAGAGAAAGCUGAGUCAAAUGAAACAAUGAUGAGGGAAUCAAUCCAUCAAAUUUGCAUCUAGAAAGACUGAUAUGGUUGAAAUACUUCGAAUGACCUAUGGAAUUAGGAAUUUGUCCUGAGAAAGCAGUGCCAGAGAGAUCCAAGUACCUCAACAGAAGGCUCAAGUUAGAUUUUGGAAGCUCACCUCUUAACCAUGCAUUAGAUGAAAGAUCUAGUUUUUGAAGAUUUGGUAAGCAAAGUAUGUCACUUGGAAACUUGCCUUGCAAGUUGGUGUUUGAGAGACUAAGAGAAACCAAAGUGGAAGAUAGAUUGGUUAGCAAUGACAAAGAGUUCUCUUUGAUAGAAAACAUGUUCAUGCCAUCUAAAUGGAUCUCUCUUAACUUAGUUGCAUUGUGAAUGAGUUUGUUCCAAGUGUAUGGAUGCAUUCUGAUAGACAAGUAUAUGGGCAUAGGAUCAUCAACUAGUCCCCAGACAGCACUGAGAUCAAGUGAUACUAACUUUGACAAGUGAGAGAUUGUGGAGGGAACAUCACCACUGAUCACAGAGUAUGAUAAAUUUAGAUACACGAGAUUCACAAGAUCACCAAUUCCAGAAGAUAGUGAAGACCCAGAAAAAUCAUUGUAGGCUAGAUUGAGUUGUUGAAGGUGCCUUAACCUAAAGAUGGAGCUAUUGGGAUGGAAUUGACCUUGAAGAUGACUGCAGCUAAGGUCAAGAGCAAUCACGUGGCCAGACAUGUCGCACGUGACUCCAUUCCACUGGCAACAAUUUGUUCCAUUUGUCCAAGAUUCUGUCUUGGAAGAAAAAGAGGAACAGACAUCAAGCCAUGAAUAAUAAUGGGAAGUGUUGACAGUAAUUGAGUUUUUGAAUUGUAACAAGGAAGAUUUAUCAUGAUGGUUGCAUGAACAAGUGUAAGAAGGAAAAUUUAAAGCAGCAAAUGAAGCAUAACAUAGGCCAAUAGAAACCACCCCAUAUGGGAGAACAACUUUCUACAAAAUACUUUUCCUCUUGUUUUUCUUAUCUUCAAGUAAAAGACUUUGAAUGCAACCAUGGAAGAACUUUAAUUUAUAAGCUAGGUGAGGCUCCUAGGAUUAAUCAAAUUUAUUAUUUUCUCUUUCUCCAUUUUUUUUAUCUACUUUGGGAUGUAAUAAGACAUACAGAACAAGCCAUCACACUACUGCAACCAAAAUUUAAAUAAAUUUUAUGGGAAAUCAAUAAUGAUUUUAUUGAAAGUAACUAAUUAUUAUAAAAGAGAAAGAAAAAGGACAAAUACAUAAAAACAACAGCAAAGGUUGAAUACUUUUCAUUGACAUUAACUUAUAUCUAAAUAUAUAGAAACAAAAAAACAUAGAUAAAGAACAAAUAAGUUGAGAUUAGAAGGAGAUGUUAGAAAAAGUGCAAAAAGAUAUAAAGCUCAGAUGUGUCACGGAUCUUCUGAGGAUCAGAGGAGUGUGAUGAACCCAUCCAUCACUGUGGACACAGAUUCGUCAUAGCUAUGAAAUGCACCAGCCGGGAAUCGAACCCGGGUCUGUACCGUGGCAGGGUACUAUUCUACCACUAGACCACUGGUGCUUCUGUUGGUAGGAUUUUCCCUCUUAUUAAUAAUUUCGAUCCUUAUCAAAUUUAUUUUGGUUUCCUUGAAUUCAUUUGACAUGAUUAAAUAUAAUAGUUAAACUCUCAAGAUUAUUUCACCUAGUAGAAAUAAAUCUUCAAAUCAAUAAUUUAUUUUUAGUGUUAUUUUAUGAAGAAAAUUAUAUUUGUAGCUUGGAAAAGUAAGAGAAUAUUUAGAGAAAAACGUCUGAACAGAUAAUAAAAGUUUUAAAACUAAUAAUUAUAUACACUAAAUAAAAAUCAAUUUCAGAGAUAAAAAAUAAUUAUCCAUUAUAUUUAUUAAAUUAAAUAUUAUUUUAAAGACAAAAAAAUAUUGAUAUUUAAAAUAGUUUUUAUUAUUAAUAAAAUUUAUAAACUAAUUUUUAUAAUUGGAAUCUAAUUAACUAGGAAGAUUUUAGCUAUCAAUUAUUUUAAAUUCUAAAAUUAGAAUUAAAACUUUGAUGUUGAUUAGACAUUAAUUUAUAAAUUAAUUUAUAAUUUUUUUAAUAAUAUAAAUUAUUUUAAAUACUAAUAAUUACAGUAACGCUACAAUGUUAUGUGGUAACUUUUUAUUAAAAUAUAUACAUAAUAUGUUAGUGUGUAGAUUUUUCUAUUUCUUUUUUUAUUAUUUAAAAGCGUAAAUUGUAUGUAUGAUAUAUAUGUGCAAGUUUUUCAUUCUUAGUGAUUCAUCUAAACUUAUGUAUAACAUAUAUUUACAUUUUUAUUUUAUAUCAAAGAAUUUAUUUUGAAUUAAAGAAAAAAUAUAAUAAUAAUUUUAUGAUUAAUGCAAGUCUCAUUAAUUUUUUUUUAAAAUAAAACAUAAAUUAUCAAAAACAUUGUAAUAUCUAUACAUAAUUACAUAAAUUUAUCAAAAUAUAAAAUACUUAUAUUUUGAAGAAAUAAUAAUUGUAGUUACGUCUAAAUUUGUAAGAUGUAUUCGUAUAAAAAGUUAAACAAAAGUUUGAUCAAAAUGUUAUAAAAAAUUGCAACAAAUUUGAUCCUAAGGAAUUGACUGUAUGGAAGAAGCUCAUACAAAAAAUAUUGUGUCAAUUCUAUCAUAGAUUGUAUUUGUAUCCACAUGGUGUAAUAUGCACUCAUGUAGAAAAUUACACUAAAUGUUGUGUAAUAUGCACUAAUGUAGGAAAUUACACUAAAUGUUGAUAACAGGGAUGUGACUAAGCCCACAUAGGUCGGAGAGAUAUACACAUAUAGAAAAUUCUUUAGUAACAGGGAUGUUGAUAACAUUUUGUUUAAACUCUUUAAUAAUAAUAUAAAAGAACACUUAUUUAGUCUUUAGUAAAUUAUCACACGUAUGUUUAUUAAAAUAAAAUUAAUAAUAAUAUAUAAUUAAUAAAAUUAAAAUUAUCACAUGUUUAUUAAAAUAAAAUUAAUGAUAAUAUAUAACUAAUAGAAUUAAAUUUUUUAUACUAAGAUUAUAUCCUUUUUAUUGUACUAAAAAUAAAAUAUGUUAAUAUUUAUUAAUUUAUUCUAAAAUAAUUAAAAAAAUAUAGACAAUAUUUAUAUUUAAAUUUAUUUAUUUAUUUUAAUUAAAAAAUUAGUAGAUGCUUAUCUUGGCUUUUGAGAUCACAUUAGUAUGUAUUUAUUUGGUAUUUUAAUAUUAAGGUUGCUUGUAAGAAACUACCUGGUAAGCUAGAUAGCUAAUAAAAUAGAUAUUAUUUUUCAGAUUUUAUAUAGUGAGCUAAUUUCUAAUUAAUGAUUUUUUUAAUUAUAUGUUCUAAACUGAUAAAUAGCUUAUUUUGAAGAAAACAUAAAACCUCUUUAUCAUGCCACACCUGAGAACUCACAACAGCUUACACUAGUAAUCACUAUUUCGUCAAAUAUUAGUACAAUAAACCCACUUGCAGCUUGCAAGUGGUUUCUUUAACCAAAUAUUCAUAAAAGAAUUGUAAUUUUUCCUUCUGCAUAGAACAAUUGUAAUCUAAAACAUACUGCACCAAACAUUUUCCACAAAGAAAGAGAAGCAAAUCAUAAUCAUAGUUUCUUACAUCCGGUGUAAAAUAUAUCAACAGCCGGUUGCCCAUUCUAGAACAUAGAGAUGUUUAUGCUCCACCAUCUACCAGUCUUCUUGUGCUUUAAUUUCCUUCUGUUCCUAUUCAUUUCUAUUUAUUACAUAGAUGCAUGCAAUCCUUCACAAGUUUCUGUUCUGAAAUAUCAGAAUUAGCCUUUUUGGUGAACAGCAACUUGGUGAAUGUCCAUGUCCUUCAACAUCACAGAACGCCCACAAGAAUCACAGGGGGCAGUCCUGGAACCACAAACACUCUCAUGCUCUGACAAACCUCUUAAUCUGUCACGGACAUCCAUGGCUGAAUUCCCAGCUUGAACCAUAUCACCACAAAACCGGCAUGAAAUAAGACGCAGGGGGCAAACUGAAGCUUGAUGCUCCAUCUGGUAAAAGGAAAUCUUAGAUACUCAGUUUUUAUACAAAUUCACAACAAAAGACAAACUUUAGGAACCCUGCCACUCCUUAAGAUUAAGAAAUUAAGAUACACAUUUCAAGAAUUUCUAUUGACCUCUUAAUUAUUUGUAAUUUCUAUGCCAAACCUGUUCGUUUGAAAUACAUCCAUCUACUUAAACCUCUCCAAAUGUUGUUGAUAGGCAGUAAACCCUACUCUCCAAAAGUUUGGGAAAAAACAUAGGACAUUUUUUACUACCAAGAUAUAAAGAAAAUUUGGGAUUCCUAUCAUCUGGAAUAAAAAUGGAAAGUAGGGAUGUGUGUGCCAGCCGUCAUGCCAAAUAUCACAGUUUAGCUUCUCCUUUCUUCAAAAUUUGAAGUCCCAUCACAAUUCACAUGAUAGUCCGUCAAUAAAAUGAUUCUAAUAGUUGAGUUGAGAGUAGAAAUAAAUACGAAUAGAGGAGGCUUACUGUUCAUUGUUCAACAUAGACAAAGGUAGUCGUAAAAACACAUGGUUUGGUUUGUCGUAAAAACACAUGGUUUGGUUUGGAAAAAAAAACAUCAUUUCAAUAGUCACUCUCCAACCCCCUGUAUUAUUGAAAACAAAAUUUCAAGAGACUUAGAAAUGGCUUUAAGCUCAACUCCCAACACUAAACUUGCAACUUUUAGAAGGCCAACAUGCCAGUCAGAUAAUACCUUUGGAAAAAUGAGUAUAAUUCCAUAGAAGUUUGUGUAAAUAAUGAAAGAAGUCCCAAUAAAUUUUUUUUAUCUAGUAAAAAGUUUGCACACUACACUUUCAACUGGAAACGGUUUAUUCAUUGCCUCCUCAACAUUGUUUCAAUUAAAUUUAAAUAAGAUGAAGGCUUUUGCCAUUGAUUCUCCAAAUUAAACUCACCUAUCUCAGUAAAAUAUAAAUUUGGAUGGACAUAACAGCAUCAACAGAACCCAGUAAAUAAUGAAUCACAGAUAUAGAGACAGAAACAAGAAUUAGAACACCAAAAAGAGAAAGAAACAUGGGCAGACACAAAACUGGUAAGAAAGGACAAGAGAUGUGCAGCUUACCAUUUUCUCUUUCUCGAGGAUAAUUCCACAAGGGCACUGAAGUGGCUCGUGAAAAACUUUCAUGUGCUUUUCUAAUUCUACCUGCUGGAAUGCCAGAUCACAUCUGUCACAGUGAACGUGGUUCUUGGACUCUUCAAUCCUAAGAACAACUCCACAGCCUGCACGCGGACAUACAACAAUGUGCCUCCUACAGUAGGCUUCAUGCAGUGCAAUAGUCCUAGUGGGAAUAUAAUGCUUGCAGUUCCUACAUUGUUCAGUAUCUAUUUCCAUAGAUGACACAGAAGAUGAUGCUUGCUGACCAACUUUUUGAUUAAAGUUAUCCUGGACCACUACUGAUAUUUUAUACUUAGUCAUUCCCUUGAAGCCAUAGAUACCGAUGCUGUAAGUCCCCACACCCAAGCUUUCAUCUUUACAGCUAAGAAUCAAAGUCUUUGAGCCAAUAUCAUGAGACGACCACUCAUGCUGGUGCCGUGUAGGAAAUAUGAGAGGAUGUUUAGAGAUAAAAAGAUCAGUGUCCCCCUCACCAGUCUCUGAUUCUAAUUUUACCUCAAUACAAGAAUUCCCAGAAGAUAGUUUCUCCCAUAUGACAUUAUUGUCUAUAGAAAAUUUAUAAUACACAAACUUUCCUUCUUCUACUGUUCCAAUUUGUGACAUUCCAAAUGAAAGUGGCAUUAAAACAUGCUCAUCUCUCUUUUCUGAAGAGGUAUCAGGAUCAACUAUGUCAACUUCAAUAUCUGUUUCUAAAACAGAUACACUUGAAGAAGGUUUUAACUCCAGGACCCUUAAUUUGUAUGCAAGUUCUCCAUAGUUUACAAUUAAAAUGUCACCUUGAGAAAGGGUAGCAUGCUGCCGAAGAGAAGUUUCAAGGAUAGCCUUAUGAUUCGGUAAGUCAGAAAAUCCUGCUCUUUCAGGUUGAAGUUUUGCAUAUGUCCCUUUCGGAAGCCAAACAUAGCGGACUUCAACUAAUGGAGAUUCUGAAGUGCCUUCGGAAAAUAAAUUAUUCCAAACAUGAGGAGGAAGUCCCACUGAACCUUCAUCAGCAGUGAAUUCUAAAACUCCUGAAUGGGUGGUCCCUUGUUUCUCUUUAUCAAUAUCUUGGAUGCUUGAAGAGCUUUCCUUGUGAACUAAUGACAGUUGAAAGUAUAUGGGUCCCUUAUCAAAAGCACCCUGAUCAGACAGUUCUGUGAAGCAAGAAGGAGGAAGCUUGAUCUUAUCUCCACCACCUUGAUAGGGCACAGCCUCUAGUAAUCGAUAAAAUACGAUUCCUCUGCCAGCAAGAAUGUUUUCUUGCAUCUGUUGGUCAGCCUGAAUUGAGAAGAGAAUCAUUUAGUGUUUUCACAUUAACAAUGUCGACAAAAAGGAAAUAUUUGCAGCCACAGCUUUUGUGCUGGAAGGUAAGGUAAACAUUUAUGCUUAUAUUAGCAAGAUUAUUUUCGCUAGUUAGAGAUUAAACUCACUAGGUCAGCCCCUCAAAAGCUUAUUGCUUGAAGGGCCACGUUAGAGAUUAAACUCUUUCAAGGCAACCAACUAACAGCUCAAGCUUUCGUGUGAAUGGUUGUUCGAUAGCAACUAGCAUUUUUUAAUAUACCACUUUUUGAAGGUUCGACAAAUCACACCACCAUAACACCUCAUAACAAUUUUGGUGCUUGCACCAGUAAGGGGUAUAGAAAAGUCCAGCAUGGACUUCUCUGAAUCCAACCAAUGAAUAUAAUUGCUGAAUCACAUUUUUGUACAUGUAUAAAGAAAGCGAUUCAACAGACAUAUAUUUCUAGGCCACCAACUCUCAAGCUUUCGUGUGAAUGGUUGUUCGAUAGCAACUAGCUCUUUUUAAUAUACCACUCUUAAUCCAACCGAUGAAUAUAAUUGUUGAAUCACAUUUUUGUACAUGUAUAAAGAAAACGAUUCAACAGACAUAUAUUUCUAGGCCACCAACUCUCAAGCUUUCGUGUGAAUGGUUGUUUGAUAGCAACUAGCUCUUUUUAAUAUACCACUUUUUGAAGGUUCGACAAUCACACCACCAUAACAUAACACCUCAUAACAAUUCCGGUGCUUGUACCAGUAAGGGGCAUAGAAAAAUCCAGCAUGGACUACUCUGAAUACUCCACACAACUUGUAACUUUCCAAUAAAUAUAAUUGUCGAAUCACAUUUUCGUACAAGUAUAAAGAAAGCGAUUCAACAGACAUAUGUAAAGGGCAUAAAAGCGAUUCAGCAUUAAAAAAAGGUAGAAAAUCAGGGAGCAUAAAUAGACAUAAAAAUCAUAAAAAGUAGAAAUUUGACUACCCUUGCCGUUAAACUGCAAGGACCAACUGAAGGAUAAAUUUAUUGAGAGAGAUAAUCAUCCUAGGGCAUGAUCUGACAAUUGAAGAGGCCUGAUCAUAGCAAAAGGUAGACAGAAUAUACUGAACAGCCAAAAACAAAAAAGAAAAAUAUAAUAACUGGAGACAACAAAAGGGUUGGAAUACAUGCCAUCAAUUUCACGUGUCAGAUUCUCCAACCCUACCUAUGUUUGCUUCAAAGUUAAUAUCUUUAAAGAACAAUCUACAGUAUUGCAUCUCUAGUUUUCAAAAAAUUGAACACAGAGAAAUCAAUCUGAAGGACCCAAUAACAAGAUUACCUAAAAAUAAUCUUGAAAAAGGUUUGAUAGUAAUGAAAGGGGUGAAAAGGGUGUGGAUACCUUGAGUUGCGCUUGUGCCGCAUCAAUACGACGAGAUCUUUGAACAGCUUCGAGGGCUUCCUUUUGCUUCUGAGCCUCUUCUUUGGCCUUUCUUUCCUUCUGCAAUUUCAAUCUUGCUCUUUCCUUCCUCUCCUUCUGCUCUUUCUCUAGCUUUUCUCUCGCUCUUCUCAGUUCAAAAUCCAUCUCUCUCUAAGUGGUGUGUUGGUUAAGAAAAGGAAUUGCAAUUUGUGAAUGAAUCGAAUCGAAUCAAAACAAGAAGUGAAUUUUGAAUAAACCGUUGUUUUUUGUUUUCCCUUUUAUUGUUGUUGGUCGCUAUGCUUCUAAGAUUAAUUUAAUUUAAUGUUUUAAUAUUAAGUUGUUUGGUUCUAGAAAAGUCUGGGCCUUUCUUCUGCGAUCAACUAAAGCCCGUCUUUCAUGUUUUAAGAAACGUGUAAAUAUUCGAUUUUGUUUUCUUUCUAUCGUCAUCACAAACACAACUUCCAUUGCUACCCUUCAUUCCAUUUCUCCCUUUUCAUAAAUCAGGAAAUAAAUUAUAUUGUAUUAGAAUAUCACUUAAAGUAACUCUAAAAAAUUCAUUAAAUUAUAUUAGAAGAGAAAAUAUAAUUAUUUGUUAAAAAACUGCAUUAAAUUAUAUUAGAAGAGAAAAUAUAAUAAUUUGUUACCCAUAGAGAUGAGGAGAUCAAUGGUUUGAGGAUGGAUUCUCACCAAAUAUAGUAUCUAAGUUGCAUGACUACCGAGCUUAUUCAAACUCUCGUUUUUAUAGAUCAUAGUGGGUUCUCUCACUCACGCAUUAAUUCACAUGUUGUGGGUUCUCUCACUCACACACUAAAUUUAUAUGUGAAGGUCACAAGUUCACAGGUUGGUAGGUUAUAGAACAUGACGGGUUCUCUCACUCACGCACUAAAUUCACAUGCAAGGGUCACAAGUUCACAGGUUGGCAGGUUUUUUUGUCUUCAUUAGUAAAAGAAGGAAAUCUUUCAAUUCCAAAAUGCACAGCAACUUUAAAGUACAUUUAAGAAACGUAUUACGAAAGUGAUAUUAGUUGGGAAAUGAUUUUGAACAAAAACAGUGAAGUUAAUGAUGUGCGAACGCACUUCAGAUUUAUUAUGCAACAAAAUAACCCAAGUAUAACGCGAGUAAUCAUCAACAAUAGUUAAGAAAUAACGAAAACCUUGCAUAGAAGUUAUGGAACAGGGUUCCCAAAUAUCAAAGUGUACAAGAUCAAAAAUAGCAGAGGUAGCAGUAGUACAUAAAGUGAAAUGAAGUUUUCUUUGUUUUGCACGACUACAAGUGUCACAUACAUUAUGAGUAUCAAUAGUAAUAAAAGGGUAUUGUUUACGUAAGACAUGCAAUCUUUCAUGUGAAGGGUGCCCCAGUCUAUAGUACCACAGUGUUUUGUCCGUGAUAUUACAAUUAAUAAGAGGAGCAAAGUUAUGUGGUUUAGAGCGACUAGAAGCAGGCAAGGUAGCCACAGGGUACAAGCCACCAGUGGCUUCAACUGUACCAAUCCUCUCUUGGGUGAGAUUGUCCUGUAUAAUGCAGUGAGAGUUAAAGUGAAAGUUAAAGUGCAUUUAAGUUGGUGUGUGAGUUUAGAAACAAAUAUUAAGUUUAAUUGAAAAUGAGGCACAUAUAACACAUAAGACAAAUAAAACUUAGCCGAAAAGUGUACUAAACCAGAAUAUGUGGCAUAAACAGUUUGACCAUUUGGGAGACUAAUUAAGACAGGUUUGAUUUUAGUCCAAGUAGUAAAAGCGCUCAAAUUGUGGCAAACAUGAUCAGUGGCACCAGAAUCAACAAGCCAAGAUUCUUUUAUAGCAGAUAGUGAAGAGAAAAACUUACCCGUUGAAGAUUGCUCGGUAUUGGUGAUUUUGUCUGUCGAGAAGGUUCCGACUUGAUUAAUUUGAGCGUGAGGGGCAGGAUCCUCAAGGUUUUGCUGACGCAAAAUGUUGGUUAGGAAUUGACACUGUUGUGAUGUAAGUUGAAUCCCCUUUACAUCUUGUUCUUUAGAAAAAGACUCAGAAGAAGAGUUAGUAGUAAACAUAUUGUUGGCUUGGGAUGUCCUAUUGAUGGAUUUGUAGCCAGGAGGAAACUCAUGCUUUUUAUAACAGGUGUCGACAGUGUGGCCAAGACGAUUACAAAAAGUACAAUUUUUUCUAGUAGAAGAAAACUUUGAGGUUUUAACAUCACCAGAAGGAAAACCCACUUUUCUAAAACAAACAGCUUCAGUAUGACCGUAUUUACCACAAAAAUUGCAUGUAGUAGUGCGACUACUGUUAAGACUAUGAAGACUAGGGGCAGGAACAACAAUGCAUAAUUGUCUCUCUUGUUGAACAACCAAUGAAAUUUUUUUGGAUAUGGCAGGAAUGGGAUCCAUGAGCAAAACAUGAGAACAGAUAUUUUUAUACUGAUCAUUUAAUCCUCUUAAAAAUUGCAUAGCACGAUCCUCACAUUUUCUUUGAUUUAUAAUAGAAAUGACAGAACAAGAACAUUUUACUGGGCAUGUGCACACAGGAUUAGGUCUAAAAUUCUCUAAUUCGUCCCAAAUAAUACGCAAUUUUGUAAAAUACUCUGUGACAGACAUAUCCCAUGGUUUAAAGAAAUAGCUUCAAAUUGCAAAUCAGAAAUGCGAGAUAAAUCCACUUGUGAAUAUCUAACUUUUAAAUCAUUCCAGAUGUCAAAGGCUAUGUCCAUCCAAACAAUGCUUUGCCUAAUAGGGAUUGAAACAGAGUGUACUAACCAAGAGACAACCAUGUUGUUACAGCGUGUCCAAGACGAGAAAGUGGGAUCAUCCCUUUGUGGGCACGGGUGUGAGCCAAGUAUGAACUCCACUUUGUUCUUGGCACUAAGAGCAGUGAUGAAGGACCGACUCCACGAAUGGUAGUUUGUUGAAUCAAGAACAGGCGACACCAACGAGGCUGCAGGAUUCUCGCUUGGGUGUAAGUAUAGGAAAUUGUUCAUCGGCUGUUCCAAAAGGGGCAUCAGUGUAGGGUUUCCAUUUGAAGAGGAAGCCGGUGUGGGAUUUGCAUUAGCCGUUGCCUACAAGGAUUUAAAGAAAGAAAGAAAAAAAACAAAAACAAAACAAGAACAGCAAAGAGGGAAAUAAAAAUCAGAGAGAAGCGCAGCUAGAGCUCUGAUACCAUAUUACGAAAGUGGACUUUAAGCCUAACUCAACCCCAUAAAACCGGCUCAUAAGGUUGAGGUUUGCACCCACUUAUAUACAAUGAAAGGCUCUAAUCUCUAGUCGAUGUGGGAUCUCCAACAAAACGUGGUUCAAAACAGUAAGAUAAAUUCGUUGUUCAACAAUUUUGACUCAUUAAAUGAAGGAAAAAAAUGAAGUAUAUUUUUUGGCCUGAUACACAGACUCAUGUACAAUUAAAUAGCAACCUCCACUCCUUUGCCAAUGAACCUACACUCCUUAGCCAAACCACCUUGUUGCCAAACCAUGCUGGAAAAAAAAAAGAAAUCUUAUUACCAACUACACCUCUAACCUACUUGUAGGCACAGUGUUGAAAGAAUCUAUCUUUCAGUUCAAUAUGUAGAGUUCUUUACUGUAACUGAGUGUUACUAACUCACAUUGAUUCAUAGUCUCCAUAGUACAUCCUGUAAGUUCUCAUCAACCACAAAAUUGUGUUUGUUGUAUGAUUUAAUUUAUAAAAAUUGUUAUAGAUUUUUUUUAUAUACUUAUUACAAUAAUUAUUUUCUAUAUAGGAUUAGUAAUAUUUGAUAAGUUGUGAAUCUUUAUAGCCAUAACAUUCUCGUUUGAUAUGAAAAUCCUCUCUUCCCCAACUACAUUGGCAAAAAAUCUUGCUACAUGGCUACAUUUGUUUGCAAACUCUUACAGUAUCAAACAUUGAGACAAAAUUGCAAUUAUAUAUAAUUAUAUUCAUAAUAUAUAUAAUUAUUUACAAUUAUUUAAUUAUUUCAAAAGAAUUCCCAUACUUAUAUAUUUUUAUACUUUAAUAUAAAUGACAUUUAAACAAAUAAAUAAGUUUACAAAAAAUUAUUAUUUGAUUUGUGAUAAGGAACAACCCACCUACGAGGACAAUUAGUUUGAUAAAAUGGUUCAUAAAAAACAUAAAUUUAUAUUUUCAAUCCAAUGUAUAAGUAUAUAUUUUGUCCAAUACUAAUAAUGUCAAGUAUUUUGUAGUUCUUGUGGACUCCAUACAACAGGCCAAACAUCGUUGUAUCAUUGAUGAUGUUUCUCCAGUUAGUAGGGCAAUUGUUCCCCUUAUUGUUUUGCCAUCGUUGAAUUUCACCAAGCUGACCCGGUUGUGCGACAAUUUGAUUUUCAACAAGAUAUUCCAUUAAAGUCACAAAACUUAGAUGAGUUUACAGAGAAGAUAUGAGGGACAGAAUAGACAGAUACUGGCCAGAAUACCAUCAGGAAAGUAAUGUGGACUGAUAGACAUAAUUGUCUAAUAGAAGGCAUUCAGUUUAAUUAUAAUGGUCAUUUGCAUGAUUCCACAACAUACAUGCCGUGAUACAUUAAUCACACUAUCCGUUACAUAUCUGCUCAGGAAUCGUCAUUUGACGAUGUAAGUUAAUUCAUAUUUAUAUAUUUUACUUUUAACAAUAUUAACAUGUUUAUGUUUAUAAUGAAGUUAAUAAUUGUUUUCAAAACAUGACAUUACCCAAGAUUAAGGUGGCAAAGUCAUGGCAAAAUUUUUAAUUUUUUUAAAAACAAUCCCAUUUUGGUAAAAAAAAAAAAACCUAUCAGAUAAAAAAAAAACCAGAAAUAUACAUGAGCGAGAAUGAAAAACAAUGAAACAGCAUAAAUAAAAGUUGAAGGGAGAGAAAAGAUGAAGAAGGAGAAGUUGUGAAGAAUAUGAAUGAAUCAGGGAUGAUGCCAUGGUUUUGGAGAAGGUUUGAAGGAGGAGGAGGAGUUAGGAGUUGGAGGUUGAUAAAACUGAGCAAUAGUGUAAACGGUCUGAACAAUGGUAAGAGCGAAGAGAAAAACCGCAGCAACAAGCGACACAAUAGCCCAAGGGUUUCUGAAGUAGGUCUGGAUGAGAUUGGCGCGCCACAUGUUCCAGGGUUUCUUGCAGUAGUUACUCAUGCUCAUCCUCACCACAUCUAACACUCCAUGCGGAUCCACAGCAAUGUCCUUCGAAAGCGAGUUGAACAGUUUCGCAACGGCCUUAUCGCUGCCGAGAGCGUUCACCAGAAUCCCGUUCCGGUGGAGAAGCGCCACGUCCAUCUCGCUGUCGAUGAUCGUGUCCAUGAAGAAUAUGUAGGAGGUCACGUCGUUUCCUGUUUCCGCGUGGAGCCGCUCGAAGGCGAUCAGGUUCAGAAACAUGUACUCAGUGCUGUCGUCAACGACUAGGGUUGGGAGCCGAAGCACGCCGCCGCCGAAGGAGACGUCGCCGAGGCUCUGGGUGCGGCUUUUCACGAAGCGGAUUCCGGCGUCGCGGAGCUCUGUUGCGGAGCGGAUGAUCUCGUCCUCGCCGUGGUCCUCCUCGCUCCGCCAUAGCCUUCUUCUGCGUUUUGGUUUGGAGACGCGUGUUCGGUGAGUGGGUCCUUGGUAGAUGAGGCUUUUUCUGUAGACGUCCAACACAUGCAUGCAUCUGCCUAGGGUUCUUGUUUCGGGUGUGCCUGGGGAGAAGAACUUCAACAUUUGUUUCAUCAGUAACUCUUCUCCCUGUCACGUAUUUGAAUUUCAGAAUCAGUUCAGAAACAUGCAAUAUAAUUUACAUGCCUUCUGCAUAACAACAACAAUCGGUUACCUGGUUUGUGUCAUUCUCAACCUCAAUCAAUAUACGAAGAACGGUCAAGGGAAGCUGAUUCUGGAGCAUAAGCAUGUCACGUUUGAUAUAUGGCACCACAUUCAGUUUCCCGUGUUGUCCAAACACAGGAUCAUUGUCAGCAUAAUCAUCCGGAACACCAUCACUGCCUCUCAGAAUCUCCAACAUGAAACACCCAUCAACAAUCAUCAUUUGUACGAACCUUGCCCUAUCCUGCAUCCAAAUUUCAUCCAGUGGAUUGUACGAGCCUCUCAACUCUUCCACCACUUGAUCCAUGCAGUGGAAGAUAAGCUCAAUCGGUUUUCUGCAUCUCUUGAGAAAAUGGAGCAGAGCUCGAUGCUUGUGAUCUUCCAUGUCCUUCAGAUGCUCCUCUCCAUGGUGAUAAGGACCAAAUGAAACUGCUUGAGGCUUGUAGGCCUUUUCAUUCAACGCAGUGACUCGUGAAGGUAUUCUGUAUAUGGAAUGUCUCUUCCAUUGCUCCUUCUCAUGCACUGAUGAGAUACCAUUGCUCUUGAGCUCCUCGUUGAUUUGGACCACCCACUUCGUUUCUUCCAUAUAUAUCUCUUCAGUGUCUCUCUUGAUCAUGACAUAUACAAGGAUAGGUUUUUCUGGAUCUUAUAGAAUGUUAUGCAGGUGAAAAUCAAGGAUAAAAUAUUCACGACCAUAAGCCUCAAAGAUAUGAAUGUCUAAUUGGAAUCUUCACUUUAUGCAUAUUAACCAACAUAGUGUGUAAAGAAACUGUAAUUUAUAAUUGAACAUUUCUUGCUUCUAAUUUCUUCUUGGAGUACUCUUAUAUACGAAGAAAGGAAUGUAUACAAGACUGUCACAAGCCAUUAAAGCUCAAUUGUUAAGAGACUGGACAGCUAUAUUUGCCGGUUUGUUGUUAUUUUGCAAAUAUACAUAUUAUAUGUAUAAACCGUCAUGGAAGACGAGGUAAAGAUGAUUGAAAAAAGUUGCAGAAAAUGAAAACUGCAUUUUGGAAAUCACGUAAAGGAUUAAGAAACUCAAAGUUAAAGGGAACUCGUUAAUAUGCUUGAGGAUUAUUCACCUUGGAUGACUCAUCUAGACAACCUAGGAGUUCCACAUAUUCGUCUUACAAAUCACUUAUGAUGGUUUCUCACAUGUUUAAAGAGUUAAAAAGGAGAAAAAUUUACAAAAAUAAUGAUUUUUUUUUUUAUCGGAUGGACAAAUUGUUAAAAAUUCCAUUAUGGAAAAAGUAUGCUUCAAAUGAGGAAACUAUAUUAAUUGUAAAAAAAUAUCCUGUUAUAUAAAUAUGACUCUAAAGAUUUUAAGUGAAAUUGUUAUUUUUCAAUAACUUUUAUGUUAAUGGGAAAGUUGUAUGACACAUGAACAAAUUUGUUUAAUAUAAUUUUGAGUUAAUAUUUUAUUUUUAUUAAUUUAUUUUGUUUACACUAAAGUUGUUAAGACACAAUAUUCUAUUUUUAUUAAUUUAUUUUAUUUACACUAAAAUUGUUAAGACAUGUUACAACUUUAAGGUAAUUGAAAUUGAAGUUGAGGUGGUGUAGGGUGCAUGACUUUAGUGUUGUGCGAUUGAAGCUGAAGUCAUCGCAUGUCUCCAUUCGUUGGUGAUCAAAUAUCUUUUUGUGUCAUUUUCUCCUAAUAGUGUGAAAGACGACAAUACCUUUUCAAACCAUAAAAAUAGUGUUUGUGUUUAUAUAACACCACUUCUUCAAAAAAAAAUCGUGUUAUGUAAAUAUAACUUAUAUCCAUCAACAUAACUUUUUAAAAAUAUGUUCAUUUAAAUAUUAUCGAAUAAAAAUGCACCAUUUUCAUAAGUUUUCGGUUGAAGAAACUUUAACUUUAACUAUACUCUAUAAGAAAAACAUGAAAUAAAAACUAAUUUUAGAAACCAAAAAAUAAUUAGUUGUAAUACUAACUAAAUUAGAAAUCAUUUUAGAAACUAAAAAAAUAAUUUGAUUUCUAAAUUAGAAACUAAUUUUAGAGACAAAAAAAAUAAUUAGUUGAUAUACUAACUAAAUUAGAACCCAUUUUAGAAACUAAAAGAAAUUGAUUUCUAAAUUAGUUUUAAAUUUGGUAGCAAAAACCUUGAUUGCUAAUUAGAUAUCAAUUUAGAAACCAUUUAAUAAUAAUAUAAAUUAAUUUAGAAACCAAAAAUUGAAUUAAUUACCAUAAUUAAUAUAUAUAUAUAUCAAUUAAUAAAUAAAAAAAUAAAUAAAUGAGAGUAUUGUAAGGAUAUUCUGUAAUACAAAAUUAUCAAUAAUCCAACUUUUUUAUUUUAAUAGAAAAAAGACAAUAAAAAGCAUAUGAACUACUAAAUAUCCUAAAAAGAAUCAAACACAAUCAUCAUAAAAUAUAUUGAAAAACCUUAGAGAAAUAUUAGGGCCAUUAGUAUUUAUAGUAUUGUUAAAAACUUCCUAGUUAGUCCUAUUUUAUUAAAUAUUUGUGAUAUCUGUGAAGUCCUGGUAAGGUUCUUUGCAUCUAAUUAAACCACAUGCUCCACCGCUUACCCAAGAGAUACCAUGUGUGAAAGAACAAUAAUAGUCAUGUGGUGUUAUAUUGUCUAAUCUCAAAAACUAAAGAAAGAACUCGAUCAUAAUCAUAUAAAAAUGGAGCAGGAACAUUCAAACCUAGAAAGAGGAUAAGAGAUUAAUUGUUCUCGAUCCUUAAACAUUAUGUUGUCUCUUCUUUUUGGGCUUUUUUUAGUGGGGGCUUACUAAAACAUGUUCUAAAAACAUCUCCUGUUGAGAAGUGAAUCAAGUGAUGAAUAUCUUAAAUUUAAAAUUGAAGUUUUAUAAAUUAGAAAUUGGAACGUGCUGAGUUUGGCCUAAAGGUCUUAAAAUUAAUACGGGAUCUUGGAUAAGAUAUUAAAUUUUAAGAAUAAAAAUUAAUCUUCAAAAUCAACAAUAUAUUUUCACAACACCAACAUUAAAUUAAUUAUAAUAAUUCAAUUGACUUUUUAAGUUAUAAAAAUCUAAAAUACAAUUGUUUUUUUUAUAAAAGUGUGAUUCUUAUAACACCUCGAAACAAAUUUAUAAUUUAUCAAUAAGAAUAUAAUAUAAUGGGAUCCAAAUAAAAUAAACUAAAAUCUUAUGCAUGUAUUUUUUAAGACCUUUGCAUUUUUUAUAUUCUAAAAAAAGUCUACUUAAACCUAAGGACCAAGCCCAUUACAAUUAAAACACAAAACAAAAAAUUAAACUGAAUUAUGCAGCAUGUGUUAUGUGUAUGGCUAGAAGAUCAGUUAGGAGCUUUCAUAAUCAAAAGGUUUUGAACUUACCAUUUGAGCUUAAAAUUUCUAAAAUUGGACAUUUAAACUUACCACUAGACAUAAAAACAAAGCUUUUUUUUGUUGCACUUAAACUAUUCAAAAUUGGACCACGUUUGAUUUUAUCAUUGAAAUCUUGCUAAAUGGACAUUUUUCCACUUUCGAAUGAUAAAAGGUAAAAGCAAAGUGGCGUUGCAUGGGGUUAAGUUCAAAGUAACUAAACUACAAACACAAGCCUAUCUGAAUGUGAAAAUGAAGCUUGUUGGUUGCAAGUUAUCUACACUUGGAGAUCUUAAGAAAAUCUACAAAACUAAUUUUAAACUCCCAAUUCCAUUCAUGUACAAACUUGUAAAACCUUACACAGGGUGUAAUAGGUCCAAAGAACCUUCAUCUCACAGACAGUAGAUUUAUGAGAGUUUGAUUUUCGUAGGAAUCGUCCAAAUCCUCAGUAGGUGAUGAAAGUGUCAUAAGAGCAACAACUAUAGACCUCAUACUUGGGCGUAGUAGUGGAUUAUCCCUUGUACAAGCUCUCCCAAGUUGAGCAAUCUGCAACUCAAACAAUCAACAUACUAAGUUUUGGCUAGGAUAAAACUAUAUUAAACAUUCAAAUUAUUUUCACAGAAAAAUGUUUCCACCUUGAGAACUGAAUCAAUUGGAUAGUUUUCUCCAAGCCUGGGAUCCACCAGUUUGCGAAUAACUUCUGAAGGAUUACUCUGAUUAAGUGCUUCUUCAAACUGCAACACAAAACAAGUGAAGGCUAAAUUGAUUUCUGUUCAGGUGGGUGCAUUCUGUUUACUGGCUUUGAAAUGUAAAUUUGUGAACUGGGAGUGUUUUGUUAGUAGAAUGGUUCAGAGGAGUGUGUAGACUCACCAAAGCUACAAGGCCCUUGGAUUCAGCAACAUAUUCACCUGUUUUCAGAACAGCAUUCUUUGCAGAAAUAAGUUCAUAAAGAACCACUCCAAAAGCAUAUACAUCUACUUUUGGAGAGACGUCACCAUAUUGAGCAUAUCUGCAGAAAAUUCACAUAAUCAAUAAACUCAGUUGUGUGAAUAUACACCAUCAAAACUCAAGGACUGAUUUUUCACAAUUGAGAUAAGAUCAUUUUAAAGAAAAGGGACAAAAGAAGCUAAACUGAAUUUGAUUUUACUACUUAUUCAAACAAUAUUGACCCCAUUUUUAUGAUUAUGAUCUGUUCAUCAAUAAGAUAAGCAUAUGAUUCAUCAAUUAUAAGAUGGUCUACUAAUAAUAAUACAGAUCACACACGUUCUUUUUUCAACUAAAUCCAAAUUUCAUACAGGGGUGUGGUAUCAUUUAACACAACAUAACAAAUCAUACUCUGGUGGCAUGUAUCCAAAUGUUCCCACAAGGCGAGUGUGAAGUGUGGAGCCUCCAACUUCAAUAAGUUUAGUCAAGCCAAAAUCUGCUACCUGUAUUUAAAAUAUUACUUAUUUUUAUCUAGUCUUCAAGAAGAAUGGGAAAAUCAGGUUUAUGAAGAGUGGUAGCAGUGCAACCUUUCCACGGAAGUUUUUGUCUAUUAAUAUGUUUGCAGAUUUUACAUCACGGUGGAUAUACACUGGCACAGUGUGCUCGUGAAUAUAUUCAAGGCCUCUUGCAGAAUCUAGCGCAAUUUGCACUCUGCUAGACCAUGGCAAAGGAUCUUUCCCUGGAAUCAUGUUAUUAUCAUCAUUGAUCGUUCGACAAUAAGGUAACAUUACAGAUAAAGAUAAUCAUUCAUCAAUCCAAGCUGAUCUCACCUAUACCAUGCAAAUAUUGGCCUAAGUUUCCGUUGUCAAUGUAUUCAUACACAAGGAAAAGAGAUCCCUCAACGCAAUAUCCAAUCAAACGCACCUGUGGUUUACAUGAAAGGUAGUUACGUAAUUGCAGAAGAAGAUAUAGAACACUCUUUUCAACUGUUUAGCCCAAAAAGUAAACCCCGUUGAUACUCACAAACGACCACAACAGAAGUAAGAUAAGAUUUCACAGGUUAUGUUUGCCAUGUUAUAUAAGUAAUGUAGAUCCAUGUUAAUUUGUAGGAUUAUCACGUGGAUUUGAAGAAAUCAUUUUUCAGGAUAAUUUAGACUGUUUUGUAAUUCUUAUUCACGAACUCACCCUGAAUAUUUAUUUUGUAACAGACUUAGUGUUAUUCAAACUAUACGGAAAAUGAUUAAGUAUCCUUCCCAGAUAUACACAUGCUUGGAGUGAUUUGAAGGAUGUUGUACCAGAUUCAAGUGAUGAACAUGAGUUAAGACCUUCAACUCACAAAGAAAUUCAGUGGAUGCUUGCACGUCCAUCUUUUUAAUUGCAGUUUUCUGCAUAAUGAGAGAAUAAAGUAACAAAGGUAAAUGGUUAAUCUGAAAUGGAAUUAAAAGCAAGAACUUGAAUAUACACACUCAAGAACAUUAUCCAUUCAUAACUAAACAAUUCUACACAACAUAUAUUCAAUGAAAUUACUUGUUUCUUACACUAUUAAUUAUUUUAUUUAUCUAAUACACCACAUAAUGAACUUAGAGCCUUACAAUUUAAACACAUCACAACUAUUCUAAUCUAAAUUCUAAAAUAUCAAUCACCUGGAAAAGCCUUUAUAUAUCAACAAUAAAUCACAUGGCUAAAAGUAAAAUCUUCUAUCUUUCAUUUUUGUUUUCCUUUUUUCCUUUACCAAUAUUUUGUCUGAUUAUGCCAUAAAAUUGGUUAUAGAUGUAUGUACCUCGCCUCUCAAUUCUGCAUAAUAUACAGCUCCAAAUCCACCUUGACCAAUUUUAUUCUCCAAGCUGAAGUUAUUUGUAGCCUUUGCUAGUUCUUGAUAUGUGAACUCCAUUGAUUUUGCCACCAUAAUGCCUGUAAGCCCAGUAGCAGUAGCAGUCCCACUGGAUCCUGAAGUUUCAUAUUCUGCACUUCCAGAGGCUUUACUCGGAAGAGGAAGAAAAAUCAACAAGUAGUUCCAUGGCCAUUAAGCUAGCACAUAUCAAAUUCUAGGAGUAUGCAAGAGUUGAUGACAUGUAAACUUUGAAAAGGUUGAUAAAUAGCAGGCAUUUUUUACAAGGGGUGCAAGAUUAAAAGGAGAAUGUGUUAAUGAAAAUAAGGGGUAUCACACUAACAUUCCUCCGUAACCAAGAAUAUGUUAUGUGAAUAGUUUAAAAGGUAUGUGUUGUAUGAUUACGAAAAUUUAACUGUACCAUAUUGAGUUGAAAACACCAUAGUUGGCAAUUUGGAUUUCUCUCCUUCCUUCUUCUGGAAGAAUUUAGCAUAAAUGCAAAUUACUAAUAAUAGAAGACCGCAUAUUCCUGCUAUGGAUAUUCCAGCAGCAGCACCCCUAGAUAGACCUGCUUUAAUACAGAAGCGAAUUUAAGCUCUGAGACACUGACUUUUUCUUUGCGUUCUCAUAUUUAUGUGAACGUUAAGCUGAAAAUCAUAAUCUUAACCAACUCCCUAUGAAGUUUGAGAGCCAAACCUGUGUUUCUGCAAGAUGGAGAAGAAAAUUAAAGUUAAGAAGAUAGAAUCAAACAUUUAGCAAUAUUCAAUUGUAUAUGCAUAAUUCAGCAUAGAAGGUGAGACAAUCGAAGUUACCCACCUAGGGUGCAAGGGAACAUAGUCUCCAAAUUGAUCUGGCAAGUUAAAUAAAAUUAAAACGUCAAGCAAAUGCAUGAAAGGUUAUCCAAAAUGCUUUGAACAAGAACAAAGUGGUUAUAUUUAACCCCUAAUAAUACCAAUAGAAAGGUACUUAGAAACAAUUGUUUAUUGUGUUGUUCUCUAAUCAGAAUUGUUGAAUUUUUGUCUUGUAACUUACAUCAUAAGGUUUGCAUUAAAGGUUAGCACAGCUUACCAAAAUAAAACUCCAAAACAUUGAAAAACAUUAGUAGAAGUAUCUAACUGUAUCUAAAUUUUGUCAAUGUCAAAAUACAUUGACGAGUACACCAAACUAACAUGAUAGUAAGAUGAGAGCAUACCUCUUCCUGGAAUGAAAACAAUCCCACUCUCUUGGCUGAAAUUGACUCCAGGAUUAUAAUUCUGCAGCAACUGUGCAUCAAGUUGAGUCUCGUUGGCAAUAUCAUGCAGAUUAUUGCCAGGCCUAAGUGGAUAGGUAAUAAACAACCCAUAGUCUUGUGAAACCUGGCUGUUCCCACAAGAACAAUUGACCGUGACAUUAACCUUGGCAUUUGUGGGUAUAUCAUUUUGGCCAUAACUGUUGAACCUCCUCAAAAGCUCAACAGUGGUGAGAUUGGCAUAUGUCACUUUAGCAAUCGAAUCAUAGGUGUCACCUGCAGCAGCUGAGUACUCAAACACAUGCCCCAGAAACUCAUCACGGAUACAUUCACAGGGAAAUGGAAUAUUGAUUCUGUAAAAGAAGAGGACAUUUUUAUUGAAUAUUCUGUCUUUAUUGUAGCUUACUAUAUCGUCAGAAUUGGACACAACACUUGAUUUCAUCAAGUGUGUUAUAUCAUCCAAGGUUGAAAUUCCUGGACUCACAUAAUAGGAAGCUAAAGCUGCACCACAUCCCUUCAAACACUUUGCUUCAACAUUGCAACAAACAUACUCCAGCAACAAAAAUAACAGCAGCAGCCCUUUUUUGAGUUCCAUUGGAUCAAUGAUCACUAAGAGAAACAUAAAGAAACGUAAAUCAGAAAAGUGGAGUUCUAGUAUUUUCUGCAACUUCUAAAAGCCAAUAAUCAUAUUCAUUUCCUUUGUCUUGAAACCAUGCACACUUUCACUUCUAAACACACAUACUAUAAAAAAUAACUCAAACAUAAAAUAGAAGUAUAAAGGCGUAAUUACUUAAGUGAAUGAACAUAAACUAUGAAUUCAUAGCACACGUUUAUGCUCUUUUUUUUUUCUGCUCAAACACCUGAUAGGUUAUAACGUUUAACAGUUUCCACUAGAGUGUGGAAGGAAACAGUACAAUUGGGUAGAAAAUUAUUGAAGUUGACUUCCAUGUCAUUUGUUUAUUUGUUUAUUUCUGGGUAACAACUUGCAUGUCAUUUAUUGAGGGAAGAUUUGUUGAACUUUGCAUAUAAUAAUUGUUAUGUUUGACGAGGAUGCAUUGCACAACCAGAAAGGAAUCUUUGUGAUUGCCAAAGUUGGCUUUGUUUAAUCCUUUGUAUCCGAAAUGCCAACAGUGUCUGCCAAUGUGCCAACAAAUUAACCACUUCGUAUUGCGUCCUCUCAUGAUUCUAACAAACAAAGAACAAUUUUCCAUUUUAUAUUUUGAAGCACGCCUGUGGUCCAACUUGACUUCACCCGUAACAAACAAAAAGGAAUCUGCGUGAUAACACCAAUACCAUAUAAAGUCCCACAUCUUCGAAUAGGAGAAUCUAGAUCCUCUGCCUAAUCUAUAUUAUUAGCUUUAUUAGAAGCUUCAAAGAGUUCUUCGUGGAGAAAUAUUUUGUAAUACGAUUUGUGACCUCAACAAUCUUCAUCUGACAUGGAAUCUUUCUUCUAAUUUAUAUGAAACAAUCAAUGACUUAAUGUCUAGAGAUUAAUUAAUUGAUAAUGUUAUUUGAUGCUCCCCUAAUAAAUUAAUAUUAUCUUAAUAAGCAUUAUCAAUUAAUUAAAACAAUAUAAUUUUUAUUUUUUAAUUAUAUUUUCUCUUACUUUGUUAAUGCUCUUCAUUACACCUAAUAUCAAUAUAAGAAACGACAUUUGAUAAAGUUGAAAAUAUAGUUAAUAUUUGAUUAGUCUGCUAUAGUGGAAAAAAUUAAAAUAAAUUAAAAUGACUCAAGGUGAGGUCUACUGCCUUCUGUAUACUUAAUAUUUAUUUAUAUAAAAUUUAUUUAUUUUUAUGUAAAAUAGUUAGGCUCUUAAUUAAUUACAUAAAUAGAUUUUUGUUAAGUUUAUUACACAUAUAUAUUUUUUAAUAUUUUGAUGGUUUACAUAUAUUUUUUCAGGUAAUUACUUAGUAGGUGGGGUUAAAAUUUAAAGUUUUUAUUCUACCCUCUUCUCUCUUUCUUUGUAGGGAAUAUCUUUCUAGUUUUUACUUUCUCACUUAUUUAUUUUAUCUUUUGUUUUCUCUUCUAUAUAUAUUUAUUUUCUCUUUCUACGUGUAUUAUCAUGGAUUCAAAACUAUCCAAUUGAUUAUAACGUAUUAUGUUAAUUUCUUUAUUAAAAUCUCUUCUUUUGUUAUUUUUAUAUUUGUUGUAAUCUCUAUGUAGAAACAUAAUUCAUUUGUCUUUAUUCUUAUACAUUCAAUUUUCGAUUGUAUUUAUUAUUUAUAGAUAAAUUAUAUUUUUAAUUAUUUUAUUCACCAUAGAUCUUAUUAUUAAUUAGUUGUUAUUCAUAUAUCUUUUAAUUGUUAACUUCUACAUCCUGUUUGUUUAGAGGAAAAUUCUUGUGGUCUUUCAAAAUUGUGAAAAGAAAUAUGAAGAUAGUCAACUCAAUAAAAGAAAAAUCACUUAACUGUCCUUGCUUUUAGCAAAGAUAAUUUUACGCUAUAUAAUUAUAGUAUAUAAUAUAAUUUUAUUAUUACAUUAUAUAAUAUAAUAAAAUAAUUUUAUAUAAUAUUAAUAAUAAAAAGUAAAAAAAUAAAAAAUAAAUGAUAAUAAUAAUAGUAGUAGUCAAAUAAAUUUAUAUAAUGAUGUUAAUAAUAAAAAAUAAAAAAUAAUAGUAAAAUAAAUUUAAAUAAUAAUAGUAAUAUUAAAAUAAAUUUAAAUAAUAUAAAUAUUAAUAAUUAAAAAAUUAAAAAAUUAAAUAAUGAAUAAUAAAAAAAUUACAUAAUAACAAUAUUAUUAUAAUAAUAAUAGUAAAAUAAAUUUAUACAAUAAUAAAAUUAAUACCAAAAAGUAAAUAAAAAUAAUAAUAUUAAUAUUAAUAUAUAAUAAUAAAACUAAUCUAUAAUAAAAAAACAGUAAUUUGAUCAUUUUAUAAAUAUAUAACUUUAUAAUUUUUUUAAAAUUUAUUACAUCAAUCAAAUAAUUCUUCAAUUUUUACAAACUUUUUUUUCAUUUUCCUUUUACUAUUUACUCUUUUUCUCUUAAUCCAAAUAAUCUAUUUUUUACUAUUUUUCUUCAUUUUUCAAUUUCCUUGAAACAAAAACACGUUAAAUUAAGCAGGUAUAUUAAUCUUUGGCCGUUUUUCUUACUGCAUCUCUGGGAUUAAGAAAUACUUUAGUGAAUUGUCCUUAUUUUAAACUUAGGUUAGUUACCGUCUAUUCAAAUAUACUCAGAAGUUCAAUUUCUCUUUUAUGCAAAAAUCAAAUAAAAUUGUGGAUUCAAUUAUAAUCACGUUAUUAUCAUCAACAGUAUUUAGUCUUUGAUAUAUUGGAAAAAUAGGUAAUAAAACAAAAAAUAUAUUAAAAUGUAAUUUGAUAUUCAAAUGCGUGUUGAUUUCCAUGAAAAGGUAAGAUAUUGAUAUUUGAAAGUUUUUGCCAUGCAACUUUUCCCAAAGCAAGAAAAAAACAGUGAGGAAACAGAGUUUGUUUACUUCUGCAAACAAUCACUGCUACAAAUCAUGCUACAAGCAAUACAGAUUUCGGUUGUAGAUAAUUGUGAGAAAGGAAAUAGAGUUAUCACAAAAUUUGUAGAUGAAAGGUGACAUUUUGUGUUCUGCAUUUUUUUUUCCUAUUUCCCUGACAUUAGAUUUGCUAGAGUUGGAUUUUCAAUGAUGGAAGCAAUAUCCCAAUCCUCACUAGUUGAAGUAAGUGCUGUGAGAGUAACCACAACAGAACUCAUAUUUGGACGUUGUUGUGGAUUACUCUCUGUGCAUGCUUUUCCAAGUUGUGCCAUCUGCAAGAAGAAAAAUGGCCUGAGUUUCUUAAAUCAGAAAUACAAAAAAUGUUUAUGCUUUGUGAUAACUCAUACCUUACUAACUGAAUCGAUUGGGUAGUUAUCUCCUAACCUAGGAUCCACCAGUUUUUUAAGACCUUCUGUGGGAUCUUGCUCAUCAAAAACUUCAUCAAACUGUCAUAUAUAUAUCACUAACAGAUUAAACACAAGAAAGGGAAAAUGUAGUUCUUGAUUGUUUAUGUAAGAUUACUAGGUUGUCAUUGAAAAGUGAUAAAUAGUAGGGUGUGAAGACUCACCAAAGACACAAGGCCCUUUGAUUCAGCACCAUGUACACCACCCACGAACAAUGCUUCUUUAGCAGAAAUUAGUUCAUAAAGAACAACUCCGAAAGCAUAGACAUCUAUUUUGGGAGAAACAUUGCCAUAUGCAUAUCUGAAGACAAGACAACGGAAAAAUUGAAUUCAGGCUCAUGAGAAGCAUACUUAUUUUUAUGUCUACAACCACAAAAGCAUGUGUUAACAAUGAAAAACUUCUCUCUCAAAUGCAGUUUAAGUAAAACAAGAGCUGCACAACAGUUAACACUUUCAAUAUUCAUAAAAGGGAAAAGAACAGACUUUCAAUAACCCAACAGGACAAACCCAUAUAGCAAUCUAUCAACCCAAUUUUUAAGAUUUGUUUUAGUUUGUGACACAGAUUCUUUAUAUAAGAUAAUCUUGUUUGAGACAUAGUCAAGCAUUAAAUGUGAGUGUCUCUUCCGGCAAAGAUUCAAACUGGACAAAAUGUGCAUUUGAUUAUGAUAAAGGAUUUCUCAGUUUUAGUUCAUUAAGGAUUAUUGUAUGCUUACAUAUUGUGCAUUUAUUUGAAUGUGACCGACACGAAUCAGUUUUAUGAUAGUGAAUGGGUGUGCUACAGACCUAUAUGUUAAGAUUCUCUGAUCCUUAAUUCCCAAACUCCACAAAUCCUAUUUACUAAAAGGAAGGUAUCACUUAAAAGAGAGAAACACAAUUCAUCGUACUCUGGUGGCAUGUAACCAAAUGUGCCCUUCAUAUUAGCUGUGUGAAGUGACGAACUUCCAACAUCAAUCAACUUGGUUAAACCAAAGUCUGCAACCUGCAAAAAAAAAUAAUAUAGGAUCUCUCACAAAAUUCCCAAGUAGAAAAGUAGUAAUAAGAUCCACAAAGUCAUUGAAACAGAUUGUACCUUGGCACACAAUUUUUUGUCUAUUAAAAUGUUUUCUGACUUUAUGUCGCGAUGGAUAUAUGCAGGCACAGUAUGCUCAUGAAAGUACUGCAGACCUCUGGCUGAAUCCAGAGCAAUUUGCACUCGGGCUGACCAUGGCAAAGGAUCAAAACCUGGAAACAAACUUUGACUUGAUCGUUAACUUACAAAAGCAUUACACUAAACAAUCAAUCAAAUGCAUAGUACUGAAAAUGGACAUUUUUAAUGUGCUCAUAUAACCUGAUCCACGUAGAUGUUGUCUUAAGUUGCCAUUGUCAAUGUAUUCAUAAACAAGGAAAAGGGAAUCCUUGAUACAAUAUCCAAUCAAGCGCACCUGCAUGGUUAUCAAUAGAAAGAUAUUUAGGUUCUAAAAGGAAAAACAAAACAAAAAAUGCUCCAAGUUUCAAAUAAUACCAGGUUCAAGUGAUGAACACGUGUCAACACUUUCAGUUCAGCUAAAAAUUCUCUUGAUGCUUGCAAGUUCAUCUUUUUUACCGCAACUUUCUGUGUAAUUAGAGAGGACUUCUUUAUAACAAUAGGAGAUAUAAAUAUUAAAAUGGGAAACUUGGGAAAGAUAGAAAUAUAAGCAAUUGCAUAUUUGAUCCUAGUAGCAUUGUCAUAUAUAAAAAUUAUGCUUCUUGAUGUAUGUGUCAAAUGAAAAAACCGUAUUCGUUUGUUGUUUAGGAUCAAAAAGGCAAUUAUGUAAAGAAUCUGUAACAAGUAAUGUUGUGUGAGGGAGGCACUCGCUCUAGAAAAAGGUGAAAAGUCAGAGAGAGAAUAAUGCUACAUAUUAAUUGAAAACCGCGUGAAGACAUGAUAACUAGAAGAAUAUGCAAUUUCUAUUUCAAAUACUUGUGAUCGAAAGUAAAAGAUUACAAUACACAUUACAAACCUCGCCAUUAAGCUCUGCGUAAUAGACUUCCCCGAAACCACCUUGACCAAUUUUAUUAGCCAGAUUGAAGUUAUUUGUGGCAUUGGCUAGUUCUUCAUAUGAAAACUCUCCUGAUUUGUCCACCCUAAUGGUGUUGGCUCCAUUUUCUGCAUCAGGGCCACUAGAGGCUUCAUCUGAAACUGGGACGAUGAACAGAAGUUACUAUACCCUAUCAUCAACUAUAUUUUCAUUUUCUAUGUGUGCUGCUCUUCUAUUUCAUGAUAUAAAGCAGAGGAAGACAGAGUGCAAUCAGAACACCAAACUAGUUUUACACUGGCAACAAAAACUGAAUUAAACUUUAAAUGACAGAAUUAAACUGUAAACUUUGUCCCUUCAGAUUAUUUGCAAGGUGGAGGGAGGAGUAUUGGAGAUCCUGAUUUAGAGAUAUGAUCAAAAUAUAAUAUAAUAUAUAAGUAGGUGUAAAUCUGAUUGAUUAUGGAAAGAUGAGUUAGAGUUAAAAGUGCAUUUUGUAAUAGAAAAUAGAAAAAAAGGAGAAUUAGACGAGUCAAAUUAAUAUAUAUAUAUAUAAAGUGAGUACAGACUAUUUAUUUUAUAAGUUAGUUUUAUAAAGUUAAGGGAGAACUAGAUGAAAUCAAAGUAGAAGAAAAUAUACCAUUCUUAACUCUAGUCGAGUUCAUCCUGAAUUCUUCUGGGAGCAAAUUCUUCUUUCUUCGGUAAUAUGUAACAUACACACAAAAUGCCAAUAGCAGAAGUAUCGUUACUACUCCAACAGAUAUUCCAGCGAUAACUCGAAGUGCAAGACCUGCUUUUGUAGAAACAAUAUAUGAGAAGAGAGUAGGUUUACAUUGUACUUUGAGAAUAUCCUGACCUUGUGUCUGAUACUAAAAUCAAACUCAAAUGAAAUCAUUCAUCAACUAAACAACUUUCUGAGGGAGUGAGAAGGUCCAACCUCCGGUUCUGAAAAAGUAAUGAAAAUACAGCUGUUAAAAUUAGCAGGUUACUGAGAUUGAAAAAUUAGUCAACUUCAUCUGCAAAUAGAAUGGACAUUAAGGAAAAAGAAUCACCUUAGAUGAAGGGGCACAUAGCCACCAUUUUGGUCUGAAAGUAAAGAAACAAGAAGAUGUGACGCAUGUGUCAAAGUUAACAGUUCCAAGGAAAUAUGUUGAAAGAUACAACCAUAGAUAUAAGCAUGAUGCAUAUAAAUUAGUCUACUCUUUAAAUGCGUAAUUCUUAUCAUGUAAACAUCUUGAAGAUAUCAGAAAUUUAUGAGCAUUUCUUCAUGUAUAUGUACAUACAUAUUUUUCAAUGACUAAGAAUGAAAUCAUCGUCAAUAAUGCCAAAACCAUAGUUAAUGUGGUAGUGACAUGACAAGACUAAAAAUCUAUUUUAGUAACACAGGACACUGGAAAAGUGACUAAAAAGGAAUGAAAAUUUCCCUUCAUUUACGAUAUACAAGAGAGCAAGAGCCUUUUAAACUAGGUCAACAAUGAUAUUCUGGCUUAAACAGACCUUGGUACAGUACAUUCAAAUUGCAAUUCAGAUUAUUUCAUUAGAUCGAUGAAGAUGCAACAAAUUCAAAAUCCCAUUGAACAUGACUAAUGCUUUUGAGAUGUUUUCUUCAAAAGCAAAUUCUCAGGAAGCAAACUAAUAAUGUGUUUGGUCACAAGUUAGGAACUUGGUUUUUCACUUCAAGACAGAAGCCAUCAGUUGUAACUUUUGCAUCAUUUAACGUGAUUUGUUCCCCGGUGAACAUAUUUCCAAACACAGGAUAAGCAAAUUGGAGGUUCAAGUUUAAGAUCAAAACGCAAAGAAGAGUUAUAGAACAGCUAUAGAGGAAGUUCUACCCAUAGAUCUUUUUUUUAUAUAUAUAAAAAGAUAAAUAAAGAGUACCCUUCAAUCCAUAUGAAACAUGAAAUAUGUCCAAAAACAUCAUAAACUUAAAUCAGAAGAACAAGGCAUGGCAGCAAAGCAAGAAUGUACCUUUCCCUGGAAUAUAAACCAAACCACUCCCUUGGCUAAAAUUCACACCGGGGUUGUACUUAAGCAGCAAGUCACUUUCUAUCCUAGUCUCGUUGGCAAUUGACUGCAAAGAAUCCUCAGGUCUAAGCGGGUAUGUGAUGAACAAUCCAUAAUCCUUGGAAACUUCACUAUUCCCACAGGAACAGUUAAUGAAGACAUCAAGAGUCACGGUAUCAGGAAUACCAGUUGGUGAAUAUGAGUUGAAGUUCUGCAACAACUGAGUAGUGGUCAAAUCGGAAUAAUUCUGACUGGCAAUGGACGUGUAAGUGUCACCUGAUACAACGUCAUAAUGGAAUAUAUGGCCAAGAAACUCUCCAAUGCAAUCACAAGGGAAUGGAACGUUCACUCUGGUAAAGGCUUGCACCUGGUCUUUGUUUUUUAUGGUUUCACUGUUGUAGGGGAGAAUAUCUUCAGCUUUUGAAACAACCUGAGAUUUCAUAAUCUUUGAUAUAUAUGUCAAAUCACCUCCUGUUAGAUAGUAGGAAGCUAGAGCUAAAUCACAGUCCCUCCUACACUUGGAUUCUGCACUAAGCACCAUAGCCCAUAACAUGAAGAAAACUGAUAAACUGAAUCUGUUCUCCAUUGGGUGGUAGAGUGUACCAGCUUUGUGAAGCUAUCCAAGAGGAACACAGUCAAGAAUCUGGACGUGUUGAACACACCAAAUUGGGAUUGGAAUAUUAAACUGAAACACUAUUUGAAACGUUGUACUCUUUUACAAAAGUCUUUAGUAGUCUUUUGCCUUACUUGUUGAGCAUGUCGGAUUUAAAGAUGUUUGAAUGUAUUUGUUAAAUAUGAAAUUUGGACACUCCUCUUCUUAAAUGGCGUGUGUCGGUGUUCGAUAGUUGUAUCGGACACUGACAUCAUUCAUAUGACAGGACAUGUAUCCGUGAAGUGUUCAAUUCAAAAAGUUUUUUGUUAGAUUUCUAAUAAUUAUAAUUCAGUUCUGACAUAAUUUUAAAAAGUAAAAAUACAUUAAUUUUUUAAAACUUCAAACUUUAUUGUAUAAAUUGUUAUUAUGAUUAUAAAAAUAAGAAAUAAAUAAUUGUGAAUCAGUCAUGAAAAACAUCUUUUUGUUCCAAAAAAAUAAUAUAAAACAUACUUGUACACAUAAAUUUUUAUUAUCAAAUUAUAUAAUUCAUAAUUAUAUAAUAUAUAGAUCUUUGUCCUCGUAUUCUACAUUUUAAAAAUUUUACGUAUCUCCAUAAUAAUAUCAAUAUCCGUGUCUUGCUACAUAGGUUACUUAUAGAUACCAUGUACUAUAUGCUGAAUAAAUUUUGAUAUUUAUUAUAAUUUUCUUUUCACGACUUGAGCAUAUAUUAAUAACUUUCUAGAUUAUUCUCUCAAGCGACAGUUUUUCAAAUAAAUUUAGAGACUUUUCUUCUUUUUCCUCUUAAGUUUCUUUUGUUUGUUUAUCUGUAGGUCCUUCAUAUUUUAUUCUGGUAUAUAAUUGUAUUAAUUAAAAACUAUGCGAAUAUAUCCUUACUUUUAACUUUAGACAAUUUUCAUAUUUCAUAGACAUGUUCAUAUUAAUGACUAGGAGAAUCAAAACAAUUCAUUUAUAUAUUCCAUUAUUAAUACAUCCACAAGUAAAUUCAUCCCAUCCAUUCAUGAUUUCAAAUUCAUUCAAUUAAUUUUAUGAUACAUAUAUUGUUUUAUAAAAAAUAGAUACUCUGGUCAAUAUCAAAACUAGUCUAAUUAAUUUUGUUCACACGUAAGCUUGUUUUAUUCUGAAAGCUUUUUAAAAAAAAAAACACUUUUUAAAAUUCUUUUACAAAAGUUACUCUUUAAAAUUGUUUUAAAAAUAUAUUAUUUUUAUGGGUGAUUAGAAUAUUCAUAUAUAAAAAAAUUGUUAAUAAAUUAAUUGGAUUGAGUUUUUAAUUACUUUUUUAUCGAACAAAAUAAAUUAAAAAAUAGUAUACUGUAUUAUAAUUCGAAAUAAAAUUUAUAUUAACUCGUUAAAUUUUUCUGACAAGGUUUGUUGGCAUUGCCCACACGACAAGCUGAGAAUGACUAUUGACUUCUCCACCUCUUCACAUCAAGUCUUCCUCUUUCAUUAAUUCUGCUUCUUUUUCUCCUCUAUGCACAUAUCUUGGCAAAUUAAUUUAUGUUCCAUUUAUAUAAUAAGUUUAAACAUAAACUAAUUCAUUUUAUUAACCUUAAUCCACACUCAUACUAGCUCAACCCUAAUCACUCGAUAAAGUUUUGCAUGGUUUUUUCAAUUUCUUAAAUAUAUUUCCGUGGUUGGAUUUCUGAUCAGAUUAAUGGAAAAUACUUUUAUUAAGAGAAACAAAAUUUACUUUAGUAGUGUACUAUCUAGGCCGAAAGGUCAACCGAAAGGUUGUACCAAAAGUCUCGACCGAAAGGUUGUACCGAAAGUCUCAACCGAAAGGUUAAAUAUAAAAAGUAAAUAAGUAAAAUUAAAUUAGUGAUUAUAGCAAAGCCCAUAAGAUGGACCCAAAUAUACAGGUGUGUGUUUUCAAAAUGUUAGGUGCAAAAAGAAAAUACCCAAGUAACUCUUAAGCCCAAUAAGAGAGCCUUAUAAAUAGAGGUUCAACUCAAGAGGUAAGUAAGAUUCAAUUGAUCUGAUGAACAUAAAACUAUAUCUGACUUUGGCAUCGGAGCGCCUUGCAGGUACACACACCCACCUGUGAGGAGAAGAAGCCGAGAGCCCAACUCGAGUAGAAGCCGCGAGAGCCCAACCCGAGAAGAAGCCGAGAGCCCAACUCGAGGAGAAGCCGAGAGAGUCCAGCCCAAGUCCGGAAGAUUUGUAAAGGAGUUGAUCUUAUCAACCUUAUUCUAGUGUUCUUGGUCCUUGUUGUAAGAACAAGUAGUUUGUCUAAACACGUAAAAAUAGUACCUAAAUGUAAACAGUUAAAAGUAGUGAUAUUUUUCAUUUUAUAAUAAGAUAGUUUUUCUUUUUAAUCCCAUAAUUUCUUUCUUCUUUCCCAUAAAUAUGAAAUUUUUUCACUUUGUUCUUCUAGCUUAUGAAAAAUUGUUUUUUGAAUUAUGUAAUUUGAAAAUUAAUUUUUUAUGAAAAAAACUUUGGAUUUUACAAUUUUAAAUUCAAUUUUUGACUUUUCAAUUGUUCAAUCUCAAAAUUCAUUCUACAUUCACUUUAGAAUCUACAUUCACUUUAGAAGUUUUUUUUAAUGUAAAAAAUACUUUAAAAUUGUAUAAUUUAAAAUACUUUGGUUUUGAGUUCAUCCAUAACAUAACACGACGGUAACAACCAGGGAACCACGAUGUUUGAUCUUUUAAUUACCUCGAUGGGGAUUACAUAUGGAAGCUAUGAGACUGCAGAAAAAAAGAAGUGACCUUCACAUAAUUCAACUAUGUUGGUGGGAUGAAUGUGACCUAAACUUUGAAGGCAAAUUCUCCCUCCACCUCUAUAGGUUCUUCCUACAUCUCCAUAAUAAAUGUGAAAUUCCUUUUUGUUCCUUUCUUAAAAAUUUAAAUACCCUAAUUCUCUCCUUACAUUACACUACACUCUUCAUUUCCUUUCUCUUUCUCUUGUGAAGUCGCUACAACUACUCAUAAUAAAUGUGUAUUUUUGUUACCAAAAAUGAUUUGAACUGCAUCCAUGAAAGUAUAGUUUCUCUCUCCAUACGGGUUGCCACAAUGAUAACAACAGCGUGAAGGACUUCCAUUAUUGUGUGAAUGUAAGUUUAAUUUUUUUGUUAUGUGAAUCUUUCUUACACUAUUUUUCGACCUUGCUACUUUUUGUUGUGUUACAUUGAUAUCAAAUCAUACAAUCCAAUUUUUUUUUUAUUAACAUAUUGGAUUGGACAAUUUGUUAUCCGAAUCUGGGACAUACAUAUCGGAUCGUACAAUUCAAAAUAUUAUUAGAAAAUUAAAUAUUAGAUUGUACAAUUCCAUUAUACAUACCGGAUUACAAUCCGAUUUGCAAUAUAAAUUAAAUGUACAAAUUGAACGAUUUUAAAAUUGAACGAUUUGAAAGCUAAAAUCGGAUUAAGAUUGUCUACUGGACUGUAGAUUCCGAUAUAACAAAUAAAUUUACAAACUGCAUUACAAUUUAAUAUGCUGAUCCGAUUUUAGCUUCUAAUUAUUCAAUCGGAUGUGUGCAUUUUAAAUGGGAAGUGUUAUGGAUUGCUCAGUCCAAUACACACAAAUGGAUACGUUUUGAAUUUUAAAAUUAUAUGGAAGUAAGGGAAAUAGAGGUGCAAGAAAUAUUUGCCAACUCGUAACCCCAAAAUUUAAGUAACUCUAAGCCCAAUAUUUGUGUGACCAUCCAAAAGGCAUUGCAUUUUGCACUCCCAUGUUUCUAUACCAGCACCCCCAUGAGGGCUGAAAUGAUAAAUUUAUCCUUAAAAAUUACAUUAUGGAUUGCAUAUUGCAAUAUGUAAUACCUUUCAAAAAUAUACAAUUCAGAAUAUAUUAAUACAUUUUAGAUUGAACCAUAUUUUUGAAAUAUAUUUUUAAUUUUUUAAAAAUGUAUAAUCAUGAUUAUAGAAUGUACAAUCUUGAAUAUAUUAAUAUACAUAAUAAUAUAUUAAUAUAUUCUAGAAUGUAUUUCCAGAAAAUCAUUACAAAAUAUGCAUUCUAACAUAUUUCAUUUUAAAUAUAUAUUUCAGAAUAUAUUAAUAUAUUUUAGUAUGUAUUUUUAGAUUUGGAAAUAUAUUAUGAGAUAUACAUUCUACAAUAUAUUAAUACAUUUUGGAUCACAUUUUAAAAUAUAUUUUCAAAUUUUAAUGCCCCCAAUCCUAGGAUUUGGCAUUCCAAACUUUGAAAGCCCAAAAUAAGUAACUCUUACAAACUGCAAAGAAGGGUGUGGAGAAUUAAAAGUUUGGUCAUCGCUUAUAUUUAAAUAAAUAAAAAGUGCAAGUCUGAUAGACUAAAAUAUAAUUUAUUUUUAACUAAUUUAAUCAAAUUAAAUACCAUUAUUUUAAAAAUAUUCUUAAGUUAAAUUAAAAUGUGAAAUAUCUCUGAUAAAAUAUGAGUAAAAAAAUAAAUAAAAAAAUAAGUUUCUCAUCAUAUUAUUAAAUGAGGAAAAUUAAAUAAAUUUGAUUAUAUUACAUUGUAUACUAUUAUGAAUAAAUGUUAAUUUAGUAUUUUGGUAAUUGCCAAAUUAAGAUCUGUUAAUUUAUAGCCUAACCAAGAAGCAGCAUCUGAAACAUAUGAAUAGCACUUGAAAGUUGAAUCCAGUGGGUUGACUUAUCUGUAAUAUGGCAUCAUAAAGAUUAAAGAGAAGUAGUGAAUGUAAACUUUGUUCAACAAACCACUCAAGUAACUUCUGAUCAACCGCACAAAAGUAAAAGGAUGUCUCUCAGCUAGUGGACUUCAUCCCACACCCAACACAACAACACACAUUUUUCACUCACCAAAUUCUCUCUCUCAAUGCUUCUCUUCUACAACAUCCAACACUGUUAAAUUCAGUUCCUUCAAACACACUUUAAUACAGCUAACUAAUCUCAUCCAAACAAAGUUCAGGUGGUCAAACAAAAUUAAGUUGUCUCUACCAAUGACACUAAUUAUGUGCUGUGACAACAUCAAUCUUUAGGCUAUAGCUUCCAAUCUAGUUCAUCAUCAAGAUCUAACACUUAAACAUGUUCAUAACAUAAGUUUCUUUAUUAGGGCUCUUUUUGCACAGUAAACAAAUAUAAAAUCUAAUUAUUAUGCUUGGCUUAGGUUAUAAAUGUGUGAAAGACAUAACUUCCUUUUAAGUAUACAUAUGAGUUAAUGAUACUUAACUAAUCCUGCAUUUAAGAAUAAAAUCUCCAUGUUGUGCUCAUUGAUUAGAAAAUUAAGAUAUCUUUAGACUUCCAAAUCAGAAUCUCCAAUAAUUUACCUGAGAGAUUGAUUAAAAGUUAUAAGAAUAGUGGCAAUUUUAACCAGGUUUUGAGAGUAGGUGAAACCCGAGAUCAGGAGACAUCAGUUUAAUUGUAAACCAUAAUAGUCAACGAUACAUUUGAUGGCUAUAAUUAAUAUCUUAAUUCAGAUUGAAAUCUUCUGUUUGUGACAGCUAUGAAGAUAAAACUUUGAAUCACCAUGAAACCACUCAUUAGUUGCUAAUGAUGCUCAUAAAUGGCCCUUACACAAGAAUAGAAGCUGUACAUAUAUAUUAUGAAUAGAAAUGUGGAUGAACUGCAAAAUUGGAAAGAGGGUGAAAUAUGGUAUGAGUUAACUCCCUGUGUGGGGUCAUUCCAGUUGGAAACUCAUAUCCUACGUAGCCUCUUGUUAUUAUUACACUACAGUUUAUAGAGUGGUAAAAAUGAUACCAAAGUGCAAUUUUCAUUGCCCCUUAAAAAGGUUAAAAAAUGCAUAUGCCCACAUGAACACAUAUUUGAAAGUUUAUCUGCAUUUGUGGGCGGACCACAGAAUUUCAGUGCCAAUGUCUCACUUGGUUGGAUGAGAAAACGAUGGCUUUGAGCCGUACAACCUCAAAAAGUGCAUCUAUUGACCUCUUUUUUUUCUCUCUUUCUUUUUGAACAAAAUAUAUGACUUUGUCUUGUGUUUCUCUCACAUUAGAUCAGCUGUGAUAAAUCACUAAACGUAAUAAAGAAGGGUUACCAUUUUGUUGGUUAGUUAGAUAAUCUAAGUAACUUUCCGCCAAGAAUUUUCAUUUCUUCAAAAAUCAACAUAUCCCUUUCUCUAAACUACUAUUUGUCUGUCUAUAAUCACUUUCCCUUUUACAACAGUUCUUGACUACUCACUUGUCUCCAAUAUUUAAUCUUGAAUUAACGCCCAACCAUAUGCAUACCCUUUUGAGGAAUGCUUGCAGCUUUGAGUGUGAAACAGCUCAGUCACAGAACAAAAGUGUUUCUUCUUCUUGUUGUUCUUCUUCUUCUCAUUAUAAAUGGUUUCAUCUUUUGCCAUACCAAAAGCAAAAAGCUACGUGGAAACGAGUUUUCAGAGACGCUUCACGAUGAAGCCUUUGGGCCUUUGCCAAUUCUCACCCGUGCAAGAAGAUACAUCAUCCACUAGAUCUAAUAACAUUGACAAUUGGUGCUCUUCUCUUUAUUGACAUGCUUUUUUUUAAAAUGAUACUUUUUCUGGUAUAGUCUAAAUGUAUGAUACUAAUUACAUGCGUUAUACAUGACACAAUCAUUCAACACAAGACUAUCAGCAUUACGACACCCUUAAUCUAUUAUAUUUUGAACCAUUUAUAACAAGCAACAGGUUUUGAUUGGUGCGUUUGCUGAAUAAGUCUUAAAACAAACUUCUAUACUAUUCAUAAAAAGAUUACGGUAUCAUCACAAAUAUUUUUACCAUUUCAUUAGUCAAAAAUGAAAGCUUUCCCAUUGAUUUUCAUGAAAGACUAAGCCAGUUAUAGAAACUAUUUGAAGGGUCCAAAUUCUUGCAUAUCAUAUGUGAAGUCCUUAAAAGGGACCAAUAUUCAAAAUCCUCAUUUUGACUUAGACCCAGCAUAUUCUGAUCUACUUAACCUACCUUAUGGAGGUGUGUAUGUGAAUAGCCUCAACAGCAGUGGUAUGUUCUCUUUCAACAUGUUUAUUAUUUUAACUCUUUAGGAUUAAUUAGAUAGUAGUAUUACAAGGCCACAUGGCUCUCGAGUGCGUCGGCGAUGUUUGACUUUUCAUGACAAGAACACCCCUGGUAUAAUGCGCGUGCUUUGACUCUUUCAGAAUGAAACAUUGAGGGUGUUUUGGCCAUCUCAGGAAGUUAACUAAAGUCAUAGCUUGCAAAAUAAAAAAACAGUACCUUUCUUUGUUUCAGGCUUUCACAUAUAUGUCUGUCGUUCCUAUGUGUGUUGAGUUUUGUAUGUCACUGUCUUUCAUUGAAUAUUGCCACCCCACCACCCUCACCCACACAACCGUCAUUCUAGACACCCUGAUCCAAUGCCAGACCCUACUCACAGCAUUCAUGUAUCCACCCAUCAUUGACCAUUUGAUCACAAUCAGACGGUAAUUAGGCCAUGCCCCACCACCCAAACUCACACGGAAACACCACAAGUGUUUCAUAAAUAUCACCAGAUUUAGUAUGCACAUGUUGGACCUAACCGUGUCCAUAUAAAUAUAUACACAAUAUAACAAGCGUAGCCUACACCAAAUUCUGCAGUUCCAUCACUUUGUGUUUGUUUCUCCUUGACCUUGUUAAACAAAAAAAAAAUACCAUGACCAUGAAGCACUUCCACUUGCUCAUCCUCAUCCUCAUCACGCUUCUGUUCCUUACACCAAGAAUUCACUGCAUCAGGACCAAAUUCUCAGGCCCCUCCACUUCAACCCAUCAAGAUUUUCAUCCGUGGGGAAAUUCUCCAAUCAGCAGCAGAGAUAGAGUUUUUAUGUCAGAGAAACGCAGAGUGCCAACAGGGUCCAACCCUUUACACAACAGGAGAUAGCGUGAUUUCUCAGGUUUUAUGUAGCAGGAUAAAUAGUGUAAUCAGAUAUGGUUUCUUAUUCAGUACCUUCUUUGUCAUAUACAGGGAAUACAGAUAUAUGUUAUAUGUUAUAUGCUAGCAGAGUCAUGUUAGAAAUAGUGAUUGUUUUUUAUUGGCUAGAUUAGUACAGAGUCCUUGUACAGAAGGUAAAGGAGAUUUUGAGCUUUAGAAGUAUGAAACAAAAUAUUAUAAACUAGAGUUUGUUUGUUUGUUUGUACAGUUUUUACAUUUUCCUUGCCUCAGCCAAACUUCCCUGUUGCAUUGCAAUUAAAGCCAGUUUUUUUAAGAUCAGAAUUGUAUGCCUUAGUCUUCAUACAUACCAUCAUAGUUUAGCUUCUUCUUCCACGGCUCAAAAUCAAACACGGGUGGCCAUAAUUGACAGUUUUUGGGGUUGCAUUUGUUGAGUACACCAUAUGAAUUUUCUUUUUCACAAGUGAAACUAGGGGAUCCACCAUCAGAUAUUUGCAAAGGCCCUCCUCUCUUGAAAACAACUGUUGAGAGAAGAAGAAUACAGAACACAGGGUUGUUGGCCAACAGAUUUUGUGAGAUUUCAUGCUUUGUAUGAAUUGAUGUUGAAACUGUUCCAAAUUAGCUCUGUUUCGGGGAGGAAGAAGAGAGGGGGGGGGGACCCUUGAGUUGAAAAUAUAUGAAAAUGAAAUGGGAUGCAGUGAGUCGUGAGUGAUGAAAGAGUUCAGUCAUUAUGGCUCCUCUGGUGUGAUAGGCCCCAAAGCUUGAAUGCAGUGUGUUUAAUACCCAUUACUCCACACAACAACCAUGCAAAUAAUUAAUAAAACUCCAUCAUCUUGAGCACACACAAGAAUAUUUGUUGGCAGAAGGUGAUAGAGUCCACAUGCUCUUAGUCUCACCCUACCUACAUAACAUUGAGGUCCCAGAAGCUCUUGUACAUUUAUUUUUUCCAUUUGAACUUGCGAUUUAAAAAGAGAUUUUUCUCCAAAACGGUAGGGUGGUAGUUAGGAAGAAGAAAAGGUACAGAGAUGAACAGUUGCAUGCACCCAAAAUCCAUAGGGAAUUGGAAGUGAUUUGGUUUGGGUGUGAAAUUAAGGUGGAGGGGUUGUGGUCCACAGAGGGUGGAAUAAGUGCAUAUACUAAUUCUGGUUACAGGAACCCCACCAAGGUCACCACCACCUCCAGCUAUAGCCUUUAUGGUGUGCGCGUGUAGAUUUUUGAACACCAUGGUUCAGGCAAAUAAUUGUGUAGUUGGAAAAUAAAUCAAAAGUAACAAAAUUAAAUAAUAUUCUCCAUCACAGGUAGUGUCCAUUGCCCUUUGCCUAGCCACCACCACCACCAUUUUAAGUGCCUUUCACUGUAUAUAUUUACACAAAAAUUAUUUCUACAAAUUUUUAGAGAAGGAAAAUAAAAAAUUCAAUUUUUAAAAUUAUCACAACACAAUUUUAAUAUAUAUAUAUAUAUAUAAAAGUAGAUUGAUAAUAUAUGACAUUUAAAAAAUACUUAGAAUUUUAAAUACAUACGAUUUUUUAUAUCUUGAAACAUAUUUCCAAUUAAAAUUAAAGAAUAAAGAGUGAUUUAAAAUCUCCUUCUAAACAUCAAUUUCUUUAGCAUUAUUGUCCCUAAGAGAUUGUUUCUUUUAACUUUAUUACAAACAUGAUAAUUUUCCUCUUGGAAAACAUUGCAUAUAUCAAUAGUAAGUAACAAUAAUAAUAAAUAUUUUUAUUUUGCUUUUCUUUAAUAAAAUACAUUUUUCUAUUCUCUUAUUUAUUUUUAUUUUUUUUUCAACCAAAAAAACCUUUGUUUAUACUCAUUUCUCACAUUUUUUUUUCUUUCAUUCAUUUUCUUUCUUUUCUUUUUCUCAAAGAGCAUAAAAGAUGUGUCGAAAAAUUAAACAAAUUCAGGUUUAUAAUAUUAACCUGAUAUUUUAUUAUGUGUUAUCGGCAUCAAUUAAUAUUUAUGUAAUGUAUAUUAAACUUUUUAAUACUAUAAAAAGAUUAUAAAUAAGUAGAUAUCACAAUAAUCCAAUAAUAUAAAAAAUUUAGUUAAGCACCAAAAAAAGUUAGUAUUGAUGAUUGUUUUAGAGACCAUUCACGCGCUAGCUACGUUAAUGGUAAUAGCUAUUACAAUUUUCAUAAUUUCUAAAACGCCGUUUAGACUAUUGGUUAUUGGUCUAUAUUAAAUUUUUAAAAAGUGGUAGAGUAAAAGAAUAGUAAAACUGGUUAAAUAUCAUUAAAAAUAUAUUAAAAUUAGUUGCAAAUCGAUGUUAAAAAUUAUGCUUCAACUUAUUGGGGAAAGAAAGUUGGCCAAUAAGAAAAUACACAUAAUUGAUUAAAAAAUAUUUUUAAUAAAAAAUCAUAUAUAUAUAUAUAUAUAUAUAUAUAUAUUCCGUUAUUUAUUUUUCUGUAGACAUGUAAUAUGAUAAUCUAAACUUAGUAUAAAAUUUUGCGUAAAUUAAUUUUCACAUUACUUAAUAUUUGUUUAUUGCUUAAUAUAUUGUGUAAUAUUAAAAAUAUGAAUGUUUCUUUGUGAAAUGUUGGUCGGUGUAAGUAUCAUUACAUUAUCAACUAAUUAGAAAAUAAUUGUAGCUUAAUUGUUAUGACGAUAAAUCUACCCAAAUAUAAUAAUUUAUUAUUAGGUAAUACUGUAAAAAAAUGUAUAUUUUUAAUGUAUUUUAAUUAAAUUCUAAAUGUGUUUAAUUAUUAUUGGUUCAAUUUAUUUAAUUUUGAAAGAAAUUUAUAUCAGAAGGUAUGAAAAAAUUUAGAAGAAAAAUGCAGACAUGCUUAUUGAACUAAUUGAAGAGGAUUUAAUGCGUAAGAAAGCAUCAGAAUUUUUAAUUUGUGACCACAAUGAUUCAACAAUCUUGUGAUAAUUAAUAGACUUUUUGUUUAAUGAUUUAAAAAUGAAAUGAUUGAGAGCACAUGCUGGGUACGGAAUCAGAAUGACUUUUGAAUUGUUUACAUUAAACAGAAUACAAAACAUUUAAAGAUUUGAUUAACCUUUUAAGGUCAAUAGAUUUUAUCAUAGUUUUAUUCGAUGCAGUUGUGAAACUGAGCCUGAUAACUUAUCUGUAAUGAUCACAUGAUUAACAGAAAUUUCAUAAAUAGAUUAAUAAUAAAAAUAGGUAGGUAGGUAAAAUAUUCUUGACUAAUUAUUAGAGAUCUUGAUUAAUUUGUAAAAUAUACUGUUUAUGGCUUGUAGAAUGGAAAUAGGUAGGUACAUGUAAAAUAUAUUUUGAGUAUGAAAAAAAAAAGGCAUAAAAAGUGUAUGAAAAAAAAACUUAUUUAGAAUCUGUUUGCUUCUUUACAUACCGUCACUGUUUAUAGGUAAAGAAAUGAGAAAAUAUUAUUUAGAUCAUAUGGUAUCUAUUUGUAGCAAUUUAUUAAUUUCAAGAAAUCUUAUUGUAUAUAUUCUUCUAAGUUUAUUUGUAUUAAUUUAUUAAAUCGUAAUUUUUGUUGUGAUAUGAGAAAAUGAAGAGAAGAUUUGAAAUAUUGUAUGUUAAAUCUUAAAAAAAUAUUAUAUAUGUUAGAUAUUUAAAUAUAGGUGUACCGGUCGGCACCGGACGACCGCAACAUACUCAUGGUAAAAUCAUCACAAAACCCUGCGUCUUAUACGACUCUUCGUCCUUCUAUGACCUCUAGCCGGACGAACGAGUGGUUUAUGUCGAAUAAAUCUAAUUUAAUCCAGAACGUGGUUACACGUGUAGAAAAGAGCAGUUAUAACAACCAUUGACGAAGUAAAAACACGUUCUCUAGACCACUCCCCUGGUUUUCAGGAAACCACCAGGCACGACCCAAAGACCACUAAGCAUGUCUCUAACCAUCAACUGAUUGGCCCACAUGGCCAAGGCCCAGGUCAACCUACUAAAGGGACUUCUGAAAAGGGGGAAAAGGUACGUUUUCCAUACUAUCAGAGAAUUCUCACUUGAGCACCAUUGCUGACUUGAGCGUCGGAGUGCAAUCGCAGGUACCCCCGCCGGCCGACCGAAGCACGCGAAGAGAAAGAAGACUUAAAGAAUAGGACAACCCAGAGGGAAGAAGACACCUUGUAUCGACGUGGAUCAACAUUACUCAGUCCCCAAUAUCCAUACAGGUACAAUUGGCGCCCACCGUGGGGCCGAGUAAUCAUUAUUUCCAGACCCAAAGAUCCCAACGCUUGAAGAUGGGCUCAACGGCAAACAACAACAACAAUGAUAUCUCUGAAGAGCAUAGGACCAUACUACAAACCCUCCAGAUUCAGAUGCAGGAGUUACUCCAAAAAGGAGUCAUCGAUCAACUUCGCCAAGAUGAAGAAAGGAAAAGACGAGAAGAAGAGCGUCAACAACACGCAGAGGAGAUAGCACAAUUGAAAGAACAGAACAAGAGAUUGUUGGGUAGACUUGAGCAAUCUGAACGCGAAGGGCAUUCACGUGCACCUUCUCCAUCACCGUUCCAAUCAGGAACAAGAACGAUAGCCCAGGCUAUACCUCACACGUCAUUCGUUCAACACACCCGUCAGAGUGCAAAGCCAGUAACCCCAAACGAGGUAGCAAACCCGAAAGGCCAUCCGUUCACUGAUGACAUCAUAGCCACUCCUCUCCCUGACAAGUGGAGGGGCCUAACGAUAAACCUUUAUGACGGUUCCACAGACCCAGACGAACAUCUGAAUAUAUUUAGAACUCAAAUGACCCUUUACACAACCGACCGAACGGUAUGGUGUAAAGUCUUCCCCACCUCUCUCAGGGAAGGCCCCCUUGGAUGGUUUUCGGACCUUCCACCCAAUUCCAUUGCAAGCUUCGACGCUUUGGAAUUGAAGUUCACCACGCAAUACGCCACAAGUAGACCUCAUCGGACAUCCUCCAUGUCUCUUCUAAAUGUCAAACAAGAAAGGGGAGAAUCAUUGAGAACAUUCAUGAACAGAUUUAGCAAAGUGUGUAUGAACAUUCGUAAUCUUAAUCCAGAAAUAGCCAUGCACCAUUUGGUCUCGGCCAUACUACCAGGAAGGUUCACUGAAAGCCUUAUCAAACGACCUCCGUGCAAUAUGGAUGAAUUAAGAACAAGAGCAACGAAGUUCAUGCAGAUAGAAGAACAUAUUGACUAUCAUCGAAAAACUUAUGCUGAGAACACGGACAAGAGCAAAGAAAUUCGUCCCCCCACAAUACCGACCGACCGAGAACGACAUCGCCCCAAUAGGGGACCCCGUUUCCAUAACUACACUCCCUUGAUUGUACCAAGGGGUAAGGUUCUCGACGAAGCACUGCAGAUUGAAUUGAUUCUGAUGUUGAGGCCAUCACAAACCCCUCCCAAUGCCGACACCAGUAAACGUUGCCAAUACCAUCGUAACUAUGGCCACACGACCGAAGGAUGCCAAGCACUGAAAGAUAAAAUUGAAGAGCUCGUCCAGGCCGGUCAUCUGCGCAAGUUCGUGAAAACCACCAUCACGGCACCCAGGUCACCCCAGCGUGAUCAUGAUCCCCGCGAACGUUCGGGACGAAGAGACGACCGAACCCGUGACAACCACUAUCGUUCAAGCAGAAGAAAAAGAAGCGAAAGUCCGAUCAGACGAACGAGGCCUAAAAGCGAAAGCCCUGAACGUAGAAGUCGAACUAAACAAAAAGUUCGCACAGUCAUCAAUACAAUCGCUGGACCGGUGUCGCUCGGUCAGCCCCCUCAAGAAAUUAAUUACAUUGCAGGUGGCUUCGCGGGUGGAGGAUGCUCUAAUUCAGCCAGGAAAAAGCAUUUGAGAGCAAUUCAAUCCGUUCAUUCGACUCCCACACAACGCCGACCGCAUAUACCACCAAUCACUUUCACUGACGAAGACUUCACAGCAAUCGAUCCAUCUCAAGAUGACCCCAUGGUAAUAACUGUGGAGAUAGAUAAAUUUGCAAUUGCAAAAGUUUUGGUAGAUCAGGGUAGCUCGGUCGACAUCCUAUAUUGGGAAACGUUUAAGAAGAUGAAGAUUCCAGAAGCAGAGAUACAACCAUACAACGAGCAGAUAGUUGGUUUCUAAGGGGAAAGAGUGGAUACGAAAGGAUUUAUCGAUCUGUACACCACGUUCGGGGAUGAUUACCUCAGCAAGACCAUCAACAUACGAUAUCUACUCGUUAAUGCCAAUACAUCGUACAAUAUUUUGCUCGGUCGACCAUCUAUCAACAGAUUGAAAGCCAUUGUCUCAACUCCUCAUUUAGCUAUGAAGUUCCCCUCGGUCAAUGGAGACAUAGCAACCGUACAUGUAGACCAGAAGACAGCACGAGAGUGUUAUGUAGCUAGCCUGAAGGUGGAGCCGACCCGAAGGCUUUAUACCACGUCAGCCGAACGGACCACAGAGCGAAGAGGUCGGUCAACAGAAAGACGCUCCAGAGGAAGAGAAUCUAGAAGACACUUGGUCGCUUUAGUCGAUCUAGAUCCUCAACUGGAUGAUCCCCGAAUGGAAGCAGGAGAAGACCUUCAACCCAUAUUCCUUCGGGACAAAGACCGGAAAACAUACAUGGGAACAUCCCUCAAACCAGACGACCGAGAGACGAUCGGUAAAACAUUAACAAAGAACGCUGAUCUUUUCGCCUGGACGGCUGCAGANNNNNNNNNNNNNNNNNNNNNNNNNNNNNNNNNNNNNNNNNNNNNNNNNNNNNNNNNNNNNNNNNNNNNNNNNNNNNNNNNNNNNNNNNNNNNNNNNNNNNNNNNNNNNNNNNNNNNNNNNNNNNNNNNNNNNNNNNNNNNNNNNNNNNNNNNNNNNNNNNNNNNNNNNNNNNNNNNNNNNNNNNNNNNNNNNNNNNAAAAGACGAAUGGAAAAUGGAGAAUGUGCGUAGACUACACAGACCUUAACAAAGCGUGCCCAAAGGACUCGUAUCCUCUACCUACUAUCGACCGGCUGGUCGACGGUGCAGCCGGUCAUCAAAUCCUAAGUUUCCUUGAUGCUUAUUCAGGUUACAAUCAAAUACAAAUGUACCACCGUGAUCGAGAAAAAACCGCUUUUAGAACAGAUUCUGAUAAUUUCUUCUAUGAAGUCAUGUCGUUCGGCCUCAAGAAUGCAGGAGCCACAUACCAGCGACUCAUGGAUCACGUAUUCCACGACAUGAUCGGUCGGAAUGUAGAGGUAUACGUUGACGACAUCGUCGUCAAAUCAGACUCUUGCGAGCAACAUGUUUCUGACUUAAAAGAGGUUUUUCAAGCCUUGCGUCAAUACCGCAUGCGUUUAAACCCGGAGAAGUGCGCGUUCGGCGUAGAAGGGGGGAAGUUCUUAGGCUUCAUGCUCACACAUCGGGGUAUAGAAGCUAAUCCAGAAAAAUGCAAGGCAAUCACCGAAAUGCGAAGUCCCAACGGACUCAAAGAGAUCCAGAGACUAGUCGGCCGUCUCACUUCGUUGUCUCGAUUCGUACCUAAGCUUGCCGAACGAACGAGACCCAUCAUAAAACUUCUGAAGAAGACAAGUAAAUUUGAAUGGACAGAUGAAUGUGAACAAAAUUUCCAACAGUUAAAAGCAUUUAUGGCAUCUCCACCGGUCAUCCAGAAACCGAACGCACGGGAACCCAUUGUGGUCUACCUCGCCGUCUCCAAUGAAGCGGUGAGUUCCGCUCUAGUACAAGAAAUUGAAGCGGAAGAACGACCGGUAUAUUUUGUAAGUCGAGUCUUACAUGACGCAGAAACCCGGUACCAAAUGGUCGAAAAAGUUGCCUUCGCUUUGGUCAUUACCGCACGACGGAUGCGGAUGUAUUUCCAAAAUCACAAGGUCAUUGUUAGGACUAACUAUCCCAUUAUGAAGAUUCUCGCCAAACCUGACCUCGCCGGACGAAUGAUAGGUUGGGCAGUCGAACUGUCAGAAUUCCACAUCGAAUACCAACCCAGGGGAGCCAUCAAGUCCCAAGCCCUCGCCGACUUCACAGCAGAACUCACUCCCUAUCCGACCGAACGGACUCCCCGAUGGACACUAUACGUAGAUGGGUCAUCUAACAGUCGUUCGUCCGGAGCAGGAGUUGUACUUGAAGGACCAGGGGAGAUUGUUGUCGAACAAGCCAUGAAAUUUGAAUUUAAAACUUCCAAUAAUCAAGCCGAAUACGAAGCUAUAAUCGCAGGUUUGCAUAUGGCGAUUGAAUUGGAGAUAACAAAUAUAACUUGCAAAAGCGACUCCCGUCUAGUCGUCGGACAACUUACAGGGGAGUAUGAGGUAAGAGAAACAUUACUCCAACAGUAUUUUCAUUUCGUAAAAAAUCUUCUAAACAGGUUCAAAGAAAUCUCCUUCCAACACGUACGGAGGGAAAAUAAUACUAGGGCGGACGCUCUAUCGAGAUUGGCUACCCUAAAAAAGAAAGGCGUCCACNNNNNNNNNNNNNNNNNNNNNNNNNNNNNNNNNNNNNNNNNNNNNNNNNNNNNNNNNNNNNNNNNNNNNNNNNNNNNNNNNNNNNNNNNNNNNNNNNNNNNNNNNNNNNNNNNNNNNNNNNNNNNNNNNNNNNNNNNNNNNNNNNNNNNNNNNNNNNNNNNNNNNNNNNNNNNNNNNNNNNNNNNNNNNNNNNNNNNNNNNNNNCGUCCCCUCCUAAAAUGCCUUGGUCCAGAACAAGUCACUUUUGUAAUGACCGAGUUACACGAAGGGAUAUGCGGAACCCAUUCAGGAGCGCGGACUAUGUCCGCCAAAAUUCUAAGAGCAGGAUACUACUGGCCGACCUUACAGGGAGAUUGCACUGAAUACGUUAAAAAGUGCGUGAAAUGUCAAGAGUUCGGCACCCUAUUGCACCAAAAACCAGAGCAUUUGCACUACAUCCUAUCCCCUUGGCCGUUCGUGAAAUGGGGAAUGGAUAUUAUCGGACCUUUCACACCCGGAAAAGGGCAAUGCAAGUUCCUACUGGUGGGUAUAGAUUACUUUACCAAAUGGAUUGAAGCUGAACCACUAACAGCCAUCACCGCCCGGAACGUACAAAGCUUUGUGUGGAAAAACAUUGUCUGCAGGUUCGGCCUACCUCAGAUCAUUAUCACAGACAACGGUCGACAGUUCACCGACCGUGGGCUAGCUGAAUUCUAUGAGAAACUUCACAUCAAACAUAUAACGAGUUNNNNNNNNNNNNNNNNNNNNNNNNNNNNNNNNNNNNNNNNNNNNNNNNNNNNNNNNNNNNNNNNNNNNNNNNNNNNNNNNNNNNNNNNNNNNNNNNNNNNGAACACCCUCAAACCAACGGUCAGGCGGAAGCCGCCAACAAAGUUAUUCUCAAUGAGUUAAAGAAGAGACUUGGCCCGUCCAAGGGAAAUUGGACUGAAGAAUUGUUAGAGGUUUUGUGGGCUUAUCGUUGUACUCCCCAGUCAACAACUCAAGAAACACCUUAUAGCCUGACGUACGGCACAGAAGCCAUGAUUCCGGUCGAAAUCGGCGAACCUUCACUACGCCGACAGACGUUAGACCUAGACUUAAACAAGGAAAGUCUACUAGUCGGCCUCGACCUCAUCAAUGAAUUAAGGGACAAAUGCAAGAUAAGGGAAGAAGCAUGCAAGAUACGAGCAGCACGAAGGUACAACUCCAAAGUGAAGCCACGAAGUUAUCAGAAAGGAGAUCUAGUUUGGCGCNNNNNNNNNNNNNNNNNNNNNNNNNNNNNNNNNNNNNNNNNNNNNNNNNNNNNNNNNNNNNNNNNNNNNNNNNNNNNNNNNNNNNNNNNNNNNNNNNNNNNNNNNNNNNNNNNNNNNNNNNNNNNNNNNNNNNNNNNUGCCACGCAUCUCAAAUUCUAUUACAGUUGAUGAAUAAACUUAGUGCACUCUUUCCUCGCUCGGUAGUUUUAUCCCUAAGGAGGGUUUUCUACCGAGAAGGUUUUAACGAGGCACUUUAAAUCACCAAUCUUGGUCAGAAAUUCAAUUAAUUCACCGUUCAUUCGGUCGGAAUACAUAACGAAAGUUAUCCGAAUUAUAACUUAAACGUUAUUUACCAACCUUGGUCAGAAAUUCAAUUAAUUCACCGUUCAUUCGGUCGGAAUACAUAACGAAAGUUAUCCGAAUUAUAACUUAAACGUUAUUCACCAACCUUGGUCAGAAAUUCAAUUAAUUCACCGUUCAUUCGGUCGGAAUACAUAACGAAAGUUAUCCGAAUUAUAACUUAAACGUUAUUCACCAACCNNNNNNNNNNNNNNNNNNNNNNNNNNNNNNNNNNNNNNNNNNNNNNNNNNNNNNNNNNNNNNNNNNNNNNNNNNNNNNNNNNNNNNNNNNNNNNNNNNNNCAAUUAAUUCACCGUUCAUUCGGUCGGAAUACAUAACGAAAGUUAUCCGAAUUAUAACUUAAACGUUAUUCACCAACCGUGGUCAGAAAUCGAAAUUAAUUCACCGUUCAUUCGGUCGGAAUACAUAACGAAAGUUAUCCGAAUUAUAACUUAAACGUUAUUCACCAAUCUUGGUCAGAAAUUCAAUUAAUUCACCGUUCAUUCGGUCGGAAUACAUAACGAAAGUUAUCCGAAUUAUAACUUAAACGUUAUUCACCAACCGUGGUCAGAAAUCGAAAUUAUUUAUGCCUCGUUCGGCAUCAGAAUUAUUCAGAAUUAUUUAUGCCUCGUCCGGCAUCAGAAUUAUCUUAUUACUUCAAUGUAAUCAGAAUUAUUUAUGCCUCGUCCGGCAUGAGAAUUAUCAUAUUACUUUAAGGUAAUCCGAAUUAUUUAUGCCUCGUCCGGCAUCCGAAUUAUCUAUUAAAUCAUUAACCGUUCGUUCGGCCAGAAUAUAUAACGAAUUAUAACUUCAACGUUAUUCACCAACCUUGGUCAGAAAUCGAAAUUAUUUAUUAAUUAACCGUUCAUUCGGUCGAGAUUAUAUAACUACGGCUAUCCGAAUCAUACACUUCUUCAAACCCGGAUCUAUGCUGACAACAAUCUCUGCAACAUAAACACGAAAAUAAGAAACAGAUACGCUAUUAGCCGAACGACCGCAAGAAAAGGUGCUCACCUUUUAGUUCCGCCUACUGCUUAGACGACCCAUAAAGAGCUAUCAGUUCCCGCGUAGGGAGCCUACACGAUAGUUGAUUCACGACCAUCAAAAUUUCUUGGUCGAUGGGAGACAAAGAUUCCCAAAGCCGAUGGUCAAGAGAGGUGGGAUUCUCCGUCCAAUAGAAUGGAAAUUUUGUGCUUCCAGCGGCAUUAUAGAAUAGAUUUUGUGCACCGGACGUCCGCAGCAUACUCAUGGUAAAAUCAUCACAAAACCCUGCGUCUUAUACGACUCUUCGUCCUUCUAUGACCUCUAGCCGGACGAAAGAGUGGUUUAUGUCGAAUAAAUCUAAUUUAAUCCAGAACGUGGUUACACGUGUAGAAAAGAGCAGUUAUAACAACCAUUGACGAAGUAAAAACACGUUCUCUAGACCACUCCCCUGGUUUUCAGGAAACCACCAGGCACGACCCAAAGACCACUAAGCAUGUCUCUAACCAUCAACUGAUUGGCCCACAUGGCCAAGGCCCAGGUCAACCUACUAAAGGGACUUCUGAAAAGGGGGAAAAGGUACGUUUUCCAUACUAUCAGAGAAUUCUCACUUGAGCACCAUUGCUGACUUGAGCGUCGGAGUGCAAUCGCAGGUACCCCCGCCGGCCGACCGAAGCACGCGAAGAGAAAGAAGACUUAAAGAAUAGGACAACCCAGAGGGAAGAAGACACCUUGUAUCGACGUGGAUCAACAUUACUCAGUCCCCAAUAUCCAUACAGGUACAAUAGAAGACAAAGGUUAAUAUGAAAAUAAAUAGAAAUUAGUCAAUAAUAUCAAUUUUUUAUAUUAAAAUACAUAAUAAAUUGACUAUUUCAUACAAUCAUUAACUUUUUCAGUUAAUUGAUGUAUUAGCCGACAUCUCCAUUUCUAUCGUAAAUACUUACAUGCUACUAUUGUGAUAGCAUGUGUUAGUAUCUCGGUUCGAGUAGUCAAUUAUUUUAUAACAUUAUCAUAUAAUUGUUUCACUAGUAAUGUACAUAUAACAGUUCAAUUCAAUUCUUCCUACCAUCUGCAUCUUACAUAAUAUUAAAUUUUCGAAAAACUAUGCCUUUCAUUCUGAAAAUAAAAAUGUAGAAUUAAAGAAAAAUACAUUCUGAAAAAAUAGAUCUAUAAGAGAUUAUUGUAUUUUGGAAAAAAAAAUCUAAAAACAAAAAUCAAAAUUCCAUUCCAGAGAAAAUAAUCCACAAUACAAAAAAAAAAAUAUAUUCCAGAAAAAAAAUCUAUAUUCUGUAAAAAAGGUGUAUUUUAUAUAUACCUCCUUUUUAUCUAAGGAUAUUCUCGUCUUUUUUCACAGUGAAAUUAAGUCCAAUAAUAUGGUGCAGGAAGUAAUUGCCUCCAUCCUAUCCUAAGGUAGCCCGGCCCAACCCAAACAACCAGCAAAAUAGCAUUAUUUUUUGGACUGUUUCUUCCUGCACCUCCAUAUCUUCUUCUAGCACCUCCAUACACAACAUGAAAAUACAUUUUUAUCUUUCUUGUGCCACCCCCAUAGAAUAACUUCCGGAUUAUAUAAUCCAGAAACGCAUUUGAAAAAAGACUUCUGGAUUACAUAAUUCGGAAGUUAAAAAAGACUUCCGGAUUACAUAAUUCGGAAGUUAAAAAAGACUUCCGAAUUAUGUAAUCCGUAAAGUAAUUAUGCAUCUGAAAAAAGACUUCUGGAUUAUAUAAUCCGGAAGCUAAUUACAAAUUUGAAAAAUAACUUCCGAAUUAUGUAAUCCGAAAUAUUAUAGAGGGGUAAUUUUGGAAAUAUGAAAAUUUAUGGAGGUGAGAGAAGAAGGUAUGGAGGUGCAGGAAGAAGCAGCCUAUUUUUUUGUCUGCAAUAAACAAUUACAAACAAAGUCAAAUAAAGAUGUUGAAUACAAACCAAAAACUUUUUCUGCAAGCAUCAGAGAUGUUGCACGAUUCUUGUUACCCAAGUAAUUUCAUAAUCAUUUUGAGUCAUUUUUCUUCUUAAUUCACAAUUCACAUUUUUCUUCUUAAUUCACAAUUCACAUUUUUCUUCUAAACUCAUAUUUUAUUCUACAAACCAAGUUACAUGCUAUCCCUUCUGCAAAUCAUCUUCCUCAAUUCCAUCAUAAUCACCUAUUCUAUAUUGUGUUUUACAUGUGUUAAGUUAUAUCUAUAAUACCUCAAUAAAUAAAUAAAUAUACACAAAUUGCGUGUACAAAUUUAAUCACACGUAUUAUUAGCUCUUAUAAUAAUUAUUUAAAAAACAUAAAAUAAUUUUUUAACAGAUGGAUGUUGCAUAAACAUUUAUACUUGAUACAUCUUUAUUAUUACUUGAAGAAAUUGACAAUAUAUUUUUAUUAAAUUUUUCACUCUAUUAAAAAUGAAAACGAUUUCAAAUAUUGAUAUAGUAGAAUUUAGGUAAGACGUAUUAUCAAUGAUUUUUUACACUACUUUAUAAAUAUUUGUUGGGAUUGUUAAUGACUAUUCACCCAUUACAUGUUAGUAACUUUUACUUUGUUAACGUGUUAAAAACUAUGUACCACAAACAUAACAACUAUGUACACAGACAUGGAUAUAAAAAUCAUAUAAUAUCUAAAAUAUAAAAUACGGGACAUGAAUCUAUAUAUUAUAUAAUUAUGCAUUAUAUAAAUUGACCAUAAGAAUUUAUGUGCACGAGUCUAUUUUAGAUUAUUUUUUGGAGCAAAUUUUUUUUUCAUGACUAGUUUAAAAGGAUUUGUUUUUUAUUUUUAUAAUCAUAAUAAAAAUUUAUACAAAAAAUUUGAGUUUCUAAAAAAUUAAUGUAUUUUUUUAUUUAUAAAAUUGUGUUAGAACCGUACUAGAAUUGUCAGAAAUUCAACAAAUACUUUUUGAAUUGAACACUUCAGAGAUAUGUGUCCUACAAGUAUCAUACGAUACGAGUGUUAAUGUCCGAUACAAGUAUCCGACACCACGUCAUUUGAAAAGAGAAGUGUCUGAGCUUGAUAGAUUAAAAAUUACUUCAAUUUUUAAUUCAAAUAACCAUUUAAAGAAUUGCUAAUUUUCAAUUAAAUUCAACAACAUACAUAGCUUGGGAGCCAUAUAAAUAUGCAAUGGGGCUGUGGAAGAGAGUGAAAGAGAGUAAAACUGAAAGAUGAGUUUUCUCGCGGGAAGGUUAGCUGGGAAAGAAGCAGCGUAUUUUUUCCAGGAAUCCAAACAAGCCGUAGGAAAAUUAGCCCAAAAAAUCCCUAUUUCUAAGACCAACAGCAACAACAACAACAACCUAAACUUCCACGAAGAGCAUGAUCAUGCGGAUGUGCUUCCAGAGGUUCUAAGACACCAUCUUCCUUCUAAAGUGUUCAGAAAUGAAGAAGCUACCUCUUCUUCCUUCUCUGCCUCCAAAUGGGUUCUUCCUUCCGAUCCAAAAAUCCAUUCUUCCGUAUCCCCUGACGCUCUCAAUCCUUUACGUGCUUACCUUUCCCUGCCCCAAGUCACUUUCGGCCCCAAAAGGUUCCUUCUUCACUCUCUGUUUCAAUUUCCCAAUGACUUGUACCUCAUCAAUCAAAUACCAUAUGCAUAAUGUUUUCCCAUUUGAAUUAUAUCCUUUAGUUUUAAUUUGAGCUUGAUUUUUUUGUAUUAUCAGUAUAAAAAAUUCUAUACUUUCUAAGUAUUUAAGAAUCAUCACAAGAAUGACUUUUAAGAUAAUUAUUGUAAAAAUUAACAAAAUUAUUGCAGUUUGGGAUUGAAUAACAAUGGAAAAUUGUUUUGAACUGAUAAUAUACCCUAUUUAAACUUUUCAAUUUUAGAAUCUGGGUUCUAAUAGGCAAAGAAGCUGGUUGUGAUUCUUCUUCUUCUCUUUUUUAUGUUUAAAAUUGGUGGUUUUGUUCAGUUGUUUAUACACGAUGGUUUGGUUGCACAGGUGGCAACUGCCUGAAGGUGAAAACGCAGUUUCGGCCUCAACAGCUAAUGAAUUGCGUCAAGAUAGGUACGCCACUCAUGUUAACCCGGAGAAAUUGAAAGCUGCUGGUGAAGGGCUUGCACAUGGUACAUUUCAUUAGCUUCAUGAUGUGCUGUAUAUAUUCUUGAUCUUUCAUCGCUUUGUUUUGCCCUGUAUUGUAAAUUGUAAGUGUUUUAAGCAAUUCUCAAUAUUUGUAGAUAGAUGGUUCUCUGAUGCAACAUCAGGGAAAUAAAUUGUUUUUCUCACCGAUGAAUAUGUACAUUUUGGACUUGGUAUCUACUUGACAAGCUUAAUGUCUCAAUGGAAUUUAUAGUGGAAUAUGUAGCUGCAAAUGCUUGAAGGAAAAAUCAGCGUAUAGAGAAGGUCACCGUAACUUAUGGUCAUCCUAUGAUUACUUUGUAGAAUGAGAUACUCCGAGUUUAACUUUGAUUAAAUAGGUGGAAGUUGAAAUAAAAAUAUAUUAAGCAUCAAUUGUUUUCUACUAAGCAACUUAGUCCAUCCUGUUUAAGUUGAUGCAGUAGUACAAAAGAGGAAGGUGUCGGAGGAGUUUAGGUAAUUUUAUUGGGUCAAGAGAGUGUAUUAAUAAUUUGAGGGAGGAAAGUUGUGGUACUCAGGGCAUAUCCCAUGAUAGUUGCUUAUAAGUCAUAAGGGUUUCUUAAAAAUAUAAUAUUAUUUUAAUAUAGGUCCACCACAUGCAUGAAUUGCUUAAAAUUGAAGAGAGCUGUUUAUAAUUUAUAGGCAAUUCAUAUGUUUAGGACUUGAUACUAAAAUAAUGUUUUUAUUUAUGAGUAACUCCCAUAUGCUAGUUUUGUCAUCAACUAAACGAGCUAGAGUUAAAUGUACACAGUGUCCCUGUAAUUGUAGAGAAACUAUUAGUUGUAUGUGAUUUUAAAUUAGCAAUGUUGGGAAAUUUAAUUGAACCAUCCUCAACUAUAGAGCUUUAGACUUUUUAAGCUGUGUUUUUUCACUUGUUGGGGGUGUUUUAUAUUUUGAAUAUAGAUAUUGUGAAUGAGGGAGAAGGAAUUGAGUCAUGCAAUAUAUGUUGUUCUACUGGAGAAAGAACUGGUGGAUACUGUUUGGGCAAGUUACCUUUCUGGAAUAAAAAAAGGUUUAGGGUUGUGUGUGUAGUAAUAGAGUUAAUGAAAAAUCAAAGUAGGCAUCACUUUUUCUGCUUGAUUUUCCAGUAAGUACAGUUCAGGUGGUUAUUUACUUCAUUAGACAUUGACUCAUGACUUCAUUCAGAUUUUGUGGUGCUUAUAUCAAUAAUGCUGUUAAGGAAAAAAGGUUUCGGGAAAAUUCUUUGGGGAUGAUGCUUAUGUUUUCUAAUGCAAUUUUUUAGUUGGAAAAGCUUUUGCUGUUGCCACUGCAUUUGUAUUUGGUGGUGCUGCAUUGGUGUUUGGUAUGGUGGCCUCCAAGUUAGAGCUGCAUAAUGUAAGUGAUUUUUGUUGAAAAUAUAUGCCUAGCUAUCUGUAAUUUGAAUUUGAAUGAGUUCAUUUUUAGGAGUUUUUUUGUUAUGUUUCAAAUUUUAGGAUAUUGGUCAGAUAAGGAUAUGAUCUAUUAUUUUGAUUAAAAAUAUAUUUUCCAUACAAAAUACCAACACAAUAUGUUGAUCCUAGAGUUUAAUAUGUAAUUUUUCUCUCUCUCUCUCUUGGUUAUGUGUAUUUUUUUUAAACUAGUUAAGUAAUCCACUAGAAUGUCUACCUUGAUCCAUUUUCAUUCAUCAUUCUUCAUAAAUUAUUCAUCUUGUUGAAUGACAUUAAUGACCAUAAAAUUCAUGUAAGCCUUUGUAUUGUAUCUCAAUACCUGUUUUUUUUUUUCUGUUUAUUCAGUUGUAUUAAUAGAUCUCUAUAUUGCCAAAUAAAUUGUCCAUUUUAGUUUGUUGACUUUUUAUCGGAAAUUUUUGUUGUUACAUUACAGAUCAAUGACAUAAAAACUAAGGGAAAAGACUACGUUGAGCCACAACUUGAGAAUAUCAAAGAGCAAUUUGCUCCCUUCAAAAUAUGGGCAAGUUUAAAAUUGUAUUUCUUCAAUCUUCUGAACAUUUCAACUCACAAGCCUAACUCAAAACUUGGAUUUGCAGGCUGAGAAUCUGUCAAGAAAGUGGCGUAUGGAAAGGGAAGAUGUUAAACAGAAGACUAUCGUAAAGGAGCUAUCUAAAAUUUGGGGUACAAAAACAACAGAUUGAGAUUUACAAUUUGUAUUUGUUUUCCCUUUACUUUAGCUGGUUUGGAAAUUUGUGGCAUGGCAUGGGCAUCCAAGGUGGAUAUAUUGGAUGGAGUGUUGUUGUAUCUGUAAAUGUUUAGAAUAAAAGUAAUAAAAAGUAGUGUGUAUCAAUAAUUAAGAUAGUAGUAAAUGGAAGAAUGUGAUUUUGGUUAAUUCAAAAAAAUUUGCCCCUGCUAUUUCAGCAGACCAGACAUACUGUUAAGGUUCUGAAAACCCUAAUUUGUUGCAAUGAAGAUGACAUUUGGCAAUUUGAGAUCAAUGUAUGUCCAUGCAAAUUACACAGGUUAUACUAUAACAUAAGAAUGAGAUAUGGUAGAAAAUGUAGCAUUAUUUGGCAUGCUUAGGUUGCUUGAGUUUUGUGGCAUGGUUAAGAGUAACGCAUACAACAUUGUUUGAGGCUAUAAUCUAUGAUGUUUUUGGAUAAGCAGUAGCCAAGGGAGAAUCACGUUUACAGCAGGGAAUCAUGCUUGAAAAGUGUCAAUACAUGUUUGGUAGAACCAAUUUGCAUUCAUAAUUAUGGUUUUGGCAACAUGGUGGAAACAACUCGCUUAAAUUGUUCUUUUAUUUGUUUCUUACUUUUAUAUUUAAAUAUUUACAAAUGAAAGAAUAGUUUAUAUUAAUUUAGAAGCUGAAAGUAUUUAUAUAAAAGACAAUAUUAGUUACAUUCCAUUUAUGUAUUAUCCUCUAAAAUGAUUAGAUAAAAAUGGAGAAAUUAUUGUUUAUUGGAGAAGAUACAAGGGUGAGAUACAUCGAGAUUAAAGAAAGUCUUGAAUUGACUAAACAUUGUAAUGAUAAACUCACAUAGGAAUUUGAUGAAACUUGCAUAAACAUCUCAUUCUAAGCCAAAUUCUUCCUCUACCUCUAUACAUUCCAUACAUUCCACGUGCACCUCCAUAUUAGUGAUAAAAUGUCAGUUUUAACCUUUUUUUUAAAUUUUAAAUAACCCUAAAUGAUCCAUAAGCUCACAUUUUUAACCUCAGUUGCAUCCGUUUAUUUUUCUUUAGAUGUAGCAUUCGUUGUAUUCAACGUUCUCCAAUGUGAAGAUACUUUUUUUUUAGAUUUCUACUUCACUUUUGCACCUCAGGUUUUUUUUUUCUGAAUUUUGUCCCUUCCAAAAAAAUUGAAAAAAAAAUAAGCAAACGAAAAUACCAACGUUCACCACCAGCCACAAAACUUACCACAACCAUACCAAAGUUCAUCACCAGUCACCACCACUUGAAAAUGAAAAAGUCACCACAUACUCAAAAAGUAUAGUUAUGAUUAAAAAAAAUGAGGGGGAAAUAUGGAGGUACAUGGAGAAUUUGGCCUCAUUCUAUUACAAGAAUACAAGGGACAAAACGUAUUGGACCAAGACCAACUGAUAAGAUAGAAAUAUAGAUAUAACGUUGUUUACAAGCAUAACAUAUACUGGUGAUUUGAUUUGGUGCUUUCUUUGCAUGCUUCGUUUUGGAACACCCUAUCAACAAUUUAAAUUAAAUUAUACAUCUCAGACAUACAACUAUGCCAAAGGAAGUGGUAAAAAAAGAGUGAAGAUCAAGAAUGAAUGAAGAGUGAAUCUUGAGAAGAACCACAAGGGAAAAACCAAUUAUGCCACCACAUCAUCCCUAUUUUGUAGGUUUGUCUGAAUCAAACUUAAAGGUAGUUACUAUAACUUAUAAUCAAGACCAGCUCCAUAUUUCCAAGCCUCGAGAUGCCGCUUCAACUGGAAACUCAUCUUGGAUGGCAAUGUAUGUACCAGUGGCCUUGCAAUUCAUUCAAUAUGAGCAUAGAAUACAAGGUGUGUUAAUUGGAUCUAUAUGCUUGUUGAAUAAAUAAGGAAGCUAAAAAGUGGUUUAAGAGAACCUUGUUAAGACUAUUACCUCAGAAUAGGAUCAGCAAAGGUCGAUAAAAAGGUGUAGUAUCCAAGCCCCAGAAAAUGUCUGGACCAAUCUAGAAGUACAGGAACACCAACCUGGGACAAGAUUAAAUUCUUCACCCCCAUGUUAAAGAGGUCUCCUGACUAAUUAUUUAUGCUACAUAUUUU
rnacentral:lncRNA from 1 species